UGUAGAAAAGCAAAUCCGUGAAAAAUUUGAGUUCACAACAAAGAACAUUGCGUACAUUUACCAAGGAAAAGUGCUUAGCCUCCUAUCAGGACUUGAUCUUUCUUGCAACAAGCUAAUCGGUCCUAUUCCUCUUCAAAUUGGAAAUUUGACAAGGAUUCAAACAUUGAAUCUAUCACACAACAACUUGACAGGAUCGAUCCCAUCAACAUUUUCAAACUUGAAGUAUGUCGAAAGUUUGGAUCUUUCCAACAACAAAUUGAAUGGGAAAAUCCCUCAUCAACUAGUGGAGUUAAAGACAUUGGAGGUUUUCAGUGUGGCAUACAAUAACUUAUCAGGCGAAAUUCCAGAAUGGACUGCACAAUUUGCAACCUUCAAUGAGAGUAGCUAUGAGGGAAAUACUUUUCUUUGUGGAUUGCCAUUGCCCAUUUGCAGAUCACCAGCAACUAUGUCGGAGGCUUCAAUUGGCAAUGAACGAGAUGAUAAUUUAAUUGACAUGAACAGUUUCUUUAUCACAUUUACAACAUCGUACGUAAUUGUGAUAUUCGCAACUGUUAUUAUUUUAUAUGUAAAUUCUUAUUGGCGACGUAGAUGGUUUUACUUUGUUGAAAUGUGGAUAACUUCAUCUUACUAUUUUGUUGUAGACAAUCUUAUUCCAACAAGAUUUUGUCAUUGAAAUUAAUUAGUAGCUUAAUUACGAUUCUUUAAGUACUAAUCAAGUUUGCUUAGGAAAUAUUUUUUUAUUAAAAUUGUAGUAGUAUUUAGCAUUAUAUAGCUUCCAACUUCCAAGCACUUCACAUUUGUCUCUACACUUAAAAAACUGAGUAAUCAUGUUUUGCAGAUCUGUCCACCAUAACUUAUAGCUUCCCUAUACUGUGCAGCAUACUUAAAUAAGAGAACCAUCUCCAAUGUUAAAAGCAUUCACUCUAUAACAUUCAUUUAGAAACUAUAUUCAGAAUAAUUUUAUAAUUAAACACGAGAAAUGAAACACAUAGAUACACUUGAUCGCCUAUUUUACUCUAAAAAAGAACGAUUAUUGUGCUAUCAUCAUCUUCUUCACUAGCAACAUUAACACCAAAUCGAUGGACCCAUACAUUUCAUCAAGAAAGGUAUAUAUCCAAUAAAGUUGAAGCCUAACAAAAAAUUCAAGAAGAUUAAUGCCUCGCCACAACAAGGGGCACAACAACAUCAAAGUAGAGAUUAAGCAGUAUUCUCAAAGCUAAAACUCUCAAAUCCACCCACCAGAAUUUCAUAUCUCCUCAACAAUUUUAAGAACUAAAGAUAAUUAGGAUUUAACAUUAGUUUUUUAUAUAUUAGUUUCAUAAUUUACAAAUCAAUGAAGAUGAAGAUUAUGCUAAUAAAUUCAAAUUAUACCAUACAUUCUCUAGAUGUUACCAAAAAUUUCUAAGUCAAUCCCACAUAUUUCAUAAUUUUAAGACUAGAAAAUUUCACUAGUUAGAAGUUUCAUUACCUUCAAGUGGAAGAUAAAGAACAUUAUACAAGUGAUUCAGAUUAUAUCAUACAUACUCCAAAUGCAACUAGAAAUUAACAAGUUCAUGCGCACAUAUUUCAUAACAUUAUGAUUGAAAAGUUUCACAAAGAGAAAUUCUAAAUUCAAUCUCUUGCAUGAAGGCAGUUUGAUUGAUUUGAGUUACUUUCUUAUCAAGCUACUAAUAUAACAUUCAAGUCAGGGAGAAAAUAAAUUAAAACUGGGAAGAAAUAAUAGUAAAAAUUUGUUGCUCAACAUGAUGUGUAUUUUUUUUCAAGGCAAUUUGGAAACACAAUUGUUACUACAGAUAUUCUUCUCAACUUGGAGAUAAAUACAAAUAUUAAAAUGCAUAUGAUCGCACAUAUUACUUCGAGUUUAGUAAGAUUUCAUUAAAAGAAGCAAUCAAACCACUUAUCAAUUGUCGCAGUCGUUCUAUAAACUAAAAUAGCAAUAUAAUACAAGAAAAAGAACAUAUAGAUACUUGGCAAGAGUUCAUUAAGAAGUCGCAUCACAUUCGGGUGAGGAGUUUGCUUCUGAUAUCUUGCUAGCUGGGGCUUUUUCUUGUCUUUCUACGUAUGCCGAGGGAAACCAACCAGCUUGGCCCUUGCAUUCACCUUCCGACCAUCCAAUAGGAGCCACCUUGAGAAGUUAUAACUAAAACGGUGAAUUAAACAAAAGUUGACCGUUCAAAGACCUAAGGGGAAAACUAAUUCUUUUACGUAGGAGGAGUGAAUUAGUUGUGAUCACUGAAAUAACAGCAUAACUAUGGAAGCAUAACAAGAUAUAAAUUCACACGUCUAUAAGGAUAAACUGGGUGGUUCAGAACUGAGCUAGCAACCCUACUAUAUUCUGAUUUGCACUUCAAUGUAAAAGGGAAUAUAUGGUAGGAAGAAAGAAAACCAACCAUCAUUUGUUAACUCAUUGCUUUUCAAUCAAAAUUUUAAGAACAAAAUGCCAUGUGCUUUGAACAUCAAAUAAGUAUAAGCAUUAGUUCUAAAUUCCACAUAUCAUAAGUUGUUAGAAGGAUAAGUUAAUAGCAGAGUAGAAAAAUCUAUGUGUUGGUAUUUAGAGGGGAAAGUACCUGGCGAAUCACAACAUAAUCAUCAAUUGAAAGACUUAGCUCUCCAUUUGCUUGAGCAUCAAAUGGAUGUAUAACCUGCAAGAUAAUGGGAUAAAUAGAACUUAAAAAAAGCAUAACAAAAGCAGCAACAGUAGCAGCAACGUUCAUUGUAACCACUAUGAUCAUGGCCAACAAAGAUAUAUUAGAAACAAAAUUCCAUUUUUACUACGACAUUAAUAUGUACUAUACAAAUUCUAAUAAGUUCUGUAUAACUUUAUGUAGUUAUUUAAAUUAUGGAUCAGAUUUUAAAUUUGAAAUUUUGACUGCUCUCCACAAAACAUGGCCUAUGCACAAGAAAGUCAUAGAUAAUGAGGAUUACAAGUGUCCGGCAUCUUUUGAGUGAUGGAUUUAACAUGAGAGCUUAUGGUCAGUCAAUUUCCUCUGCCUAGCAAUAUAAGCUUUCUCGGCCAGAUUUAUCAUCAAAUACAUAGAUUGCCCCCAAGUCACAUCCAUAUAAACAUAGUUUUUCUAGGUAAACCAAGUAAGGAGUAUCAUAAUUCAGACAUAAUCAUAAAAAGGCCCAUCUAAAUUAAGAGAAAAUCUCAAAAAGAGGGAUGCUGAGCUAUCAGUCUUGUAUCUAUAAGCAAUAUCAAGACUUUACAUCACCUGCUACAUCGUGAGUGGCUACACAACUUUCAGUGGUUUGUCUUUCUUUGGCACGCCUAACUCAGCUUUGAUGUUAGUGAGAUAUUGAUAGUAGAGACACAUGAUACUUCUAGCUCAUGCAUUCUAUCUAACCCAUCCAACAACUAUCUCUUUUUUAAUUCAUUAGUGUUUGCUAAACCUCAUGCUUAAAAGUCCUAUUCUCCUUAGCACCACAGUUGGACACUUGUAGAGCAAUUUUAUUUGGGGGAAAAGAAUUUUCAAGGUGUUAACUAAUAAAUUUUAAAAAAUAAUUACAAUUUGUCCUACGAUCAUAUGACAAUUUAUCUGGGAUGAAAGGAUACAGAUAGACAUCUUCCACUUUCAAGACUAAUCACUACUUCCAUAGAUGUUGUGCAAUAAUACAAAUACUUGACCAGAUGGUAGUGAUGGUAGAAAAAAAUUUUAUUGCUCCAAAAUUAAAAUAAGAAUGCAAUAUGUUAAGCAAAAGGCUGUGCAACAUCAAAUUAAUUGAUAAGUUUGUAAUUCAGUAAAUUAACAACUUUCGUGGUAAAAUACAACAAAUUUCUUUUGAAAAAAAUAAAAAAAAUAAAUCUUAAAAGACAGCAUUCAAUUUUGUGCGCAUCUUAUUUCUUAAGAUUUUUCAGGAGGAGGGCAAUAGAGGGACUUUCACCUAUGCAAGAGAGCAGAAGCCUUACUUUCCCUAUAAAGUAGACGUCAUUCUGAUUAAUAUGCGUUUGCAAAUCAGCUCCGUUUGAAUCAGUAUUCUGAUAGACACACGAGCCAUUUACAUCCAUUUCCAAAGUCACAUGUUGCGAGGAGGACUCAUUUGAUUGCUCCUAUACGAUCAUCUAAUUCAAGUAGCAAGGGUUGGAAGAGAAUAAAAAGUCACAAUUAUUCUUUUGCAUAAGUGAGACGAAAAUGAUAAAUGCAAUAUUAUCAGCAGUAAACAAGAAGAGAACGCUCCAAGAAAUAGAUAGAUGCAGACAAGCAAGUUAAAAUGCAUAGUCCCAAACCUCCGCAUACAACUUCUCUAAAAUAGCAAUAACGUGUUGAUGCUAUGUUUUCUCAGCAUCUACCUGCAAAGGCCCGAGACCAGGAAAACAACAAUAAAACCACUAGCUGAAGGAGAAAGCAAAGAAAGAAAUACACUUGACAUAAAUCUUGACAAGAAGCACAAUUUAAGACAUAACAAACCCCAAUCAUAUUGUUUAGAACUACCAUUCGUUAUUUCGUUAUUGUAACAUUUCGAACAAGUGUUGACUUAAUUCAACAUUGUUGGAAAGAUGGGCUUUUAGAAGCAGAAGAAAGCCUCUCAAACCAAAGUGCUUGUCCUUGUAUUGAUCAAGGGAUGUAAACAUAUUACAUUUGCAGGAUGAGAUUUAAUCACUCCCCUGAUUUAUUUGGGUUGCAGUAAAACUAAGCGAGCAACUGUUUGACUUCCAAGCAACAGCUAAAUCAGCUAUUAAAAUUCAAAUAAAAUCAUAAUAGAAUAAUAACAGGCCAUCUUGCAUCAAAAAUUAAGUUUAAUUUGUGAAUUGUUUUCUAUAGACAUGUCAGUUUCUGCUAUUGAAAUGUUAAAAGCAUUGAAAAAUUAUUCAAUAAAUUAUGCAAGCAUUAAAAUAGAGGACAUAUUAAAAAGUUUCUAAUUACAAUGUUAAUAUUUCCUAUAUUCUAGCAUUUGCAUAUUUUAAUUUAUUUAAAAGCUACGUCGAUCAACUUUGGGCAUGAAGAUUUUAGCUUCUACGAGACUUGCUUGGAAUAUGCACAAGAGUGUUAAAAUAUGAUGCAUCCAACGAAAGACAAACCACGUGUAGUCUUUUAAUUAAGCCAAAGUAGCAGCUCAAACAAAUGACACUUGGACCAACAUGCAAUCAUGAAGUGGCCGGAAAAAGGACAAAUGCUACUUUGGCUUAAAUAAAAAAUAACAUGUGACUUGACUUUUGCUGGACAUGCAUCAUGUUAUUACAAGACAACAGAAAUCAGUAUGAUAGUACUAAAAGUUGACAAUAACAUGAAGAUAAGAGGCAGACUGUCAACACAUGCAUAGGCACACACAAGAAAGUAUUAACUUCUAUACCAUAGCAAAAAGUCUUUGAUAUGUCAUCUGUUGCUGCUGUGAUUCAACUGACAGCAUGGCAGCUGUUGCUUCUCUACCAAGAGCCAUUAUUGUAGAUUUAAGCUCCGUCUAUCUUGCUUCUGCAUUUCGAAGCUUCACAGCACUCUCUGCUGAUAUAUCAGAUUCCCUAAUCUUUGAUCGGCGCCUAAAUACUUCAGCUGCCUGGUGAAAAUAUUCAAUAUAAAUCUAACAUAAUUCUAAUCUUGCCUUAUACAUGCAUAUGUUACCUCAAAGCUUACCUGGGCUUCAACUUCAUGUCGAAGUUUGUCAUAACGAUGAGUCAGGUGUCGAGCAUCUUCCAAAGGUGUUCCGUUGAUUAACGCCCGUAGUGGCUCAGGUACCUACAUGUCCAAAAACCUGUAACAUAGUUAGAAAAAUGAAAAGAAAGAGCGAAACCUCAAUUAAAAAGUUCCUCCAACAUAAUCAUGGAAUUUGGGCCUACUUCAAGGAUAUAUAUAAGGAUAAUUUAUGCAAUUUUGGGUCUGAGGAUGAUUCAUAUUAGGUUAGUGUUCUUCUCUUCUGUAUUUAAGGUUAAAAUAGAAAUAAACCUAUGAAAAUAUCUAAAUUAGGGCUGUAAGACUUCCACAUGCAUCCUUCAGUCUCAUGGAUUUGAUUUUACUAUAGAUGCAAGUGUCUUUAAAGAAAAUGCUUGGAGUCAAUUGAGAGAACUCACGGCCAAAAACUUGUCACACGCUAGUCUUUGCUAGUGAUGUAAGAAGUCACAGGGUCUCUUCAACAUUUGAACCAAUAAAAUUAUUAAGUCAUGGAUGUCACUAGCAAUGAUUUUAAUAUAAAACAUUAAAUAUUUCAGAGUUGUAACUUUAAAAUGGAUUCUUUUAUUCAAUAUCAUAGAACUAAGUUUCCUUAUGAGAAGAUAAUAGUUUCGAUAAUAAUUUUACAUAUAAUUUUCUAUAUUUGAAUUAUUUUCUAGUUAGGGAUGAACUAACCUGAUCACGAAGAAUCCCGAGCAAAGUUUCCCUCUCAUUUUCCAUCAAAUCAUGUGAAGUGCCAAAUUGAAGAGCAGCUCUUGCAACGCAAGAAUUGUCACUUUGAUUCUCUGCUCCAUACUUGCAACAAUCUUCAGCCAACUUUCUCGCUACAAUAUUUGAAUACAAAAAUAUUGUACACAAGAACUAUAAAAAACUAAUGAAAAAUGCCAAGAUGGAGCAGAUGCUUCAAUACUGCCCGUACAAACCAUAAAAAACUAAUGAAAAAUAAAUAAAAUCAAGAAAUUUUACUAAUUAAAAGUCUAAAUAUAAUUUUGAAAAAAGAAAAGAAACGGACUUGCUGCUGCUUGGCGACUUGUUCUCGGAGCUUGAUUGCUUGUUUCUUGAUAGCUUCCAUACUGUUUCUUUCAAAAAGCGACGACGGCUCAGCUCAUGGAAGUGGAAAAAAAAAGUGUGAUCGAGAAAAAUGAAAAGGCGUGAAUAAUUUUUGACAAAAAGCGAAAAUCAAGGAAAGCCGGCUCUUUCCAGAAAAUAAAAAAAGAAAAAAGAAAAUCAUAAGUUUGAAAGGAGAAGAUGAUAGUGGAAGUAUGCAGUGUGGCUGCCAGGUACUUGGAUUGUAUUGUCGGGUAAGGUAAAAGUGGAGAAUUAUAAGUUUGAACAGAGCAUGUUGGACUUUUGUUGACCAAAUUCAAAAGCCCAAUGGGACGGUCCAGAAGCUUUUGAAUAGAAAAACUUGCUAGAAAGCAUCAGUUUAAAUCACUACUUAAACGCUUGCUUUAACUGCACCGCUUUGUACUGUUUUAUGUAUGUAGCGGUUGUGCGGUUGUAAUUCACGGCUGACGCUACGUGUUUGUUUGUACUGUUCUAUUCGGUGACAGAGUAUUAUUAGUUAGGCCAAAACUAUGUUGCAACAGUGGUACAAUAGCACUGUUGUUUUCAGUCAUUAGAUCUAUAGUUGUACAGUUGCAUUAACAAGAUCCAAUGGUUGAAAACAACAGUGGUACCGAACUACUGUUGCAACAUAGCUGGACCCUAUUAGUUAUUUCAAAGGGAUAAAUAAGAUUGGUUACAACAAACCUACUAAUUUUAUAAAAUUCAAGUAAUAUAGAAUAAAAUAAAAAAAUAAAUACAAAAUUGACUUUUAUUUUUUAUGGUUGACUAUAUUUUGUGUUCUCUUCGGGCACUGCUACAAUUCUUCCCUAUAUAUCAAUUACACCACAUACUAUCGACACAAGAAAUGAAAUCUAAUAUCACCUAUUUAGUUAAAAAAUCACUCAUGAAAAAAUUUUACCAUUUUGAUUUGAGGAUCCAUAUUUUGAACUACAAGCUAAUGUUCAUCAAGAAUCACUGAUGGCCGUUGAGUAGAAAAAUUAUUUUUGGACAAAUUAUUUUUGUUGAUAGAAGAAUUUCUUUAGGGACUACUAAAUUAUUAAUAAAAAUAUCGAACACACCCAAAUAUCAUCGACACAAUUGAUUUUGAGGAUCCAUGCUUUGAACUGCCGCCUAAUGUUCAUCAAGAAUAGAGUAUGGCUUGUGAGUAUAAAAUUUUCUUAUUUUGGCCCGAAAUAAAAAAAAAUUAAAUUGGAUGAGAAUCUGCCACUUUCUCAUGAAGAAAGGCAUACGGAGCAUACCAUGGUACCAUACAAUAUAAGGAGCCUCCGUUCUUUGGUUUUUCAAACUCUGAAGGGGCCAAUAUUGCCAAAUUCCCCCUUGAAAAUUCUGAUUACGACAUUAUUCAUCGCUUGAUGCAAUCAAAGUAGUGACAAAGUAAUUGCUAGGCAAGGUUGCUGAGAGCAAAAUUGUCCUAAGCAUUAUAUGCAUACAUGGUGCGGUACAUAGAGCACGUUGAAUUCCCCACUAUAACACAAAUCCAGAAAGACAAGUAAUAACUCAACUGAUAUAAAGACAAAAAGAAGAUAAAAUGAUAUAGAACAAAGAAUUUCAAAGAGACAGCAACAUACGAUAGACUGAAGCCACUUGAUCUGCUCAUUGAUUGCAGCCUUAAACUUGCAAAUAGUUACUGUACGCUAGUGCUCUAAGAAGUGAAAAUGAUGCAAGCCCUGAUUCCCUUUUGACUUCCAUUUACUGUCAAACAUUCUAGUAAUACAAAAAAUUGUUUAGAUAUCUUGCUAUAAAUAUAGCCGUUUGACUGUCAUAAUAAAGUCACAAAUAACCAUUCAUAUUGAUCUACUAUCACACAGCAUGCUUUAUGCAUACAACAGCUGUAUGUAUACCAACUCCUAACCUUAUCAACACAUUUGGCAAAAACUUAGGAAGAAAACUAUUUCUCCAUCUCUUUUUUGAAAUUUCACAAUAACCAGCACAAUGUGAAAGCUAUGUUCUAACCUUAUGAUAAAUGCUCCAGACUCCAAAAGGAUUUUAUAUAUGAGAGUUUGUUGCAGCAGAUAUAUUGACUUAUCAAGUAUGAAUCAUUGUCUGGAUGAACUAUCUUUAGAUAAAAGAAUAUUAGAACCACUGUAGAAUAUCUUUACGCUGCUGGUUCUAACAGGAAUCUGCAUGUGGCAACAAUUGCUAGAUCCACAACUCCCCAACUUGAAAUACAUAGUUGCACACCAUGAGAUAGUGCUACAAUCUACUGAGAUCUAACUUAUAUGGUACUUUAAGCUACUAAUGUUUGCAUAUUUCUACAUGUUAAAUUAACACUAUUAUCUAUAAUCACUCCAAAACAACAAAUGAUAAGCAACUUUUGGCCACUUAUUACUAGCAUCCACAAUUAUAAAUAAGAGAUCAUGGGUUUACUUGUUGCACCUACUUAAUUAUCUGCAGUUGACAUCCUGACGCAAGGUUUAAAUAGUGACUGCUUAGAACCCUUGUAGUUGGAUCUUGACCUCUCCCAUUGUAGCCAAGAUUGGUUACUCUGGUAAUGAAUCAACACUCUCCUGCUCAGGGCCAUGAAGAUCUGAAAGCUCAGCACUAGUGGAGAACUUCAUCAAUCUCUUCUUCUCAGCAUACUUGAGACAAGGCUGCCUUACGAGACCAAUCACCAUAGCACCAACGCUUAAAACUGCAACUUUUAAAGAAGAAAGAGCCAACACAACACAACACAACACAAAUCAAUAUGGUUGGAGGAAUACACAUGAUAAUGGCUCCAACAGUGACAGUGGGUAUCUUGUAGGGACGAGAUGCAGCAGGAUAUUGCAUCCUUAACCAUACAAAUGCUAUGAACUCCAUAAUCAUUCCAAAACAGUACAGGAAGUUCUCUGCAGCUACAAUAUCUCAAAAGCUCAGCCAUGAUAGCAAAACCACACCGGAUGCUGAGAAUAUGAUUCCAAUCAAAGGAGUCCCAUAACAAGACCUCUUAGCAAAAAACUCAGGUAGCGUUCCACGCUCAGCCAUCCCCAAAAGUUGGAAAGAGUCGCUGCUCAUCUCAGCCACAAACAUGCCCAUAUUGGACAUUGCUGCAGCCCCCUGGAUGCACCAUCUCAACCAAACUCCUCCAAGCACUUUAGCGAUAUCUGAAAAGUAACCAUCGGUCCACAAGUCGCGAUCUAAUGGAAUAGCUCCAGUUCCAACUAGAAGGGGAAAGAAAUAUCCAAAAACGACCAAGAUCAAAGCAUAAAACAAAGCCUUUGGAAGAGUCUUCUUUGGGUUAUCCACCUCUCCAGCUAGUUUACUUAUUGAGUCCCAGUAGUUGGAGAUUCCAAAACAGGGUGUUCAAAUACAAAUUCCAGUCCACUUCACCUAAAUUUACUACAAGCCAUCUUGAAGGCUCUAACUUGGGAAGGGACACAAGUCCCAUAACCACAAAAGGAAGGAAUGAGAAAAUCUCUAAAAGAACAGCAGCCCAUCCCACAAUGGUUAGACCCCUAUAGUUCAUGAAAGUGAGAACAAAAGUCAAAGCUAACGCCGCAAAGGCUCUAGGUAACCCAUCGCCCAAAGCAGGGAUAUACCAGACUUCAAGUAGUCAAGAAACAGAACUGGGUAUAAAGCAUUAUCAAUAACCCCACUUAGCCAUUUCAUCCAAACUUGCUGAAAACCCCAAUAUGGGCCUAAGGCAGAUGAAACCCAAACCACAUAACCACAAUUUUCAGGAAACACGGUACCCAUCUCGGCAGUAAUUAAAGCUUCAGGGACACUCCAUAUAAUCGGAAACACCAAGAAACCAAGAAGUGCUAAAAGAGGACCAGCUGCCUUUACACUAUCCUCAACACCAAACGCCCCCCCAGAAACCUCAUAGAAUAUAAGGAAAAUAAGUGGCAAGAUUGAUACUUUUUUAGCGCCAUGGACUCUAGGAGAAGAUGGUUGGUCAUUGAUAUUAACAUAUUCAACAGCAUCAGACUGCCCCAUUUCUACUGAAAGUUGCCUAUUCACAGUGUUCCUCAAUUUCUGCAUCAAGUUUAAGCAUAACUAUCAAAAGGGUAUCGGCAUCUAAAUUAUGAAACAAAAUGAGCAUUUACUUAUUAAAAAAAUUCAAAAAAACAGAAAUGGAUUUCACAGAACACAUGAAUUUAAGUUCAACAUUAAACAGGCGCUUAAGAAAACAAAAGGGUCUGGUCGUAAAGCCAUCAGAUUGCAAGAUUGAACAACAUUAACGGAAUCAAUAGAAUCGAUGUAAAGAGAUCUGAAAAGAAAAUAAAAUAAAAGAUGAAGAGGGAUAAAACGACCCAUCAAAUAAGUGCAUGCAGAGCAGAGAGGCAGAUACUAGAGAAGCUCCGUCAUGUUAGAGAGAGCCUAAAUCAAUCAGAGCUCACUGAGUUUCUUUUCAACUGACCGGCAGAUUUGGAGUAGCAUAACAUAAUAUUUUUGCUUUUAAUUUUCGGAACACUUUUGAAUGGAAUUUUUUGUUUUUCAAAACUAACGAAAUCGUAAAAAUAAAUAAACACGUGUUUGGUUUUGGGCUUCUUCUUUUGUUCAUUUAAUAUCAUUUGGUUCCCUGAUUUUUGACUAAUUAUCAACGGUAUCCUGUUAGUUUCCAAAUUGAAAUAAUAUUAGGUCAUGAGAUUAUUUACUCCAUUUAGCAAUGUAGACUUAAUAGUGUAUUGAAAAAGCUUUGUCAAAUAGUAGUAAUAGGGGCAUAAGAAAUAAGUUCUUCAGAAUUUAGAUAAUAUACUUGGCUCUAGGAAGAUUCCCCUCUUAUCACUCAAGUUAGGCUUUUACCUUAGAGUUGAGUAAAUUAUUAAAAUAAAUUAUAGCUAUCACAAAUUCGUCAGGAGACUUUCAAUUUUUUUCCAUCAAAUGGCAAUGAGGCAAAAUUACCUCAACUUAUAUUUCAAAACUAAUACUUCAAAUUCUGACAAUAAAUUUGAUGACAGUCAAUUUUAUGUAUAGUAAUUUUGACUCUUUUGUUUGGUCUAAAAGUAAUUAUUUAAAAUGACAAUAUAACUUAUUUAGAAGAAAUGGUAAACUUAUAGUUCGUAAUAUUAUUUACACAAAUAAUAAAGACUAAUUUGAUAAUAAUCUUUCAAAUAAUAAUGAAGUGUUAAUUACUAUUUAACAUUUUUGAUUAAUUUCUAAAUUUAAAACAAAUAUGAAAGUUGAUUGCUUUGAAGGUUGGAUCGUGACAAAUUGACAAAUGAAAAGAGAAGUAGAGAAUAUAUAUUCUGAUGAAAGGGACAAGAUUCAGCAAGGGGACAAUAUUCUCUAUUGGACCGACAAAUGGGGGAAAAGAAUAUAUAUAUAUAUAUAAUUUCUUAUUUGUGGAUUGGCCAACACGUGUAACAAAUAUGAAAAGAUAAAAUUUGGCGUGGUUUUAACCGAUAUAAGACAAGAAGAACAAAGCAAAGCCCAUGAAAAUUCACCUUUCAUGUGGGUUGGAUCGGAUAAAAUCAAUAUCUUGAAUCAAACAAAAUGUUUGGUACAUAAAGUUUUUUUUUUUUACAUGAUAUUAGAUUUUUAUCCCUCGAAUUUUUACAUGAUAUUAGAUUUUUAACCCUCACUAAUAUUCGAGAGAUAUCUACUCCUCAUUUUUGGGUAAGGGAGAAGACUACCUUCACUCAAUUAUAAUUAAGGAAUGAAAUACCCCCACAUUACACUUGUAGGGGUUCAAACUGUUGCCCUCCAACUUGGAGUGCAGCAGCGCUGACCACUCGGCCAAAGUCCGAGUGGCUGGUACAUGAAGGUUUUGAGUGUGUGUAAUGAGCCAAAAUUUACAUAAGGAUAUUUUAGUAAAUAUAAGAAAAAAAGGCUCAGGGAAUGGCCUAUAGAUAGAAGCACGCAGCCCAUGAGUGAUGAGAAUACAAUUUAACUGUUCAAACUAAUUAGAAGCAAAUUCUUUCAUAUCUUUCUUUAAUUUUUCCGCUUAGUUCCUUAGCAUCCAAUCAAGUUCAAGUUAAAACACUGUUGAGACAACAAUAUGCAGGCAUCAAUAAGCAUAGUAGUUUUUUAUAUGUAUUCUAUACGACAAUUAUAGAACUUUUUGCAGCAACUUUUUUUCAUUAACUAAUGUUUGAAGAACUUGUUAAAAAAAAUGGUAAAUUUAUAAUUUUGAAAAAAAAGAAAGAAAGUGACGUUACCUCAUCGUCAUUAGAGACUUGUUGCAAUGAUAGCUCAAAAUUAAAAUUUUUGAAGAAUUAGUAGACGACGAUGAUGUAAUAUUUAUACAGUCACCAACAUGUUGAUUUUUGUUUAAUGUUUGAUCGAUAGAAACGCUUGUCGUCGUCGCUGUUGUUGAAUUCAUACAUAGAACACAGAAGAGAAGGAGGGAGGAAAGGGAAGAGAAGAAGAGAGAAGUGGCAUAUAGCAAAUAUGAUAUGCUAGCUGCAUACCAGCCUUAGAGAGAUUUUUUUUAAUAUUUAUUAUAUUUUUGUUUUUGUUAUUGGUUUGUCAUAUGCUUCCAGGGAAGCAAUACGUUACAUCAUAAAUUGCACCUUUUAGGGGAGGUGGUAAAAAACGUGAGAGCACUACGCUCCAGCGCAUACAUAUAGAAAGAGUUUUCGAAUUUUAAAAAGUUUCUUUAUUUCUUCCAUGUUUUUGUGCUUAAAAUAAAAUUUAAUUGUAUUUUGCAUUAACUUAGAAAAGAAAAGCCAGUUCUAUAUAUAAACUCAUGCAUUAAUUAGAAGAGUUGAACUAUUGGCACCCCUCUAUAAUCUUUAUAAAAUUCCUCUCCUAUUGUAAUUACAUUAAAGGACAAAAUAAAUCUAAUUAUAUCAUUAUAUUUCUCUUUUCAACUCUUUACACCCGUGCAACUACACCAAAGUCUUUUACAAUUUUUGUUUCCUCACAAACAACUUUUUCUUGAGAGAUUUACAAAACUUAUUUUUAAUUUUAAAAAAUAAAUAAUAGUUAUUUGAGUCCACUUUAAUUUACAAAACUUUCUAAUAAUAAGUUUUGUAGACUUAUUUUUCAUUUACAAAACUUUCUGAACUUAUUUUUAUUUUUAAAAAAUAAAUAAUAGCUAUUUGAGUCCACUUUAAUUCUACUUAAUUCAUACAUGUAUUUGAUUUUUUUGAGUAAAAUAUGUAUGAUUUAAUAAUUCAAAAAUUUAUAAAAACAAUAUUUGUAAUUGGAGUUAUUUGGAAGAAACUGAAUUGUUUUUCUUUUUGAAUAAAAAAAAGCUGAAAAAAGAAAAAGGAUAUUUUAGGAAUUAAAAUAGAUUUUGAUAGAAAAGGGGUUUGAACAGAAAAUUACAGGGUGCUAAUAGUCCCACUCUAAUUAAAAAAUGAGUUCAUGUGGAUGCAAAUGUACAAUAAAAGAGAUUCUCUUUUGUAUAUUGGAAGUAACAUAACUAGUGAGUAUAAUAUGUAAAUACAAGUUACCAAGAAUUUGCACUAGUGCUAAUUAAUGGCACAACUUUUGAGCUAUGAAUUUCUUCUUGAUAGUUUAAUUAUAUUUUUGAGUUUUCGGUAAACCUAUUUUAAUAAUUAUUAAAUUAUUUUCACUUCUUACGCCUUAAUAAAAAAAAAUCAAUAUUUUCUGGUCUAUUCUAUAUUUUGAAACUUAAUUUUUAAUUCUUUAUAUUGCAAACCAAACUAAGUCAAACAGAGUAUGCUCUUCAAAGAAUUUUUCCAUUGGCCAUUGCCUUCAAGAAGAUUUUAUUUUAUUUUUAUAUAUUAAUUUAACAUUUUUCCGUGCACUUGUAAACCGGGCCGUCGGAUUCCACAUAAAGCAAAUGAUCAAACCGUUACAAGACCGACCCGGACCCACUGACUCUCAUUUUCUUUCAUUUGACCAUUAAAAGCUUUUGACCACCCCCGCCAAAUAAAUAAAUAAGCUCUUGUUCUCUUUUGUUCCUUCUUAAAGGAAAAUAUAUCUGAUCACCAGAUAAUGAUUCCGGUGUCACAAAAUAUCAAGACAACCCCUAAAUUCCCUUAAAUUUACGAUAACACCCCACCAUGGAUGAUUCCGUUGAAAUGCCGCCUUACGAUGAAAGGCCUUAGAAGGGUUUUAACUUCACACCCAUGCGCUUGAUCUUAACCCUCAUUUUCCCAAUUUUAACUUUCUUUUCGUUGGCAUUUUUGAUCGAGAUCGUUACUGUUUUAUUCGGCGAAUCAUCAGUUUCGAGUUCCAUUUUUGUCCCUUCCCAGUGCAAGAUAGUGCCAGCAGUAAGCUUUUUUAAAAUUUUCAAUUUUUUUCCAUUUAUGAAGCUCAAAAAUUUUAUUAAUUUUUGAAUUUUUUUUGAAUGAUUUUGCAGGUGUUGAUAUAAGGUCAUCAAAGGUUUGUGAACUUGGAGUGUUGAAUUAUAAGGCGAAGCGUGUGUUUUAUCCAUUUGAAGCAAGUAAAUUUCGCCGUCGAUAUGAUUACUAUUGGGCUUCUAUCUUCAAGGUAUUCAUACAUUUUCUCAACUUUAAUUACUUACCUGUACUAUUAGCUUCUUAGUGGCGGUCUUGUUUUGUGUUUUUGAUGAAUGUGUUUAAGGGUCAGUUUGGGAAUGCUGGUAAUAGGAUGUUGUUAGUGUUUGGCAGUAAAUUUGCUAUGCAUAAUUCAGCAAUGUGCUUGAUUUUGGUUAUUGUCUUUAACAAUUUUUAGGUAGAGUACUUAGAUCAUUCACUGGGACAAACGCAGAGCUUGGUUGACCAAAGAUAAGUUCCAGGCUGGGGUCGGCAAUGCAGAGCUUCUGCGUGUAUUAAAAUUUGAAGCCUAGUAAAUGAAUUUCUAAUUUAUUUAUAGUGUUUGUUUUAUCUUGAUAGAAAUGAAUGCUAACUCAAGAUUUUCCCAACUUUGAUUACUUACCUGUACUAUAAGCUUCUUAGUGGCGGUCUUGUGAGCGGUGUGGCUGACAGCUUCUUGAAAAUUAUAAGUUUGAACAGAGCAUGCUAGACUUUUGUUGACCAAAUUCGAAAGCCAAAUGGCACAGCUCAGAACCUUUUGAAUUGAAUAACUUACUAGAAAGCUCCAAUUUUUUGUUGGCUACGGUAAAAGGAUGUUGUUUUAUUCUUCUUAUACUUUACGCUUGCAUCAGCUUAAAUCACUUCUUAAACGCUUUGCUUUAACUCCACCGCUUCAUACUGUUCUAUAUAUGUAUCGGGUAUGCGGUUGUAGUUCACUGCUGAGACUACGUGUUUGUUUGACGUGGUAAUUACGUUACGAGUCUGUUAAACAUUCGGUGAUUAAAGUAUUAUCAGUUAUUUCGAGGGGACAAAAAAGAUUAGUUACAACACACCCACUAGUUUUAUAAAAUUUGAAUAAGAUGGAAUAAAAUAAAAAAAUAAAUAAGUAAAUUGACUUUUAAUUUAGUGGUUGAAUAUAUUUUGUAUUCUCUCGGGGUACUGCUGUAAUUGUUCCUUAAAUGUCAGUCACACCCACAUGUUACAGACACAAGAAAUGGAAUCUAAGAUCACCUGUUUAAUUAAAGAAUCACUCAUGAAAAAAUUUUGCCAUUUUGAUUUGAGGAUCCACAUUUUGAACAACCAACUUAUCUUCAUCAAGAACAGAUCAUGGCCUGUGAGUAGAAAGAUUAUUUUUGGACAAAUUAUUUUUGUUAAUAGAAGAAUUUCUCAAGGGACUAUUAAAAUUACUAAUAAAAAUGUCAGACACACCCACGUACCAUCGACACAAUUGACUAUGAGGAUCCAUGUUUUGAACUGCCACUUAAUGUUCAUUAAGAACAGAGUAUGGCUUGUGAGAAGAAAAUUUUCUGAUUUUGGCCUGGAACAAAAAAAAAUUAAAUUGAAGGAGAAUCUGGUACUUUCUCAUUAAGAAAGGCAGACGGGGCAUACUAUGGUACCAUAAAAUACGAAAAGUCUCCAUUCUCUAGCUUUUUAAACUCUGAAGGGGGCAAUAUUCCCCAAUUACCCCGUGAAAAUUCUGAUUACGACAUUACUCAUCGGUUGAUACAUAAGUACAAGUACUGACAAAAUUAGGAAAAAUAUGACUCAUAAGUAAUUACUAGGCAGGGCUCUUGAGAGCAACAUUAUACUAGGCUUUAUAUGCAUACAUGGUGUGGUACAUAGAGCACGUUGAAUUCCACACUAUAACACAAACCCAGAAAGACAAGUAAUAUCUCAACUGAUAUAAAGACAAAAAGAAAAUAAAAUGAUAUAGAAAAAAGAAUUUCUAAGAGACAGCAACAUACAAUAGACUGAAGCCAGUUGAUCUGCUCAUUGAUUGCAGCCUUAAACUUGCAAAUGUUUACUGUAGCCUGGUGCUCUAAGAAGUGAAAAUGAUGCAAACCUUGAUUCCCUGUUUACUUCCAUUUACCAUCAAACAUUCUAUUCAUAAGAAAAAAAAUCUUUAGAUAUCUUGCCGUAAAUAUAGCCAUUUGAUUGUCUUAAUAAAGCCACACACAACCAUUCAUAUUGAUCCACAUUGCCACAUAGCCUGAUUUAAGCAUACAACAGCUGAAUGUAUACUGACUCCUAACCUUAUCAAUACAUUGGCGACAACUUAAGAAAAAAACUAUUUCUCCAUCUCUUUUUUGAAAUUUCACAAUAAAACAGCACAAUGUAAGAGCUGGAAUGAAAAUGGACCGUUUGGAACUAUGGCGGAAGCUUCAACUAGUGUAGUGAGUUGACCUUCUUAUUAACCUAGCGAGAUCAAACACUGCCCUUGAUCUUGAACAUAUCAAUACGAUACGCACAACUUAUGAUUGAAUCCAGAAACAAUCAAAUCUUUAGCAAGAAUAAUUAAUCAGAAUCAAGAAACAAGUUUAAUGAAUAUAAACCUAUAAUUGGAACAAACACAGCCAAAGAACCCAAGAAUGACACAACGAACACCAAGGGAGAAGCUUUCCAGUGAGAUUAUAUUAAUGAUCAAAGAAGAAUCUUUUUACAAAGAUAACAAAAGAGAUUUCAGAGAAUAAGCUAUGACCCUCUCUCUCUUCAAUCUCUGUCUAGUUUGUUAACAGUGAUGACCCCAAUCUGCUUCGUUAGCCAGCUUCAUAACUGCGUCAGUGACAAACUAGCAAACCCAGAUUGAGCAGACUAACGACACGUGCAUAACGGCUUUAACGAACUUGGUUAAAGAACUGCUCACAUGUUCGUCACGCGUGUUGCUUAAAUGAUAGCCAAAACGACUUCAACCAAAUGCCGUUUUGAAGCUUAUGAAUUAUAAGUGAAAACACGUGCUUGUCUCGUGACAUUUAAAUGCAACAACAAGCCCAAAACACUGCCGGUUCACUAUGUUGAGUUUGCCAUCUCUAAGCUUCACAACUAGCAGCGGACAAGAUGAUAAUUUAAUUGACAUGGAGAGCUUUUAUAUCACUUUUACAACAUUCUAUAUAAUUGUGAUAUUGGGAAUCGUCGGUGUUGUAUAUGUGAACCCUCGUUGGCGACACUGGUGGUUUUAUCUUUAUUGAAAUAUGGAUGACUUUUCGUUACUAUUUUGUUGUACAUAACAUUAUUCUCAGGAGAUUUAAUCAUUGAAAUUAACAUGUUAGUUUCAUUAGAAGGCUGAGUGGUUAGGGCUGCUACCCUCCAACUUGGAGGGCAAUAGUUUGAACCCACAAGCGCAGUGUGGGGGUAUUUCAUUCUUUAAUUACAUUGUAUAAUUGAAUAAAGAUAAUAUUCUCUCUUACCCAAGUGUGAGUGGAGUAGACAUCCUUCGAAUAUUAGCGAGGGUUAAAACUUGGGCAGAGCUCAAUAAGUAUUGAUGUAAGUUGGUCCUAAUAAUAGUCUGAUUUGUAAAUAUCAGUUAUAGUCUCAUGUUUCCUUCCUUAAUUAUAUUGUAUAAUUAAGUAAAUGUACUCUUUUCUCUUACCCAAGUGUGAGUGGAGUAAACAUCCCUCGAAUAUUAGUGAGGGUUAAAAUCUGGGUAGAGCUCCAUAAGUAUUGAUGUAAUUUGAUCCUAAUAAUAGUAUGAUUUGUAAAUAUCAGUUAUAUUAUCAUGUAAUAUGAGUUGUAAUUUGAGUAAUAAUUUCAUGUAAUUACAAAAAAAAUGUUACUUUCAUUACUUUUUUCUUCGUUAAAAUUCUCAAGUAUCAAUUAUGUUUGCUUAAGAAAUAAAAUUUCGUUAUGAAAAUUGUAGCAGUAUUUCCGAGCACCUCACAUUUUCAAUGAUUUUUCAUAAAUCAAUUAAUCUGCCAUACCAAUAUCAGGUUUAGUUUUUCAGACUAAAUGAUCAAGAAAGCAAACAUACAAAUUCACAUUUUAGAGGGGUAAACUAGCUUUUAGAUUUUAGAACUAGGCUAGCUACCUCACCAAAUUCCAAUCUGUACAGUGAACUACAAGAUUAAGAAAAUAAUGUAUUUAUAGUUUAAUUGAAUCAUGAGAAAACAAUGUAGUCAUAGCUCAAUCGGACAUGAUCACGGAGAGGCAUAUUCUUUUCAAGUUAAUUUGAUCCAUUUAUAAGAAAUGAAGUGGAUUGAAGUUAAAAGUUCAAAUAACAAAUCCUUGUUCUUGAGUUUUACGACGUCGUUACUCCUUCAAGAGGCUGAUUAUGCAAGUGAAUGCGGAAACAGAAUGCAUUAUCCACGGGGAUGAUAAAUCAAAAGGCGGGAUCAUAGUCUAUGCCCGCAGAUUAACAAUUUCACUCAUAUAGAAAAUUAAUUUUUUUAUAUAUACUAAUCAACACUAGAUUGAUUAUGUUUUGUAUGUUUAUAUGCUAAUCAACAAUAAAUUAUAUUAAAUGAAGAAAUGCUUCAAAUUUUUCUAAUUUAAUUUAGAAAAUCAAUUAUUAACAUUAAUAUUCCUAAUAAAAAUUAUUUUCCAUCGGUAUUCAAAAUUUUCACUUAUAGAAAAUGUGUUUUACGUGAAUACAAGUUAUUGUGUAAAUUUGAAUGAUAGCGAAAAAUAAUUUUUUUAAUUAUUGUAAAAAUAAUUAACCAUAACAAAUCCCUUGUGUAAAUAAUAAUCAUUAUUUAAAAGGUAGAAAGAUGGUUAGUGCACAAUCAAAUUUUAAGCCCCUACCUCCUCGGCCCAAGAUUCAAACUUAGAUGAUCAGCCAAAUAAAAUUAUUUGAAAAUCAUUCAAUCAGGUUCUCGGGGAAAAAAUACAAGAUCCGUAUUUGCAUGAUAUAUAUGAAUUAAUGUAAUUUAUUUGAAUUAUCCAAAUUCAUUAGAGAUAAAACUAUAAAAGAUACCAAAAAAGUUAGAAGGAAGGGUGUGCUGGGAUAUUUUACAAACUAUAGGAAUCUGGUGAGAUUUUGAGCCAAACUGUAGGGAGUUGAAGGCAUUUGCCCAAUAUGUUUAGACGUACACUAACCGUUAUUUGAUCUUGUUGUUGGUCAUGUGAACUAAGAUGUAAAUUAAAGAAAAAGUAUAAAAUUAAAAAAAGAUAAGAUUUCUAAAAUGUGUGGAAGGUGAUUCAUGAUUCACUAAAAUUACUUGCCCCACAUAUAAAGGUAAACAUGUCUAAUUUCAUUAAAAAUAGGUGGAAAAAAUUAACUAAUAGAAAGCUACGGAAAUUAACCCCCACAAAAAUGACUUUUUAUAGAAGAAUUUAUGUUUUUUAAAAUAUGUUAUCAAAGUGUAUUUGAUCAAAUCUCAAUUGCUUAGUAUGGUUAGGAUUUUGUGAACAUAACUAAAAAGUGAAAAAUAUGAAUGAUAGGGGUGAUGCUUGCAAUAUGAAUAAAUAAUGGACUGAUUCAAUUGAUGAUUAAAUUUAUAUAUUAUUGAUUAUUUAUGAAUUUUCAGACUUGUUAUGAUGUAUAACUAUGUGAUUUUGAAACUUGAAACCGUGGCAAACAUUGAAAGGAAUUAUAACUUGAAAUCAUGACUCACGGGGUAUGUCAUGAUUCACGUGCACAAAAAAGGUAGAAUUGUGGAAAUUUACAACCCAACGACAAGUACGGAAAGAAAGGAAGAAAAUUAAAAGACUUCGGGCCUAGCCUGCGUGUAUUAAUUAUUAGAUUACUUUUUUUUAUAAGGGUAAUCAUCAAUUUACUCCAUAACAAUCUUUAAUUCAUUUCUUAAAAAUAUCAAAACUUUAAUUUAUCUUUUAAACAUCGUUACCUCUCUAUUGGUUUUAACAGUUCAAAGGGUAAAAUUAUAUUUGCAUAUUUUCUUGACCGCCAACUAAAUGAUAAAACUCAAAAUUCAAUCUUGUUAUCUUGUUUCAAUCCUCUAUCAAUCAAAUAAGAUUUCUAAAAUAUGUGGAAGAUAUUGCAUGAUUUCCUCAACCUACCUGGCCCGAACAUCAAGGUAAAUAUCUCUAAAAUAGUUGAUUAAAUCUCAGUUGCUAAGUAUAGUUAGGAUUGUGUGAACAUCACUGAAAACUAUGAUUGAUAGAAGUGAUCUUUGCAAUAUGAAUAAAUAAUUAACUGAAUCAAUUGAUUUAUAUAUUAAAGUUUAUGAAUUUUCGGGCUUGUUGCGAUAUAAUAAUAGCAUAUGAUUUUGAAACUUGAAACAGUGGUAAAUAUUGAAAGGAAUUAAUUUGAAAGCAUGAUCCGUGGGGAAUGUGAUGAAUCGUGUUUACAAAAAAGGUAGAAUUGUGGAAAUUUAUAACAGAACGAUAAAUAUGGUAAAAAGGAAGAAAAUUGAAAGACUUGGGGCCUGGCCUGGGUGUAUUUUCUAACUAUCCAAUGGACAAAAUUAUAUUUCUAUACUUUCUCUUACCUAAGUUUCAUAGAAUAGCUCAUUUCAUUUUUAUUUUUUAAAUAAUAGCCCAAAAUAUCAUUAUGUUAACUCAUUAUUAGUUGAAUGGCGUUUGUUAGUAAUUCAUUAAGGGUAAAAAAUGAUUUUCUAUCAAAGAGAAAAUUAGAAAAAUAAAUAAAAAUUGAUAUAUAACUAAAAAUUAUUUUAUCUAAUCCCACUAAAUAAGAAAUGCCAAAAAAGAUGAAAAAAUUAUAUUUCAAGCAAUUCUUUUUUCACUUAUUUCUAUUUUGGCAACAUGAAAGCCCUAUAAACCCUAGAUCUAAGUACCAAAAAUAUCACAAUUUUCUUAUUCAUAUAAGUAUACUCUCUAAUUGCAUUGUAAAAUGGCUUGAAUUGAAUUGAAGAUAAAGAAGAUAUUCAGCACAUGCAAGCACAUAAAAAUUGGUGGCAUUUUUGAGUUUUUCUUCCAAUGAUUUAAAGAUAUUGUUUUAAUUACAGUUUGUUCCUUAUGACAAUUAUUCAAUGGCGAUAUCAAACUAUAUCAUCGUUGAUUUCAUUUAAGAAAAAAGUUAAUGAAUUUUGCAUACUUUGUAGUGUUAUUUAAUUGUGUAAAAAAAUUAUUUUAAUAUAGUUUGUAUCGCUUUAAUGAAAAAUCCUAUUUUGCCCUCAAUGAAUUACUGGUUAACGAUUUUACACUAAUGGUGAGUUAAUGGAAAGAUAUUUUAGGCUAUUGUUUGAAAAGUAGGGAUAAAAUGAGCUAUUGCAUUAAACUCUAAGGAUGAAAAAUGAUUUUUCCCUUUUAUUAUCAAUCAACUAUCUGAUAAAAGUCAAAACUCAUAUUUUUUUUUCCCUUGUUUCAAUCCCCUCUCAAUCAAAAAAGUUUCCUUGUCUAAGCAAUGAGGAAUAUGGCUAGAAAGAUUGUUAUUAGAAAGAUUUAUCAAUAGUAAUUAGUUCACAACUGAACAGUUUUAGAUUAUUGUGAGUCAAUAUAGGUCCUGUUUAGGAUUGAAGUGUUGCAGUUUUUAAGCUACAGCUGCUGUAGAAAAAAAAACUAUAAUUAUGAAAUAAGAGUUAAUAAUAUAUAAUAAAUAUAAAUUUUAAAUAAUAAUUUUGACAAAAUUAUUAAAAAUAUAAUAGAUUUUUCAUAAUACAAAUAAAAAAAUCAUAUCAACAUAGCUUGCAAGGUACAACAGUUAGUAUGAUGUUAGUUUAUUUUUGCGUCAAUAUAAGUAGUCAAAUUGAAUAAGUUAGUGAAAUGCUGCCUCACUGUCCCAUUGAAUAUGAUUCAGCUAACAGGGCUAGAGCUUGUGGAUGCCAAUGGCACUGAACAAAGUAUUGGGUGGUAAUUUUAAGACCACGCUAUGCCCAAAACCCAAGUUAGGCGAUUACAAAUACGGGAAUCAAUGUCACUUUGCUAGGAAUGGAGAGGAUAGAUUGCUUAGUGAAAUGCAACUUUGUAGAAUGCUGAGAGAUGUGCUGAGAGAUGAGGAUAGUUGUCGAUUUCUUCAUGUAAAUGCUGAGAGAUGUGCGGAAGUUUCUACUCAGUUUAGGCUUAGUUUAAGAAUAGCCUGGUGAUAAACAUUUUGAGUGGUGGAUCUUCUGUGGAUAACAAAAGUAGGUCUAUUCAAUGGGAACGCGACAAGGGGCUGGCUAACUCGCUCAGGUUGUGCAAAUGUUAAAAGCAGAAUGCCAGUUGUAUGAAGUUAUGUCAUUUUCUUUAUAGAACUAUGAAAGCUUGGAGUCCACGAUUCAAUGGAAUCUCGGGCUGUGCCAAUGAUUGUUUCAAGUACUUUUUCUACUUUCAAUGUCCAGACUAAGACUAUUUCUAAGCAGCAAGUGCAGGAUAUAAAGUGCAAAUCAAAAUAGACAGAAGUGAAGAGGAAGAUACGUGGUAUAUAUGUUGAUUGGAUUGAAGAUAUACCACUUUUGCCUAGUUCUUAGAACAAAGCAGAAAGCUGUAGUUAAAAAUAUACCUUCUGCUAAAGAUAAGUAGUCAAUAGUUCUAUUAGUGCAUAACUUUGCGAUUAAGGAUGAUCGCUGUCUAUUUUAAGAGCUUUUAAUAGAAUUUAGUAGCCCUGAUUUUCAAUCUCAGUGUUUUGCGGCUGUUAUCGACAUCCCUCUGUUACAUUUUUCAAGUUUCAUUGAUAAAUUAGUAGUUAGCCUUAUGAAGAAUGCACACACCAUAACCAUGUACGUUAAAUAGCAAACCUGCAUUUUAUUGAACUGUGAACUACUGAUUCAAUAAAGCUCAACAUAAGCUAACAAGUCUUUGUGAAAUUGCUUCAUGGUACAUUGUUUGAAGUAUUUAAGCUAAUAUAUGAUUAUUAAUGGGCUCGUGAGCCAACCCCAUUAAUUAUAUGUACAUAUAUAUAAUGUUACCAUCAAUAUGAUAUGUGACAUCCCAUAACAGCUAAUUAUAGAUCUUUAUCCAUUUUCAUAAUUUGCCUUCUGGCUUCCACUGCUCGUCACUAAAUUCAAAAUCCAUUGCACCUCAAAACAACAUGAGAAAUCUUAUAGGCAAAUCAUGACCAGUUCAAAGAUAAUAGCGAUUAUAGGGAAAGAAAAUUAAAAUCGAAGACGCAUAUAAAAUAAUCAAGCUACUGAUGAACAAAAUAACAUGAAAGUGUAAGUAUUUAUACUAACCUUCACUUAUUAGGAAGUUUGUUUCGCUAUUGGGUAAGAUCAAGCUCUCUGCAUAUCCUAUUGGCAAAAGGAAAUCACGCACGUGUGAUCUCUCUCUCUCUCUCUACACACGCACACAUAUACACACGCAUAUACAUAUACAUGCAUGGUCAUCAUCUUAGAAACCGAUUGAGAAAUUAUUGUCAGAGUUUGAAUUUGCGCAAUGACUAGUCAUGUUGCUAAAAAGAAAAAAGAUUGAGAUUGAAAGAAAUUCAUUAUCAUCAAAUUGGUCCAAUAUCCACUUCACUGUGUGGAUCAAAUACGUUUUCGAAUAGUGCACUGAUCUACAAUCUACUGCAAUAAUUUGUUAGGACCCUACAUCAACAAAUUAUGGGAUUAGUUGGUUUAUUAACCCUAAUACAUCCGGACAAGUCAAUCCUUUCAUGAGAAACAAAAUGAAUUUUGCAUCCCAUGAAACACAACAUACUCAGCUAGUUGAAAUUGUGGAUAUACGGGGGUAACGUAAGCAUGCUUUCACAAUUUGAAAGAUUUAUUUUUUAAGAUUUAGUAUUUCUGGGAUCCUAUUGAGAUAGAGGGGUGGUGAAGGUCUAUAGAUUUUAACUUGACAGCUUCCUAUAACCAAAGAUACAUAACUAUACUAAAUGAGCAUCAUUGAAUUUCAAAGUUAUUCAUUAUAAAUACUUAAAGAAAGAAAAAUAGAUAUUUUGGUAAUAGUAAUACAUUAUACCUUUUCUCUUUUCCAAAUUUGCUUAACCUUACUACAAGGCAAGCUGAGUCCAAUCAGGUUCUCCAAUUCAAAAUCUGAUGUCAGUAUUUUCAAAAGAUAUUUAUGCCAAUGGAGAUUUCUCAAUUCUAUAGGAAGGCAUUUUUUUUUUUUGAAACUGAUUAAGCAUCAGUUGGUUACUGUAUUACACAGAGAUAUAUACAACUGCUAUGACAGCAGGUCAUUACACUGAUAUUUACAAUCAGAUAUAUACAUGUGACUUAUAUUAUUACAUUUUUAUUCUAUGAAGUACAUGCCCAUCCAAAUACCCCUCACAGAGGAGGGAUGUCUCUACUCCACUCCCAUUGCGCAAGGGAGAAAGACGUUGUAAGAAGUCUCCAUACAAUUAUAUUUAAUUGAGGGAGGUUGAGUCCGUGGGGACUCGAACCAUUGCCCUCAUAGUCAUGCUUAACUUUGAGGGCAAUGAUUCACCACUGGGCUACAAGCCCAAGUGGCUAUAGGAAGGCAUUCUAAACCUCAGUGAAGUUACACCCUGGAGCUUAUAAUUAGAACACCAUCAUACUCGGAUAUAUAAAAUUUCAGCAAUCUAAAAUUUGACAUUGUUUUAAAUGCUCCAGAAUCUAAACGUAUGUCUCUUAUCCUGGAGAAUUCAAGAAUAUACUUUCGGUUGCAUGUGUCCCUUCAGAAAAGAAGCAAAUAAUGAGUUCGCAUAAAUUUUCUCAGGAAAAAAAUCCUAAAAUUUAUAAAGAGCUCCUUAAAUGAAGACAAAACCUGCACUCGCUCAACUCUUUUUUUUUUUUUUUAUGUUGUUCUAGUCUUCUUCAAUCCCCCCCUCUAAAACUUUAAUCCAAGCGUUAAGUGUAAGUAAACUAAAAUAUGAUUUUCGUAUGCAAGUACAACACAACAUACCCAUAAAAAUGAAGAGCGGAAGUUAGAAUCAAACCUCCAGCAAUUGAUAUUUUGCAAACUGAUAUUUGAUUCUUCUGAGACUUAUGUAAUCGUUUUGAUGGUGCAGUUUUUGAAUUAGAUUACAUAGCCUCAGGUACUAAUACCAUUUUCACCAUUUUGUUUUUAUUUCAUCUUUCCAUCAAAGAUGAAGGGGUGGGAAAUUAUCAAAGCAGCUGUUAGAUGACACCUGCUUCUAGACCUGCAAGUAAAACCAAAGAAUGAGCUCCAUUAGAUACAUUUGAGUUAAUAAAAUCCCUUGUUCCUCCUAAUGAUUAUAGACAUUAAUUAGGAGGGAGAAAUGAAGUAAAUUAAAUUAAAUGAAGGACCUUCAUUCUCCACGCAUGCAGCCGGCUAUUUUGUUACCAAGUUGUUGAAAGGAAGUAAAUAGAGAAGCAUUCAGAUACCACUCUCCCAGAUCGAUAUUCCUAGUAAGACCAAGGUGUAGUUGUACCACUCGGCCUGUGGAGUUGCUGCAGUCAACCCUUUCCCUUUGUUCAUCUACCCAGUUUUGAAGUCUAUAAGGGGAAUUGAAGAAAUGUUUAAGCCACAAAAGAUCAAAUUCCUCAUGCUCCAAACAUCCCUCACUCCACCCCCCCCACCCCCCGGCGCCCUCUUCUAAUAUUAUUAAUACGAGAACUAACAUUGUCACCAUUUUGAAUUUUGAACCACCCAUUCUAGCUAUAUCUCUAACUAUUAAAAAACACACAUUCUCUCUUUCUCUAUAACUAUAAAUAACAAAAGGGCUCUAUGUUAUUUAUAACAAACACAUCUAACAAUUUAUACACUCAGGCCCCAGCUAGCUUUCAGUUGUCUUCUUUGGUAGUCUUCAGCCUUCUCAAAGACUUUCGUCAUGCCUUACUUUCAGCCUUCCUUUCCAUAUUUGUCAUUUUGCUUUAAUUUUCCACAAUUCUACCUUGGAUGGUAAUAUUUAAUUCGCCACGAAUUGAGUGAAACGCUGGUCCGUUACCCAUCCCACUUCAAUAUUAACAAUAUUAAUAAUAAUAAAUAAAUUCUUCAAGCAAUUGAGAUUUGACACCCACCCCACUUCAAUAUUAAUAUUAAUGGGAAAUCAUAAAUUCUUCUACAAAUGAGUCAUUAUUUUAAAAUUGUUAUAAGCUUAUUUAUUUAAAAAAAAAAAAACGAGAAGGGGAACUUGUUAUCUUAAAAUUAAAAGAUUCUGGUGUGGCUACCCGAAUCCGCACGUUUUUUAAGAUUUUUUUUCCAAUCUUGUGUACCGUUCAACACCUAUAUAUGCUUUGCAAUUGAUUAGUUAACAAAAUAAAAUUCUUGAUCAGUUGUGCGGUAAAAAUAAUAUUAUUUUACAAAGCUUUACCUGGUGCAGUCAAUACGGCUAGAAAUUAAAGGAUCCCCAGCAUGAUAAUUAAGGAAUAAUUAUUAUUCUAGAUUUGUGCAGUGGCGAAGCUAAUAGCAUUUUUCGUUUUCGAGUGAGCUGAACUUUUUCCCCCCCCUAAUUCAAUACAUUUUUAUCGUACAAUAUAAUUUUGUAAAUAAGAAAUUAUAGAUGCACCUAAUAAUGCGCGACAAAAUAAGCUUUACCUCUCAAAAUAUUUGUUCUAAACAUUAUUUAAAAUAAUUUAGACACAUAUUUAUUCACAAAAUGAUGAACAGACAAGAAUUUGAUGAUAAUUGAAGAGGCAGCAUAACUAAUUAAUAUAAAAAUUUUUAUAUAGGUUUCAAUAAAGGAAAUUUUGUAACUAAAUAAUUUUUUUUCUGAGAAGCCCGGCCUUGCCCUCUCCAAAAUUCGCCACUGAAUUUGUGGGGUGGUUACUGGAGUUCACACGUUUUCAAAUUUUUUUUUCCCGAUCAUUCAAUAGUAAUUUUGCUUUUUAGUUUAUUAUUAUUGUUGUUAUUAUUAUUAACUCAGGCAUUUAUUAAAGCUCGAACACAUAAUCUAAACUUUGAUAUAUUUUUUGCUGAGAGGAGUCAAAAUUUGGGAAUUAUAUGCGCAUCAUAACAUAAUAAACAACCGCAAAGUAUCCUACGGAAACUUUCAGUGCACUCUGACAGCAGCUUUUGGUAGUCAAAUAGUCUUGGAAUCAUUUUUUAGCGCAUAUUCUUUUCGGUAAUGUGAUGAAUUCAUAUCUAAAGAAUCAAAACUAUGAUGUGAAUUUGCUGCAAAAACUGAUCCAAGACUAUUCAUUCAUUAUUAAACAUAUGAUAUCGUCCGUAAGACUGGAGAAAUAUGAAUGAAUUUGUUGAUGAUAACUCAGAAGACGGUUAACGGUUAAAUAUGCUAUGUUGAAAUGCACUGUACAGUCAAUUAAUUUAGUUAGGACUCUGUUUCUAGAAAACAGAGUAUAAAAGAUGACUAACUGUUUUGGGAGAUGCUUUUGGAGGGACUUCUAGAUGAAAUUGAGAGAGAGAGAGUGUGAGAGAAACUCUGUAAAGUCUUCUCCAAUUGGUAACCCCUUUUGUUGCGAAUAAUAAAGCUUCAAGGCUGUUCAUUUAUUUGUACAUAAGCAGGGGGAAAGCCUAUGUAUAGACAGCUUCAAAUGAGGAAACUGCACCUAACUACGCAGCAGCUGUAAUGAAGAAGACAUUGAUGCAUUAGCUUCCUGUUCCGUCUUCUUGGUCUUCGGGGAGGUUGGUAGCAGCAACUUUAAUUGUUCAAAGCAAACACUUAUCUUUCGUUUCUCAUAAAACCUCGUGAGGUAAUGCUUUAGAUGACUGGUAUGCAAUAUUGUCAAUGACAAAAUGUAAUGUUGUAUUCUGCUGAUCAACAUGUAAAAACUACAUAUUACUUGAAUUAGUUUUUUUUUUUUUUAAUUUACUAAAUUUCAGAAUUUGUUAACGAUGUUUGUACUUGGUUUUAACUCGAUUAAAGCUCAUGAAACUUAAUUGAUUAAUUAAUCAUUUAGUUAAAUUUAUUCGCUUUCAUGCUAUGGAUCUUUGCUAUAAUAACAAAUGCUUAAUUAUAUGCGUAUGUGUGAUAUAAUAGCUGCGUCUUACAUAGCAUAACACUACACCAAAUAUGCCCCCCUCAGAUACUAAUUAAUUACACAAAUGUACUUUUAUUCAAUUUAUUAUUUAAAAUAAUAUUUGAAAAAAAAUGGACUUGAGCAGAGCAAAGUAGAGAUAAUAAACAAGGGUAGAUUAUGCAUGCGUCAAAAGAUUUUAAAAAAGAAAAAGAGAAAAUAUACGGAAAACAAGAAAAUUGCGGGGAGCCACUCUUGUCUUUUACUUUGGACUUGAAGUCGUUCCAGGUGGAUAAUGUUUUCCUUUUAAAUAUUUAGAAUUAUAUUGUGGCGCUAUUUAAAAUAAGUUAUAAUUUUCUUAAAAUCAGACUAUGAUUACGGUACUCCAUGGUCAGAGUGUCGUUGAAUAAUGCUGAGUCUAUUGAGUCCUUUUCAAAUCGAAACCAGAACUAAAGAAAAAUCCAGAACUGAAACAAGGGCACGAACCAGCAAGAUUUGAAGGAAAAAUUUACUUCGUUAGUGAUCAACAACUAAUCAAACGUAAGUGGAUUUACAGAAGACUUUGUACAGAUCACAAUGAAACAGAUUCUAUGCAAAUUGACGAACAACUGAAGAAGAAAAAGGAUCGUACAACAGGCACUGCUCAUAAGCUUCUAUUUAUACUGAUGUUUCUGGAAACGUUGUAACAGAUUAUAACUAAUUCGUGCCACGUCAGCAUAAAAUAUCUACUAGACCCAUUUAACUGAAGUCAAUCUGCACAACGACUCUGAACCUCUUCAUAUUUUCCAUUUCAGUCCACAGACUCAACUACACACGUCUCCAAAAAUAAUAAGUUUUAUUUAUUUAUUUUUAUUAAUAAAAUAAAUUUUUAUUAACUUUCGUUGAUUUUGGUAGAUUUUGUUUUUGAGCUGUUACUACACUGUCGGCUGGUGUGUCAUCAUACGUAGUAGCGUCAUCAACCCUCUCAUGACUUUGACGGCCGAAACAUGUUUCAUGGCACAAAUAAUGACAGAUUUGUUUGAGGUACGGCGGAGAUGCCUAUUCAAAUAUUUGAAGCCAGCCCCUCCUUGUUUAACAUUUUUUUUUUUAAAAGGGGAACAACUGCUUUAGCUGUAUAUAUCAAGAAAAUUAGCUAACAGUUUAUGCACUUAAUUAUUUAUUUUGCCACACAUUUGUAAGUGGUCAAUGCUGCCGUAAAAUUAUUAGACCCAAAAUAAAGUGUGAUGAGGGACAGGAAUUAAUGUUCCCAUUAGCUGUAGCACCUAUCUUCCAUCUCUAAUUUUAACUUUCGAUUGAUGAAGUGUUUUCAAAUUUGUCAAAUGUCUGUAAACUGUUUAAUAAUUGAAGAAAGUUAAAAUUCAUUUUCUAAAAAUUAUUUUCAUUCAAAAUUGCGAUUGGAUGGUAAUCAGGGUUAAUAUCAGAGCUUAAGAUACUAUAACCGUGAGAACCUAUUGACUGCCAAUUAAAAUAUCCAUUAAAAUGUCUAGGGAGUUAUGAAGGUGGGGGUAACUUCCAAUUUCUAAGGCCACAGAGUAGACAUCAUCCAGGAUCCUAGGAAAGUCCAGUUAACCUCCUGCUCGAUGCAAUUAAUAAAUUUGGUCAAUGCCACUGAAACCUGCUAACUGACGUCACAAUGCGACAUGAGCACUUCAAAAUGGGACGGACAGUCAGUAGCACUGAAUUUUUCUUGCCUAAGAUUGAGCAAUUGGUCUAACUACUAAUCCCUAUUGUAGGUUGAUCAUUAUUUUUUCAAUUAUGUUCAGUUUGACCCAAAAAGUUGCAGAAUCUUGAGCUGAAUAUUGUCACGGAACACUGUCAAUGUCGCUUAGCAUAGCCAACAAACUUGAUGUUAAAACAAACACACAGUGUGUCUCAUGUCUCACAAAUCAAAUUAUCAUCUGUAAUGAUGGAGAAUUUUUCCAAUGUAUGAAGUAUGCUUUGAUACGUGGGUUACCUUGGAGAAGAUAUCUCAAAAUAAAGAAUAUGGGGAGAAAACAGUUCAGUAGUUUAUUAUUCUGUAGUCAAGUUUUGUCUCGAAAAUGGUCAAAAUUUAAAUGAUUAAGGACAGGGGAUCUUCAUUCUUUUUCCCCUUUUUUAUACCAAGAUAUCUCUCAACCUUUAUAUAAUCCCCACUGGAUAUCUGCUUCUCAUAAUUAAAAUAAAAAUUUCACCGCUCUAACAAUAAAAAGUAACAUCUUUAGUCAAAUAAUUUUGCGGUUCCUCAUCAUCUUAGUGUGAGACUAUCAGUACUUCCAAAAACAUAAUAAAACUGGUUUGAUCCUGUUUAUUAAUGUUUAAAUGUUGUUCAUUGUGACAUGUAGAAAUGAUGAGGCGAAGUUUAUUUGGGCAUCAAUUAGUAAGAUCUUGUUCGAAGUUGUUUUCUGAAAUGAACUGCCAAAUGGUAGUUUUUUGGGGGCAUUUGAUGGCUCUUUUUUUUUCCUCAUUUUCAACAUGUGCCUGCUUGGAACAGGAAGGAUUAGGCUUUAGAGUUGUUAUUUAUUUUGAGAUGCUCUGGUCAUUGCACAAUUUGUUCACACUGGAAAUUAGAAUGAGAAAUUUGUUGAUGCUGUUUUGAGAGAUCUGCAUUCUAUGCACAAUAACAUGAUUAAUGAAAAUGUAUUGUAGGACUGGAAAGAUCUGUGGCAGCCUGAGCUCGCAGGAAGAAUUUCAAUGGUUAAUUCUCCCCGAGAGGUUAUUGGUUCAGUUUUGAAGUAUAGGGGAGCAUCAUACAAUUCAAACGAUAUUGAUUCGCAAGUUGCUGGUGGGAAGAUUGCUGUUCAGCAGAAUCUGGCAUUACUGGCAAACCAGGUACUCUUACAGAAAUGAUAUCUGGUCAUUGCAUGUUAUUGCCUGACAACUGAUUUUGUUUGUAAAAGUCUACUUCUUCAUACAUAUGAAUGCAUAUGUUAGUGUUUUCUUCUCGUUUUCAUACAUAUAAAUGCAUAUGUUAGUGUUGUCUUUUCCUUUUCAUACAUAUUACUACAUAUGUUGGUGUUCUCUCCUGAGAUGGAUGCAAUAAAGGCUUUUGCUCCUAAAUUUAGCUGAAGAAAUGGCAAGGGAUGUGAGAUUCUGUCUCAUUAAAUUAACAAAAACCCAAAGCAAUGAAAAUCCAUAAUAAUGUGGUGUGGGUAAAUUGGCUCCAUUUGGUUCGUUUCCUUAAUGUGAAUGCGCGAGCAAUAGAGACUAACAAAAUGAAGUGACAACAAGAAGUCAGUGUCCUUUGAUGGAUGCAUUUUUAGGCAGAAAUAGGUUUGUAAUUGACCAAAUUUGUCUGGCAUGCCAAUUUCAAAAAAAUUAAAUUAUGUGGUUAUUAGCUGUAAUGAAGGGGGAUAGUAGGUGCAAUCAGGUGGAUCCUGGAAAGUUCAAUAAAGUUUUGGUAUGGCGUAGUGAAAUUGGUUUGUGCAACUCAGGAGUCUUUCAGGUGAACGAUGAUAGGUUUUGAUUUAUGAAUAUUAUAAAUCUACUGUGCAUAGUAUUCUAGUAGAAUCAUCUAUAAGUUCUAGUUAUUGAAAUUGUAUACUUUGCCCGGUUUGAGUUAAGGGCACAUGUAAUAUGAAAGAUAGUUGUCGCAUCUUUUAGGUUACCUAACAUUUGAUCAAUCCUAUUAUGGGGGCUUCAAGAUGUCUAACAAUAUGUAGAAUGCCCAUGCUCCUCCCCAUUGUUUAUCUUCUACAAUAAUUUGUUUUAGAUGCUAAUAUCUUUGUCGAUACCGGUAACAAUAUUACAAUAUCUGCGUUUAUUGGGUUUUACAUAGGUUCGACUGUUUGACAGUACACACUAUCUGAAGGCAUUUGCAAUUGGAGAUGUAUGGGUUGCUGUUGGGUGGAUUAGUGAUGUUCUUCCUGCUGUCAAACAUAUGUCUAAUGUUGCUGUUGUUGUUCCCAAGUCUGGUGCUAGCUGCCUGCCAUUCUACUUCGAUAUUCACAUUGUUAUCUCCUUCAUAUUAGCGAUCAGUAAACACGAUAAUGUGACUAAUAAGUUCGUAUUCUCUUUAUAGGCAAUCCCUGCUGCCUCAAGACUUGAAACAAAACAAAUUGGAGGGCGAGUCGGAGGUCCAUCUCCGUUAAUCCAUCAAUGGAUAGAAUUCUGCUUGCAAACAGCGAGAGCAUUACCUUUCAAGCAAGAGGUAAUCCCAGGUGCAUCUCCCUCUGCCCUUGAAAGUACUCUGGUUAAGUUGCCUGAAGAACUUCUGGAGGGUAAACCAAGUCUGGAUACUAACUUAAUUGCUGGAGUACUCCCGGCUGAAAUUCUGGCCAGAUGUGAGUUUUUGGAGCCAUUAUCUGAAGCUACUUUGUCAGAUUAUGAGUGGCUGGUUGUUAAUCUGCAAAAACCUGCUCCUGUCUUGAUGAAAAGGGUGCAACAUUACUUGUCAUCAUUAAUCCAAAGCUUUCUAGCAAGAGCUACAUUGAAAAGUUAAUGGCGCUGCAUGCCAGUCAUUAUAAUGCUGUCAGGACAAUUGGGUCAGGGCAAUUAGGUCAGAGCAUAACUUCAUUAGGAAAGGGGGCUUCAGCUACGUUAAAUAUUACAGGAUGUACUGAGAUGGCUGAAGUUCUUGAGGUUUUAUGAGAAACGAAAGAUGAGUGUUUGUUUGAACAAAGUUGUUGCCAAUCUUGCAGAGUUUGAAAACAAAGAUCACGGAGCGAAUGCCACCGAUUUCUUCAUCAUUUUAGCCUCCAUAAUUGAAGUUUCCUCAUUUGAAGCUGUUUAUGCAUACGAUUUUUCCCUGCUCUAGUACAGGAAAUUGAAGAAUUAACCAGAUGUGAUAUGCUGAAAGAGGGAAGUUUUCUUCCUUGAAUGUGGCCUUUGUGAUUUGUCUUGAAGGAAUAGGAUGAUCACUGGCAAGAACCCUAUCAAGGUAGAUUUUAUGGUGUUAACAUAUUAUUCAGCAUUUUGUUACAUUAGCAAUGAUGCUUUCAUAGCAUGAAAGUGUUUAAAUUUAACUGAAUGAUCUUGAUUGAUCAAUUAUGAGUUUUAAUCGAGUAAAAACUAAAUACAAUAAUCGUAACAAANNNNNNNNNNNNNNNNNNNNNNNNNNNNNNNNNNNNNNNNNNNNNNNNNNNNNNNNNNNNNNNNNNNNNNNNNNNNNNNNNNNNNNNNNNNNNNNNNNNNUGCUACCUUUUGAUUUUAGUGCUUAAUAUUUAUUGAACUAUGAUGCAGGGAAUUUGAAAUCAAACUCGUAAUACAGAUUAUCUAAUUGCGAGUUGCUGUCCAUAGCUGCUAAUUUGUAGUGAUUAUCUAAUUGACUGAGGUGACAAUAAUUCUUUUAUUUUCAAUAGCACAAUGUGGAAUUCAAUAAUUAAAUUCUCCUGUUUAAUUUGUUUCAAGUUAAAUUAUUAAUUACUUAAACUCGGUUUUAAGUCUUUAAUUUUAUGUGUUUAUGCAGAAUUGGAUUCUUGAGCGUGUUGGACACGACCAACAAUGAAAUUGACAGUAAACAAACAUUAGAACAUGUGGACUCCGGUAAGCACCAAUGAAUUUCUAGCCCCGUUGACUCCGCCAACUAAAGUUUUGUAAAAUAAAAAAAAAUACAUAGAAUUCCACCAAAUGCAAAACGCGUAAAAUUUAAUUUUCGGCCGUGUGGACCAAAACAUAAUUUAACAAAAAAGAAAAAAAUGAUAAGAUUUUUAAAAUGUGUGGAAGGUGAUCCAUAUUUUACUGAAACGACUUGUUAAAUUUUUCAAGGAUUUAGAAUAUUUGGUCAUAAAUUACGUGCAUGUUAAUUUUUCCGCCAUUGACUAUCAUAUUCUAGACUUAAUGGUACCUUUUUUGAUGAAGGGUACUUAGUCUCUCUUCUCCUCUUAUAAAAAUUAUAUUAAUUGAUUUCUUGUUAUAGUUAAUAGUCUUCAAGAACGGAUAGAUUUAUUGUUUUCAUGACCAAAUUAUGCAUGCCUAACGUUGCAACUAUUAAUAAAAUUAAUAUUUAAUAUUUAUGUUAAAAGAUAUAAGAUUUUAUGCAUUCAUUAAUUGUUAUUAGCUAAAGGAUGAAUUAUUUUUUCCCAAUCAGUUGAUGCAUCUGCAAGAGUUUUUUUUUCUUUUAUUGACCAUAAUUAUAUUCCGGGUACAAUAAAUUGUCUUUGGUGCUUGGAAGAUAUGACAUCUCUCUGUCAACUUACUGGAAAUAUCUCCUCAUCUACUCUCAUUUAUCUAAUAUCAAUUGAAGAUCUCAUAUUUCCAAACUAUGACUUCCAAAUCUCAUUAUCAUUUGAGCAUUCAAAACUAAUCAAGUGUGGAAAUAAUCAAAUAUAUGCAAAAAUCGAGUCACAAUCUUUGGCCCCUCAAAAUUCUAAUUAUAUAACUUCUAUAUAUCUCAUACAUUUUCCAAAUUCCUCUUCCAUCAACAUCAUUAGGAGUAUGUUCAUCUCUCACACAUUAACUUGAGUGGAGAGUUUCCAAAUUGAUUGUCAGAAAACAACAAAAGAACUAGACACGCUUGAUCUGUCUAAUAAUUCUCUUUCGGUAAAAUUAAUUAAUUUUAGGGGAAUUCAGCCAACCUCUGUAAUUUUAUAGUGAUCAUUAAUUAAUUAAACAAUACAAAUAUCUAAAGUGAUUAGAUGUUUACUGACAAUACAAGUUCAUGGCUUGAAAUUUGAUCUCUAUCGAUUGGUUUUGUAGUGCUUAAUAUUUACAGAACUCCGGGAAUUUGAAAUCAAACUCGUAACUACAGAUUAUCUAAUUGUAAGUUUUUGUCCAUAGCUGCUGAUUUGUAGUGAUUAUCUAAUUGACUGAGGUGACAACAAUUGUUCUUUUAAUUUUCAAUAGCAUAAUGUGGAAUUCAAUAAUUAAAUUCUCCUUUUUAAUUUGUUUCCAAUUAAAUUAUUAAUUACUUAAACUCUAUUUUAAGUCUUUAAUUUUAUGUGUUUAUGCAGAAUUGGAUUCUUGAGCGUGUUGGACACGACCAACAAUGAAAUUGACAGUAAACAAACAUUACAACGCGUUGAGUGUCGACUCCGGUAGCUGCCCUACAAGUCUACAACUUUACAAAAAAUAAUUGAGUACACACAUUCGAUUCUCGGGACCCUUCAAUGAAUUUCUAACCCCGUUGACUCCACCGACAAAAGUUUUGGAAAAUAAAAAAAAAAUUUAUAGAAUUCCACCAAAUGCAAAACGCGUGGAAUUUAAUUUUCGGCCGUGUGGACCAAAACAUAAUUUAAUGAAAAAAAAGAAGAUAAAAUUUCUAAAAUGUGUGGAAAUUGAUCCAUAUUUUACUGAAACAACUUGUUAAAUUUUUCAAGGAUUUAGAAUAUUUGGUCAUAAAUUAUGCUCAUGUUAAUUUUUCCGCUAUUGACUAUCAUAUUCUAGACACAAUGGUACCUUUCUUGAUGAAGGGUACUUAGUCUCUCUUCUCCUCUUAUAAAAAUUAUAUUAAUUGAUUUCUUAUUAUAAUAAAUAGUCUUUAAGAACGUAUAGAUUUAUUGUUUUCGUGACCAAAUUAUGCCUGCCUAAGGUUGUGACUAUUAAUAAAAUUAAUAUUUAAUGUUUAUGUUAAAAGAUAUAAGAUUUUAUGCAUUCAUUAAUUGUUAUUAGCUAAAGGAUUAAUUAUUUUUUCAACCCAAUCUGUUGAUGCAUCUGCAAGAGUUUUUUCUUUUAUUGACCAUAAUUAUAUUCCGGGUACAAUAAAUUGUCUUUGGUGCUUGGAAAAUAUGACUUCUUACUUCAAGUUUGAUAUGUCUCUCUCCAUAAGCUUACUGGAAAUAUAUCCUCAUUUACUGUCAUUUAUCUAAUAUCAAUUGAAGAGCUCACUUUUUCAAACUAUCACUUCCAAGUCUCAUUGUCACUUGCCAUUCUUGGACCAUUCAAAACCAAACAAGUGUUGNNNNNNNNNNNNNNNNNNNNNNNNNNNNNNNNNNNNNNNNNNNNNNNNNNNNNNNNNNNNNNNNNNNNNNNNNNNNNNNNNNNNNNNNNNNNNNNNNNNNNNNNNNNNNNNNNNNNNNNNNNNNNNNNNNNNNNNNNNNNNNNNNNNNNNNNNNNNNNNNNNNNNNNNNNNNNNNNNNNNNNNNNNNNNNNNNNNNNNNNNNNNNNNNNNNNNNNNNNNNNNNNNNNNNNNNNNNNNNNNNNNNNNNNNNNNNNNNNNNNNNNNNNNNNNNNNNNNNNNNNNNNNNNNNNNNNNNNNNNNNNNNNNNNNNNNNNNNNNNNNNNNNNNNNNNNNNNNNNNNNNNNNNNNNNNNNNNNNNNNNNNNNNNNNNNNNNNNNNNNNNNNNNNNNNNNNNNNNNNNNNNNNNNNNNNNNNNNNNNNNNNNNNNNNNNNNNNNNNNNNNNNNNNNNNNNNNNNNNNNNNNNNNNNNNNNNNNNNNNNNNNNNNNNNNNNNNNNNNNNNNNNNNNNNNNNNNNNNNNNNNNNNNNNNNNNNNNNNNNNNNNNNNNNNNNNNNNNNNNNNNNNNNNNNNNNNNNNNNNNNNNNNNNNNNNNNNNNNNNNNNNNNNNNNNNNNNNNNNNNNNNNNNNNNNNNNNNNNNNNNNNNNNNNNNNNNNNNNNNNNNNNNNNNNNNNNNNNNNNNNNNNNNNNNNNNNNNNNNNNNNNNNNNNNNNNNNNNNNNNNNNNNNNNNNNNNNNNNNNNNNNNNNNNNNNNNNNNNNNNNNNNNNNNNNNNNNNNNNNNNNNNNNNNNNNNNNGUAUUUUACUUGGAAGAUAUGACAUCUCUCUGUCAACUUACUGGAAAUAUCUCCUCAUCUACUCUCUUUUAUCUAAUAUCAAUUGAAGAUCUCAUAUUUCCAAACUAUGACUUCCAAAUCUCUCAUUAUCAUUGAGCAUUCAAAACUAAUCAAGUGUGGAAAUAAUCAAAUAUAUGCAAAAAUCGAGUCACAAUCUUUGGCCCCUCAAAAUUCUAAUUAUAUAACUUCUAUAUAUCUCAUACAUUUUCCAAAUUCCUCUUCCAUCAACAUCAUUAGGAGUAUGUUCAUCUCUCACACAUUAACUUGAGUGGAGAGUUUCCAAAUUGAUUGUCAGAAAACAACAAAAGAACUAGACACGCUUGAUCUGUCUAAUAAUUCUCUUUCGGUAAAAUUAAUUAAUUUUAGGGGAAUUCAGCCAACCUCUGUAAUUUUAUAGUGAUCAUUAAUUAAUUAAACAAUACAAAUAUCUAAAGUGAUUAGAUGUUUACUGACAAUACAAGUUCAUGGCUUGAAAUUUGAUCUCUAUCGAUUGGUUUUGUAGUGCUUAAUAUUUACAGAACUCCGGGAAUUUGAAAUCAAACUCGUAACUACAGAUUAUCUAAUUGUAAGUUUUUGUCCAUAGCUGCUGAUUUGUAGUGAUUAUCUAAUUGACUGAGGUGACAACAAUUGUUCUUUUAAUUUUCAAUAGCAUAAUGUGGAAUUCAAUAAUUAAAUUCUCCUUUUUAAUUUGUUUCCAAUUAAAUUAUUAAUUACUUAAACUCUAUUUUAAGUCUUUAAUUUUAUGUGUUUAUGCAGAAUUGGAUUCUUGAGCGUGUUGGACACGACCAACAAUGAAAUUGACAGUAAACAAACAUUACAACGCGUUGAGUGUCGACUCCGGUAGCUGCCCUACAAGUCUACAACUUUACAAAAAAUAAUUGAGUACACACAUUCGAUUCUCGGGACCCUUCAAUGAAUUUCUAGCCCCGUUGACUCCACUGACAAAAGUUUUGGAAAAUAAAAAAAAAAUUCAUAGAAUUCCACCAAAUGCAAAACGCAUGGAAUUUAAUUUUCGGCCGUGUGGACCAAAACAUAAUUUAAUGAAAAAAAAAAGAUAAAUUUUCUAAAAUGUGUGGAAGGUGAUCCAUAUUUUAUUGAAACAACUUGUUAAAUUUUUUAAGGAUUUAGAAUAUUUGGUCAUAAAUUACGCUCAUGUUAAUUUUUCCGCUAUUGACUAUCAUAUUCUAGACUCACUGGUACCUUUCUUGAUGAAGGGUACUUAGUCUCUCUUCUACUCUUAUAAAAAUUAUAUUAAUUGAUUUCUUAUUAUAAUAAAUUGUCUUUAAGAACGUAUAGAUUUAUUGUUUUCGUGACCAAAUUAUGCUAGAUUAAGGUUGCGACUAUUAAUAAAAUUAAUAUUUAAUGUUUAUGUUAAAAGAUAUAAGAUUUUAUGCAUUCAUUAAUUGUUAUUAGCUAAAGGAUUAAUUAUUUUUUCAACCCAAUCAGUUGAUGCAUCUGCAAGAAUGUUUUCUUUUAUUGACCAUAAUUAUAUUCCGGGUACAAUAAAUUAUCUUUGGUGCUUGGAAAAUAUGACUUCUUACUUCAAGUUUGAUAUGUCUCUCUCCAUAAACUUACUGGAAAUAUAUCCUCAUCUAUUAUCAUUUAUCUAAUAUCAAUUGGAAGAUCGCACUUUUUCAAACUAUCACUUCCAAGUCUCAUUGUCACUUGGCCAUUCUUGGACCAUUCAGAACCAAUCAAGUGUUGAAAUAAGUCGAGAGGGGGGGCAAAAUUAGAGUCACAAUUUUUGGUCCCCCAAAUUCUAAUUAUAUAACUUCUAUAUAUUUCAUUGCCAGGUCACGAACUUGUUGGCACAUUUUCCAAAUUCCUCUUCCAUCAACUCUCACACGUUAACUUAAGUGGAAAGUUUCCAAGUUGAUUGCUAGAAAGCAACGCAAAAUCAGACACGCUUGACCUGUCCCCUAAUUCUCUUUUCUACGUUGAAAAAGAAAAAAAAAAUAUAUAUAUAUAUCUAUGUAAAAAUAAAUAAUAAACUGAAUAAAAGUACAUUUGUUUAAUUAACAUCUGAUCGUGGCAUUUUUGGUGUAAUUUCGUGCUGUGUAAGCCACAACUAAAAUCAAACAGCCCCUUAGCAUACUUCUUCCAUUUUAUCUGGUACUUUUGUGGAUCUUAUAGGGUGGGCAUGUGGACAGAAUUUAAAAGUUUUAAUAGUCUCAAAGAAUAAGAUAUGUUAAAGCUAAAGUUGUUGCACCUUCUAAUUAAAUAAAGUUGUACAAUUUCACCAACUUGGAAGAAUUGACAUUAAUGGACUGGUCCCUUCUCCAUAUAUGAAGCCUUCUUAAAAGUUAAUUUUUAUUUCAGAAAAAAAAAGUUAAAGUUACAUAUAUUAUAGUAAGAUUUUUUGAGACCAAUUCCCUUCUUGAAAUAAUAAUGGAAAAGUAUUAAUUUAAUAAUAAAAUGAAUAUGUAUUGAUUAUAUCUUGAUUUUCAUCGAUUAUAGUGAGAGUUUCUCCAAAUCAAUUCCCUUAUUCAAAUAAUAUCGAAAAAAUAGUAAUUUAAUAGUAAAAUAAACAGGUGUUGAUUAUAUAUUCUAAGUUUCAUCGAUUAUGUGAUCAAAGUGGCAUUGUUGAUUUAUUUCUUGUUCAAUGUUAAUUUUUAGGUUAUCUAAAUUUCAAGGAUUUAAAAUCUUUGAUCAUGGAUUACACGCUUGUUAAUUUUUCUGCCAUUGACUAUCAUAUUCUAGACUUAAUGAUACCUUUCUUGAUCAAGGGUAAUUACUCUCUCUUCUCCUCUUAUAAAUUCCUCUUCCAUUAACAUCACUAGGAGUAUGUUGAUCUCUUACAAAACAACAAAAGAACUAGACACACUUGAUCUGUCUAAUAAUUCUCUUUCGGUAAAAUUAAUUAAUUUUAGGGGAAUAUUCGACCAACCUCUGUAAUUUUAGAGUGAUCAUUAAUUAAUUAAACGAUACAAAUAUCUAAAGUGAUUAGAUGUUUGCUGACAAUGCAAGUUCAUGACUUGAAAUUUGAUCUCUAUCGAUUGGUUUACAAAUGGACAUACUUGUGCCUUUGUGGCGAUAAUCGAACAAGUUCCAAUGAUUAUUAUUUUUUCCAAAAACUUUUUUACAACAAAUUCAUCUCGCCAAAAAUUCUAUGUUGCUAGCUAACAAUAAUUGAGCACUUGGCCGCAUUGACUCCACGUCUCCACCUCUUUCUAAAUUCUAAGUAAAAACAUGGAAAUGUAAUUUCCACAAAAUGCCAAACGUGUGGAAUUUAAUUUUUUGCCUUGUGGAUCAAAAUACAAAUGAAAGAAACAGGAAAAAAAAAAAAGGCCCAAAGACUUCUAAAAGAUGAAGAAGUCUUUGGGCCUUUUUAUAAUGGUGGAUUUUUUAAAAGAAAAAAAUAACAACACUUUUAUGGUUGGUUUUGAUAAUCAUAUGUGCGUAUAUACUCUCUAAUUUUCAAAAUGGACACAUAAAUCUUUUUUUUUCACAAAAUAUAUAUUAUUCAUAUUUUUUAUUUUUUAUUAUCAUAUUUUUAUUUAUUAUAAAUGUUUAGAGUAAAUUUUUAGGUUGAAAUAUAAUAAAAGGGUAUAAUCGUUCUCUUAUUAAACACACAUACUUUUAUUAGUUUCUAUGCAUUUGUCAUCUCAAUCUCUCUCAAUUAUUCUUUAUUGCUAGCUCAAAACACGUUGCUGUUGCAAAUUAUAGCAAAAUGACAAAUAUGGAAAAAAAGGGAAGAAAAUUAAUGCAUGAAAGACUUGGAGAAAACAACAAAAUAAGCCAACUAUGAGCUAGUUGGGUGUAUAAAUUGUUAGAUGUGUUAUAUACAAAUAGCAUAGAGCCCUCUAGUUGGUUCUAGAGACAGAAAGAGCGUGUGUGUUUUUUCACAGUUAGAGAUAUAGUUAGAAUGGGUGGCUCAAAAUCAAAAAUGAUGAUAAUGUUUAUUAUGUUAUUAAUAAUAUUUAAAAGUGGGUGGAGUGAGGGAUGUUUGGAUCACGAGAGAUUUGCUCUUUUGCGACUCAAACAUUUCUUCACUGGUCCUUGUAAUUAUCUUUACGACUGGGUAGAUGGUGAGGGAGCUACUGAUUGUUGUCAGUGGGAAAGGGUUGAGUGCAGCAACACCACAGGCCGAGUGAUAACGCUAGACCUUUUUGACACGUAUGGGGGAGAGCACAACUGGUAUCUGAAUGCUUCUUUGUUUACUCCCUUCCAACAACUUGAGUCACUUGAUUUAACUUACAACAAAAUAACCGGUUGUGUUGAGAAUGAAGGUGCUUCGUUUAAUUUAAUUAAUUUACUUUCUCCCCCCUAAUUUAAGUUGAAUAUCAAGACCGAGCAAUUAUAUGCAUAUUCAUUCAGUUGACAAUUUUGACUUUUUUUUUAAAGAUUAAUUUUGAAAUUACACUAGUAUCUAUGAUCCUUUUUUUUUUUAUUUUACUUGCAGGUAUAGAGAGGCUAUCAAGAUUGAACAACUUGAAGAUGCUUAAUUUAAGUGAUAACUCGUUCAACAAUAGCAUUUUAUCAUCACUAACUCAUCUUUCAUCAUUAAGAUCAUUAAAUUUAUAUGGGAAUAGAUUAGAAGGAAGUAUUGACGUUAAAGGUACAUAAUUAAAACUUCAUCCCUUCUCCAAGCUCUUUCAUUAACUUGCUAAAAUAAGAUUCAAGGCUUUGAAUUCAAUUUUUUUUAUGAUUAGUAUUAAAAAAAAACAGUUUUAAGCAAUUUAUAAAUACAAGUUUUAAUCUUUCUCAUAAUUUCAUCUUGUACUUUCAUGUGUCUUGAAUUUAAGAUUAAAAAGAAAUCUAAUAGCAAACCAAACACCUCCACAACUUAUUAUUAUUAUUAUUAUUAUUUGCGGUGAGGUUUGAAACAUUCAACUCAAUUUGUACUUAUUACAGAAUUUGAUUCUUUGAGAGAUUUAGAGGAGCUAGACAUUGGCGAGAACAAGAUUGACAAAUUUGUGGUCUCAAAAGGUACUACAAAUACCAUAAAAAAAAAUGCUAACUUAUACAAAUUAGUUGGAUUCUUGGCCAUUUGGUUUAUUAUUUUACAGGUUUGAGUAAGUUGAAGUCUCUCUGUUUAAGUGGUAUCAAACUCAAUCGUAGCAUCUUCGCUUCUCUUUCUUCGUUAAGAGAAUUAGAUAUAAGUUAUACGGGAUUCAAAGGAACAUUUGAUGUUCGAGGUAAGUCUAAGCCUUGCUUUCUCAUUUUAUAUAUGCGAACUAGAUUUGUGUAUCAUCGACAUAAUUUAAUAUUUAAUUUAAUAAGUCUGAAGGUAUUACAUGCUAAUUUAAACAUACUUUUAUUUACUUUGUCAAUUAAUUAAUUAAUUAAUUAAUUACUAUUUGGCUUGGUUUGGACGAAAUUCUCAUGAUGUUUUAAUUUCUUUAAAUUAAUUAAUUAAUUAACUCUGUUUUUAAGUCUUAAGUCUGGGCAUGUUUGCAGAAUUUGAUUCCUUCAAUAACUUAGAAGUGUUGGACAUGGGAUACAAUGAAAUCGACAAUCUUGUGGUUCCUCAAGGUAAACAAUUAAAAUAUUAUUCAAUUACAUUAUUUUAAUUCAUUUGAUUAGAGAAGGCCAAAAAGGUCCCAAAAAAAUUAAUAAUAAAGAAACAGAUAAUUUGUAUUAUUUAAAAAAAACAGAAUGUAAUAAAGAUUUGAUUCCAGUUCUUUAAUCUUUAAAGCGAUUGAAAAACAAUGUUGCUCUUUUCCCAAAGUAUAAAAUACGAAUUGAAUGCCAAUUAACUUAAUCAUUCAUUUCGUUUAGCUCUAAAUUUAGACAAUGAAUUUUUAUAUUAUUUCAAAAACAGGACGUAAUAGAAUUUUUUUAAAAACAGAUUGUAAUGAAGAUUUGAUUCCAAUUUUUUAAUCUUUGCAGCGAUUGAAAAACCAUACCGCUCUUUUCCCAAAGCAUAAAAUACGAAUUGACUCCCAAUUAAAUUAAUCAUUUAUUUUGUUCAUCUCUGAAUUUAAAUAAUGAAUUUUGAUCUUCAAUCAUAUUCUAACUACUAUUAAAAAACAAGUUACAAAGGUUUGAGGAAGCUGAAAAGCCUUGAUCUAUCGGAAGUUGAAAUUAGAGAUGGAAGCAAGUUGUUACAGUCGAUGGGAUCAUUCCCAUCCCUCAACACUCUUUACCUGAAGGAUAAUAAUUUUACCGAUAUAGCGACAACUACUACUCAAGGUAAGUAAAAGGUACAGAUGUGGCCAAAUUUAUAAAUAAAUUGUUAAUUAAUUAAUUUUUCCGUAUUAUUAAUUAAGCUAAAUUCGUUGCUCCUUCCUUCUAAAUCUAAACAGAGUUGCACAAUUUCACCAACUUGGAAUAUUUGACAUUGACCGGUUCCUCUCUCCAUAUAAGCCUUCUGCAAAGCAUUGCAUCAAUAUUCCCUUUGUUAAAAAUUUUGCCGAUGAUUGGUUGUGAAGUCAAUGGCAUCCUACGUGGUCAAGGUAAAAGAAAAGCGUUGAAUGUGCACUCACUGAGUGUUGUCCUACGUGUUCAAUAUUUUCAUUUAUUCAUUUUAUUGUUUAAUGUUUCUGCUAGGUUUUACUCAUUUCAAGAGUUUGGAACAUUUGGACAUGGAUUACGCGCUCAUUGCACUCAACACCAGCUUUCUUCAAAUCAUCAGUGAAUCGAUGCCUUCUCUUAAGUACUUAUCACUAUCAAAUUCUACUCUUGGCACUAACAGCAGCAGGAUUCUUGAUCAAGGUUAAUCAGAUGCUCCCACCCCCCUUCUUAAUCUAUAAUAUUAAUUUUCAAUUAAAUAUUUAAUUACACAAACGAAUCACUUAUUAUAAAAGAAUAAUACGCAUUCAUUAAUUUUUAUAUUGUAUUAAUUGAUGAAUUUAAUAAAUUUUCAGGCCUCUGUUCGUUGAUGCAUCUGCAAGAGUUGUACAUUGAUAAUAAUGAUUUAAGAGGUAGCUUGCCUUGGUGCAUGGCAAAUAUGACAUCCCUCCGAUUAUUAGAUGUUUCUUCCAAUCAACUUACGGGAAGCAUCUCCUCAUCUCCCCUCGUUCAUUUGACAUCCAUUGAAGAGUUGAUGCUUUCAAACAAUCACUUCCAGAUCCCAAUUUCACUUGAACCACUUUUCAAUCACUCAAGACUCAAGAUUUUCAAUGCUUAUAACAAUGAAAUAAAAGCUAAAAUAACUGAGUCACAUUCUUUGAUCGCCCCAAAAUUCCAAUUAAAUACACUCUUGUUGUCUUCCAGUUACGGAGACAGUUUCAUAUUCCCCAAAUUCAUUUACCAUCAACAUGACCUGGCGUAUGUUGAUCUCUCACACAUAAAGAUGAAUGGAGAAUUUCCAACUUGGUUGUUGGAAAACAACACAAAAUUGAGCCAACUUUCUGUCGUCAAUGAUUCUCUUGCAGGACCUUUUCGGUUGCCAAUUCAUUCACACAAGCAGUUAAGACUGUUGGAUAUAUCCACCAACAACAUCCGAGGCCACAUUCCAGUAGAAAUUGGAGAUGUUUUGCCACGUUUAUACGUUUUCAACAAUUCCAUGAAUGCUCUAGACGGUAGCAUUCCCUCUUCAUUUGGUAAUAUGAAAUUCCUCCAAAUUCUGGACUUAUCCAACAAUCACUUGACUGGUGAAAUCCCCGAGCACUUGGCCGUGGGUUGCGUCAACUUGCAGGCUCUUGCAUUAUCAAAUAACAACCUACAAGGUUACAUGUUCUCUAGAAAUUUUAACUUGACAAACUUGAGAUGGUUACAAUUGGAGGGCAAUCGAUUCGUAGGUGAGAUCCCACAAAGUUUGUCUAAAUGCUCCUCACUAGAAGGAUUGUAUAUUAACAAUAAUAGUCUUUCGGGUAAGAUUCCACGAUGGUUGGGUAAUCUCACAUGGUUACAAUAUAUUAUAAUGCCCAAUAAUCAUCUUGAAGGCCUUAUUCCAGUGGAGUUUUGUCAGCUUGAUUCGCUUCAGAUUUUGGACAUUUCAGACAACAACAUAUCUGGAAGUUUACCAUCUUGUUUCCAUCCUCUCUCUAUCAAACAAGUUCAUCUUUCAAAAAAUAUGUUACAUGGACAACUAAAAAGAGGUACAUUCUUUAAUUGCUCUUCCCUUGUGACAUUAGAUCUUAGCUAUAACCGCUUGAAUGGCAACAUUCUGGAUUGGGUUGAUGGGCUUUCUCGGUUAAGCCACCUGAUCUUAGGUCACAAUAAUCUUGAAGGUGAAGUGCCAGUUCAAUUGUGCGAAUUGAACCAACUACAAUUGUUAGAUCUUUCUAAUAAUAAUCUUCACGGUCCUAUUCCUCCUUGCUUUGAUAACACCACACUUCAUGAAAGUUACAGCAAUAGUUCUAGUCCUGAUGAGCAAUUUGAAAUAUUUUUUUCCAUCGAAAGCCCUGUGGGAGAUGUAAAAGAGCAAAUCCAUGAAAUUUUUGAGUUAACAACAAAGAACAUUGCGUACAUUUACCAAGGAAAAGUGUUUAGCCUCCUAUCAGGACUUGAUCUUUCUUGCAACAAGCUAAUCGGUCAUAUUCCUCCUCAAAUUGGAAAUUUGACAAGGAUUCAAACAUUGAAUCUAUCGCACCAUAACUUGACAGGAUCGAUCCCAUCAACAUUUUCAAACUUGAAGCAUGUCGAAAGUUUGGAUCUUUCCAACAACAAAUUGAAUGGAAAAAUCCCUUAUCAACUAGUGGAGUUAAAGACAUUGGAGGUUUUCAGUGUGGCAUACAAUAACUUAUCAGGCGAAAUUCCAGAAUGGAAAGCACAAUUUGCAACCUUCAACGAGAGUAGCUAUGAGGGAAAUACUUUUCUUUGUGGACUGCCAUUGCCCAUUUGCAGAUCACCAGCAACUACGCCGGAGGGUUCAAUCGGCAAUGAACGAGAUGAUAAUUUAAUUGACAUGGACAGUUUCUUUAUCACAUUUACAACAUCGUACGUAAUUGUGAUAUUCGGAAUUGUUAUUGUUUUAUAUGUAAAUUCUUAUUGGCGACGUAAAUGGUUUUACUUUGUUGAAAUGUGGAUAACUUCAUGUUAUUAUUUUAUUGUAGACAAUCUUAUUACAACAAGAUAUUGUCAUUGAAAUUAAUUAGCAGUUUAAUUACGAUUCUUUAAGUUCUAAUCAAGUUUGCACUUGAUCGCCUAUUUUACUUUAAAAAAUAAUGAUUAUGGUGCUAUCAUCAUCUUCUUCACUAGCAACAUUAACACCAAAUCCAGCGAUGGACCCAGACAUUUUAUCAAGAUAUCCACCAUAACUUAUACUUCCCUAUACUGUGCAGCCUACUUAAAUAAGAGAACCAUCUCCAAUGUUAAAACCAGCCACUCUAUAACAUUCAUUUAGAAACUAUAUUUAGAACUCUCCAAUCCACCCACCAGAAUUUCAUAUCUCCUCAACAAUUUUAAGAACUAAAGAUAAUUAGGAUAUAACAUUAGUUUUUUAUAUAUUAGUUUCAUAAUUUACAAAUCAAUGAAGAUGAAGAUUAUGUUAAUGAAUUCAAAUUAUACCAUACAUUCUCGAGAUGCUACCAAAAAUUUCUAAGUCAAUCCCACAUAUUUCAUAAUUUUAAGACUAGAAAAUUUCAUUAGGUAGAAGUUUCAUUACCUUCAAGUGGAAGAUGAAGAACAUUAUACAAUUGAUUCAGAUUAUAUCAUACAUACUCCAAAUGCAACUAGAAAUUAACAAGUUCAUGCGCACAGAUUUCAUAACAUUAUGAAUGGAAAGUUUCACAAAGAGAAAUUAUAAAUUCAAUCUCUUGCAUCAAGGUAGUUUGAUUGAUUUGAGUUACUUUCUGAUCAAGCUAUUAAUAUAACAUUCAAGUCAGGGAGAAAGUAAAUUAAAACUGGGAAGAAAUAACAGUAAAAAUUUGUUGCUAAACAUGAUGUGUAUUUUUUUUUUAAGGCAAUUUGGAAACACAGUUGUUACUACAGAUAUUCUCCUCAACUUAGAGAUAAUACAAAUAUUAAAAUGCAUAUGAUCGCACAUAUUACUUUGGAAGCUUAGUAAGAUUUCAUUAAGAGAAGCAAAUCAAACCACUUAUUUCAUUGUUGCAUCGUUCUAUAAGCUAAAAUAGCAAUAUAAUACAAGAAAAAGAACAUAUAGAUACUUGGCAAGAGUUCAUUAAGAAGUCGCAUCACAUUCGGGUGAGUUUGCUUCUGAUAUCUUGCUAGCUGGGGCUUUUUCUUGUCUUUCUAUGUAUGCCGAGGGAAACCAACCAGCUUGGCCCUUGCAUUCACCUUCCGACCAUCCAGUAGGAGCCACCUUGAGAAGUUAUAACUAAAACAGUGAAUUAAACAACAGUUGACCAUUCAAAGACCUAAGGGGAAAACUAAUUCUUUUACGUAGGAAGAGUGAAUUAAUUCUGAUCACUGAAAUAACAGCAUAACUAUGGAAGCCUAAAAAGAUAUAAAUUCACACGUCUAUAAGGGUAAACUGGGUGGUUUAGAACUGAGCUAGCAACCCUACCAUAUUCUGAUUUGCACUUCAAUGUAAAAGGGAAUAUAUGGUAUGAAGAAAGAAAACCAACCAUCAUUUGUUAACCCAUUGCUUUUCAAUCAAAAUUUUAAGAACAAAAUGCCAUGUGCUUUGAACAUCAAAUAAGUAUAAGCAUUAGUUCUAAAUUCCACAUAUCAUAAGUUAGAAGGAUAAGUUAAUAGCAUAGUAGAAAAAUCUGUGUUGUUAUUUAGAGGGGAAAGUACCUGGCGAACCACAACAUAAUCAUCAAUUGAAAGACUUAACUCUCCAUUUGCUUGAGCAUCAAAUGGAUGUAUAACCUGCAAGAUAAUGGGAUAAAUAGAACUUAAUCUCAAAAAAAGCAUAACAAAAGCAGCAACAGUAUCAGCAGCGUUCAUUGUAACCACUAUGAUCAUGGCCAACAAAGAUAUAUUAGAAACAAAAUUCCAUUUUUACUACGGCAUUAAUAUGCACUAUAUGAUAUCAUGACGAUUGGGUUACCAAGAGCUAUCAAAGUCCAAUAAAUUCUGUAUAACUUUAUGUAGUUAUUCAAAUUAUGGAUCAGAUUUUAAAUCUGAAAUUUUGACUGCUCUCCACAAAACAUGGCCUAUGCACAAGAAGGUCAUAGAUAAUGAGGAUUACAAGUGUUUGACAUCUUUAGAGUGAUGGAUUUAAGAUGACAGCUUAUGGUCAGUCAAUUUCCUCCGCCUAGCAAUAUAAGCUUUCUCGGCCGGAUUUAUCAUCAAAUAUAUAGAUUGCCCCCAAGUCACAUCCAUAUAAACAUAGUUUUUCUAGGUAAACCAAGUAAGGAGAAUCAUAAUUCAGACAUAAUCAUAAAAAGGCCCAUCUAACUUAAGAGAAAAUCUCAAAAAGAGGAAUGUUGAGCUAUCAUUCUUGUAUCUAUAAGCAAUAUCAAGACUUUACAUCACCUGCUACAUCGUGAGUGGCUACACAACUUUCAGUGGUUUGUCUUUCUUUGGCAUGCCUAACUCAGCUUUGAUGUUGCUGAGAUAUUGAUGGUAGAGACACAUGAUACUUCUAGCUCAUGCAUUCUAUCUAGCUCAUUCGACAGCUAUCUCUUUUUUAAUUCAUUAGUGUUUGCUAAACCUCAUGCUUAAAAAUCAUGCUGUUCUAAACAAAGUUUCCUAAGAAUGACUUCCUCAGCACCACACUUAGACACUUUUAGAGCAAUUUUAUUUGGGGGAAAAGAAUUUUCAAGGUGUUAACUAAUAAAUUUUAAAAAAUAAUUACAAUUUGUCCUACGAUUAUAUGACAAUUUAUCUAGGAUGAAAGGAUACAGACAGACAUCUUCCACUUUCAAGACUAAUCACUACUUCCGUAGAUGUUUUGCAAUAACACAAAUACUUGACCAGAUGGUAGUGAUGGUAGAAAAUAUUUUAUUGCUCCAAAAUUAAAAUAAGAAUGCAAUAUGUUAAGCAAAAGACUGUGCAACAUCAAAUUAAUUGAUAAGUUUGUAAUUCAGUAAAUUAACAACUUUCAUGGUAAAAUACAACAAAUUUCUUUUCAAAAAAUUUUUUUAAAAGACAGCAUUCAAUUUUGUGCGCAUCUUAUUUCUUAAGAUUUUCCAGGAGGGCAAUAGAGGGACUUUCACCUAUGCAAGAGAGCAGAAGCCUUACUUUCGCUAUAAAGUAGACGUCAUUCUGAUUAAUAUGCGUUUGCAAAUCAACUCCAUUUGAAUCAGUAUUCUGAUAGACACAUGAGGCAUUUACAUCCAUUUCCAAAGUCACAUGUUGCGAGGAGGACUCAUUUGAUUGCUCCUCUAGGAUCAUCUAAUUCAAGUAGCAAGGGUUGGAAGAGAAUAAAAAGUCACAAUUAUUCUUUUGCAUAAGUGAGACGAAAAUGAUAAAUGCACUAUUAUCAGCAGUAAACAAGAAGAGAACACUCCAAGGAAUAGAUAGAUGCGGACAAGCAAGUUAAAAUGCACAGUUCCAAACCUCCGCAUACAACUUCUCUGAAAUAGCAAUAACGUGUUGAUGAUAUGUUUUCUCAGCAUCUACCUUUAAAGGCCCGAGACCAGGAAAACAACAAUAAAACCACUAGCUAAAGGAGAAAGUAAAGAAAGAAAUACACUUGACAUAAAUCUUGACAAGAAGCACAAUUUAAGACAUAACAAACCCCAAUCAUAUUGUUUAGGACUACCAUUCGUUAUUUCGUUAUUGUAGCAUUUAGAACAAGUGUUGACUUAAUUCAACAUUGUUGGAAAGAUAGGCUUUUAGAAGCGGAAGAAAGCCACUCAAACCAAAGUGAUUGCCCUUGAAUUGAUCAAGGGAUGUAAACAUAUUACAUUUCCAGGAUGAGUUUUAAUCACUCCCCUGAUUUAUUUGGGUUGCAGUAAAACUAAGCGAGCAACUGUUUGACUUUCAAGCAACAUCUAAAUCAGCUAUUAAAAUUCAAAUAAAAUCAUAAUAGAAUAAUAACAGGCCAUCUUGCAUCAAAAAUUAAGUUUAAUUUGUGAAUUGUUUUCUAUAGACAUGUUAGUUCCUGCUAUUGAAAUGUUAAAAGCAUUGAAAAAUGAUUCAAUAAAUUAUGCAAACAUUAAAAUAGAGGACAUAUUAAAAAGUUUCUAAUUACAAUGUUAAGAUUUCCUAUAUUUUAGCAUUUGCAUAUUUUAAUUUAUGUAAAAGCUACGUCGAUCAACUUUGGGCGUGAAGAUUUUAGCUUCUACGAGACUUGAUUGGAAUAUGCAUAAGGAAGAGUGUUAAAAUAUGAUGCAUCCAACGAAAGACAAACCACGUGUAGUCUUUUAAUUAAGCCAAAGUAGCAGCUCAAACAAAUGACACUUGGACCAACAUGCAAUCAUGAAGGGGCCGGAAAAAGGACAAAUGCAACUUUGGCUUAAAUAAAAAAUAACAUGUGACUUGACUUUUGCUGGACAUGCAUCAUGUUAUUACAAGACAACAGAAAUCAGUAUGAUAGUACUAAAAGUUGACAAUAACAUGAAGAUAAGAGGCAGAAUAUCAACACAUGCAUAGGCACACACAAGGAAGUAUUAACUUAUAUACCAUAGCAAAAAGUCUUUGAAAUAUCAAUAAAAAAAAAACAAUUAAUUAAAGGUCGAAGAUGGGUCCUUUACAUAUGUUUUUGUUUUCGUAUUAGGUAGGAGGUUAUUAUAUUAUAUCAUGUAAUUAAUUUAUAUUAUAUCAUAUUAUAUCAUAUAUAUAUGAAAAAAAAAAAGAAUUUCAAAGAGAUAGCAACAUACAAUAGACUGAAGCCAUUUGAUCUACUCAUUGAUUUCAGCCUUAAACUUGUAAAUACUUACUGUACGCUAGUGCUCUAAGAAGUGAAAAUGAUGCAAACCCUGAUCCCCUUUUGACUUCCAUUUACUGUCAAAUAUUCUAUUCAUACGAAAAAAAUGUUUAGAUAUCUUACUAUAAAUAUAGCCGUUUGACUGUCUUAAUAAAGUCACACACAACCAUUCUUAUUAAAUUAGCAAGAUCAAACACUGCCCUGGAUCUUGAACAGAUCCACGCAAGUUGCACAACUUACGAUUGAAUCCGGCCAGAAAAAAUCAACUCUUUAGCAAGAAAAAUUAAUCAGAGUCAAGAAACAAGUUUAAUGAAUAUAAACCUAUAAUUGAAACAAACAUAGCCAAGAAACAAAUAGAGAUUUUACAUGUUUCAGUUGUACCAAGGAUGGCACAACCUACACCACGGGAGAAGCUUUCUGGUGACCCCAAUCUGCUUAGUUAAUAAUAGAGAUUUCAGAGAAUAAGCUAUAACCCUCUCUCCCUCUUCAGUCUCUCUCUAUUUUGUUCCCAUUGAUGACCCCAAUCUGCUUAGUUAUCCAGCUUUAUAGCUGCAUCAGUAACAAACCAGCAAACCCAGAUUGAGCAGAUUGACGACACGUGGAUAACGGCUUUAACGAACCUGGUUAAGAACUGCUCACAUGUUCGUCACGCGUGCUGCUUAAAUGAUGGCCAAAACGACUUCAAACAAAUGUCGUUUUGAGGCUUAUGAAUUACAAGUGAUAACACGAGCUUGUCUCAUGACUUUUAAAUGCAACAACGUGCCCACAACGCCGUCGUUUUACUCUGUUGAGUUUGAUUCAUUACUAAGCUUUACGACUGGCAAUGGAGAAGAUGAUAAUUUAAUUGAUACGGACAGUUUUUAUAUCACUUUUACAACAUCCUAUGCAAUUGUAAUAUUGAGAAUUAUUGAUGUUUUAUAUCCUCAUUGGCAAAAACUAGUGGUUUUAUCUUUGUUGAAAUAUAGAUGACCUCUCGUUACUGUUUUAUUAUAAACAUAUAGUUUCAUAAGUGAAACUAUAUGUUUAUAAUAAAAUUAACAUAUAGUUUCGUUACAUUUCUGCCUCAUUAAGAUUCUCAAAUACCAGUCAGGUUUGCUUAAGAAAUAAAAAUUUUCCAUUAAAAUUGCAGUAGUAUUUCCAAGCAUAUCGCAUUUUCUAUGAUUUUUCAUAAAUUAAUUAAUCUGCGGUGCCAAUAUCAGAUUUAGUUUUUCAAACUAAAUAAUCAAGAAAGCAAACAUACAAAUAUACAUACAAAUAUACUAAGCCAGCUACCUCACUAAAUUCCGAUUCGUACAGUGAACUGCAAGAAAUUGAGAAAACAAUGUAUUUAUAAUUUAAUAGAAUCAUAAGAAAACAAUGUAGUCAUUGCUUAAUAUAAGAUGAUUUCGGAGAGCCACAUUGUUUUCAAGUUAAUUUGAACCGUUUAUAAGAGAUGAAGUGGAAUCAAGUUGAAAGUUUAAAUAACAAAUCCCUGUUCUUGAGUUUUACGACGUCGUUACUCCUUCAAGUGGCAGAUUAUGCAAGUGAAUGCAGAAACAUGUGCAGAGCAUGUCAACAUGGCACAUUUAACCAUCAUUCAAGUGAUGAUGGGUUUUAUAAGACUGCUUAUGGGUUUUAUCAAGUUCCUCUGCCUCUAAGCAAAAAAUUAAAUUCGUAAUUUGUAAACGAAUUUUCCUGACAUGUAUAGUAAAUGAAGUUGUUGAUCCUUUCUUUGGAUUAUUGCAGCUCUGGUUGUGGGUCACCGAUGAGCCAAAGUCUUAUGGGUUUUAUCAAGUUCCUCUGCCUCUAAGCAGAAUUACUAUUGAAGGGCCAAAAAGAAAAUGAAAACGUGUGAACUCCAACAACCACCCCACAAAUUCAAUGACGAUGCUCAGAGACGGUUACGUUGGGCCUCUGAGAAAAAAAAUUUAUUUAGUUAAAAAAUUACCCAUAUUGAAACAUGUAUAAAAAUUUUAUAUUAAUUAGUUAUGUUUCCUCUUCAACUAUGAUCAAAUUCUUAUUCGAGCUCAUUAUUUAAUGAAUAAACGCGUAUUUUAAUUAUCUCAAUUAAUAUUUAGAACAAAUAUUUUAAGAAAUAAAGCUCAUUACAUCUCCCAUCAUUAGGUAUCUCUUUAAUUUCUUAUUUACAAAAUUAUAUUGUACAUUAAAAAUGUAUUGAAUUAGAAGAAAAUAAAUUCAACUCACUCCAAAAAUAAAUAAAAAAUGCUGGUAGCUUCGUAAUAAUUACUGUAUUGACUGCACCAGAUAAAGUUUUGUAAAAUAAUAAGUUCCCAUUAGAGGUUUUUAAAUUUUUUUUUCCGGCACACCUGAUCAAGAAUUCUAUUUUGUUAACUAAUCAAUUGCAAAGCAUAAGUGUUGAACGGUACAAAAAAUUUGAAAAAAACACUUAAAACGUGGGGUGGGUAACGGUUCACUCAAUUCGUUAGGUAGAAUUUUGGAAAACUAAAGCGAAAUGAGAAAUAUAGAAAGAAAGGAAGAAAGUUAAGAUAUGAAAGAUCAGCAGUGAAAUUGAUAGUCAUGUUUGAUUCAUCCUUCUAUGAAUUUCUAGCUGUAUUGACCCCAACUGCUAAAGUUUUGUAAAAUAAAAAAAAAAAAAAACUGGAAUUUCAACAAAAUUCAAAACGUGUGAAAUUUAAUUUUUGGCCAUGUGGAACAAAAUGUAAAUUAAGGAAAAAAAGUAUAAAUCUGAAUUGCUUAGUAUGGUUAGGAUUUUGUGAGCAUCACUAAAAAGUGAAAACUAUGAAUGAUAGAGGUGAUGUUUGCAACAUGAAUAAAUGAUGAACUGAAUCAAUUGAUGAUCGUAAUUAUAUAAAAUUUUACAAAAUCAACAAAAGUUAAUAAAAUUUUAUUUAAAUAAUAAAAAAUCAAUAAAAACUUAUUAUUUUACGACGCUCUAACCAUGGAGUACCAUAAUCAUAUUCUUCUUUUAAGAAAAUUAUUCUAGAUAUUUAAAAGAAAACAUUAUCCACCUGGAAUGACUUGAAGUCUAAAGAAAAAGAGAGAAUGGCUCCCCGCAAUUUUCUUGUCUUCAGUAUAUUUUCUUUUUUUUUUCUUUUUUAAAAUCUUUUGCCGCAUACUUAAUCUACCCUUGUUUAUUAUCUCUACUUUGCUCUGUUCAAGUCCUUUUUUUUUUCAAAUCUUAUUUUAAAUAAGAAAAUUGAAUAAAAGUACAUUUGUGUAAUUAAUUAGUAUCUGGGGGGGGGGGGGGGGGAUAUUUGGUGUAAUGUUUUGCUAUGUAAGACUCAGCUAUUAUUAAACAGUUCCUUAACCUGUUUCGCAGUUUAUUUGCUAUCUUUGUGGAUCUCAUAGGCGUUGCAGAAUUUAAUAAUUUUAUUCGUCAGAAGAAUAGGAUAUUGGCUUCAAUAAAUUUAAUUUAAACCAACUUUUAUUUACUCCAUCAAUUAAUUAAUAUUAUGCAUUUAUUAAUUGUUAUAAUCUAAAAAAAAUUAAUUAGUUCAGGUCAAUCUGAGUUGAUGCAUCUGCAGGAGAUUUUUUUUAAAUUUUUUUUUCCCCUUAUUGACCAUAAUGAUCUAAGGGGUAUAAUUCGACCUUGGUUCUUGGGAAAAAUGACAUCUCCUUCAACAUGACUAUUGACUAGGAGCAUGUAAAAACAUGGAAACAGAAUUUCCACAAAAUGCCAAACGUGUGGAACUUAAGUUUUGGCCAUGUGGACCAAAUGCAAAUGAAGGAAAAAUGAUUUCCCCUGCUUAUGUACAAAUAAAGGAACAACCUCGAAGAAAAAGGGGUUACCAAUUGGAGAAGACUUUACAGAGUUUCUCUCACACUCUCUCUGUCAAUUUCAUCUAGAAGUCCCUCUGAAAGCAUCUCCCAAAACAGUUAGUCAUCUUUUAUGCUCUGUUUUCUAGAAACAGAGUCCUAACUAAAUUGAUUGACUGUACAGUGCAUUUCAACAUAGCAUAUUUAACCGUUUUAACUGUUAUUUGAACCGUCUUCAGAGUUAACAUCAACAAACUCAUUCACAUUGGUCCAAUCUUACGGACGAUAUCAUAUGCUUAAUAAUGAACGAAUUGGAUCAGUGUUUUGCGGCAAGAGCAACUCGACACAAUCUGGAUUCAACCUCCUCCUAUCUAACAAGGGAUUUCGAUUUGAGUUACUUUGUGCUCAAGCAAAUUCACAUCAUAGUUUUGAUUCUUUAGAUAUGAAUUCAUCACUUUACAUAUAUCAGAUUAAUGUGUAACAAAAUUUUUAAUUUACUGCGAAAAGAAUAUGCACUAAAAAAUGAUUUCAAGACUAUUUGACUACCAAAAGCAGCUGUCAGAGUGCACUAAAAAUUUCUGUAGGAUAUUUUGUAGCUGUUUAAUAUGUUAUGAUGGGCAUAUAAUUCUCAAAUUUUGAUGCCUCUCAGCGAAAAUCUAUCAAAGUUACAGAUGAUAUCACGUAAAACAUGCAUGGCUCAGGCUCAGGCUCAGGUAAGAAGCCACGGAAAAGGAAAAUCUCACUGUCACGACUCACGUCACGCAUCAUUCAAGUGAUGGAUUUAACAAGACUGCUUAUGUUCUAUCAAAUUCCUCUGCCUCUCAGAAGAUAACUUUUCUGGGCCAAAUUUCUCAUCUAAAGCAUAUUAUGCCCCAAAGUCACAGAUAACAAAAUGGGGCACUACCGAUUAUGAAAGAGAACUAGUAGUUGUCAGAAGCCUAAGUCAAAUUCCGGUAGUAAGAAGAGGCCUUUCUUGAGUUUAGAUUAUGUGUUCGAGUUUUAAUAAAUGCCUGAGUUAAUAAUAAUAACAACAGUAAUAAUAAACUAAAAAGCAUAAUUACUAUUGAAUGGUAAAAAAAAAAAAAUUGUGUGAACUCCAAUAACACCCCAGUGGCGAAUUUUGGAGAGGGCUAGGCCGGGCUUCUUAGAAAAAAAAAAUAUUUAAUUACAAAAUUACCUUUAUUGAAACCUAUAUAAAAAAUUUAUAUUAAUUAGUUAUGAUGCCUCUUCAAUUAUCAUUAAAUUCUUGUCUGUUCAUCAUUUGAUGGAUAAAUGUGUAUUUAAAUAAUCUUAAAUAAUGUCUAGAACAAAUAUUUUGAAUGGUAAAACUCAUUAUGUCUUGCAUUACUAGAUGUAUCUAUAAUUUAUUAUUUACAAAUUAUAUUGUAUGAUAAAAAUGUAUUGAAUUUUUUUUUUAAAGUUCGGCUCACUCAGAAAAAAAAAUGUUAUUAGACUCGCCACUGCACAAACCUAGAAUAAUAAUUAUUCCUUAUUAUAUUGACUGCACCAGGCAAUAAACUAAUAAGUUCUCAUCAGUGGUUUUUAAUCUUUUUAAUUCUUUUUACCGCACACCUGAUCAAGAAUUCUAUUUUGUUAACUAAUCAAUUGCAAAGCAUAUAUUAGUGUUGAACGGUGCACAAAAUUGAAAAAACAAAAUCUUAAAAAACGUGCGGACUCGGAUAGCCAGACCAGAAAUCUAUGACAAUAAUUAGAUUUGAUGCUGGGAAUCUAUUAAUUUCUGGCCGUAUUGACUCCACCAGUGAAGUUUUUAAAAUAACAAGUUCCCAUUCUCGGCUUAUAAUAAUUUUAGAAUAAUGACUUAUUUGUAGAAGAAUUUAUGAUUUCCCAUUAAUAUCAAUAUUGAAGUGGCAUGGGUCAAAUCUCAAUUGCUUGAAGAAUCUAUUUAUUAUUAUUAUUAAUAUUGAAAUGGGGUGGGUAACGGUUCACUCAAUUAAUAUGUGGGGAAUUAAAUAUUACCACCCAAGGUAGAAUUGUGGAAAAUUAAAGCAAAAUGAGAAAUAUGGAAAGGAAGGCUGAAAGUAAGGCAUGAUGAAAGGCUUUGAGAAGGCUGAAGACCACCAAAUAAGUCAACUGAAAGCUAGUUGGGGCCUGGUAUAUAUGUUAGAUGUGUUUGUUAUAAAUAACAUAGAGCCCUUUUGUUAGCUAUAGCUAUGGAGACAGAGAGAGUUUGUGUUUUUUAGUAGUUAAAGAUAUAGCUAGAAUGGGUGGUUCAAAAUCCAAAAUGGUGACAACGUUAGUUUUGUUAUUAAUAAUAUUAGAAGGGGGUGAAGUGAGGAAUGUUUGGAGCUUGAGAGAUUUGCUCUUUUGCGGCUUAAGCAUUUCUUCAAUUCUCCUUAUAGACUUUAAAACUAGGUAGACGAGCAAAGAGAUUGUUGUCAGUGGGAAACCGUUGAGUGCAGGAAAGUGAUACGACUACAUCUUAGUCUUACCAGGAAUAUCGAUCUGGGAGAGUGGUCUCUGAAUGCUUCUCUAUUUACUCUCUUUCAACAACUUGGCAACAAAAUAGCCGGUUGGGUUAAGAACGAAGGUCCUUCAUUUAAUUUAAUUUACUUAAUUUCUCCCUCUUAAUUAAUGUCUAUAACCAUUAGGAGAAAUAAGGGAUUUUAUUAACUCAAAUAUGUCUAAUGGAGCUCAUUCUUUGGUUUUACUUGCAGGUCUAGAAGCAGGUGUGUCAUCUAACAGCUGCUUUGAUAAUUUCCCACACCUUCAUCUUUGAUGGAAAUAUGAAAUAAAAACAAAUUGGUGAAAAUGGUAUUGGUACCUGAGGCCAUGUAAUCUAUUUCAAAAACUACACCAUCAAAACGAUUACAUAAGUCUCAGAAGAAUCAAACAUCAGUUUUGCAAAAUACCAAUUGCUGGAGGCUAGAUUCUAACUUCCCCUCUUGAUUUUUAUGGGCAUGUUGUGUCGUACAUGCAGACAAAAAUCAUAUUUUACUUUACUUAUUUCUUACUUUCACUUGCAACCCAAAGUGGCAAGAAAUAAAUAACAUGCUCCGAUUAGCUGGACAAAAGGAUGAUGACAAUCGAGUCGAUAUUAUAUGCAGAGUUUUCGAGAUAAAAUUAUUCCAACUAAUGCAAGAUCUGAAAAAAGAUCAACCAUUUGGAAAAAUAAUUGCAUGUAAGUUCACUUCAAAUUCGUAUACAUAACAAAUUCAACUCAUUUGUUAUUGAAAAGUGCAGGGAAGAACAAUAAUUUCACAAUUGAAAUCAAUGUUUCUAACUUUUAAAUUUUACUCCAUUUUGUGGCAGGUCUAUAGACAAUUGAGUUUCAAAAAAGAGGCUUGCUGUUGUGCAAAUUUUAAUGUACUCGCAAGCGCACGAAUCUAUUGUAGUAUAGAUCAAUGGUGACGAGUGUCGAUCCCACGAGGAGGUGGAUUUUAAUUGUGUAGAAUUAAUUUUGUGAAUGGGUGAUUGGAUUUUGUGGUGAAGGUGACUUAGAUUAUCCUAAAAUUGGAAUUGAAAUGGCGAGAAUAACUUGAAGAGAAUUCUAUUGAAAUGACGUACUUGGGUAUCUGGAUCCGUAUCAACAUGCAUCAUGGGCUAAAUAAUCUGUAUUAAUGCCAAUUAAAUCAUGAGGGGGGAAUCCACACUUCAUGAACCACGCUCUAAUCAAUAUGGUGCUAAGGGCUUAUCGUGCCAAAUAAUAAUAACCUUGUACUAGAGGGCCGGUGAAACCAAGGCGGUACUAGACAAGAUUAGUAUUAUUUAUCGACGAGAAGUCAAAACAUCCACAAAAACUAGAGGGGAAGAGAAAAUAAAUUUACCAAAUUAAGCCCAUGACACAUGUUGAGACUUCACCUUCAACCCAAGCUUGAAAGAAAAUUAGCCACUCAUAAUUGAACUAGGGGUAAAAUGGGAAUUUAUUACAAUACGAAGAAAAUACAAGAUGGAGAGGGAAUUACAGAAAACAGAGUCCAAAAAUGGAUUCAGAGGUAUCAAAUUAGGGGGGGGGAGGCCCCCUUUUUAUAGAUACAUGGAGUAAAUCAUGGCCAUCGGAUUAAAAACAGUUUGGACGCUCAGGAUUGCGCCACGUCAUCAGUCAACAGUCCACGGUUUGACCACGCGGAUGAACAGUAAUACGGUUUGACUCGGAUGAACAGUAACGUGGUUUGACUCGGAUGAACAGUAACGCAGUUUGGUUGAAAAUAAUCCUGUGUGAUGCAUGUACCGUACGCGAGAUUUUUCAUCCACUGAUAUGCUGCCACGUCACCAUCAACAGUACAUAAGAAUUUUAGCCCAACAGGAUCGUGACACCUCAUCAGUCAAUGCCACAUCAUCGGUCAAUGCCAUGUCAUCGAUCCGUCUAUGUGAACAGUGUUGUGAACAGUAACGUAGAUAGUACCGUACACGUGAAUAGUACCGUACAUAUGAAUAGUGCCAUUUUUCCUUUUAUGCUUCUCCUAAGGUUUUCGACCGUCCUGAGUUCAAAAGUGAUGUUCGUUUUGCCGUCUGAUCUCUCCUUUAUUGUGAAAUGACUAUAAUGCCCCUAAAAUACAUAAAAUACUUAAUUAAAAUAAAACACAUGUAAUUAAAUCACAAGAAGGUUAAAUACAUAAAAGUAAGGGUUGUUAGUAAGACUUGAAAUGUAAAAUGACGGUUUUCUCCUUUAUAAAUAUGCAUUUUCUAACACUCAACACACCCCCCAACCAGCUUAUUGCUAGUCCCUAGCAAAUAAAGCGAAAACAAAAUUUAAUUCAAAAUAUUUUUUUUUUUUAAUAAAAACACUCGUAUUUAUUCCAUCAGAUUAAUGAUAGCAAUCAAAUAAAAGUAUAAGCAUUAUCUCCAGUCUAAAGCAACAUCACACCCACAUCAACCAUCCACAUGAAUCAGCCCAGUAGACUUUUUUAUAGCUACUUUCAAGAAUGACAUGUCAAACCCCAAAAUCUCACUGGAAGUAGUGACACUCUCACAAAGAAAUUAAAACCAAUAAAAAUAGUCACUCCAAUGAAUGGUAAUUGAGAGAGAAAAUAAUAAAGAAGUGAUAUCACAUGCUCUCACCAAGAUGAAAUAAAUAUGCCCUUAGCUUAUAAAUAAUACGAUCUCAAGUCAAACAAAAAUGGUAGUCAACCCAAUUUAUUUAUCUUUUAUUUAUUUAUUUUUAUUAUGCACCACUACAUCUUUUUAGCCCAUAUAACUAGCUUCUACUUCAAACUAUAGUUCCCUAAAAUCAAGAAGGACUUUUAUUAGGACGUAACGUAGGCUAGGGAUAUGGCUAACAAAGAAAGGAAAUAAGGAAAACAAAGUGUAUGUUUGAGAAAAAUGCAGAGAAUUUUUUUUUUUUUUUGGAAGUUGCAAGGUGGAUUUCACCUAUUUUUAUUCUUUUGAAACAACAACUUUUGUUUUUGUUUUUUUUUUUGCUUUUAUUUGGCAUAACUUCACUGAACAAAAUAAUUAUUUACAUUUUCUCAAACAUAAAUAGGUGAUGGAACUUAUAAGAUAUCGGGUAACACUCCAAAUCGGAGUGGGUCAAGAUGAUAAGUUGACAAAGAAAAUGAUUUUUUUUUUAAAGGCUCAAAAUGGUUAACUAUGGAUAUUUAAUAAAAGGGAUGGCUAGAAAGGCUCAAACGGAUCAAAGAUGGCCUUUCCAUCGUCUUUUAGGGCUCUAAAUAAUCAUCCAUAUCUACUAGUUAGAUGGGCCUCCCAAUGUAGCAACACACAUUUUUUUUUCUUUUUUUUUAUUUUACCAUUUUUUUUUAAGGGUUAACGCAAAAGAAAUCUAGAGAUCGUGUAUAAAAUAAUAAACUGUUAAGCUGUAUAAAGAAUGGGCAAAAGGGUUACUCUCCAAGAAAAAUGAUAGGCUCAAAAACUCACUUAGUACUUAUUAUGACAUGUUCAUUCCUUCAAGCAACUCAUAUAUGUCUCCGACAUCAACAUGUAGAGUAGCAAACAUAAUGUAACAUCACUUAAGACCAAAGAUAAUACAAAUACUAAAAUUUGAAAUUAAUCAUGUCAUCCAAUGUUAAAACAAAUCACACAAUUUUUAUUUUUUUAAACAACAUUCUACCCCCCAACCUAUUCUAAACAUGAAAGGAAAAAUAUGCAUGCAGGAAUGUGAAAAUGAUGCAUAAAAACUAAUUAAAAAAAGUUACACUUAAAAUGAUAGAAAACGAAAAUGGGUUUUUUUUUUUUAACUUAGAAGAUGCGUUUCUAGAGGCACUACUCUCCAUAUUCAGCCAUCUUCGACUCAAAAUUUUGAAAAUAUAUAUUUAUAAGGAGAAAUUAAAAAGAAGAAGAAAAAUAAACAUCAAAACAUAAUAAAGAAAAAAAAAAUGUCUGAAUUUUUUUUUUUAGUUUUUUUUUUAAUUUUUUUUUUAAAACGAUGAAGAUGCGUUUCUAGAGUCACUACACUCCAUAUUCAGCCAUCUUCAACACAAAAAGUUAGCAACAGUUAGUUUCUACAACAAAAAAUUAGUAAAAACCUAACCAAAAUUCCACAAUUGUCGACUAUUCCCUCCCCCCAACCAGAAUGAAACAUUGUCCUCAAUGUUUGAAAGGAAAGAAGUAGAGUUUAGAAGACAUCACCUGGGUGGUGCAACACAGAAGAAAAUAUUUACAGGCGGAGAGUUAAAUCUAAUUUGUACUUCUUACUGCUGCUACUGUUACCAUCAUUAUUUGGACGCUCCAACACAAAGGUCCAGGGGUCUGGCUCCGGUCUAUAAGCUUGUAACAGAUCAAGUAGCUCAUUAGCAGUGUGAGCACAAAUAAAGAGUUUUUUCACAUUAGCGGGAAUGAAAUAGUUUUUUAUUGCAUGGUUAAGAAAUGCGAUAAAGCCAUCAUAAAAGUUAUUGACAUUUAACAAACCGAUGGGUUUCUGGUGGAUGUGGAGAUGGGCCCAAGAUGCUAGUGUGAUAAGUGCCUCUAGUGUUGCAAGAUCUCCUGGAAGGAAAAUAAAAGCAUCAGCAUGAUUAAGCAUUUCAGUUAUUCUUUCUUGCAUACCUGAGACAACUAACUCUUCUCCAGUUGAUGAGUCAGACGAACUGCCCAACGGUUUUAGGACUCUUGGGAUGAUGCCUAACACUUGGCUGCCUCUGAUUAAAGCUGCUUCUGAGACCAUUUUUGAUAACCCUCGAUUACCUCCUCCAUACACCAAGUGUAAUUUUCUCUCUGCUAUACUUCGACCAAGAUCUAUGGCUGCCUCAACGAACUCUUUAUGUUUGCCAUAGGUAAAUCCGGAAAGCACACAAAUGUUCUUGAAUUGUCUAUUGGGAGUAGCUACCAUUGCGAUACUUCUCAAAAACAAUUUGUGAGUGCUUGACAAAAGAUAUCACAUUUAAGAGUCUUGGUGAUAGUGGGUCAUGGUUGUGUAUGAGGUAAUAUGUCAGUGUCAAAUAACGCUUAAAGCACGUGGCUCGCAAGUAAAAAAGGAAACAGUAAAAAUGAAAAAGUAAACAGUAAUAAGAAAAAAGCAAACAGUAAUAAAAUUAUUAAGGACAAUAAUACACACAAUAAACAAUAGUGAAAUAAAAUAACAGUAAAGUGAAAGGAUAUUUACAGGUAGUUGCGACUGUGGCUCACAUCUUCCUCUGGUUUUAUGUCCAGAAAUGGCUUGAACGCCCUCUAUGGGUCGAGGAUAGGCUUCCUAUCCAGUUUUCUUAUAAACUGGCAAACAAGGUCGUUUAUAGUCAGAUUCCCAAGACUAUAUCGUGCAUGCUCUUUCUGGAAUAAUGGCCAUAACUGGAGAAUCGCUCCUUGCACAUAUCCACUGGGAUGCGUUUCAAGAGACAAAAGGAUAUCAUCCAAUGACUCCUUAUUCAAGCCAUCCCUAAUGAAUUGAAUCUUAUCUUCCCUGUUAUCAGACAUCAUUCCUAAAGAACAUGGGUUUUUAUUGCAACUCAUUCUGGCACACUUAUGACAAGCAACAGAAAUUCUUCGAGCUCGUCGUUUUCUUGCAUAAUUUCCUUUACCACAACCAGGCAUGUAUGUAAUAAAUUUUGGAGGUAACUCACCUGCCGAUCGUACUUUAGCCUCAAUUAACCAACGGAUGUCAGCAGGUAUGUUAUUCCUCAUAAGUAAUCGCAUGCGUUCGGACCGAGCUUUAUAGACCGUAAGGAGGGCAUUCUGAGGAAGUGAAGGGAAUCGCUUGUGAAGCUUCGCUAGAGUCUCGUUUCUGUCCAUACUUUCGCCUCAGAAUAUCAGUUAUUAUGGGAAACUGAAGUAACCGACUUGAUUGUCACGGAGUACCGUUAUCCGCCACUUCACCGGGGUAACAAACUAAAGCACACAAAUAGAAAAAAAAAAUUAAAACACACAAAGAAAAUUAAAAUCGUCCUCUUAUUGAAUAUACCUCAAGCUCCAACUGGAUGUCGUAAACACUUCUCUCAAUGUCUCUGAGUUGGAGUUCUAAACCCUCAACAUAGGCUACUAACUCUGGUGGUUGUAGAGCCCAAAUGCGUUGUGUUUUACAAAAUUGAAUCUGCCUUUUGAGAUGAGUUUUGACACGUUGAAGUGGUUUAAGAAUGUUCAGGAGGAACGGUCUAAGUAAUGUACUCAUGAUUAAAAAUGAUAAAAGAAAACAUACUAGUUAAACAAAUACACUUAUACAAAAAUAAUUUCAAUUAGCAAAAGAAUAAUAUAAAGAAAGAAAGAAAAAUCAAAUCAACGAAAAGAAAAAUCAAUUCAAAUCUGGUGGGUCACUCAAAUUUAUUUCGGUGUCUUCUCCAUGUGAUUGGUAUUCUAGAUAUGGCUUUAAUCUUUGACCAUUAACUUUAAACGUGACACCGUUCUUUGGGUCCUUAAUUUCAAUUGCCCCAUGUGGAAAAACAGUAUGAACAAUAAAUGGGCCAGACCAACGAGAGCGUAACUUACCUGGGAAUAGGUGCAAGCGAGAAUUGAAUAAAAGCACUUUCUGACCUGGAGUGAAAGAUUUUCUCAUAAUUUGCUUGUCAUGGAAGACUUUCAUUCGUUGCUUGUAAAUCUUGGCAUUUUCGUAUGCAUCAUUGCGAAUUUCUUCAAGUUCUGCCAACUGUAAUCUUCUUUCUGAGCUGGCUUGCUGCAUGUCAAAAUUGAAUUUCUUGAUGGCCCAAUAUGCACGAUGCUCGAGUUCCACAGGUAGGUGGCAAGCUUUUCCAUACACUAGCCUGUAGGGUGACAUCCCAAUCGGGGUCUUGAAAGCCGUUCUAUAUGCCCAUAAGGCAUCAUCAAGUCUUAAUGACCAAUCUUUUCUGUCUGGCCUCACCGUCUUUUCUAAUAUGUGCUUUAUUUCUCGAUUGGAGAUCUCAACUUGGCCACUGGUUUGCGGAUGAUACGGAGUCGCCACUUUGUGUGUGAUUGAAUACUUUGUCAAAAGAGAUUUGAAUGCUUUGUUACAAAAGUGGGCACCACCAUCACUAAUUAUUGCUCGAGGGAAUCCAAAGCGCGAGACAAUGUUGCUUUUCAAAAAUCCUAUCACCACCUUGUGAUCAUUAGUACUGCAUGGAAUUGCUUCUACCCAUUUGGAUACAUAGUCAACAGCAACCAAUAUGUAUUGAUGGCCAAAAGAAGGGGGAAAGGGUCCCAUGAAGUCGAUACCCCAUACGUCAAAAAUUUCAACCACUAAAAUUGGAUUUAAUGGCAUCAUGUUCCUUCGUGUAAUGCUCCCCAUUCGUUGACACCUAUCACAUGAAGAACAAAAAGUGUAAGCAUCUCGAAAUAUAGUUGGCCAAUAGAAACCACAUUGCAAAACUUUAGUAGCUGUUUUCUUAGCACUGAAAUGGCCUCCACAAGCUUGUUCAUGGCAGAAUGAAAGGAUAUUCUGAAUUUCAUUUUCUGGGACACAUCGUCUAACAAUUUGAUCAACACAAUACUUGAACAAAUACGGGUCAUCCCAAAAGAAAUUCUUUAUCUCUGCAAAGAAUUUAGCCUUAUCUUGCUUGGUCCAAUGCUUUGGAAGUUGACCUGUAACAAGAUAAUUCACGAUGUCAGCAUACCACGGUAAUACUUCCACAUUCAUCAAUUGUUCAUCAGGGAAUGACUCAUUUAAUGGUAAUGGCUCUGUAGUUGUGUCAAAAUGGAGACGAGAGAGGUGGUCCGCCACAACAUUUUCUGUCCCUUUCUUAUCUUUGAAUUCCAAGUCAAAUUCCUGCAAAAGUAACACCCAACGAAUUAGUCUAGCUUUUGCAUCUUUCUUUGUGAGAAGAUAUUUAAGAGCAGCAUGAUCCGUGAAUAUAAUUAUUUUACAACCAAUGAGAUAAGAUCGAAAUUUUUCUAAUGCAAACACUACUGCUAGCAUUUCUUUUUCAGUAGUUGAAUAGUUCAACUGUGCAUCAUUCAAUGUCAUACUAGCAUAGUAAAUAACGUGGGGAAUUCGAUCAACUCUUUGUCCUAAUACUGCUCCUACUGCAUAAUCAGAUGCAUCACACAUGAGCUCAAAUGGUAAGUUCCAGUUCGGGGGCUGAAUGAUGGGUGAUGAUGUCAACAAAUGCUUUAAUUUUUCAAACGCAACAAGACAUGAAUCAUAAAAAACAAAAGGUACAUCUUUAGCAAGUAGAUUGCAUAAGGGUCUAGAAACUUUGCUAAAAUCUUUAAUGAAACGUCUAUAAAAACCAGCAUGCCCAAUGAAAGAUCUUACUUCUCUGACUGUUUUGGGUGAAGGAAGAUUAGAAAUGAGAUCCACCUUAGCUUUGUCAACCUCAAUACCUUUGCUCGAAAUGAUGUGACCGAGAACAAUACCUUGUUUUACCAUAAAAUGACACUUCUCCCAAUUUAAGACCAAGUUCUUCUCGAUACAUCUCUGCAGAACUAGUGUUAGAUGAUGUAAACAUUGAUCAAACGAAUCACCAAAGACAGAAAAGUCAUCCAUAAAGACUUCAAGGAAUCGUUCAACCAUAUCAGAAAAAAUGCUCAACAUGCAUCGUUGAAAUGUAGCAGGUGCAUUACAUAAUCCAAAUGGCAUCCUCCUAUAUGCAAAAGUGCUAAAGGGCAAGUGAAAGUAGUUUUCUCUUGAUCUUUUGGUGCUAUGGGAAUCUGAUUAUAUCCUGAGUAGCCAUCUAGAAAGCAAUAAAAUUCAUGGCCUGCCAAUCUAUCAAGCAUUUGAUCGAUAAAUGGUAAAGGAAAAUGGUCUUUACGUGUGACAGAAUUCAACUUUCUAUAAUCAAUGCAUACACGCCAUCCUGUAGUCACUCUAGUGGGUAUCAAUUCAUUAUCAGCAUUGGUAACUACUGUGACUCCUGACUUUUUGGGGAUGACUUGUACAGGACUGACCCAUGAACUAUCAGAAAUUGGGUAAAUGAUACCUGCAUCUAAUAGCUUAAGGACUUCUGUUCUAACAACUUCUUUCAUAUUAGGAUUUAACCGACGUUGCAUUUCCCUAGUAGAUUUAGCAUUUUCAUCGAGGUGAAUGUAAUGCAUGCAGUCUACUGGAUUUAUACCUUUUAUAUCUGCUAUGGUCCAUCCUUAUGCUCCUUUGUGCUCUUUUAAAACAUCCAACAACUUACCUUUUUGUUCGUCAUUUAGGGAUGAUGAGAUGAUUACCGGCAGAGUACUUUCUUCUCCCAAAAACGCAUAUUCCAAAGUGUUGGGCAAUGGUUUGAGCUCGAGUUUCGGUGGUGAUUCUGAUGAUGGGAUGAGUUUCUUCUCUGAUGGUGCUACUCUUGACUUCCAUUUAUUAGUGUCCAUGGAUGGUGCUGAGUCAAGUAGGGCGUUGACCUCAUCGACCGAUCUGUCAAUAUCAAUAUCAAAAUCCAAACCAAAGUGAGUUAAACAUGUUUGUAAAGGAUCACCACUAAGGUUUGAAAGAAAAGUGUCAUCAACUAAUGAUUCAAUUAAAUCCACAUCAACAAUUCCAUCAUCUACACUGUGAGGUUGUUUGGCAAUGUUGAAAAUGUUUAGCUCCAUAGUCAUGUUGCCGAAGGACAACUGCAUAUUUCCAGUCCUGCAUUGAAUGUGAGCAUCCGCAGUUGCCAAGAAAGGUCGGCCUAGGAUAAUGGGGAUGUGCUUCCUUGAAUCCUGUAUUGGUUGAGUGUCAAUUACAAUGAAAUCAACAGGAAAAUAAAACUUGUCUACCUGGAUAAGCACGUCCUCCACAAUACCACGAGGUAUUUUCGUGGACCGAUCUGCGAGUUGUAACACCACUAGAGUUGGGUGCAAUUCUCCAAGUCCAAGUUUCACAAACACAGAGUAAGGCAAUAAAUUUACACUAGCUCCUAAAUCCAACAAAACAUUCUCAAUUGUGUGGUUCCCUAUACUACAUGAGAUAGUGGGGGAGCCUGGGUCUUUGCAUUUUAAAGGAAUUUUAUGUUGGAGUAUAGAACUAACGUUUUCUGUUAAAAAUGCCUUCUUUUGAACAUGCAUAUUUCUCUUUUUAGUACAAAGGUCUUUAAGAAACUUGGCAUAAGAUGGAACUUGCUUAAUAGCAUCAAGCAAAGGGAUGUUAACACUUACCUGUUUGAAGAUUUCAAGAAUCUCACUUGUGGAUUUUCCCUUUUUUCCUUUAGCUAACCUCUGAGGAAAUGGAGCUUUGGGAACAUAUUCCCGUGGGUUGGUUUCUUCUUUCUCCUCCGGUGAUGAGUCUUCAACAUUCACAGGUACAAUUUGAUUUUCUUUUGUCACCGGCAUCUCCACUUUGUUGUCGACUUCUUUUCCUUUUCAUAAGGUCAUGACUGCUUUGACCUCUCCAUGCUGCUGUGAUGAACUGGUACUUGCUUCAUGUACUCCUUUAGGAUUAGGCACUGGUUGACUUGGAAAUUUGCCUUUCUCAACAGUCAUUGCCAAUGUCUGAACUGAAGAAGCAAGUUGUCCCACCAUCUUCUCGAGGCUUGAAACUGAUUGAGCUUGUGAGUUGAAGCCUUCUCUCAACUCAUUUCGUAGUCCAUCAAUGGUGCGGUUCUGUUGCUCAAUCGUGGAGUGAGUAACAUUCCUGAAAUUCUGGAAUUCAUCCUCCCAUGGUCUAGGUUGAGAGUGGUUCUGGUUCUGAUUGUAUGGUCUAAAUGGUGGCUGAGAGGCUUGAGGAACUUGAGGAAUUUGUUGCAUUGGUGGAGCUGGAGCUGCUGGUCCAUUCUGUUGGAAUCCUUGAGACCAUGAAAAAUUGGGGUGGUCUCUCCAUCCAGGAUUAUAUGUGUUGGAGUAUGGGUUGUAAUUUGAUGGUUUUUUCAUUAUACCUAUGGCAUUGGCUUGAUCUGAGUAUGAGUCAAGGUCAUGUGGUUCAGUUGAUUUAGCAGUCGAUAACGAUGCUAUUUGUCGAGCAAGACCUUCAACCAUCUCCUUGACUUCUUUGAUUCCUGAAGUUGAUUCGCCAAUUUAAACCUCAUUCACUCCUUUAAUUCUUCUAGUAGUCCUGAGUGAUCGACUCCGUUGUUGGGAAUUAUCUGCUUGUCGUUGGAAGAAUUCCCAAAUUUCUGAUGCACUUUUUGACAUUAGCUCUCCUCCACUUGUUGCCAUUAGCCAUUCUUGCACAUUUGGUAGUAAUCCCUCCAAAAAGUAUUGGCAUUGGUGCCAUUUCUCGUACCCAUGAUGUGGACACUUCAAGAGUAGCCCAUUAAAUCGCUCCCAUGUUUCGAAAAAUUGUUCGUCCUCUCUCUGGGUAAACUCCGAGAUUUCCCUGCGAAUAGCAUUGGUUUUAUGCACUGGGAAAUAUUUAUUCAAAAAUUUAGUUACCAUUUGUUCCCAUGAUGAAAUGCUAUUAGCAGGUAAAGUAUUUAACCAUGAACGAGCUCUAUCUUUUAAAGAAAAUGGGAAUAGUCUAAGUUUAACAUUAUCGUCUGAAAAAUUUUCAUAUUUAAAAGUUUGACAAAUGGCAUGAAAAUCAUUCAGAUGAUUAUAUGGAUCCUCAUUUUCUAGGCCAUAAAAUGUUGGGAGACAAUUUAGCACACUGGGUUUUAAUUCAAAACUCCUAGCAGCUACAUUUGGGUAUCUUAUGCAUGAUGUGCUCAAAUUAGCUAAGGGACUGAAGUAGUCCUUAAAUGGCCUCUCCUGUGGUUGCAAAUCCAUUUUAUUUUUAAUUUGUUUGUGUGUGCGAAGUGUUCUUUCUAGUUCAAGGUCCAUAGGUUCAAGAUUAGGUAAUAAUGACCUACGACCAUGCAUGCAAAACAAAUAAAAAAAAUAAAGAUGGGAACAAAAAAAUAAAAUAAAAAUAAAGAAGAGGGAGAAAUUACGAUACUAACCUUAUUGCGCUAUUACAAUCUUUCUAUAAAAAUACACAAAAAUAAAUACGUGAAAUAAAUUAACUAAAAAUAAAUUAAUAAGAUAAACAAAAAAAAAUUACAAAGAAAAAUAAGUUGAAAAUGAAAUAAUAGAAUUUUAAAGAAGAGAAAAAGAAAAAAAAAUACUAACCUUUAAAUGUAGGUUCACUUUUUUUUCUUUUUUUUUUAAGAAAAAAAUAUAUAAGAAAACAAAUAAAAGAUAUUAUUCACACAAAUUAAUUCUAUGAAUUAAAAUUACUUACCUCCCCGGCAACGGCGCCAAAAACUUGUUGUGCAAAUUUUAAUGUACUCGCAAGCGCACGAAUCUAUUGUAGUAUAGAUCAAUGGUGACGAGUGUCGAUCCCACGAGGAGGUGGAUUUUAAUUGUGUAGAAUUAAUUUUGUGAAUGGGUGAUUGGAUUUUGUGGUGAAGGUGACUUAGAUUAUCCUAAAAUUGGAAUUGAAAUGGCGAGAAUAAAUUGAAGAGAAUUCUAUUAAAAUGACGUACUUGGGUAUCUGGAUCCGUAUCAACAUGCAUCAUGGGCUAAAUAAUCCGUAUUAAUGCCAAUUAAAUCAUGAGGGGGGAAUCCACACUUCAUGAACCACACUCUAAUCAAUAUGGUGCUAAGGGCUUAUCGUGCCAAAUAAUAAUAACCUUGUACUAGAGGGCCGGUGAAACCAAGGCGGUACUAGACAAGAUUAGUAUUAUUUGUCGAUGAGAAGUCAAAACAUCCACAAAAACUAGAGGGGAAGAGAAAAUAAAUUUACCAAAUUAAGCCCAUGACACAUGUUGAGACUUCACCUUCAACCCAAGCUUGAAAGAAAAUUAGCCACUCAUAAUUGAACUAGGGGCAAAAUGGGAAUUUAUUACAAUACGAAGAAAAUACAAGAUGGAGAGGGAAUUACAGAAAACAGAGUCCAAAAAUGGAUUCAGAGGUAUCAAAUUAGGGGGGGAGGCCCCCUUUUUAUAGAUACAUGGAGUAAAUCAUGGCCAUCGGAUUAAAAACAGUUUGGACGCUCAGGAUUGCGCCACGUCAUCAGCCAACAGUCCACGGUUUGACCACGCGGAUGAACAGUAACACGAUUUGACUCGGAUGAACAGUAACGUGGUUUGACUCGGAUGAACAGUAACGCAGUUUGACUCGGAUGAACAGUAACGCGGUUUGGUUGAAAAUAAUCUUGUGUGAUGCAUGUACCGUACGCGAGAUUUUUCAUCCACUGAUAUGCUGCCACGUCACCAUCAACAGUACAUAAGAAUUUUAGCCCAACAGGAUCGUGACACCUCAUCAGUCAAUGCCACAUCAUCGGUCAAUGCCACGUCAUCGAUCCGUCUAUGUGAACAGUGUUGUGAACAGUAACGUAGAUAGUACCGCACACGUGAAUAGUAAUGUACAUAUGAAUAGUGCCAUUUUUCCUUUUAUGCUCCUCCUAAGGUUUUCGACCGUCCUGAGUUCAAAAGUGAUGUCCGUUUUGCCGUCUGAUCUCUCCUUUAUUGUGAAAUGACUAUAAUGCCCCUAAAAUACAUAAAAUACUUAAUUAAAAUAAAACACAUGUAAUUAAAUCACAAGAAGGUUAAAUACAUAAAAGUAAGGGUUGUUAGUAAGACUUGAAAUGUAAAAUGACGGUUUUCUCCUUUAUAAAUAUGCAUUUUCUAACACUCAACACUUGCCCCAUGCACACAUACUGCUUUUUUUGCAUCCAACAAUGAAAAAUCCUUCUGCAAACCAUAUUGAUAAAAUAAUAAUUGCAGAAAUCCCUAACUUAAAUGUUGAUCCUGAUGGUUAUAAUGCAGUUAACAAAUUUAUGAUUCAUGGACCGUGUGGAAAACACAAUUCUCACUCUCCAUGCAUGAUGCAAGACAAGUGCACAAAACAUUUUCCAAAAAAAUUCAAUGAUCAAACAAUAGUGGAUACAUAUGGCUUUCCAGUCUUUAAAAGGAGAAAUACAGGUAUUCAUGUCGAAAAGAAAGGUGUCUUCUUGGAUAAUCGAUAUGUGGUCCCUUAUCACAGGAAUUUAAUUGUCAAAUUUGAUGCACAUAUUAAUGUUGAGAUUUGUAAUUACUCGAGACCAGUUAAAUAUUUUUUCAAGUAUGUCCAUAAAGGGUCUGAGAGAACAACUGCAACAAUAGAAUCUAUUGACACUACCCAAGAAAUGGACGAGUGAUGGGUGUUGAAGCCAACAAAAAUAAAUUCCUACUCUAAAUAAAUUGUGUAUAGUGAUUGAGCAGGGUCGUGUCCACAGAGAUCGGUAAUUAUUUAAAUCCUUUUGAAACGUAAAACGUAAAAUGGGGGAAUUGUUGACAAUAAUAAAAAUCAAAUUAAAAAUAACAAGAAUGCAAAUUAAAGUUGUAAUUCAAAUUGGAGAAAGCUCUGGUUGAAGGAAUUAACUCAGCUUGAUUCGACUACUGAUCAUUGAUUCAAAUAUAGAUGAUUAUUACUCAUGAAUAGACUGGUUAUAGCUACUGAGACCCUCUAAUAGCCAAUCUCUCCUUAACUAGUCGAUAACCAAGGUACGACCAUUGGUUAUUUCCCUAAUCAAUAGACAACCCUAGAUACGAUCAUAGAAUUUAAUCAAUUGACAGCCUGAAAAACCAGAGAGACCCAAAUCCUAAUCAACACAUAUGAUGAUUCAUUUAAAUUAGAUUGUUUAUUCUCACAACACAACUCUCUGCUAUGUUAUUUGUCACAAGCAUUAAAUUCUUCAUACGAUGAAUCCUUUAAUUGACAAUAGAUUAAGUUGAUAAUUAAAUAGUGGCCAAUUACCUAAUUAACAAACAUAAUCAUGAAAAUAAUUUAGAGAAUAAACAAAUACCCAAAAAGCAAUAAAACAAUUAAAGCACAAGAAAGAUCUCACAGUAGUGAUGAAUCAAAGCUUCGUUAUCCUUCAACUAGAAAAAUAGGUUUAGUUCUUCAUAGAGAGAAGAGAAAAAUUAAAUCUAGGGUUUCUUUCUUUUUCUCCAAUCCAAAAAAUCCCCCCUUUUUCACAAUUGAUUCCUCCCUUAAAUACUCUCUCUCUCUUCUCUUUUAGAGUUCUAUUUAAAAUAAAAUACUAAUAUCUAAAAUAUUAAAUUCGUAAUUACAAAAAUAGCCAAAAAUAUAAAACACGUUAAACUAAAAACUGCAGGUCCGCAAUUGACAGCACGCGCCCACGCCUUAUCAACAAAGUUCUUCUGCCGCUCAUAAUUUCUCCAAGGGAACAAUCAUCCCUAAACAUCAUCUUGUAGCUCAAUUUUAUCACCAAUCAAUAGAAUUGCACCUACAAAAGUAAAUCACAGGUAAAUCACUAUUAUUAAAUGCAAAACAUCGAUAUUAAGGGAAGUAAACAAUGCAAAACUAGUGCAUAAAUUGCACUCUAACAAAUUCCCCCACACCAAGAUGAUGCUUGUCCUCAAGCAUAUAACUCAAGAUUAAUCUCAAAUUUCCACUCAAUUCUCAUCUCAACUCAUCCAAAAACAAUUUUAAGCAAGCAUACCUCAAGAAAUUAAGUCGUUCAACGUUCGAGAGACAAGGAUUUUAAAGCAUAGAAUUUCGUAAGAUAGAAUAAGAACAUUCAACCACCAAGAAGAUCCAUUCAAAACUCAAGUGCAGCAAGAUUUAAUAGCCCUCUCAAUAACUUCACUCCAUGCACUCAAAGUGUUUAGGGUGUCAUUUAUCCACUCAAAUCAAAUCAAAGAAUGCUAUUACCAUAAGCUUGCUCAUAUAUCACAUCUCAAUCCACAAAACAUGAAUAAAAUGCAAAAAUCUAAGGGUCUUAAAAGGGUUGUAAUGGGGUUAAAUUGGAGAAAUGAAAAAGAAAGGUUUAUGAAAGAAAAAGAGAUCAAAAUGAGAAGAAUGAACUCAUUGAAUGAACUUAUGAUAUCAAAAUGCUUAUUUCUACUCAAGUCACCAAGAAUGUAAAAUUUUUUUUUUCGAUUUUUCUUUUUCUUUUUUUUUCUUUUUUUUCUUUUUUUUUCUUCUUUUUUUUUCUUUUUUUUUUGUUUUUGAUUUUUUUUUUGAAUCAAACAAAAGAAACGAACCUUGCACAAUUUAAUUCAAGCAUAAUGCUUGUUGAUCUAAUUGAGAAACUUUAAUACAAGGUAGAAAAAGCAACAAAAUAUAUCCACACAAUGAGUCCAAAAAUCUCCUUAAAUUGAGGCUCAAAAAGAAGAAAAAUGGUUAAGUCGACGGAGAGAAUUAGAUGGGUAAUGGUUAAGGCUCAAACAAAGGUAGCAAAUAAAGGUCUUCGGGUAGAGAAGGAAAAAAAAAUGCGAGAAUAGAAAAAUGGAAUAUGGUUUGCCCUUAUCAUUUUAAUGCAUAAAAUCCCGUAAUGUGGCUUCAACAUGCAUAAUAAAGCAAGUUCUAGAAUAAACAAAGUAGGAUUGAUAUUCACAUAACAAAAAUAAUUAGAGCAAAGUGGUUGCUCAUAGGCUCAAAUCCUCACAAAGUUGGUAAAUUUGCCAUCAAAUCAUGUACACUCUUCAAAUGAAUCAACCAUCAAUAGUGGUGUAGAAUGAGAAGAAGGUAUGAGUGAGAUGUAAAAGGAAAGGUAAAAAUGAUAAGAAGUGAGAAAGAUGUAUGUAGUAAUAUGAAAAGUGAAAGAUAAAAUGUGAGUGAUGAAAGAGUAUGAUAGAAUAAAAAUAGAUGUAAAUAAUUUGAGAUAGAUGGGAAAAGAGUAGUGAGAGAGAGAGGAAAAGAAAAUUAAUAAUAUAUGAAGCAUACUGCAAAAAUCAUUUAAGGAUGAGUAGAGUGAAAACAAUAAUUUCAGACAUCAAUAAUGCAAAAAUCCCUCCCCCACACUAAGAACUGACAUUGUCCCCAAUGUAAGAUAAUCAAAGCUCACAUAAAAAUUAAAGCGUAAGGAUAAAAGAUUAAGGGCAAAAACUUCCUUGAAUUGUGAGCUUUGAUCCUCAUAACGUCUAUGGGCUUGGCGGGAAUGGUGGGAUAAAUCCCACACUCUUGAAGUAUGCGGCCAAAUUCUGCUCCAUCUUGUCACGGAUUUCGAUUCACGGACCUGGAAUGCAGGUCGUAGGCUGGUUGCGUUGCGAUUGCUGCUCGGCUGGAGCUUGCUUGAUGGACGCGGGAUGGCACUGAUUGUGUUGCGCGCGCGCGCUGGGGCUGCUGGAUCUGCGCGUUGCGUGGGCUGUGUUGUGCGCGAGAGCUGGGCUGACGCUGGUGCUGCGUUGCGUUGCGCGCGCGGGACUGAUGCGCUGCGUGAUGGUGAUGGCUGGAGCUUGCUGCGUUGCGCGUGGCUGGUUUCGCUGGUGGGACUUCGUUGCGCGCUGCUGGGCUGCGAGACACGGGAUGCUGGUGCUUGCGCUCACGGGAUGGUGCGUUUUCCGGCGGGUUGGUUUGCUGCUGGUGUGCUGCAAGCGGCUGGAGAAGAAAACAAGUUCUGGAAAAUUAGGGAUUUUGUGAACAGUGAAUAGUGAACAGUGAUUUUCGAUUUUUGGUUUUUUUUUUAAUAAAUAAAUAAAUAAAAAGAAAGAAAGGAACGAAAAAAGAAAAAGAAAAAAAAAUAAUAAAUAAUUUUUUUUUUUUUAUAGUGAUGAAUCACUUUGAGACACUAAAAAUUUCAGAAGUACUUUUCUAAUAAGUACAUGGGCACGCCUUAUAAAAAAUUUUCUUCUGACCAAAAUAAGCAAACACAUUAAAUUUCAGAAGUACUUUUCUAUUAAGUACGUGGGCACGCCUUAAAACUAUGUUACUUUAAAAAUUACAGAAGUACUUAUUAGCUAAGACGUGGGCACGCCUUAUCAAAAAUUUUCUUCUGACCAAAAUAAGCAAAAUUUUUCUUUUUUUUUUUUGAAUUAAAAUUAAAAGAAGAUAUAACAAAAACCAAAACAAACAAAUCAUUUGGGUUGCCUCCCAAAAAAGCGCCUUUGUUUUAUGUCUUUGGCUAGACACAUUUAUGCAUCAAUCUCCAUAAUUGGGACUCUCGAGAGCCACAUCCUCCACAAUAUUCACCGAAAAACCUUCAUAAAAAGGUUUUAAGCGAUGACCAUUAACCUUAAAAACUUUGUCAGAGGUCGGGCUCCGAAUCUCAACUGCACCAUAAGGAAAAACAUUAGUAACAAUAAAAGGUCCAACCCAACAAGAACGUAAUUUACCCGGAAAAAGUUUAAGCUUAGGAUGAAAAAGAAGAACUUUUUGACCAACAGAGAACUCCUUUCUCAAAAUCAUUCUAUCAUGAAAUGUCUUCGUCUUUUCCUUGUAAAAAAUUUCCUGCGCUAUAGGGUUAAUAACAUCCACAGAAAAUACCGAAUGUUCCUCACUAGGAUAUUUCAUGGCAUCAUUCAUAUUGAAUUCUAUAACCUCUCCAUCAAACUCCAUAGUGAGAGUCCCUUUAUGUAUAUCCAUUUUAGUCCUAGCAGUCUUAAGAAAAGGUCUUCCUAGCAAAAUUGGGAUAGAAUUAGAGGAGUUAUCAUCUUCCAUAUCAAGUACAUAAAAAUCAGCAGGAAAAACCAACUCAUUAACUUGUACUAAGACAUCUUCUAAUACCCCAUCAGGAUAUGCAUUAGACCUAUCAGCUAGUUGAAUUAUCACACAAGUUUCUUUUAAUGGACCAAUAUUCAAAGAUGAAUAAAUGGAACGAGGCAUGACAUUAAUAGAAGCUCCUAGAUCUAACAAAGCCUUUUCAACUCUAACACUACCAAUUUUACAAGGGAUAGUAAACAUACCUGGAUCCUUGCACUUAGGAGGUAGUUUCUUUUGAAGAACUGCUGAAACAUUCUCCCCCAUGUGAACUUUUUCAUCUCCUCUUAAUUUUCUCUUGGAGGUGCACAGUUCCUUAAGGACUUUAGCAUAUCGAGGUAUUUGUUUUAUAGCAUCUAAUAAAGGAAUAUUUACCUCAACCUUGCGAAAUGUCUCAAGGAUGUCUUUCUCUUGUUCCUCCUUCUUGGAUUUUACAAAUCGGCUUGGAAAAGGAGGAGGUAUCACAAUAGGUAGGGGUUUCGCUUUGGUGGGUUGCGCAUCUUGAGAUUUAGGUAUCAAUUCAUUCUUCUCAAGCUCAUCUUCUACAUGCUUUGUCACUUUCUUACUAGGCUCUUGCAACUCCUUCCCACUUCUAAGGAUGACAGCACUAACGUUUUGCUUUGGAUUCACCUCAGAUUGUGAAGGCAAUCUUCCUAAUACUUGAGACUCCAGACGGCUUACUGUAGUCGCCAAUUGACUCAUUUGGUUCUCCAAGUUCUGAAUGCUUGUUGUAGUUGCCUGCUGAAAUUGUUGAGUGUUAGUCGCAAGUGAUUUAACAAUUUCUUCAAGAGAUAUACCUGACUUGGAGUUUGACUGUGGAGGUGUUGGUUGUCUUGGUGGAUACUGUUGUGGGAAUCCUGACGGCCUAAUGCCAUAGCUGAAGUUUGGAUGAUCCUUCCAUCCCGGAUUGUAUGUUUGUGCAUAAGGAUCAUACCUCCUCUGAGGCAUGCCUGGAAAUCCUCCAACUGCAUUGGCUUGUUCAACGGGUUCUUCUUGAAGUGUAGGACACAUAUCAGUUGAAUGACCCAUAUUGUAACAAAUACCACAAGUCUUCACCUGUUGCACAUUACCUACAACAAACUUUUCCACAAGAGAAGUGAGUUUAUCUAAACGUUGUUCAACAGAAGAAAUAUUUACCUCAUUCACAUUCCUUAAGGUGGCAUCUUGUCUGCUGCCAAAUUGUUGUGCAUUGGCAGCCAUAUUUGAUAUCAACUCCCUUGCUUGAGUAGGAGUCUUGUUCACCAACACACCUCCACUAGCAGCAUCUAUCAUACUCCUAUCCAUCAAUGAUAGUCCUUCGUAAAAAUAUUGAAUAAGAAGUUGAUCAGAAAUCUGAUGCUGAGGACAACUGGCACACAAUUGUUUGAAUCGCUCCCAAUACUCAUACAAAGUCUCCCCAGGAAGUUGUCUGAUCCCACAAAUAUCUUUUCUGAUGUUGGCAGCUCUUGAAGCAGGAAAGUACUUCUCGAGGAACUGCUUCUUCAAACCAUUCCACGUUGUAAUCGAUUCAGGAGGCAAGUAGUACAACCAAUCUUUAGCUAGCCCAUCUACAGAGAACGGAAAAGCACGCAGCUUAAUCUGCUCUUCAGUCACGCCUUGUGGCCUCAUACUUGAGCACACAACAUGAAACUCCUUGAGAUGUUUAUGAGGAUCUUCACCUGCAAAACCAUGAAACUUGGGUAAUAAGUGAAUAAGACCAGACUUUAAUUCAAAAUUUACCUCCAAGUCUACAUAUUGAAUGCAGAGUGGUUGUUGAUUCAAGUCUGGGUCAGCUAACUCUCUAAGAGUUCUUUCUACAGGUGCAGGUCUAUCCAUCACUUGUUCUUCUGAAUCGCUAGAUGAUUCAACUAAAUCAGGCACCGUAUCUGUUUCAGAAAGCAAAGGCGACGAGGAUCGUUGCUUAGCUCGUUUUGUCUGCUGUCUCAGCUGGCGAGCUGUCUUCUCAAUUUCAGGAUCAAACGAAAGUGUACCUGUACGAGAAGAACGAACCAUACACCAAGUAAAACGUAAAAAGGAUUAAAUAAAUGACACCAAUCCCCGGCAACGGCGCCAAAAUUUGAUGGGUGUCGAAGCCAACAAAAAUAAAUUCCUACUCUAAAUAAAUUGUGUAUAGUGAUUGAGCAGGGUCGUGUCCACAGAGAUCGGUAAUUAUUUAAAUCCUUUUGAAACGUAAAACGUAAAAUGGGGGAAUUGUUGACAAUAAUAAAAAUCAAAUUAAAAAUAACAAGAAUGCAAAUUAAAGUUGUAAUUCAAAUUGGAGAAAGCUCUGGUUGAAGGAAUUAACUCAGCUUGAUUCGACUACUGAUCAUUGAUUCAAAUAUAGAUGAUUAUUACUCAUGAAUAGACUGGUUAUAGCUACUGAGACCCUCUAAUAGCCAAUCUCUCCUUAACUAGUCGAUAACCAAGGUACGACCAUUGGUUAUUUCCCUAAUCAAUAGACAACCCUAGAUACGAUCAUAGAAUUUAAUCAAUUGACAGCCUGAAAAACCAGAGAGACCCAAAUCCUAAUCAACACAUAUGAUGAUUCAUUUAAAUUAGAUUGUUUAUUCUCACAACACAACUCUCUGCUAUGUUAUUUGUCACAAGCAUUAAAUUCUUCAUACGAUGAAUCCUUUAAUUGACAAUAGAUUAAGUUGAUAAUUAAAUAGUGGCCAAUUACCUAAUUAACAAACAUAAUCAUGAAAAUAAUUUAGAGAAUAAACAAAUACCCAAAAAGCAAUAAAACAAUUAAAGCACAAGAAAGAUCUCACAGUAGUGAUGAAUCAAAGCUUCAUUAUCCUUCAACUAGAAAAAUAGGUUUAGUUCUUCAUAGAGAGAAGAGAAAAAUUAAAUCUAGGGUUUCUUUCUUUUUCUCCAAUCCAAAAAAUCCCCCCUUUUUCACAAUUGAUUCCUCCCUUAAAUACUCUCUCUCUCUUCUCUUUUAGAGUUCUAUUUAAAAUAAAAUACUAAUAUCUAAAAUAUUAAAUUCGUAAUUACAAAAAUAGCCAAAAAUAUAAAACACGUUAAACUAAAAACUGCAGGUCCGCAAUUGACAGCACGCGCCCACGCCUUAUCAACAAAGUUCUUCUGCCGCUCAUAAUUUCUCCAAGGGAACAAUCAUCCCUAAACAUCAUCUUGUAGCUCAAUUUUAUCACCAAUCAAUAGAAUUGCACCUACAAAAGUAAAUCACAGGUAAAUCACUAUUAUUAAAUGCAAAACAUCGAUAUUAAGGGAAGUAAACAAUGCAAAACUAGUGCAUAAAUUGCACUCUAACAACGAGAUCAAAACAUAUUUGGAGUGCAGAUAUAUAUCAGCAACCGAAGCUUGCUAACGAAUCUUCUAAUUUGACAUACAUUAAAGAAAGCCGGCAGUUGAAAGAUUGCCGUUCCAUUUACCGGGAGAGCAUACAGUAAUAUUCGAAGAAUCCAAGUGCUUAGAAAAUGUGCUUACCAUACCUGGAAUAGAAAAAACAAAGUUCACAGAAUGGUUGCAGGCAAACAAGAAUUAUGAUGAUGCACGAGAGCUAACUUAUUCUAAUUUCCCUACAUGUUGGGUAUGGAAUUCAAAAGACAAAACUUGGACUAGGAGAAAAAAUGGCUUAGCAAUUAGAAGAAUUUACUUUGCACAUCCUUCAAGUGGAGAACGAUUUUAUAUGAGAAUGUUGCUCAAUUUUGUAAAAGGAAGCACUUCAUUUGAAAGUACUAGAACAGUAAAUGGAGUGACAUAUCCAACUUUUAAAGCUGCGUGCUAUGCUUUGGGAUUAUUAGACGAUGAUAAAGAAUGGAUCGACUGCUUGACUGAAGCUGCAAUAUGGGCGACUGGAAAUGAAUUAAGACAUCUUUUUGUCACGAUACUCAUUCAUUGUCAGGUUUCUGAUGCAUCCCAACUUUGGAAAUCUAAUUAUACUAGUUUAUCAUAAGGCAUAACUUCAUUGCAAAGGAAAAGAUUCAGAUUGAAAGAUCUUCAGUUAACCGAGCAACAAGUUGAAGCAUACACAUUGUUGGAGAUUGAAACUAUCAUGUUGAAAAUGGGAAAAAGUUUAAGAGACAUAGAUGGAAUGCCACUUCCUAAUUCUUCUUUGAUAAGAGAUUCAGGUAACCGAUUGGUCAAUGAAGAGCUUGAUUAUGAUCGUGAUCAAUUAAAGAAGUUGCAUGAGAAAUCAUUUACUGCUCUAAAUGCUUGCAAAAAAUCAGCCUAUGAAGCAAUAAUGCAUUCUGUUGAGAAUGAAGAAGGGUGUUUAUUUUUUAUCAAUGGACAUGGUGGUACUGGUAAAAUAUUUUUGUGGAAUACAAUUAUUGCAAAGCUCAUAUCACAUUCUAAAAUAGUCUUGCCUGUUGCAACUUCAGGUAUAGCAGCUUUGUUAUUGCCUAAUGGUAGGACAGCUCAUUCGCGAUUUCAUAUUCCUUUGGAUGUGAUAGCAGAGUGCACUUGUGAAAUCCGACAAGGCACCUUAUUAGCUGGACUUCUUAUGAAAACUUCUUUGAUCAUUUGGGAUGAAGCGCCUAUGGCACAUAAGUUCUGCUUUGAAGCUUUGGAUAAGACCUUGAGAGAUAUUCUAAGAACAAGGUAUGAAAAUACUUCUAUCAAACCUUUUUGAGGACUUACAAUAGUAUGUGGUGGUGAUUUCCGUCAAAUAUUGCCAGUUGUGCCAAAGGGGACAAGAGCAGACAUUGUUGACGCUUCACUUAACUCAUCCUACUUAUGGCCAUUUUUCAAAAUUUAUGAGCUCAAACAAAAUAUGAGGCUCUAUAAUGGAAGCAUGAGUGGCUCUGAGGCUGCUAAAAUAGCUUCUUUUGACAAAUGGUUGUUACAGAUUGGAGAUGGUUCAUUAUAUGAUGACAUUGAUAGAGAGUUAGUUAAACUACCUUCUGAUAUCUGUAAGAAACCAUAAAAAAAUCUAAUGAAAUCAAUAGUCGACACUAUCUACCCAUCAAUUCUACAUAAUUACAGUGAUCCAACAUAUUUGAAAGAAAGAGCAAUAUUAACGCCAAAAAAUGAAAUGGUGCAUGAAUUGAACGAGAUGAUUAUGAAUAUAAUACCUGGUCAAGGGAGAACCUAUUUUAGCUCAGACAGUAUAUGCAAAGCAAGCGCAAACACAAAUGAUGAAGAUGUUCUGUAUCCAACUGAAUUUUUGAAUAGUUUGAAAUUCAAUGGCAUCCCUAAUCAUGACAUACGACUUAAGGAAGGUGCUCCCGUAAUGCUUCUCAGAAAUCUAAAUCAAAUAGAAGGCCUAUGUAACGGCACAAGAUUGAUUGUAACUCGUCUUAGUAAAUGGUCCAUUAGAGGUGACAUCAUUUCUGGAACAAAUAUUGGACAAAAUGUCACAAUUCCAAGAAUUGUUAUGUCUCCUAAUGAAUCAAGAUGGCCAUUCAAGCUUAACAGACGGCAACUUCCUUUGGCACCAUGUUUUGCCAUGACGAUCAACAAAAGCCAAGGACAAUCUCUUAAACAUGUUGGCUUGUAUCUCCCUAAGCAAGUAUUCACACAUGGUCAAUUAUAUGUCGCCGUAUCUCGAGUUACCACAAGAGAAUGAUUGACCAUACUAAAUGCUGAUCAAGAGGUAGAAGACCGAACCUUCAUAAAAAAACAUUGUCUACAAAGAAGUAUUUCAAAAUAUUCACACAUUAGCUCACAAAAUCAAGGUAUCACAUUUUUAGAUUAUAUUUUAAAAUUUAAUUUAUACAUUGCAAGCUCUUACUUCACCCUAUAAUAAUGAUUUUUAUUAUGUGUUUUAAUUAUUCAGUAGACAAAUGAAUAAAUCAAAGGAACUAUCGAGACAGCAAAAUGGUAGUUUGGUUGAGUUUUCCAAGCUAUUAUGGAGAAUUUAAUCGCCAAAGAACAUAGUACGUGAAGAAGCAUUCCUUUUUACAUCAACUAUUUCUCCUUUCAUUCUCUCUAAUCCAUGGAGACAUGGUUUAUAUACAGAUAAAGAACAUUUUGGCACUAGGUGUUGCUGAUCCCCAUUGGAACUUGCCAUAGCUGCAAGCUUGAUAUAAACAACUGCUCACCUACGCAGCUACAAACGAUGCAAAAUAACUUACAGAAGUCUUUACAUGUAUUUUACUUAUUUCUUUUAUAAUUCAACGCAUUGCUAAGGAUCCUCAAUUACAAAAUUUAAUUUGGAACUUAUCAACUACAAAAGGUAUAAGGUCUGUACACCUAGACUAUACACGUUAAUAUAUAUAUUUAAAGUUAACAAAAAAAUAGUUAACUUUCAUAAAUAACAUUAGUUUUAUAAGGCUACCUCAUUUUAAAAAAAAUCAAUUUAUAUUUUUUAUCAGUUUUAUUGAGUAUAAAGAAAGAAAAAUUGAUAAUACUAAAUUCAUUUUCUAAAGCCGCGCGAAGCGCGGUUUUAUUUCCUAGUAUAUAUAUAAAGCUGGGACUAUAAGAGGUGAUGUGACAUCACCAUUUCUCAUCUUUGUAUAUUUUCUAUUAUCUAAUAAAUAGAGAAUUUUUCUUUCAAAUUUGGCUUUUCAUCUUCUCAUAAUUAAUUUGAUUGUUAUUACAAUUAUGUAAAUGUUUUAAUGAGGCAUAUUCUUUAUAAUGAACAUCCAAUGGGGAGUGUUAUAAAUUUAUUAAAAUAAAUGUGGAUGUUCAUAACAUAUAUCUCUUAGUCUCUCCACUAUCUCUCAUUAGCAACCUUUAGCUUCUCUGUAACUCCCACAAUCUCACAAGGAAUUAUGAUCCAUAAUUUUUCAUUAAUUUCAUGGAGUGAUUAUGUAACUACAAAAGGAGAGCUCAUCUUUUUGUUUUGUAUACACAAUUGGAAUGAAUAAAAUCACUCUAAAAUAUAUUCUCUCAUUUUAUUCUUUAUCUUGCGUUGCUUCUUUAUUUGUGUUGUUGGCUAAUAGUUUUUUUUUUAUUUAAACCACCCGGUUUCCGACGACCGCAUUGGAUACUUCUACUGCAUUCAACAUUUCUAAUUUUUAUUGGUUGAUAUACGUGUGAAUGACAACACAAUCCUCUGAGGUAUUUUUUUAAUUAUUAAUGUUUGUUAAUCUUUAAGUGUAUAUUAGAAAUUAUUGAUCCUUAUGUUUUAACAUAUUUAUGUUAUUUUCCCAUAAUAUUACAGAUGUUGUCGGAAGUUUAUGUGGUGUGGGUGAUAUUGAGAUUGUUGGAGCUGGUUGGAAAAAAAGACAUAUAAAAGUUCUAAAAGAUUAGCAAGUUGAAUAUAAUUUGGAACUUAUCAACAACUACAAAAGGUAUAAGGUUUGUACACUUACUAUACACAUUAAUAUAUAUAUAUUUAAAGUUAACAAACAAAUAAUUAACUUUAAUAAAUAACAUUAAUUUUAUAAGGUUGCCUCAUCUUUAAAAAAAAUCAAUUCAUAUUUUUUAUCAGUUUCAUCAAGUGUAAAGUAAGAAAAAAUGAUAAUACUAAAUUAUUUUUUUAAAGCCGCGUGAAAUGCGGUUCUAUUUUCUAGUAAUUUAUAAACCGAGGCCGGGCCCCAAGUCUUUUAAUUUUCUUCCUUUCUUUCCAUAUUUGUCGUUGGGUUAUAAACUUCCCCAAUUCUACCUUUUAUGUGCACGUGAAUCAUGACAUACCCCUUGAGUCAUGCUUUCAAGUUAUAAUUCCUUUCAAUCUUUGCCACGGCUUCAAGUCUCAAAAUCACACAGCAAUACAUCAUAACCCGAAAAUUUAUAAAUAAUCAAUAAUAUAUAAAUGUAAUCAUCUAUUGAAUCAGUUCAUUAUUUAUUCGUAUUGCAAGCAUCACCCCUAUCAUUCAUAGUUUUCACUUUUUAGUGAUGUUCACAAAAUCCUAACCAUACUAUGCAAUUGAGAUAUGAUCAAUAACACUUUGAUAACAUAUUUUAAAAAACAUAAAUUCUUCUAUAAAAAGUCAUUAUUCUGGGGGUUAAUUUCCAUAGGUUUCUAUUAGUUAAUUUUUUCCAACUAUUUUUGAUGAAAUUAGAUAGAUUUGCCUUCAUAUUUGGGGCAAAUAGUUUCAGCGAAUCAUGAAUAAGCUUCCACACAUUUUAGAAAUCUUAUCUUUUUUAAUUUUAUACUUUUUCUUUAAUUUGCAUUUUGGUUCACAUGACCAAAAAUUAAGUUCCAUGCGUUUUUCAAUUUGUGGAAAUUCAGUUUUUUUUUUUUGUGGAAAUUUCGGUGGAGUCAAUAUGGCUAGAAAUUCGUAGAAGGAUGAAUCAAAAUACUCAAUUAUUGUUGUAGACUUGUAAGGCAGCUAACGGAGUCCACACGUUUCAAUGUUUGUUUACAGUUCAGCUUUCCCUUUGAUUAGUUAUCAAAAUAGAAACAUGAUUAUCAAUUUCAACUGUAUGUCUUUCAUGCCUUAACUUUCUUCCUUUCUUUCCAAAUUUCUCAUUUUGCUUUAAUUUUCCACAAUUUACCUCCACGAAUUGAUUGACCUGUUACCCACCACACUUCAAUACUAAUAAUAAUAAAUAAAUUCUUCAAGCAAUUGACAUUUGACCCACCCCACUUCAAUAAUAAUGCUAAUGGGACAUCAUAAAUUCUUCUAUUCAAAUAUAAUACUCAUGACUUUGACGGCCGAAACAUGUUUCAUGGCACAAAUAAUGACGGUUUUGUUUGAGGUACGGUGGAGGUGUCUAUUCAAAUAUUUGAAGCCAGCCCCUCGUUUUAUCUAAACCACAAGCAGGCUCAGCCGAAAUUGUUUAAUAUUUUUAUUUUUUCAAGAAACUCUCACUAUAAGGCUUAUGUGAAAAUUUGGUUGACAGUUUAUGUAUUUAAUUAUUUAUUUUACCACACAUGUCAUGUGUAGGUUUUAUUUACCUUGAGCAGUGGUCAAUGCAUUAGACCCAAGAUAAAGUGUGUUGAGGUAGGGGAAUUAAUGAUCGCAUUAGCUGUAGCACCUAUCUUCAAUCUCUAAUUUUAACUUUCUAUAGAUGAAGUGUUUUCAAAUUCCUCAAAUGUCUGUAAUCUGUUUAAUAAUUGAAGAAAGUUAAAAUUCAUUUUCUAAAUUUAAGGUUAAACUCCCAAUAAAAAAUUUUAUUUUCAUUCAAUAUUGUCAUUAGAUGGUAAUCACUUUGUACGAGAGAUUCCAAAAAAUUUGUCUCAUUGCUCCUCACUAGAAAGAUUGUAUCUUAGUGAUAAUAAUCUCUUGGUAGGAUUUCACAAUGGUUGGAUAAUCUUUCAACAUUACAACAUUUUAUAAUGCUCAAGAAACACAUUCUUGAAGGUCUUAUUUCAAUGGAGUUUUAUCAGCUUGAUUCUCUUCAAAUUUUGGACAUUUCAAACAAUAAUGUAUUUAAGAGUUUAUUAUCUUGUUUACAUAAAAAUAUAUGCCUAUAGGCAGGUAAAAGAAGGUACAUUUUUUAAUUACUCUUCCUUAGGGACAUCAUAUCUUAGCUAUAGCCACUUGAAUGAGAUCAUUUCAAGUUGGGUUGAUAGGCUUUCUCAAGCAAGCCACUUCAUACUGACCCACAAUAAUCUUAAAGAUGAAGUAUCUGCUCAGUUGUGCCGAUUGAACCAAUUGCUAUUGAUAAAUCAUGCUGAUAACAGUCUUUCCAGCCAUAUUCUUCAUUGCUUAAACAAGUGAACUUGUUUCAUUGAGAGAGUAGUGAAACAAGGAAAAAAAAAAGUUUUGACUUUUAUCAGUUAGUUGACUGUUAAGUAAAAAGUAUGCAAAUAUCAUUUUAUACUUUAGAUUGUUAAAAACUAAUGGAAAAAUAACGUCAUUUGAGGAUAAAUUGAAAUUUUCAUACUUUUAAAAAGUAAAGUGAAAAUUAUCAUUCUAAGUGUGGAUAAAUUAAAGUUACACUCAUAAAAAACACAUCUAAUAAUUUAUACACCAAGGCAGGCCCAAGUCUUUCAAUUUUCUUCCUUUCUUACCAUACUUAUCGUCCUGUAAUAAAUUUCCACAGUUCUACCUUUUUUGUACACAUGAUUCAUGACAUACUCCAUGAGUCAUGCUUUCAAGUUAUAAUUCCUUUCAAUAUUUGCCACGUUUGCAAGUUUCAAAAUCACAUAGUAAUAUGUCAUAACAAGUCCGAAAAUUCAUAAAUAAUCAAUAAUAUAUAAAAGGAAAUUAUCCACCGUCUAUCCGUUUUUUCAACUUUUUCAAAAAUACACAAUUUUUUUUUUUUUUGCUGGAAUCCACCUGAAGUUACAUUUCUUUUCACUUUUCCACUUCCGUUUGGAAUCCGUUAAGGAAAUUAAGGGAAUAUUGUUAAAUGACUUUUUUACCCUCAAAUGUAAAAGAUAAUUUAUCCAUCGACCACUUGUUUUUUCGUAUUUUUUCAGAAAUACACAAUUCUUAAUUUUUUUUUUGCUGACCUCCACUCGAAGUUGUAUUGUUUUACACCUAUCCACCACUGUGUCGUUGUAAAAUGAUGAUUUACCCUUAUAAUGUUAGCAAAGUUAUAACGGUCUCCAAACGGAAGUGGAAAAGUGAAAAGAAAUGUAAUUUCAGGUGGAUUCCAGCAAAAAAAAAAAAGAAUUGUGUAUUUUUGAAAAGCAGUGAAAAACGGGUGGAUGGUGGAUAAUUUCCCAUAUAUAAAUAUGAUCAUCAAUUGAAUUUGAAUCAGUUCGUUAUUUGUUCAUAUUGCAAACAUCACCUCUAUCAUUCAUAGUUUUCACUUUUUAGUGAUGUUCACAAAAUCCUAACCACACUAAGCAAUUGAUAUUCAAUCAAAGACACUUUGAUAACAUAUUUUAAAAAACAUAAAUUCUUCUAUAAAAAGUCAUUAUUCUAGGGGUUAAUUUCUGUAGGUUUCUAUUAUUUAAUUUUUUUCCAAUUAUGUUUUAUGAAAUUAGAAGAUUUGUCUUCAUAUCUAGGGUACUUAGUUUUAGUAAAUUAUGCAUCACCUUCCACACAUUUUAGAAAGAUGAUCUUUUUUUUAAUUUUAUACUUUUCUUUCAUUUACUUUUUGGUUCAUAGGGCCAAAAUUUAAGUUCCAUGCAUAUGCAUUUUGUGGAAAUUCAGUUUUUAUUUUUUUAUUUUGUGGAAAUUUCGGUGGACUCAAUACGGCUAGAAAUUCUUAGAAGGAUGAAUCUAGGGCAGCUAGCAGAGUCUACGAGUUUUAAUGUUUGUUUACAGUUCAAUUUUCCAUUUGAUUAGUUAACAAAAUAGAAACAUGAUUAUCAAUUUCAACUAUAGUUCUUUCAUGCCCUUAACUUUCUUCCUUCCUUUCCAUAAAUUCUCAUUUUGCUUUAAUUUUUCACAAUUCUACCUUGGAUGGUGUUGAUUCAAAUUUUUUCUCAAUGUACAAUGAUUGAUUUGUGUUUCGGACAUUCUUCUAAAUCGAGUUCUGUGGCAUAUUUUUUUCCUUGAGGCGAGUGUCUCAAAUCAUAUGUCUCCUUGUGGUUAAUUAUUUUGUAAAAAGAAACAAUUAUCAAAGGGUGCCGACAUGCCGGCAAUAACCCUCCGACACUCAAGUUAGUUCUUUUUACUCAAGUUUUAAAGAGAGAGAAUCUAGAGCAAGAUGGGCAGAGUUUUGCUCGCAUUUUAUGCCUUUUUUCCUCUUACUUUCAAAUGCCGGUCUUGGCCUUUAUAUAGACAACUUAGAGUCAAUUGGAGAGAUUAUGUGGCACUUUUCUUGUGACAAGUGUCAGCCAAAGUCCAUGCAUGGCGACAUAUAUUCAUAUGUGUCAAUACUUGCUCAUGACAAAUAAUCUUUGGACAUUUGUCAUGUUUUUGGGCUAUUAACCUUUAAUGGACUUUAGCUUAAAUUCGGCACUUAUAUUGGUUUCUUACAAAGAGGAUUGAUUUUGCAACAUUUUGCCCAUAAGCACAUUCCGCAAAAUGUUUGUUAGCCAGUAGGUGUUGAGUGUUAGAAAAUGUAUAUUUAUAAAGGAGAAAAUCAUCAUUUUACAUUUCAAGUUUUACUAACAAUCCUUACUUUUAUGUAUUUAAGCUUCUUGCAAUUUAAUUAUGUGUGUUUGAUUUUAAUUAAGUAUUUUAUGUAUUUUAGGGGCAUCAUGGUUAUUUCACAAUAAACGAGAGAUCAGACGGCAAAACGAAUAUCACUUUUGAACUUAGGACGGUCGAAAACCUUAGGAGGAGCAUAAAAGAAAAAAUGGCACUAUUCACAUGUACGGUAUUAUUCACGUGUACGGUACUGUUUACGUUACUGUUCAUAAUACUGUUCACAUAGACGGAUUGAUGACGUGGCAUUGACUGAUGAGGUGUCACGAUCCUGUUGGGCUAAAAUUCUUAUGUACUGUUGAUGGUGACGUGGCAGCAUAUCAGUAGACGAAAAAAUCUCGCGUACGGUACAUGCAUCACACAGGAUUAUUUUCAACCAAACCGCGUCACUGUUCAACCCAGGUCAAACCGUGUUACUGUUCAUCCACGUGGUCAAACCGCGUACUGUUGACUGAUGACGUGGCGCAAUCCUGAGCGUCCAAACUGUUUUUAAUCCGAUAGCCAUGAUUUACUUCAUGUAUCUAUAAAAAGGGGGCCUCUCCCCCCUAAUUGGAUAGCUCUGAAUCCAUUUUUGGGAUCCAUUUUUUGUAAUUCCUUCUCCAUUUUGUAUUUUCUACAUAUUUUAAUAAUUCCCAUUUUGCCCCUAGUUCAAUUAUGAGUGGCUAAUUUUCUUUCAAGCUUGGGUUGAAGGUGAAGUCUCAACAUGUGUCAUGGGCUUAAUUUGGUAGAUUUACUUUCUCUUCCCAUCUAAUUUUUGUGGAUGUUUUGACUUCUCGUCGACAAAUAAUACUAAUCUUGUCUAGUACCGCCUUGGUUUCACCGGCUCCGUAGUACAAGGUUAUUAUUAUUUGGCACGAUAAGCCCUUAGCACCAUAUUGAUUAGAGUGUGGUUUAUGAGGUGUGGAUUUCCCCCUUAUGAUUUAAUUGAUAUUAAUAAGGAAUAUUUAGCCCAUGGUACAUGUUGAUACGGAUUCAGAUACCCAAGUACGUCAUUUCAAUAGAAUUCUCUUCAAUUUAUUCUCGCCAUUUCAAUUCCAAUUUUAGAAUUUAUUCUCGCCAUUUUAAUUUAAAUUUUAGCAUAUUCCAAAUCAUUUCCACCACAAAUCCAAUCACCCAUUUACAAAAUUAAUUCUACACACAAUUAAAAUCCACCUCCUCGUGGGAUCGACACUCGUCACCAUUAGUCUAUACUACAAUAGAUUCGUGCGUUUGCGAGUACAUUAAAAUUUGCACAGCAGUAGGCUCGCUCCGUGGAAUGUUUGUUGGCCCGUUGGCACAUUCCAUAAAAUGCAUAUAUUUGCCCGUAUGCACAUAUUGUAGAAUGUAUAUUUCUUCGUAGGCGCAAUCUGCCCGUAGCCGCCAUCCGUAGAAUGUGUAUUUGUCCAUAGGCCUAUUGCAUAGAAUGUGUGUUUGCCUGUAGACCCAUUCCGUAGAAUGUGCAUUUGCCCGUACGCCCAUUUCGUAGAAUGUGUAUUUGCCCGUAGGCUCAUUCUAUAGAAUGUAUAUUUGCCCGUAGGUGCACUCCGAGUAGCUCAUGUGCUCUUAGAAAUAUUUUUGAAGUGUCUAGAUCAUGAACGGACCUAGGUCAUUUUUUGUGAGGAAUGGACCUAGGUCGUUCUUUGUAAAAAAUAGACCUAGGUCCUUCUUUGUUGAAUCAUGCCUUUGGCACUUUGUGAAGACUCGUAAGGAAUGGACUUAGGUCAUUCUUUGUAAGCAAUGAACGUAGAUCAUUCUUUAAGACUUAGGUUUUUCUAUGAUAAAUCACGCUUUUGGCUUUUUGUCGUGUCUUGCAUUUAGACACUUUAGUUAGAAUUGUAAAUACCUUGGCCAUUCUUAUAGAGAACACACAUGGGUUAUUUUAUAUAAAAUAAUUUUAUUGGGCCUAUAUUUUUUGUGGGUUUUGGACCUUUCAUAAUUUGGGCUAACAGAGGCCCCCGAAGUCUUACUUUUCAAUUUUGAGAAGUGAGACUUUUUUUGUACUUUUUUUUAGGCUUUUCUUUGGCUUUUCUUAUUACAAAUUAAAUUUUAAGGCUUGAAAUUUCUCUAAGGCACCUAUCCUAUUAAAAUUAGUCUACAACCAAUCUCACAUACUUCAUUUAAUGAUUUGUAGCUCUCUACAAUCUAUCUUAAUUUAACAAUUAUUGAAAAGUAUAAAAAUAAGGAGUUAGUAAAAGUAUCAUUUAAAAAGAGAUACUUGACUUUUUCUAAAUAGUAUGUGAGAAUUUUCUGACAAUUCUUUGGCGAGCUACUGUUGAAGCUCUUCGAGUGCUCAUCGAUCUAAGAAGCAAUGCCAAAUCUUUUCCUGAAAGGUCAUCUUUGAAACUGAAUUGCUUCAAUGGUAAACAUUUUUGUAGAUAGCGAUCCCAGUCAAUUCUCAUAUAUACUUACCCUUAGGCAUUUUGGUUGAGAUCAACCAAAGCUGUAGUCAACAUCCGCCCUUGGAAGAUUUAGUCAAUAGUUGCCCCUAAGCUUUUUGACAUUGGCUUUAAGGUGUUUCUCGUCAACACUAACUCUCGGACGUUUUUAUCUAAAACAUGUCAUUAGGUGUUUCAGACAAUCAUUUGCCUUUUAAUGUUUCACUUAGAAUAUUUUCCCUCAGGUCUAUUAUUAUAAUUCGCUUGUGGACGGUUUCCUUCAAAAAUUAAUUUGAAGUAAUUGGACCUAGGUCAUCCUUUAAAAGAAAGGACCUAGGCCCUUUUAUCAUAAUUUACUCGUGGGCAGUUUCGUAGAACUUAGCCCGUAAGCAUUCUCUUUAGAAUGAUUUUUCUAAGAAUUGGACCUAGGUCAUUUUUUACAAGAAUGGACCUAGGUCUUUUUAUUAUAAUUCGCAUGUGGGCACUUUUUAUAGAAUACUAAUUCUAAGUGAUUGGACCUAGAUCAUUCUUUGAAAGAAAGGACCUAUAUCUUUUUAUCAUAAUUCAGCCAUAUAUGGUUUCCUUAGAAGAUUAAUUCUAAGUAAUUUGACGUAGGUCUCUUUAUUAUAAUCCGCCCGUAGGCACUUUCCUUAGAAAAUUGAUUUUAAGUAAUUGGGCUUAAGUCUCUUUUUAAAGGAAAUGACGUAGGUCUCUUUUUAAAUUGAUUCUAACUUUGUCACUACUUUGAUUGCAUCAAGUGAUGAAUAAUGUCGUAAUCAGAAUUUUCAAGGGGGUAUUUGGGAAUAUUGCCCCCUUCAGAGUUUUAAAAGCCAGAGAAAGAAGACUUUUUGUAUUGUAUGGUACCAUGGUAUGCCCCGUAUGCCUUUCUUAAUGAUAAAGUAGCAGAUUCUCCUUCAAUUUAAUUUCUUUUUGUUCCAAGCCAAAAUAAAAAAAUUUCUGCUCACUAGCCGUACUCUGUUCUUGAUGAACAUUAGGAGGCAGUUCAAGACAUGGAUUCUCAAAGUCAAUUGUAUCGAUGAUACUUGGGUGUGUAUGACAUUUUUAUUAAUAAUUUUAAUCAUUCAUUGAUAAAUUCUUCUAUUAACAAAAAUAAUUUCUCCAAAAUUAAUUUUUCUACUCGCAGACCAUACUUUGUUCUUGAUGAACAUUAGUUGGUACUUCAAAACGUGGAUCCUCAAGUCAAAACGGUAAAUUUUUUUCAUCAGUGAAUCAUUAACUAAACAAGUGAUCUUAGAUUUCAUUCUUGUGUCUAUGAUAUGUGGGUGUGACUGACAUUUGAGGAACAAUUACAAGAGUGAAAAAGGAGAAUACAUAAUAUAUUCAACCACUAAAAAUAAAAGUCAUUUUUAUUUUAUUCCAUCUUACUCGAAUUUGAUACAACUAGUGGGUGUGUUGUAACUAAUCUUAUUUGUCCCUUUGAAAUAACCGAUAAUAAUCUUAUCACCGAAUGUUUAACAGACUCGUAACGUCAUAACGUAACUACCACGUCAAGCAAACACGUGGACUCAGCCGUGAACUACAACCGCAUAACCGUUACAUAUAUAGACUAGUAUGAAGCGGUGGAGUUAAAGCAAGCGUUUAAGAAGUGAUUUAAGCUGAUGCAAGCGUAAAGUAUGAGACGAAUAAAACAACAUACAAUUCAACAAAAGUCUAACAUGCCCUGUUCAAACUUAUAAUUUUCUACUAUUACCUUACCCGACAAUACAAUCCAAGUAGCUGGCAGCCACACCGCAAACUUCCACUAUCAUCUUCUCCUUUCAAACUUAUAAUUUUCUUUUUUCUUUUUUAUUUUCUGGAAAGAGCUGGCUUUCCUUGAUUUUUGCUUUUUGUCAACAAUUAUUCAUGCCUUUUUAUUUUUCUCCAUCACACUUUUUUUCUUUCCCAACUUCCACGAGCUGAGCCGUCGUCGCUUUUUGAAAGAAACAGUAUGGAAGCUAUCAAGAAACAGGCAAUCAAGCUCCGAGAACAAGUCGCCAAGCAGCAGCAAGUCCGUUUCUUUUCUUUUUUUGUUUUUAAAUUAUUUAGACUUUUAAUUAGUGAAAUUUCUCGAUUUUAUUUAUUUUUCAUUAGUUUUUUAUGGUUUGUACAGGCAGUAUUGAAGCAUCUGCUCCAUCUUGGCAUUGAAAAUGUUGCGGUUGAUAAAGCUGACAUUGAGUGUCACCAACAACUUCAAAAUCUAUACAAUUCCACCAGGGCAGCUAAGGCACCAUCCUCCUUUAGCUAAUAAUAAGACUCUGUUUGAUAUUGAUUUAUUGUGGCUUUUGGUAAUUAGAUAUGAUUUUUAAAUAAUAAUUUUGUCAAAUAUGGUACAAACAACUGUAUUUUCUAGACUGAAGUUGCAAGUAUUUACCAACGGAGCUUAAUGUAUGUUGAACAAUUAUGAUGGUUUGUAUGGUUUUAUCUGAACAAUAAUUUGGAAUAUAUGCUCUGUAGCGCAGCAUUUUCAGAGGAAUAUUGUCCGUGGCGUUGAAGGGUUUGUUGCAGUAAGCUUGAAACAAAUGGAAAUAUGUUGUUUGUUUGCUCUUGCUCUUGUUAUAAUAUUUGAUUUUUUUUUAUUUAUUUUCUUGACUAGUUCUUGUGUACAAUAUUUUUGUAUUCAAAUAUUGUAGCGAGAAAGUUGGCCGAAGAUUGUUGCAAGUAUGGAGCGGAGAAUCAAAGUGACAAUUCUUGCGUUGCAAGAGCUGCUCUUCAAUUUGGCACUUCACAUGAUUUGAUGGAAAAUGAGAGGGAAACUUUGCUUGGGAUUCUUCAUGAUCAGGUUAGUUCAUCCCUAACUAGAAAAUAAUUCAAAUAUAGAAAAUUAUAUGUAAAUUACUACGGAAACUAUUAUCUUCUCAUAAGGAAAUUUAGUUCUAAGAUAUUGAAUAAAAGAAUCCAUUUUAAAGUUACAACUCUGAAAUAUUUAAUGUUUUAUAUUAAAAUCAUUGCUAGUGACAUCCAUGACUUGAUAGUUUUAUUGGUUCAAAUGUUGAAGAGACCUUGUACUUCUUACAUCACUAGCGAAGACUGGCGUGGGACAAGUUAUUGGCCGUGAGUUCUCUCAAUUGACUCCAAGCAUUUUGGAUAAAGACAUUUGCAUCUGUAGUAAAAUCAAAUCCAUGAGACUGAAGGAUGCAUGGGGAAGUCUUACAACCUUUAUUUGCAUAGGUAGAUGCUGAGAAAACAUAUCAUCAACACGUUAUUGAUAUUUUAGAGAAGUUGUAUGCGGAGGUUUGGGACUAUGCAUUUUAACUUGCUUGUCCCCAUCUAUCUAUUCCUUGGAGCGUUCUCUUCUUGCUAUUUUCGUCUCACUUAUGCAAAAGAAUAAUUGUGACUUUUUAGUCCCUUCCAACCCUUGCUACUUGAAUUAGAUGAUCCUAUAGGAGCAAUCAAAUGAGUCCUCCUCGCAACAUGUGACUUUCGAAAUGGAUGUACAUGCCUCAUGUGUCUAUCAGAGUACUGAUUCAAAUGGAGCUGAUUUGCAAACGCAUAUUAAUCAGAAUGACGUCUACUUUAUAGCAAAAGUAAGGCUCCUGCUCUCUUGCAUAGGUGAAAGUCCCUCUAUUGCCCUCCUCCUGGAAAAUCUUAAGAAAUAAGAUGCGCACAAAAUUGAAUGCUGUCUUUUAAGAUUUUUUUUUUUAAAAAAAAAGAAUUUUGUUGUAUUUUACCAUGAAAGUUGUUAAUUUACUGAAUUACAAACUUAUCAAUUAAUUUGAUGUUGCACAGUCUUUUUCUUAACAUAUUGCAUUCAUAUUUUAAUUUUGGAGCAAUAAAAUUUUUUUUCUACUAUCACUACCAUCUGGGCAGGUAUUUGUAUUAUUGCACAACAUCUACGGAAGUAGUGAUUAGUCUUAAAAGUUGAAGAUGUCUGUCUGUAUCCUUUCAUCCUAGAUAAAUUGUCAUAUGAUCGUAGGACAAAUUGUAAUUAUUUUUUAAAAUUUAUUAGUUAACACCUUGAAAAUUCUUUUCCCCCAAAUAAAAUUACUCUAAAAGUGUCCAAAUGUGGUGCUGAGGAAGCCAUUCUUAGGAAACUUUAUUUAGGAGAACAGGACUUUUAAGCAUGAGGUUUAGCAAACACCAAUGAAUUAAAAAAGCGAUAGAUGUCGGAUGAGCUAGAUAGAAUGCAUGGGCUAGAAAUAUCAUGUGUCUCUACUAUCAAUAUCUUAGCAACAUCAAAGCUGAGUUAGGCAUGCCAAAGAAAGGCAAACCACUGAAAGUUGUGUAGCCACUCACGACGUAGCAGGUGAUGUAAAGUCUUGAUAUUGCUUAUAGAUACAAGACUGAUAGCUCAACAUCCCUCUUUUUGAGAUUUUCUCUUAAGUUAGAUGGGCCUUUUUAUGAUUAUGUCUGAAUUAUGAUUCUCCUUACUUGGUUUACCUAGAAAAACUAUGUUUAUAUGGAUGUGACUUGGGGGCAAUCUAUGUAUUUGAUGAUAAAUCUGGCCGAGAAAACUUAAAUUAUUAGGCAGAGGAAAUUGACUGACCAUAAGCUGUCAUGUUAAAUCCAUCACUUAAAAGAUGUCGGUCACUUGGAAUCCCCAUUAUCUAUGACUUUCUUGUGCAUAGGCCAUGUUUUGUGGAGAGCAGUCAAAAUUUCAGAUUUAAAAUCUUAUCCAUAAUUUAAAAAUGGAAUUUUGUUUCUAAUAUAUCUUUGUUGGCCAUAAUCAUUGUAGUUACAAUGAACGCUGCUGCUACUGCUGCUGCUUUUGUUAUGCUUUUUUAAAGAUUAAGUUCUAUUUAUCCUAGUAUCUUAUAGGUUAUACAUCCAUUUGACGCUCAAGCAAAUGGGGAGCUAAGUCUUUCAAUUGAUGAUUAUGUUGUGGUUCGCCAGGUACUUUCCCCUCUAAAUAACAACACAGAGAUUUUUCUACUAUGCUAUUAACUUAUCCUUCUAACAACUUAUGAUAUGUGGAAUUUAGAACUAAUGCUUAUACUAAUUUGAUGUUCAAAGCACAUGGCAUUUUGUUCUUAAAAUUUUGAUUGAAAAGCAAUGAGUUAACAUAUGAUGGUUGGUUUUCUUUCUUCCUACCAUAUAUUCCCUUUUAUAUUGAAGUGCAAAUCAGAAUAUAGUAGGGUUGCUAGCUCAGUUCUAAACCACCCAGUUUACCCUUAUAGAUAUGUGAAUUUAUAUCUUGUUAUGCUUCCAUGGUUAAUGUUGUUAUUUCAGUGAUCACAACUAAUUCACUCCUCCUACGUAAAAGAAUUAGUUUUCCCCUUAGGUCUUUGAACGGUCAACUUUUGUUUAAUUCACUGUUUUAGUUAUAACUUCUCAAGGUGGCUCUUAUGGAUGGUCGGAAGGUGAAUGCAAGGGCCAAGUUGGUUGGUUUCCCUCGGCAUACAUAGAAAGACAAGAAAAAGCCCCAGCUAGAAGGAUAUCAGAAACAAACUCCUCACCCAAAUGUGAUGCGACUUCUUAAUAAACUCUUGCCAAGUAUCUAUAUGUUCUUUUUCCUGUAUUAUAUUGCCAUUUUAGUUUAUAGAACGACUGCGACAAUUGAUAAGUGGUUUGAUUGCUUCUCUUAAUGAAAUCUUACUAAGCUCCAAGUAAUAUGUGCGAUCAUAUGCAUUUUAAUAUUUGUAUUUAUCUCCUAGUUGAGGAGAAUAUUUGUAGUAACAACUGUGUUUCCAAAUUGCCAAAAAAAAAAAAAUACACAUCAUGUUUAGCAACAAAUUUUUACUAUUAUUUCUUCCCAGUUUUAAUUUACUUUCUCCGUGAAUUGAAUGUUAUAUUAGUAGCUUGAUCAGAAAGUAACUCAUAUCAAUCAAACUACCUUGAUGCAAGAGAUUGAAUUUAGAAUUUCUCUAUCUUUGUGAAACUUUCCAAUCAUAAUGUUAUGAAAUAUGUGGGCAUGAACUUUUUAAUUUCUAGUUGCAUUUGGAGUAUGUAUGAUAUAAUCUGAAUCACUUGCAUAAUGUUCUUCAUCUUCCANNNNNNNNNNNNNNNNNNNNNNNNNNNNNNNNNNNNNNNNNNNNNNNNNNNNNNNNNNNNNNNNNNNNNNNNNNNNNNNNNNNNNNNNNNNNNNNNNNNNUUCUAACUAAUGAAAUUUUCUAGUCUAAAUUAUGAAAUAUGUGGGAUUGACUUAGAAAUUUUGGUAACAUGUCGAGAAUGUAUGGUAUAAUUUGAAUUCAUUAGCAUAAUCUUCAUCUUCAUUGAUUUGUAAAUUAUGAAACUAAUAUAUAAAAAACUAAUGUUAGAUCCUAAUUAUCUUUAGUUCUUAAAAUUGUUGAGGAGAUAUGAAAUUCUGGUGGGUGGAUUUGAGAGUUUUAGCUUUGAGAAUAUUGCUUCAUCUCUACUUUGAUGUUGUUGUGCCCCUUGUUGUGGCGAGGCAUUAAUCUUCCUAAAUUUUUUGUCAAGCUUCAACUUUAUUAUAUAUAUACCUUUCUUGAUAAAAUGUCUGGGUCCAUCGCUGGAUUUGGUGUUAAUGACACUAGUGAAGAAGAUGAUGAUAGCACCAUAAUCAUUAUUUUUUAAAGUAAAAUAGGCGAUCAAGUGCAUCUAGGUGUUUCAUUUCUUGUGUAUGAUUAUAAAACUAUUCUGAAUAUAGUUUCUAAAUGAAUGUUAUAGAGUGGCUGCUUUUAACAUUGGAGAUGGUUCUCUUAUUUAAGUAUGCUGCACAGUAUAGGGAAGUAUAAGUUAUGGUGGAUAGAUAUGAGUUUGGAAGUGUGGAGACAAAUGUGAAGUGCUUGGAAGUUGGAAGCUAUAUAACGCUAAAUACUUCUACAAUUUUAAUAAAAAAUAAAAAUAAAUUUAUUUCCUAAGCAAACUUGAUUAGUACUUAAAGAAUCAUAAUUAAGCUACUAAUUAAUUUCAAUGACAAAAUCUUGUUGGAAUAAGAUUGUCUACAACAAAAUAAUAACAUGAAGUUAUCCACAUUUCAACAAAGUAAAACAAUUUACGUCGCCAAUAAGAAUUUACAUAUAAAACAAUAACAAUUCCAAAUAUCACUAUUACGUACGAUGUUGUAAAUGUGAUAAAGAAACUGUCCGUGUCAAUUAAAAUGUCUGGGUCCAUCGCUGGAUUUGGUGUUAAUGUUUCUAGUGAAGAAGAUGAUGAUAGCACCAUAAUCAUUCUUUUUAAAAGUAAAAUAGGCGAUCAAGUGCAUCUAGGUGUUUCAUUUCCUGUGUAUGAUUAUAAAACUAUUCUGAAUAUAGUUGGCGAUCAAGUGCAUCUAGGUGUUUCAUUUCUUGUGUAUGAUUAUAAAACUAUUCUGAAUAUAGUUUCUAAAUGAAUGUUAUAGAGUGGCUGCUUUUAACAUUGGAGAUGGUUCUCUUAAAUAAAGUUUGCUGCACAGUAUAGCGAAGUAUAAGUUAUGGUGGAUAGAUAUGGGUUUGGAAGUGUAGAGACAAAUGUGAAGUGCUUGGAAGUUGGAAGCUAUAUAACACUAAAUACUACUACAAUUUUAAUAAAAAAUAAAAAUAAAUUUAUUUCCUAAGCAAACUUGAUUAGAACUUAAAGAAUCGUAAUUAAACUGCUAAUUAAUUUCAAUGACAAUAUCUUGUUGCAAUAAGAUUGUUUACAACAAAAUAGGAACAUGAAGUUAUCCACAUUUCAACAAAGUAAAACCAUCUACGUCGCCAAUAAGAAUUUACAUAUAAAACAAUAACAAUUCCGAAUAUCACAAUUAUGUACGAUGUUGUAAAUGUGAUAAAGAAACUGUCCAUGUCAAUUAAAUUAUCAUUUUUUGUUGGGGGGGGGAAAAAAGGGGCCCCCAAAAAAAAAAAAAAAAAAACUUUUUUUUUUUAAAAAAAAAAAAAUUUUUAAAAAUUUUUGGAAGGCGUUAAAUGUUGCAAAUUGUNNNNNNNNNNNNNNNNNNNNNNNNNNNNNNNNNNNNNNNNNNNNNNNNNNNNNNNNNNNNNNNNNNNNNNNNNNNNNNNNNNNNNNNNNNNNNNNNNNNNNNNNNNNNNNNNNNNNNNNNNNNNNNNNNNNNNNNNNNNNNNNNNNNNNNNNNNNNNNNNNNNNNNNNNNNNNNNNNNNNNNNNNNNNNNNNNNNNNNNNNNNNNNNNNNNNNNNNNNNNNNNNNNNNNNNNNNNNNNNNAUCAGCUUGUUGCAAGAAAGAUCAAGUCCUGAUAGGAGGCUAAGCACUUUUCCUUGGUAAAUGUACGCAAUGUUCUUUGUUGUGAACUCAAAAUUUUCACGGAUUUGCUUUUCUACAUCUCCGUCAGGGCCGUCGAUGGAAAAAGAUAUUUCAAAUUGCUCAUCAAGACUAGAACUAUUGCUGUAACUGUCAUGAAGUGUGGUGUUAUCAAAGCAAGGAGGAAUAGGACCGUGAAGAUUAUUAUUAGAAAGAUCUAACAAUUGUAGUUGGUUCAAUUCGCACAAUUGAACUGGCACUUUACCUUCAAGAUUAUUGUGACCUAAGAUAAGGUGACUUAACUGAGAAAGCCCAUCAACCCAAUCCGGAAUGCUGCCAUUCAAGCGGUUAUAGCUAAGAUCUAAUGUCACAAGGGAAGAGCAAUUAAAGAAUGUACCUCUUUUUAGUUGUCCAUGUAACAUAUUUUUUGAAAGAUGAACUUGUUUGAUAUUGAGAGGAUGGAAACAAGAUGGUAGACUUCCAGAUAUGUUGUUGUCUGAAAUGUCCAAAAUCUGAAGCAAAUCCAGUUGACAAAACUCCAUUGGAAUAGAACCUUUAAGAUGAUUCUUGUGCAUUGUAAUAUGUUGUAAACUUGUGAGACUGCCUAACCAUCGUGGAACCUUACCCGAAAGACUGUUAUUAUUAAGGUACAAUCCUUCUAGUGAGGAGCAUUUAUAUAAACUUUGUGGGAUCUCUCUUAUGAAGUGAUUGUCCUCCAAUUGUAACCAUAUUAAAUUUGCCAGGUUAAAAUUUCUACAGAACAUGUGACCUUUUAGGUUGUUGUUUGAUAACGCUAGAAACUCCAAGUUAACGCAACCGACGGCCAAGCGCUCAGGGAUUUCACCAGUCAAUUGAUUGCUGGAUAAGUCCAAAAUUCUGAGGAAGUUCAUUUUACCAAAUGAAGAGGGAAUGCUACCAUGCAAGGCAUUCGUGGAAAUGUUAAAAGAAAAUAAACUUGGUAAAAUAUCUCUAAUUUCUACUGGAAUAUGGCCUUGGAAGUUGUUGUUGGAGACACCCAAGAAUCUUAACCGCCUGUGUGGAUGAAUUGGCAAUUAAAAAGGUCCUCCAAUAGAAUCAUUGAUGAGAAAAAGAGUUUCUAAUUUUGUGUUGUUUUCCAACAACCAAUUUGGAAAUUCUCCAUUCAUCUUUAUAUGUGAGAGAUGAACAUCCUCCAGGUCAUGUUGAUGGUAAAGGAAUUUGGGGAAUGUGACACCAUCUCCACAACCGGAAGACAACAAGAGAGAUUGUAAUUGGAAGUUUGGGGCGGUCAAAGAAUGUGACUCAGUUAUUUCAGCUUUUAUUUCAUUGUUGUAAGCCCAUAAGCUCUUGAGUCUUGAGUGAUUGAAAAGUGGUUUAAGUGAAAUUGGGAUGCAGAAGUGAUUCUUUGAAAGUAUUAGCUCUUCAAUGGAUGUCAAAUGAACGAGGGGAGUGAUAACUCUAGGAAAUGAGAGUUAUUACAUCAAUUCUAAACUUGAAUCAGGAUCUUUUAGAGAACAAAUAAGGUGUUUUUAUUACAUUUUGCUUAAACAUUCAUUUUAGUUGAGUAUUAAUAAGUUUUGCUUGAAUUAUAGUAAUUUGUGCUAAAAACAUAUGCAUAAUUGUAGGUUCUUGGAAAGUCUUAAUUCAUGAGGGGAUGUUGAGGCAUUAGAUGAGCAAGAGGAGGAAAUAAGCCAGUCAUAAAAGAACAAAAGCACAAUCGGGAGUAAUGCAGUGCUGUUACGGAUGUUAGAGCAACCCGUUCUGUAGCAAUCUGGAAGUAAAUGCGAGAGAAAACUUGGGCGCGGGUCAGCACAUGUUUCUUAAUUUAACGCAUGCACACUCAUAGGCUUGUGUUUACCCUAAUUUGCAAUAUAAAAGGGAGGCAAUACCACAAAGAAAGGCGGCAAGGAAAUUAUCACUAGAAUAAUCACAAAGGAACGAAGAAGAAGAAGAUCAGAAUUAAAGAGUUUUGUUUUGGAAACAUUGGAGAAUCGUGCAGAAUUACUUGGCUUUGAUUUUCGCCGUGCUCAACUUAUAUUUAUCUUCUUCCUUUAAUUAUUUUGAUGUAUUCCGGGAUCAAUAUAUUUAUGAUUAUUUUUGUCAUCCAGAUUAUGAACUAAAUUUACUUGUAGUUGAGUGACAAAUAAUCCAAUGGGUUCUUGAUUGUUCUUAUAUGUUGUUAUGGUAAUGCUGUAGCAUUUUACUCUAGUAGUUUUUAUGAGUAUAACUGUUAUUUCGGUUGACCACCCAUUUAAUAGUUUCAGUUAAGAGCAGCAAAGGGGCAUGUCUUAGCGGACAUUAUUAGAGUAUUACUUGUUCUUAAAUUGAGUUUCCUGGAUUAGGUUAUCUUGAAUCCCAUAAGGGCAAUACUUGAAGUUAAGAUUUGUGACACUCUGGACAUAGGUGUUCACCUUGUAGGGUAGAGAGAUUAAAGGAUAUAAUGACGUACCAUAAAUAUAUGAGCAACUGGUCAUUGUUAGUAGAUUUAAAGGUAUGAGAUUUCUAACAUGCGAUAGCUGAGGAUGCAGAUUUAUUCUGCCCAGUGCUGCAGCACUUAUUGUAACAACUGGUGCUAAUUUGGUAAACACCAAUCACCCCAUUAGGAGAGUUUGAUUAUUCAACUACUAUAUUCUCAAUUGAAUCUUAGACACAGUUAACUUAGUUUAUUUCAUUACAGUAUUGUUUUAUUUCCAUCUCUCGCAAUUAUUAAUUACGAUAGAAUUAUUUAACAAUUGUUUGUUUCGGUUUUAGUUAAUUUGCACUAUUGUGAUUGCUUUAGCAUUUUGAGUAACAUCAAUCCCUGUGGAGACGAUCUUGAAUACUCAUCACUUUAUUACUUGUUGUGUAUAUGAUGAAGAGUAGGAAUCCAUAUUAUACUAGGAUUAGUUUCCUUAUUAACUAAAGUUUAAGACUUUUAAAUUCCUUUCUAAUUUAGAAUUUUGUUUCCCUUUCAAUUUAGGAUUUUGUUUUUACUUCAUGAAUUAGGAUAAUUACUACUACUAUAAAUAGCUUCCUCUUGUAACCUUUGAAUGCAUAAUUUUGAGUUCAAUAAUAUUUCAAUUUUCAAAUCUCUUUGUGAGUAUUUGAACAGUUAACUCUCGGUAUUCUGCGGAAUCAACGAGUCUUAAUCCCUAAAUUCACGGUAUUCUUUUGAAUCAACGUGAAUUUAAUUAUUAUUUUGUUCCGGUAUUCUCUAGAAUCAACGGAAUAUUUUGAACAUUAAACUUCCGCUGCAUCAGUAUAUUUGCACAUCGGCAUUGGUAGUAAUUGAUUAUAAAAAUAAAUCAAUAAGUGUUUGGGGUCGUUGCCGGGGAUUGAUUGUUUAUUUUUAAAGUGUAAAGUAAAUCUUGAUAGCGCCAAAUUUGAUUUGAUUUAUUCUAUUUAUUAGGAGAUCGGUACAUGCAUGCGCAAAGACAGGUCUGUGGUAUUCUAAUUCGAUCCUGAGAUUGAAAGGACUGUCAGGAGAUUGCGAAGAGAACAAAGGAAUUCAGAAAUUGAUUCAAGCAUGAAUAAUUUGCAGGAUGCGGGAAAUUUGAAUCCUCACGGGCCCUUACAACCAGUAAACAUUCAAGGAGAGCAGAAUGAACAUGUUAACGGGAGACAGCCAGGCAAUAACAAUAUUAUUUACAUGGCUGAUGACAGAGACAGAGCUAUAAGAGAUUAUGCUGUGCUAACUCCUCAAGUUGUACAUCCUGACAUCAUCAGACCUGAAGUAGACGUUGCAAAUUUUGAGUUAAAGCCAGUGAUGUUUCAAAUGUUGCAAACAGUUGGUCAAUUCAAUGGAUUGCCAGAUGAAGAUCCUCAUCUCCAUCUUAAAUUGUUCUUGGAAGUAAGUGAUACUUUCAAGAUUGCUGGAGCAAUACAAGAUGCUUUAAGGCUGAGACUCUUUCCUUAUUCCUUAAGAGAUCAAGCAAGAGUAUGGUUAAAUUCGUUACCAUCUGAUUCCAUCACUACAUGGAAUGAAUUGGCUGAUAAAUUCCUAAUGAAAUAUUUCCCACCAACAAAAAAUGCAAAGUUGCGGAAUGAGAUUACUUUCUUCCAUCAACUUGAAGAUGAAAUGCAAAAAAUGCAAAAAAUGCAAUGUUAGUUAAUGAGUGACCUCAUUAACUAACAUAGUAAAGGCCUUGACAUCUGCUCCAGCAACAGUAAAGCAAGUUACUGAACUUUCUUGUGUAUACUGUGGUGAAGAGCAUAACUUUGAUAAUUGUCCUGGAAACCCAGCUUCAGUAAACUAUGUGGGUAAUUUCAGUUGAUAACCUCAGAACAACCCAUAUUCAAAUACUUACAACCCUGGCUAGAAGCAACACCCAAAUUUUGCAUGGAGCAGUCAGAAUCGAAAUGCUCCAGCAUUAAAUAGACAAAAUAAAAACACACAACCACUUGGUUUUCAUCAGCAGAGUCAAGGGCAAAAGCAUAACAGUCAGGAUCCAAUCACUUCACUGGAAGCACUGAUUAAAGAGUACAUUGUAAAGAAUGAAGCAAUUGUGCAGAGUCAAGCUGUAUCCUUGAGAAACCUGGAAAACCAAAUGGGACAACUAGCCACAGUAAUAAGCAGCAGAACUCAAGGAAGCCUACCUACCAACACAAAAGACCCUAGGAGGGAGGGCAAAGAACACUGCAAAGUAAUUAAUUUGAGGUCUGGAAAGAAUGUUGAUAUCCCAGCUGAUGUAACAAAAAAUGGGAUGGAAUUCAAUUCAGCACAAAAAUUACCUCAAAAGGGAAGCAUGUUACAACAACCUCCUCUUCAAGACACUGGUUACAUGGGCCAAGUUACAGCAACUACAGAGGAAAUUCAACCAAAACAUGUUGAAAAAGAAAUUGCAACACCAGUAGUCACAACCUGCACCAAACCAAACAAACAGAGUUUGAUAUCUCCUGAAGCUACCUAGCAGUUUAGACAUCCACCACCUUUCCCACAAAGGAUCCAGAAGCAAUAACAAGACAAGCAGUUUAGCAAAUUCCUGGAAGGGCUGAAACAACUGCACAUAAAUAUACCUUUUGUGGAAGUUUUGGAGCAAAUGCCAAAUUAUGUGAAAUUUUUAAAAGAUAUCUUAGCAUGAAAAAGAAAGCUGAGAGAGUUUGAAACUGUUGCUUUAACACAGAAGAGCAGCCAUAUGCUCAAGAGUAAAAUUCUCACAAAAGUAAAAGAUCCAGGGAGUUUUACAAUACCCUGCGCUAUAGGAACUAGGUAUGCUGGCAAAGCACUUUGUGACUUGGGAGCUAAUAUUAAUUUGAUGCCAUUAUCUGUAUUUAAGCAGCUGGGAGUAGGGGAGUGCAGACCAACAACAGUCACUCUGCAAUUAGCUGAUAGAUCUCAUGCAUACCCUGAAGGAAAAAUAGAGGAUGUAUUGGUGAAGGUUGACAAAUUCAUUUUUCCAGUGGAUUUCAUUGUACUGGACUUUGAAGUUAAUAAAGAGGUACCCAUUGUAUUGGGAAGACCUUUUCUAGCAACUGGAAAGACUUUGAUAGAUGUGCAGAAAAGAGAGCUCACCAUGAGAGUGAAUGAUCAGCAAGUCACAUUUAAUGUCCUAGAGGCUAUGAGAAACCCCGAUGAAGUAGAAGAUUGCAAUUUCCUAAGUGCAGUGGAUUUUGUUGUAGCAAACAAAAUGGACAGAUGCUACAAUAAUGCACUUGACAAAGUCACCACCUUUGAAGAUGUUGCAGCAAUCCAAACAUAUUAGAUGGACAAACAGCAAUCUAAUAGGCACAACAUGUUUAUUGAACACCUGAAUGUUUCAGACAGGGAAGUAAAAACAACUUUACCAUCUAUUGAAUCACCUCCUAGUUUUGAAUUAAAACUGUUACCUUCACAUUUGAAGUAUGCAUAUCUUGGUCAAAACAACACACUCCCUGUAAUCAUUUCUUCUACUGUGGAUGCAGGUCAAGAACAGAGUCUAGUAGAUUUACUGGGAAAAUACAGAAGAGCAAUUGGAUGGACCAUGGCAGAUAUAAAGGGGAUAAGUCCAUCAAUAUGCAUGCAUAAAAUCCUGUUAGAAGAUUGUUCCAACAAUUCGGUGGAGCACUAGAGAAGGAUGAAUCCUAUUAUGAAAGAAGUGGUGAAGAAGGAAAUCAUCAAAUGGUUGGAUGCUGGAAUCAUAUACCCAAUAUCGGACAGUUCAUGGGUAAGCCCAGUUCAAUGUGUUCCAAAGAAAGGAGGGAUAACAGUAAUGGCUAAUGAAAAGAAUGAACUUAUUCCUACAAGGAUAGUGACUAGAUGGAGAGUGUGUAUGGAUUACAGGAAACUCAACAAAGCCACAAGGAAAGACCAUUUCCCACUUUCAUUCAUAAAUCAGAUGUUGGACAGACUUGCUGGAAAACAAUACUAUUGUUUCUUAGAUGGGUACUCAAGUUACAACCAUAUUGCUAUAGCUCUAGAAGAUCAAGAGAAUACUACAUUUACUUGUCCCUAUGGAACAUUUGCCUUCAGAAGAAUGUCAUUUGGGCUAUGCAAUGCUCUAGCAACUUUUCAGAGAUGCAUGAUGUCUAUAUUUUCUGAUAUGGUAGAGCAGACUUUGGAAGUUUUCAUGGAUGACUUCUCAGUUUUUGGAGAAACAUACAAUGAUUGUUUACACAACUUGGAAGAAGUUCUUAAAAGAUGUGAGAUGACCAACUUAGUACUCAAUUCGGAAAAGUGUCAUUUCAUGGUGCAAGAAGGAAUAGUGUUGGGUCACAAGAUAUCCAAGGAUGGUAUUGAGGUAGACAAAGCUAAGAUAGAGGUAAUAGAUAAACUGCCACCUCCAACUUCAGUAAAGGGAAUUAGGAGUUUUUUGGGCCGUGCUGGAUUCUACAGAAGAUUCAUUAAGCAUUUUUCCAAAGUAGCUAAACCACUGUGUUCAUUGCUGGAGCAUGACAAACCGUUUCACUUUGACAAAGAUUGCCUUCAAGCAUUUGGAGAAUUAAAGAAAGCUUUGAUCACUGCUCCAGUAGUUAUAUCUCCAGACUGGACUUUACCAUUUGAAUUGAUGUGUGAUACUAGUGAUCACUCUGUGGGGGCAGUAUUAGGGCAAAGAAAGGAUAAAGUUUUUCACUUCAUCUACUAUGCAAGAAAACUCUCACUCAAACUCAAAUCAAUUACACCACUACAGAGAAAGAGUUGCUAGUAGUAGUAUUUGCUUUUGACAAAUUCAGAGCCUACUUAGUAGGCACUAGAGUGACUGUAUAUACAGACCAUGCAGCAAUCAAAUACUUAAUUUCAAAGAAGGAUGCCAAGCCAAGAUUAAUUAGAUGGAUUUUAUUGCUUUAAGAAUUUGAUCUGGAAAUUAAAGAUAGAAAGGGGACUGAGAAUCAAGUAGCAGACCACCUGUCACGGCUGGAUGCAGACACAAGCACAUUGACCAGAAACGACAUCACUGAAACUUUUCCUGAUGAACAGCUGUUGGUAGUACAAUAAGCACAGAUGCUGCAGCAGUCAGAAUCUCCAUAGUAUGCAGAUUUUGCUAACUAUUUAGUAAGUGGGUUGCUACCACCUGAGCUAAAGUUUUAAGAGAAAAAGAAAUUUCUUCAUGAUGUUAGAAGUUAUCAGUGGGAUGACCCACAUUUAUAUAAGCUAUGCUCAGAUCAAGUAAUAAGAAGAUGUGUUGCAGCAGAAGAGAUACCCCAUAUACUGGAGUCAUGUCAUGCUGCAGCAUAUGGAGGACAUUUUGGUGGUCACAGAACAGCUGUCAAAGUUCUGCAAUUAGGUUAUUAUUGGCCCACUAUUUUUAAAGAUACUUAUGAAUUUGUUAAAUGUUGUGACAGGUGUCGAAGGACAGGGAACAUAAGUAGAAGACAUGAAAUGCCACUGACCAACAUCCUGGAAGUGGAAGUUUUUUAUGUCUGGAGAAUAGAUUUUAUGGGACCCUUCCCGCCAUCUUUUGGGAACUUAUAUAUCCUUGUUGCUGUGGAUUAUGUCUCCAAGUGGGUAGAAGCUGCAGCAUUACCUACCAAUGAUGCUAAAACAGUUGUGGCUUUUCUUCAGAAAAAUGUUUUCUCUAGGUUUGGCACUCCUAGAGCAAUUAUUAGUGAUGAGGGCACACAUUUUACAACAAAAUCUUUGCUGCAGCAAUGAUGAAAUAUGGAGUCAGGCUGAAGUGUCCAACAGAGAAAUUAAAAAGAUCUUAGAAAAAGUGGUGAAUCCAAUAAGGAAGGAUUGGUCUUUACACUUGCAUGACUCUCUAUGGGCCUACAGAACAGCAUACAAAACUCCACUCGGAAUGUCUCACUACCGAAUUGUUUAUGGCAAAGCUUGUCAUUUGCCACUAGAGCUAGAGCAUAAAGCACAUUGGGCACUGAAGAAAUUAAAUUGGGAUAUGCAUGCUGCAACAGAGCAAAGGAAACUUCAACUUUGUGAGCUUGAUUAAUUACAACUAUUUUCAUAUGAAAAUGCAAGAAUCUAUAAAGAGAGGACAAAACACUGGCACGACAAGCAUAUUCAGCACAGGAAAUUCAACCCUAGUCAAUUAGUGUUGCUCCACAAUACAAGACUAAGAUUAUUUUUGGGAAAGCUCAAGUUACGAUGGUCUAGCCCGUUUAAGUUGUUAAAAUCUUAUUCUCAUGGAGUUGUUGAUCUUCUAGAUGAACAAACAGGCCACGAAUUCAAAGUUAAUGGACACAGGGUUAAGCAUUACAUACAUCCAGCAGUAGAAUGUUCAAAGGAGAUGUUACUCCUUAAAGAACCCAGCUAUUGAACAAUGAAGGAAGGUCAGGCUGAAGGACCUUAAAUCAAGCGCUCCAUGGGAAGCAGCCCAUUUGGGAGACAACCACUUCAAACCAAUUUUGAUCUCCUUUGGUUUAGUUGACAGCUCUCCCUCCUUACCAUUUUAUUUAAUUUUGUUCUUUCAUUCUAGCUAUUUAAUUUUAUCUUUUCAAAUUAUUGCAUUCUUUAAUUUUGCUAUCAUUUAAUCUAUUUAUUUUUAAAUGUUAGAAUUAAUUUGAAUUUGUGGGAAGUAUGUGUAACAAUUGAAUUCCAUACUGACAAGUGAGGUUGUAUGGUGGCAGAGUAUAGAGGUGAGCCACGUGUCAGAGGCUUUAGUGUGGAGUAUGUACCGUUGCUAGAGUAAGCGAAUGGGUGCUGCAGCAACCAAUUUUACCGUUGCAAUAAAUUGAAAGAUGAAGCCUCUCACUUACCGUUGGAGAUAAAUCAUGACAGAUGGAGGCUUGGAUGUGGAUAGAAAUUGCAAAUAAAUCUCUGAAAUUAAUGCCUUAAAUUACCUAGCCGAUGUUUUUGGGAUACGCGCUUUAAAUUAAAAAAUAUUUUCUUCCCUCAUUUAUCUUUAGUUACCGUAUUUAUCUCCAAUUAAAAGUCCACUAUAAAAAAGUCAUUGUACUUAGUGCUCUACACCACUAUUCCCCAUCUCCUUCGCAAAUCCAACUCUCCUAAUUCUUAGCCUCUUCUUCUCUUUUUACUCUCAGGAACAGUAGACUAAAUUUGUUACUGCUACAGUAAUGCCGAGAUAUAAGAAAACAGCAAGCCGCCUCAAAGAUCCGUCACGAUUCUAAAGUUACCACGCCGAAAAAAAAUAUGAAGAAUUCAUAGAGCCGCGUAGGAUUCUGGAAGAAAAAAGGUUUCAAUUUCCAGACCAACUCACGGGAAUUGUGCAAACAAUUCAUAAUGCUGCAGCAAAGCGAGGAUGGCUAGAGUUUUACAAACACCCUCGGGAUCCUGUGCUGCCUGUAGUAAAAGAAUUUUACGCCAAUUUGGUAAGCCCUGAUCAGCACAACAUUUGGAUAAGAAAUACACUUGUCCCAUUAGACUCUCGUGUUAUCAAUGCUUUUUAUAACUUACCUGCUGAAAUUACUUGUGAGUAUGCUAAGUUGCGUGAUAAGUUAACCCCGAAAAAGUGGAACACCAUUUUUACAACUCUUACAAUCGAAAGAGCAUCAUGGGCUAACAAGGAAGGGCGUGUAGUUAAUAGGAUAGAUUUGAAACCUAUUGCUAAGAUGUGGGUGAAAUUUCUGAAAUCUAGGCUUAUGCCCACCACUCACACUACUACAGUUUUGCAAGAAAGGUUGGUCUUGUUAUAUGUCAUAGUUCGCGGGCUUCCCAUAGAUGUGGGUAGCAUCAUCGCAAAAGAAAUCCGAGAUUGUGCAGUCAAGACUCACCGAACUGCUGCUUUGCUAUUUCCAUCACUCGUUACUAGCAUUUGUGUAGUUUCAGGUGUUCAUCUUGACGCCAGAGAUGACCAUGUCAAUAAUGAUGGUGCCUUUACGGCAUGAACCAUUGAGAGAGUUGCUGGUGAGAGUGCUGGAACAACCACUGAACCAGCUGCUGAGACAGGAGCAAGAUGAGCUAUUGGCUUAGAAAAGACCAUCCAGGCACUCAGCACAAGUAUAACUCAAUGUACGGAACCACAGCAGUGGGAAAACGAUCGAUUUUGGAGCUAUCUCCAGCACCUGGACAACCAACUACACCAAUUUUCUCUGUACAUGAAACGCACUCACCGGAACUUCCUUGAUGCACUGCUCCAGCAGUACAAUUUUGACACCAACACCACAAAUGCAUCAACAGAGGCUAGUGCAGAAGCCACUGCCACAGAGGAACCAGCAGAAGAUGCUACAGCCGAACCUCAAGCAGAGGAAGAAUCAGAAGAUGCUGAACCAUCUGAUUAGCCUGAGGAAGAAGGUGACAAGUCUGAGAUUGAUAGCUCACCUACAGAGGAAGAAGACAACUCGGAGAAAGACCGUGAGGAACCAACCAUCCUAACCCAGCCCAAAACCAGAAAAAAAAAAAGCACGUUAUUCAAGAAAAUGAGGAGGAAGACCUUGAAGAGGAGCCGUAUAUUCCAGUCCUUGCAGGCAAGAGAAAGGACAAGGGUAAAGCAAAAAUGGCAACAACUCCAGCCUCUGAAGAUGAGAUGGAGCAAGUCGAUGCUAAGCUGGCUGCUGCAGCAGCCAGAGCUAUGCCUACACCUAAGCAAGCUAAGCAACUACUUGCGGUUAUUGCUGCCAUCACAACUGAGGGCCAGGCAGCUGAUGCAUUAACUCAACAACCUCCACAGCAAACUCCUAGCCAGCCUAUUCGCACAAGUCCAAGACAAUCCAGCAAACAAAAAGGCAGUACGUCUACAAGUACUUCUACAGCAACCCCAGCCACAACUCCUCUCACCAGCCGCGCAGUGAAAAAGACAAAGACAUUGCCAGCUACUUCCCCAAAAGCUUCACCAAAGGAUGAGCUGCGCAGUGCAUCCAAGAAGUGCUGAUAGCAUCCCGUCAUGCACUCCAGUCCCCACCACAGGGGAGUACUCUAUCCUUACUAGUUCAUAUUUAAAAAAAAAAAAUUAUGUUUGUCAAUUUGUAUGCCUUUGUUAUGUAUGCUUGUGAGGACACAGCAUCUCUCAAGUUUGGGGGGAUUGUGUCCGAAUGCAUGUGUUUAUGUAUGUGUUUAUGUUUGUGUUGUGUGAAGCUCUGUUAUCUGUUAUUUGUGUAUGGAUUUGAAAACCUAAUAAAGAUAAAUUGAGUGUUAUUCAGUAUUUAUGAGAAUGCCAAGUAGAGAUAGUUAUAGAUAGAAGUGAAAUUAUGUCCCAACACUUAGACUUUGGUUGAAUUGUAUGAGACUGUUAGAGCAAAGCCAAAAGAAUAGAAAAUAUCUUAAGUUUGAAGGGAGAAGCAAGUUGAUUGACUGUGAUAUUUAUGAGAUAAAACUCUACUCCAAUGGCUCAAGUUGCUGAGUAACCAAAUCUGAGUAUGUACCCCAUAUGCAGAAUUGUGUAAAAGGUAGCAAGAGUUAUGAGCAAUGCUGUAGCAAAUAAAAAAAAAAGUCCUAUGUCUAAGGCAUUGAGUAGUCAGGUCUGUUCAUGAACCCCAUGUUCAGCCUUGAGUAAAAGAUACCUUUAGAUGAGAUUAUACCGCAAAUAUUGCUGCAGCAACUCUGAUCUGGGCAUGGUUUAAGUAAUUGGGUGUCAUCAUUACAAGUGAUUGACAUUCACAUGAAAGAUAAAUGUUACAGUAAGGAGGUUGAUUACUCCCCAGUUUAUCAAUGUAAAACAAUCACAGUUUGAAUAUGUGAAAUUUAUGCUACCCCAUUUAUGAAUGAAGUAUAUCACUGCUGAAAUUUAUGCAGUCCUUUGGUGAUGUUACAGCAUAUCUGGAAUUCAAUCAAAGGAAGCACACACACACAAUGGACAGAAAGAAGCUUAAGUCUAGAACUGAUUUACUAUGGCAUUUUGUAUGAUUGGGAUUGUGAUCUGAAGGUGGAAGAAUCCUUGCAAAUUUGAUAAAAGAGCUAAAGUUGUGUGCAUGUUUGUUUGCGGAAAAUGUUAGUAUGUGUCAUUACUUGAAGGCAAGUAAUGGUUUAAGUUUGGGGGUGUGAUAACUCUAAGAAAUGAGAGUUAUUACAUCAAUUCUAGACUUGAAUCAGGAUCAUUUAGAGAACAAAUAAGGUGUUUUUAUUACAUUUUGCUUAAACAUUCAUUUUAGUUGAGUAUUAAUAAGUUUUGCUUGAAUUAUAGUAAUUUGUACUAAAAACAUAUGCAUAAUUGUAGGUUCUUGGAAAGUCUUAAUUCAUGAGGGGAUGUCGAGGCAUUAGAUGAGCAAGAGGAGGAAAGAAGACGGUCAUAAAAGAAGAAAAGCACAAUCGGGAGUAAUGCAGUGCUGUUGUGGAUGUUAGAGCAACCCGUGCUAUAGCAAUCUAGAAGUAAAUGUCGGAGAAAACUUAGGCUCAGGUCAGCACAUGUUUCCUAAUUUAACGCACGCACGCUCAUGGGCUUGUGUUUACCCUAAUUUGCAAUAUAAAAUGGAGGCAAUACCACAAAGAAAUGCGGCAAGGAAAUUAUCAUUAGAAUAAUCACAAAGGAACGAAGAAGGAGAAGAUCAGAAUUGAAGAGUGUUGUUUUGGUAACAUUGGAGAAUCGUGCAGAAUUACUUGGCUUUGAUUUUCACCGUGCUCAACUUAUAUUUAUCUUCUUCUUUUAAUUGUUUUGAUGUAUUCCGAGAUCAAUAUAUUUAUGAUUAUUUUUGUCAUCCAGAUUAUGAACUAAAUUUACUUGUAGUUGAGUGACAAAUAAUCCAAUGGGUUCUUGACUGUUCUUAUAUGUUGUUAUGUUAAUGCUGUAGCAUUUUACUCUAGUAGUUUUUAUGAGUAUAACUGUUAUUUAGGUUGACCACCCAUUUAAUAGUUUCAGUUAAGAUAGAGCAGCAAAAGGGCAUGUCUUAGCGGACAUUAUUAGAGUAUUACUUGUUCUUAAGUCGAGUUUCCUGGAUUAGGUUAUCUUGAAUCCCAUAAGGGCAGUACUUGAAGUUAAGAUUUGUGACACUCUAGACAUAGGUGUUCACCUUGUAGGGUAGAGAGAUUAAAGGAUAUAAUGACGUACCAUAAAUAUAUGAGCAACUGGUCAUUGUUAGUAGAUUUAAAGGUAUGAGAUUUCUAACAUGCGAUAGCUGAGGAUGCAGAUUUAUUCUGCCCAGUGCUGCAGCACUUAUUGUAACAACUGGUGCUAAUUUGGUAAACAACAAUCACCCCAUUAGGAGAGUUUGAUCAUUCAACUACUAUAUUCUCAAUUGAAUCUUAGACACAGUUAACUUAGUUUAUUUCAUUACAGUAUUGUUUUAUUUCUAUCUCUCGCAAUUAUUAACUACGAUAGAAUUAUUUGACAAUUGUUUGUUUCGGUUUUAGUUAAUUUGCACUAUUGUGAUUGCUUUAGCAUUUUGAGUAACAUCAAUCCCUGUGAAGACGAUCUUGAAUAUUCAUCACUUUAUUACUUAUUGUGUAUACUUGCACAUUGGCAUUGGUAGUAAUUGAUUAUAAAAAUAAAUCAACAGGGAGAUAAGGAGAUGCUUCCAGUAAGUUGAUUGUAAGAAACAUCUAAUAUUCGGAGGGAUGUCAUAUUUGCCAAGCACCAAGGCAAGCUACCUCUUAAAUCAUUGCUUGCAAUGUACAACUCUUGUAGAUGCACCAACGAACAGAGGCCUGAAAAUUUAUUAAUUCAACCAUUGGUACAAUAAAACAAUUAACAAAUGCAUAACAUUCUUUUAUAAGUGAUUGGUUUGUGUAAUUAUAUUUUUAAUUGAAAAUUAAAAUUAUAGAUCAAGAGGGGAGGGUGGGAGCAUCUGAUUAACCUUGAUCAAGAAUCAUGCUGCUGUUAAUGCCAAUAGUAGAACCUGACAGUGAUAAGUACUUGAGAGAAGACAUCGAUUCACCGAUGCUUUGAAGAAAGCUGGUGUUGAGUGCACUGCGCAUGAAUUCCAUGUCCAAAUGUUCCAAACUCUUGAAAUGAGGAAAGCCUAGCAAAAACAAUAAAAUAAAUAAAUAAAAAUGUUGAACACUUAAGACGACAUUGAGUUCACAAUCAACACUUUUCUUUUACCUUGACCACGUACGACACCAUUGACUUCACAACCAAUCACCGACAGAUUUUUUAACGAAGGGAAUAUUGAUGCAAUGCUUUACAGAAGGCUUAUAUGGAGAGGGGAAUCGUUCAAUUUCAAAUAUUCCAAGUUGGUGAAAUUGUGCAACUCUGUUUCGAAGCAAUAAUUUUAGCUUUAUUAACAAUACGGAAAAAUAAUUAAUUAUUUAACAGUUUAUUUAUAAAUUUGGCCACAUAUGUACCGUUUAUUAAUAAUAUGGAUAAUUAAUUAAUUAAUUAGCUGCUUAUUUAUAAAUUUGGCCACAUUUGUACCUUUUACUUACCUUGAGUAGUAAUUGUCACUGUUUCCGUAAAAUUAUUAGACGAAAGGUAAAGAUUGUUGAGGGAUGGGAAUGAUCCCAUUGACUGUAACAACUUGCUUCCAUCUCUAACUCCAACUCUCGAUAGAUCAAGGCUUUUCAACUUCCUCAAACCGCUGUAACCUAUUUAAUAACAAUAAUUAGGAUAGGAUUUAAGAAAAUCAAAAUUCAUUGUCUAAAUUUAGAGCUAAACGAAAUAACUGAUUAAUUUAAUUAGGAGUCAAUUUGUAUUUUAUGCUUUGGGCAAAGAUCAGUAUCAUUUUUCAAUCGCUGCAAAGAUUAAAAAAUUAAAAUGAAAUCUUUAUUACAUUUUGUUUUUGAAAUAAUAAUAUUACGUCCUAUUUUUGAAAUAAUAUAAAUUCUAUGUUUCUUUAUUUUUAUUUUUAUUUUUUUGUACCUUUUGGGCCUUCCCUAAUCAAAUGAAUAAAAUUUAUGUAAUUGAAUAAUAUUUUAAAUGUUUACCUUGAGGAACCACAAGAUUGUUGAUUUCAUUGAAGCUCAUGUCCAACAAUUCUAAGUUGUUGAAGGAAUUGAAUUCUGCAAACAUAAACAGACUUAAGACUUAAAACAGAGUAAAUUAAUUAAUAAAUUUAAAGAAAUUAAAACGUCAUUAGAAUUUCGUCUAAACCAAACCAAAUAGUAUUUAAUUAAUUGAUUGAAAAAGUAUGCUUACUUUGUAUGUAAUUCCUUCAGGCUAAUCAAAUUAAAUAUUAAAUUAUGUCGAUAAUACAGAAGUCUAGCUGGCAUAUAUAAAAUGAGAAAGCAGGGCUUAGACUUACCUCGAACAUUGAAUGUUCCUUUGAAUCUCGUACCACUUAAACUAAGAGACUUCAAUUUACUCAAACCUGUAAAAUAAUAAACCAAAUGGCAAAGAAUCCAGCUAAUUUGUAUAAGUUAGCAUUUUUUAUGGUAUUUGUAGUACCUUUUGAGACCACAAAUUUGUCAAUCUUGUUCCCGCCAAUGUCUAGCUCCUCUAAAUCUCUCAAAGAAUCUAAUUCUGUAAUAAGUACAAAUUGAGUUGAAUGUUUCAAACCUCACCAAAUAAUAAUAAUAAUAAUAAUAAUAAGUUGUGGAGGUGUUUGGUUCACUAUUGGAGUUUUUUUUUAAUCUUAAAUUCAAGACAUAUGAAAGUACAAGAUGAAAUUACGAGAAACAUAAAAACUUGUAUUUAUAAAUUGCUUAAAACUGUUUUUUUUAAUAUUAAUCAUAAAAAAAUUGAAUUCAAAGCCUUGAAUCUUAUUUUAGCAAGUUAAUGAAAGAACUUGAAGUUUUAAUUAUGUACCUUUAACGUCAAUACUUCCUUCCAAUCUAUUCCAAAAUAAAUUUAAUGAUCUUAAUGGUGAAAGAUGAGUUAGAGAUGAUAAAAUGCUAUUAUUGAAUGAGUUUCCACUUAAAUUAAGCAUCUUCAAGUUGUUCAAUCUUGAUAGCCUCUCUAUACCUGCAAGUAAAAUAAAAAAAAGAUCAUAGAUACUGGUGUAAUUUCAAAAUUAAUCAUUUAAAAAAAAAGUCAAAAUUGUCGACUAAAUGAAUAUGCAUAUAAUUGCUCGGUCUUGAUAUUCAACUUAAAUUAGGGGGGAGAAAGUAAAUUAAUUAAAUUAAACGAAGCACCUUCAUUCUCAACACAACUGGCUAUUUUGUUGUCAGUUAAAUCAAGUGACUCAAGUUGUUGGAAGGGAGUAAACAAAGAAGCAUUCAGAUACCAGUACUCUCCCCCAUACGUGUCAGAAAGGUCUAGCGCUAUCACUCGGCUCAUGGUGUUGCUGCACUCAACCCUUUCCCACUGACAACAAUCAGUAGCUCCCUCACCAUCUCCCCAGUCGUAAAGAAAAUUAUAAGGAUCAUUGAGGAAAUGUUUGAGUCGCAAAAGAGCAAAUCUCUCAUGAUCCAAACAUCCCUCACUUCACCCACCUUCAAAUAUUAUUAAUAACAAAACAAACAUUAUCACCAUUUUUUUAUUUUGAACCACCCAUUCUAACUAUAUCUUUAAGUUUUAAAAAACACACACACUCUUUCUAUCUUUGUAACCAACCAGAGGACUAUACGCCAUUUGCUUAUAACGCAUGUAACUAUUUAUACACCCAACUAGCUUAUAGUUGACUUUUUUAGUUGUUUCUCCAAGUCCUUCAUGCAUUAAUUUUCUUCCCUUUUUUUUUCAUCUUUGUCAUUUUGCUAUAAUUUGCAACAGCAACGCGUUUUGAGCUAGCAAUAAAUAAUAAUUGAGAGAGAUUGAGAUGACAAAUGGAUAGAAACUAAAAGUAUGGGUGUUUAAUACGAGAACGAUUAUACCCGUUUAUUAUAUUUCAACCUAAAAAUUUACUCUAAGCAUUUAUAAUAAAUAAAAAUAUGAUAAUAAAAAUAAUAAAAAAAUAUGAAUAAUAUAUAUUUGUAAAAAAAAAAGAUUUAUGUGUCCAUUUUGAAAAUUAGCGAGUAUAUGUAAAUAUAAUUAUCAAAACAAACCAUAGAAGUGUUGUUAUUUUUUCCUUUCAAAAAAUCCACCAUUAUAAAAAAAGCCCAAAGACUUUGACAUCUUUUAGGAGUCUUUGGGCCUUGUUUUUUUCCCUCUUUUUCUUUCAUUUGCAUUUUGAUCCACAAGGCCAAAAAUUAAAUUCCACACCUUUGGCAUUUUGUGGAGAUUACAUUUCCAUGUUUUUACUUAGAAAGUAGGUGGAGACGUGGAGUCAAUGCGGCCAAGUGCUCAAUUAUUGUUAGUUAGCAAAAUAGAAUUUUUGGCGAGAUGAAUUUGUUGUAAAAAAGUUUUUGGAAAAAAUAAUAAUCAUCGGAACUUGUCUUGUGUCUUUAUAACAAUUUACUACUGCGAAAUCUUUACAACUUCACAUCUUUGAUUCAAUUAUCGCCACAAAGGCACAAGUACGUCCAUUUGUAAACCAAUCGAUAGAGAUCAAAUUUCAAGCCAUGAACUUGUAUUGUCAGCAAACACCUAAUCACUUUAGAUAUUUGUAUCGUUUAAUUAAUUAAUGAUCACUCUGAAAUUACAGAGGUUGGCCGAAUAUUCCCCUAAAAUUAAUUAAUUUUACCGAAAGGGAAUUAUUAGACAGAUCAAGUGUGUCUAGUUUUUUUGUUGUUUUGUAACAAUCAAUUUGGAAACUCUUCACUCAAGUUAGCAUCUUAGAGAUCAAGAUAAACAAACUCCUAGUGAUGCUAAUGGAAGAGGAAUUUAUAAGAGGAGAAGAGAGAGUAAUUAUGCUUGAUCAAGAAAGGUACCAUUAAAUCUAGAAUAUGACAAUUAAUGGUAGAAAAAUUAACAAGCAUGUAAUCCACGAUCAAAGAUUUUAAAUCCUUGAAAUUUAGAUAACCUAAAAAUUAACAUUGAACAAGAAAUAAAUCAACACUGCCACUUUGAUCACAUAAUCGAUGAAACUUAGGAUAUAUAAUCAACACCUGUUUAUUUUACUAUUGAAUUACUAUUUUUUCUGUAUUAUUUGAAUAAGGGAAUUGAUUUGGAGAAACUCUCACUAUAAUUGAUGAAAAUCAAGAUAUAAUCAAUACAUAUUCAUUUUAUUUUUAAAUUAAUACUUUUCCAUUAUUAUUUGAAGAAGGGAAUUGGUCUCAAAAAAUCUUAUUGUAAUAUAUGUAACUUAAACUUUUUUUUUCUGAAAUAAAAAUUAACUUUUAAGAAGGCUUCAAAUAUGGAGAGGGGACCAGUCCAUUAAUGUCAAUUCUUCCAAGUUAGUGACAUUGUGCAGCUUUAUUUGAUUAGAAGGUGCAACAUCUUUAGCUUUAACAUAUCUUAUUCUUUAAGACUAUUAAAACUUUUAAAUUAUGUCCACAUGCCCACCCUAUAAGAUCCACAAAAGUAGCAGAUAAAAUGGAAGAAGUACGCUAAGGGGCUGUUUGAUUUUAGUUGUGGCUUACACAGCACGAAAUUACACCAAAAAUGCCCCGACCAGAUUUAAUAAAACAAAUGUACUCUUACUCAGUUUAUUAUUUAUUUUUACAUAGAUAUAUUUUCUUUUUUUUCUUUUUUUUUCUUUUUCAACUUAGAAAAGAGAAUUAGGGGACAGAUCAAGUGUGUCUGAUUUUGCGUUGCUUUCUAGCAAUCAACUUGGAAACUUUCCACUCAAGUUAACAUGUGAGAGCUGAUGGAAGAGGAAUUUGAAAAAUCGUGACUCUAAUUUUGCAUAUAUUUGAUUAUUUCAACACUUGAUUGGUUUUGAAUGGUCCAAGAAUGGGCAAGUGACAAUGAGACUUGGAAGUGAUAGUUUGAAAAAGUGAGAUCUUCAAUUGAUAUUAGAUAAAUGAGAGUAGACUAGGAUAUAUUUCCAGUAAGCUUAUGGAGAGAGACAUAUCAAACUUGAAGUAAGAAGUCAUAUUUUCCAAGCACCAAAGACAAUUUAUUGUACCCGGAAUAUAAUUAUGGUCAAUAAAACAAAAAACUCUUGCAGAUUCAUCAACUGAUUGGGUUGAAAACAUAAUUCAUCCUUUAGCUAAUAACAAUUAAUGAACGCAUAAAAUCUUAUAUCUUUUAACAUAAAUGUUAAAUAUUAAUUUUAUUAAUAGUCGCAACCUUAUGCAGGCAUAAUUUGGUCAUGAAAACAAUAAAUCUAUCCGUUCUUAAAGGCUAUUAACUAUAACAAAAAAUCAAUUAAUAUAAUUUUUAUAAGAGGAGAAGAGAGACUAAGUAUCCUUCAUCAAGAAAUGUACCAUUAAGUCUAGAAUAUGAUAGUCAAUGGCGGAAAAAUUAACAUGCGCAUAAUUUAUGAUCAAAUAUUAUAAAUCCUUGAAAUUUAACAAGUCAUUUCAUUAAAAUAUGGAUCACCUUCCACACAUUUUAGAAAUCUUAUCAUUUUUUUUCUUUUUUCAUUAAAUUAUGUUUUGGUCCACACAACCGAAAAUUAAAUUCCACGCAUUUUGCAUUUAGUGGAAUUCUAUGUAUUUUUUAAUUUUACAAAACUUUAGUCGGUGGAGUCAAUGGGGCUAGAAAUUCAUUGAAGGGUCCCGAGAAUCAAAGGUGCUUACUCAAUUAUUAUUUGUAAAGUUGUAGACUUGUAGGGCAGCUACCGGAGUCCACACGUUGUAAUGUUUUGUUCACUAUCAAUCUCAUUGUUGGUCGUUUCCAACACGCUCAAGAAUCCAAUUCUGCAUAAACACAUAAAAUUAAAGACUUAAAACAGAGUUUAAGUAAUUAAUAAUUUAACUGGAAACAAAUUAAAAAGGAGAAUUUAAUUAUUGAAUUCCACAUUGUGCUAUUGAAAAUUAAAAAAAAAAAUUGUUGUCACCUCAGUCAAUUAGAUAAUCACUACAAAUAGUUCUUUAUGUAGAUGAUAUUCUUCUAAUUGGAAAUGAUAUAGGAAUAUUGACUACAAUAAAGAGUUGGUUAGCAAAACAAUUUGAUAUGAAAGAAAGACAUGAGAGAAGCAAGUUAUAUUCUUGGUAUCAAAUUACUACGAGACCGGAAGAAUAAAACUUUAGCCUUGGCUCAAGUGGUCUAUAUCGACAAGAUAUUGGUUAGAUUUAGCAUAGAAAAUUCCAAGACUGGUUUAUUACCAUUUAGACAUGGAAUUGUAUUCUCUAAGGACCAAUCACCUAAAACAUCUAAAGAGAUGGAGAAAAUGAGACGAGUUCCCUAUGCAGAAGUUGUGGGAAGUCCCAUGUAUGUCAUGCUUUGCACUAGGCUAGACAUCUGUUUUGUGGUAGGAAUGGUUAGCAGAUAUCAAAUCCUGGACCUGAACACUAGACUGUAAUCAAGCAUAUAAUGAAGUAUCUUAAAAAAACUAAAACUUAUAUGCUUGUGUAUUCUAGUGAUGAACUCAUUCCAGUGGAUUCUAGAAAAUCAACUUUCGGCUAUAUGUUUACAUUAGGAAGUGGAGCUAUUAAUUGGAGGAGUGUGAAACAAUUUGUAUCACAGACUCCACAACUGAAGCUGAAUAUGUGGAUGCAUCUGAAGCUGCAAAAGAAGUUGUAUGGCUUUGCAAGUUCCUACAAAAUCUUAAGGUGGUACCUGUUGUAACUGCACCCCUUAAACUAUUUUGUGAUUAUGGUGGUGCAGUAGCUCAAUCUAAGGAACCACAAGAAACAAAAACAUAUUGAGAGGAAACAUCAUCUUAUAAGGGAAUAGUAUAGAAAGACUAUAUGACAGUACCCCAAAUGACAUUAGAUGCUUUAUGGUAGAUUUUAUUACAAUGGCCAUUAGUGGGAAACCUUUAUAACCUGCACUUAGAGCCCCUAGAGCAUGUGCAAUAUGCCAGAUAUGCUUUAAAGAGCUAGUGGGAGAUUGUUGGGAUUAUGUGCUCUUUUAAAAGUAUUAUUAAUUUAUUUUCUGAUUAAUAAAAUAUUUGAGAUAUUUCAAUUGCAUAAAUAUAUUGAAUAAGGUCCGUUUAAUCAUAUUAUAUUUUCUCUUGCUAGUUGCUUUUAGUAGUGAUAAAAGCACCCACACGUCAAGUGCAGAUCAAACUUGAGUCAUAACCCAGAAGAUUAUUUGGUGACAGAUCGUGAUCUAACAAGCGUGGUGGUGACAGAUCGUGAUCUAACAGGCGUGAUGGUGACGGAUCAUGAUCUGGGAAGCCUGGAUUAAUUUCAAUUGUUCAUCUUCUCAGUUGCACUCAAUGUGUAUUAGAAUCCACGAAGGUCCGAUCCNNNNNNNNNNNNNNNNNNNNNNNNNNNNNNNNNNNNNNNNNNNNNNNNNNNNNNNNNNNNNNNNNNNNNNNNNNNNNNNNNNNNNNNNNNNNNNNNNNNNAACGUAGAACCCUGUAGUUGGUUGCAGAGAUAGAAAGAGUGAGUGUGUUUUCCAUAGUUAAAGAUAUAGUUAGAAUGGAUAGUUCAAAAUCAAAAAUGGUGAUAAUGUUUGUUCUGUUAUUAAUUAAAUUUGAAGGUGGGUGGAGUGAGGGAUGUUUGGAUCAUGAGAUAUUUGCUCUUUUUCGACUCAAAUAUUUCUUCAAUGAUCUUCAUGAUUGGGUAGAUGAUGAGGGAGCUACUGAUUGUUGUCAAUGGGUAAGGGUUGAAUGCAACAACACCACAGAUCGAGUGAUAGCACUAGACCUUUCUGAUACUAGGAAUUGGGAUUUGGGAGAGUGGUAUCUGAAUGCUUCUUUGUUUACUCCCUUUCAACAACUUGAGUCACUUGAUUUAAGUUGGAACAAAAUAGCCGGUUGUGUUGAGAAUGAAGGUGAAUUUACUUCUCCCUCCUAAUUUAAGUGGAAUAUCAAGACUGAGCAACUAUAUGCAUAUCGAUUCAGUUGACAAUUCUGACAUUUUUUUUAAGUGAAUAAUUAAUUUUGAAAUCACACAAGUAUCUAUAAUCCUUUUUUAUUUUACUUGCAGGUCUAGAGAGGCUAUCAAAAUUGAACAAUUUGAAGAUGCUUGAUUUAAGUGAAAACUUGUUCGACAAUAGCAUCUUAUCAUUUGUAGGUCGUCUUUCAUCAUUACGAUCAUUAAAAUUAUCUUACAAUAGAUUGGAAGGAAGUAUUGAUGUUAAAGGUACAUAAUUAAAACUUUAUCUCUUCUCCAAGCUCUUUCAUUAACUUGCUAAAAUAAGAUUCAAGGUUUUGAAUUCAAUUUUUUAAUGAUUAAUAUUUUAAAAAAAUAGUUUUUAGCAAUUCAUAAAUACAAGUUCUAGUGUUUCUCAUAAUUUCAUCUUGUACUUUCAUAUGUAUUGUAUUUAAGAUGAAAAAAAAAUUCUAAUUGCGAACCGCACACCCCCACAACUUAUUUUUUUGUGAGGUUUGAAACAUUCAACUCAAUUUGUACUCUUUACAGAAUUAGAUUCUUUGAGAGAUUUAGAGGAGCUAGAUAUUGGCUGGAACAAGAUUGACAAAUUUGUGGUCUCAAAAGGUACUACAAAUACCAUAAAAAAUAUAAACUUUUACAAAUUAGCUGGAUUCUUUGCCAUUUGUUUUAUUAUUUCGUAGGUUUGAGGAAGUUGAAGUAUCUCGGUUUAAGUGGCAACAAACUCAAUCAUAGCAUCUUAUCUUCUCUGACUAUCUUUUCUUUGUUAAGAGAAUUAUAUCUACGUGAUACGGGAUUCAAAGGAACAUUUGAUGUUCGAGGUAAGCCUAAGCCUUGCUUUCUCAUUUUAUAUAUGUCAGCUAGACUUGUGUAUCAUCGACAUAAUUUAAUAUUUAAUUUGAUUAGUCUGAAGGAAUUACAUGCUAAUUUAAACAAACUUUUAUUUACCCUGUCAAUCAUUAAUUAAACACUAUUUGGUUUGGUUUAAACCUACUUUUUUAUUUUAUAUGCUAGCUAGACUUAGAUACUAACUAUUUUGAUGAGUCUGAAGGAAUUAGAUACUAACUAAACAUACUUUUAUGUACUCCCUCAAUUAAUUAAUUAAUUAUUUCACUUGGUUUGGACGAAAUUCUCAUGAUGCUUUAAUUUCUUUAAAGUUAUUAAUUAAUUAAUUCUGUUUUUAAGUCUUAAGUCUGGGUAUGUUUGUAGAAUUCAAUUCCUUCAAUAACUUAGAAGCGUUGGACAUGAGCAACAACGAAAUCGACAAUCUUGUGGUUCCUCAAGGUAAACAAUUAAAAUAUUAUUCAAUUACAUAAAUUUAAUUCAUUUGAUCAGGGAAGACGCAAAAGGUACAAAAAUAAUAAUAAUAAAAUAAAGAAACAGAGAAUUUAUAUUAUUUCAAAAACAGGACGUACUAGUUAUUUCAAAAACAGAAUGUAAUAAAGAUUUGAUUCCAGUACUUUAAUCUUUACAGUGAUUGAAAAACGAUACUAAUCCUUUCCCAAAGUAUAAAAUACGAAUUGACUCCCAAUUAAAUUAAUCAUUUAUUUAGUUCAUCUCUAAAUUUAAACAAUGAAUUUUGAUCUUCAAUCCUAUUCUAAUUACAAUUAAAAAACAGGUUAUAGAGGUUUAAGGAAUUUGAAAAGCCUUGAUCUAUCAGAAGUCGGAAUUAGAGAUGGAAGUAAUUUGUUACGGUCAAUGGGAUCAUUCCCAUCCCUCAACACUCUUUACUUGACUUCUAAUAAUUUUAUCGAUACAACGUCAGGUACAGAUGUGUCCAAAUUUAUAAAUAGGCUGUUAAUUAAUUAAUUAAUUUUCUGUAUUGUUGAAAAAGCUAAAUUUGUUGCUUCGAAACAGAGUUGCACAAUUUCACCAACUUGGAAUAUUUGGCAUUGGACUCUUCCUCUCUCCAUAUAAGCCUUUUACAAAGCAUUGCAUCAUUCACUUCGUUAAAAAUAUUGACGAUGACUAAUUGCGAAGUCAAUGGCGUCCUAAGUGGUCAAGGUAAAAGAAAAGUGUUGAUUAUAAAUAAACUAUUAAUUAAUUAAUUAAUUUUCCGUAUUAUUGAUAAAGCUAAAUUUGUUGAUCCUUCCUUUUAAUUCUAAACAGAGUUGCACAAUUUCGCCAACUUGGAAUAUCUGGCAUUGGACUUUUCCUCCCUCCAUACAAGCCUUCUGCAAAGCAUUGCAUCAUUCACUUCGUUAAAAAAAUUGUCGAUGACUAAUUGUGAAGUCAAUGGUGUUCUAAGUGGUCAAGGUAAAAGAAAAGUGUUGAUUAUGAAUAAGCUGUUAAUUAAUUAAUGUUGUUGCUCCUUGCUUCUAAAAUGAGUUGCGCAAUUUCACCAACUUGGAAUAUUUGAAUUGGACUCUUCCUCGCUCCAUAUAAGCCUUCUGCAUCUGCAAUUGCUUGAAGAAUUUAUUUAUUUAUUUAUUAUUGUUGUUGUUGUUGUUGAAAUGGGGUGGGCAAGCGUUCACUCAGUUAAUAUGUGGUGAAUUAAAUAUUACAAUCCAAGUUAGAAUUGUGGAAAAUUAAAGCAAAAUGAGAAAUAUGGACAGAAAGGAAGAAAGUUAAGGGCAUGAAAGACUAGGAGAAGACUGAAGACCACCAAAUAAGUCAAUUGAAAACUAGCUGGGGCUUGGGUGUACAAAUUGUUAGAAGUGUUUGUUAUAAAUCACAUAGAGCCCUCUUGUUGGUUGCAGAGCCAAAGAGACAAAGAGUGUGCAUUUUAUUAAUUAAAAAAAUAUAUAGAAUGGGUGGUUUAAAAUCCAAAUGGUGAUAAUGUUAGUUUUGUUAGUAUUAAUAAUAUUAGAAGGGGGUAGCGUGAGGGAUGUUUGGUGCAUGAGAGAUUUGCUCUUUCGAGACUUAAAAAAUUUCUUCAAUUCUCCUUAUAAUUUUUGUCACGACUGACCAUUGUCAAUGGGAUGGGGCUGGGUGCAGCAACACCACAGGGCGAGUGGUAUCUGAAUGUUUCUUAGUUUACUCUUUUUCAACAAAUUGAGUGGGUUAAUUUAAGUUGGAACAAUAUAGUUGGUAGUGUUGAGAAUGAAGGUGUUUCGUUUAAUUUAAUACUUUCUCCCUCCUAAUUUAAGUCGAAUAUCAGGAUUGAGCAACUAUAUGUAUCUUUAUUCAGUUGACAAUUUUGACAUAUUUUUUUAAAUGAUUAAUUUUGAAAUUACAUCAAACUGAUGUGAUCUCUGUUUUGAUUUUACUUGCAGCACUAGAGACGCUCUCAAGAUUAACCAACUUGAAGAUGCUUGAUUUAAGAGGAAACUUGUUCAAUAAUAGCAUUUUAUCAUCUCUAGCUCAUCUUUCAUCAUUAACAUCAUUAGAUUUAUCUGAGAAUAAAUUGGAAGGAAGUAUUAAUGUUAAAGGUACGUAAUUAAAAUGUCAUCGCUUCUCCCAACUCUUUCAUUAACAUGCUAAAAUAAGAUUCAAGGCUUUGAAUUCAAUUUUUUUUAAUGAGUAAUAUUAGAAAAAUAGUUUUAAGCAAUUCAUAAAUACAAGUUUCAAUGUUUCUCAUAAUUUCAUCUUGUACUUUUGUAUGUCUUGACUUUAAGAUUAAAAAAAAAAAUUAUUCUAACUGUGAAGCAAAUACCCCACGACUAAUUUAUUAUUUUGUCUAGUUAAAAAUGAUAAAAUUUAUUAUUUGCUUAUAUUGAUUAAUUAACUCUAUUUUUAAGUCUUAAGUCUUGGCGUCUUGGCAUGUUUGCAGAAUUUGAUUCCUUGAGCAACUUAGAGGAGUUGGACAUGAGCGGCAAUGAAAUAGACAAUUUUCAGGUUCCUCAAGGUAAACUAUUAAAAUAUUAUUCAAUUACAUUAAUUUAAUUCGUUUGAUUAGGGAAGGCCAAAAGGUACAAAAACAUAAUAAAAAACUAAAGAAACAAAGAAUUUAUAUUAUUUCAAAAAAUAAAAUGUAAUACUAUUAUUUCAAAAAUAGAAUGUAAUAAAGAUUUGAUUCCGGUUCUUUAAUCUUUACAGCAAUUGAAAAACAAUGUUGCUCUUUUUCUAAAGCAUAAAAUAUGAAAUGAGUCAUAAUUGAAUUAGUCAUUUAUUUUGUUUAGCUCUAAAUUUAGAUAAUAAAUUUUGAUUUUUUUCAAUCCCAUCCUUAUUAUUAUUAUUAUUAUUAUUAUUAUUAUUAUUAUUAUUAUUAUUAAACAGGUUACGGAGGUUUGAGGAAGCUGAAAAGCCUGCAUCUAUCGAGAGUUGGAAUUAGAGAUGGAAGCAAGUUGUUACGGUCAAUGGGAUCAUUCCCAUCCCUCAACACUCUUUACCUUUGGGGUAAUAAUUUUACGGAAACAAUGACAACUACAACUCAAGGUAAGUAAAAGGUAUAGGUUUGGCCAAAUUUAUAAAUAAAUUGUUAAUUAAUUAAUUUUCCACAUUAUUAAUGAAGCUAAAUUCCUUGCUCCUUCUUUGUAAUUCUAAACAGAGUUGCACAAUUUCACCAACUUGGAAUAUUUGACAUUGGACCAUUCCUCUCUCCAUAUAAGCCUUCUGCAAAGCAUUGCAUCAAUAUCCCCUUCAUUAAAAAAUUUGUCGAUGUGUGGUUGUGAAAUCAAUGGUGUCGUACGUGGUCAAGGUGAAAGAAAAGGGUUGAAUAUGAACUCACUCAAUGGUGUCCUAUGUGUUCAACUUAUUUAUUUUUUUAUUAAUUUUAUUUUUUAAUGUUUCUACUAGGUUUUCCUCAUUUCAAGAGUUUGGAACAUUUGGAGAUGGAUGACGCGCGCAUUGCACUCAACACCAGCUUUCUUCAAAUCAUCGGUGAAUUGAUGCCCUCUCUUAAGUACUUAUCACUAUCAUAUUCUACUCCUGGCACUAACAGCAUCGAGAUUCUUGAUCAAGGUUAAUGAGAUGCUCCACUCUCCCCGCUUAAUCUAUAAUAUUAAUUUUUGAUUAAAUGUUUAAUUACACAAACGAAUCACUUAUUUUAAAAGAAUAAUACGUAUUCAUUAAUUUUUAUAUUGUAUUAAUUGAUGAAUUUAAUAAAUUUUCAGGCCUCUGUUCGUUGAUGCAUAUGCAAGAGUUACACAUUGCUCAUAACGAUUUAAGAGGUAGCUUGCCUUGGUGCUUGGCAAAUAUGACAUCCCUCAGGAUAUUAGAUGUUUCUUCCAAUCAACUUACUGGAAGCAUCUCUUCAUCUCCCCUCAUUCAUUUGACAUCCAUUGAAGAGCUGAGGCUUUCAGACAAUCAUUUUCGGAUUCCAAUUUCACUUGAACCACUUUUUAAUCACUCAAGACUCCAGAUUUUCGAUGCUUACAACAACGAAAUAAAUGCAGAAAUAACUCAAUCACCUUCUUUGACCCCAAACUUCCAAUUAUCACAUCUCUCAUUGUCUUUCGGUUAUGGAGAUGGUGUCACAUUCCCCAAAUUCCUUUACCAUCAACAUGACCUUGUGAAUGUUGAUCUCUCACACAUAAAGAUGAAUGGAGGAUUUCCAAAUUGGUUGUUGGAAAACAACACAAGAUUAGAAACUCUUUCUUUGGUCAAUGAUUCUCUUGCAGGACCUUUCCGAUUGCCAAUUCAUUCACACAAGCAGUUAAGACUGUUGGAUGUCUCCAACAACAACUUCCAAGGCCACAUUCCAGUAGAAAUUGGAGAUAUUUUACCAAGUUUAAUAUCCUUUAACAUUUCAAUGAAUGCUUUAAACGGUAGCAUUCCCUCUUCAUUUGGUAAUAUAAACUCCCUUCAAAUUCUGGACUUAUCCAACAAUCAAUUGAUUGGUGAAAUACCCGAGCACUUGGCUGUGGGUUGCGUCAACUUGGAGUAUCUUACAUUAUCAAACAACAACCUAGAAGGUCAUAUGUUCACUAGAAAUUUUAACCUGACAAACUUGAGAUGGUUACAAUUGGAAAGCAAUCACUUCGUAGGAGAGAUCCCACAAAGCUUGUCUAAAUGCUCUUCACUAGAAGGAUUGUAUCUUAAUAAUAACAGUCUCUCGGGUAAGAUUCCACGAUGGUUAGGUAAUCUCAAAGGGUUAAAACAUAUUAUAAUGCCCGAGAAUCAUCUUGAAGGUCCUAUUCCAAUGGAGUUUUGUCAACUUUAUUCGCUUCAGCUUUUGGACAUUUCAGACAACAACAUAUCUGGAAGUUUACCAUCUUGUUUCCAUCUUCUCUCUAUCGAACAAGUUCAUCUUUCAAAAAAUAUGUUACGUGGACAGCUAAAAAGAGGUACAUUCUUUAAUUGCUCUUCCCUUGUGACAUUAGAUCUUAGCUAUAAUCGUUUGAAUGGCAGCAUUCCGAAUUGGGUUGAUGGGCUUUCUCAACUAAGGCACCUUAUCUUAGGUCACAAUAAUCUUGAAGGUGAAGUGCCAGUUCAAUUGUGCGGAUUAAACCAACUGCAAUUGUUAGAUCUUUCUAAUAAUAAUCUUCAUGGCCAUAUUCCUCCUUGCUUUGAUAACACCACACUUCAUGAAAGUUAUAGCAAUAGUUCUAGUCUUAAGCCAUUUGAAAUAUCUCUUGUCAUGGAAAGCGGGAUGAUCUAUGCAGAAAAGCAAAUCCAUGAAAUUUUUGAGUUCACAACAAAGAACAUUGCGCACAUUUACCAAGGAAAAGUGCUUAGCCUCCUAUCAGGACUUGAUCUUUCUUGCAACAAGCUAAUCGGUCAUAUUCCUCCUCAAAUUGGAAAUUUGACAAGGAUUCAAACAUUGAAUCUAUCACACAACAACUUGAUAGGAUCGAUCCCAUCAACAUUUUCAAACUUGAAGCAAAUCGAAAGUUUGGAUCUUUCUUACAACAAAUUGAAUGGGAAAAUCCCUCAUCAACUUAUGGAGUUAAACGCAUUGGCUGUUUUCAGUGUGGCAUACAAUAACUUAUCAGGCGAAAUUCCAGAAUGUAAAGCACAAUUUGCAACCUUCAACGAGAGGAGCUAUGAGGGAAAUACUUUUCUUUGUGGACUGCCAUUGCCCAUUUGCAGAUCACCAGCAACUAUGCCAGAGGCUUCAAUUGGCAAUGAACGAGAUGAUAAUUUAAUUGACAUUGACAGUUUCUUUAUCACAUUUACAACAUCAUACAUAAUUGUGAUAUUUGGAAUUGUUAUUGUUUUAUAUGUAAAUUCUUAUUGGCGACAUAGAUGGUUUUACUUUGUUGAAAUGUGGAUAACUUCAUGUUACUAUUUUGUUGUAGACAAUCUUAUUCCAACAAGAUUUUGUCAUUGAAAUUAAUUAGUAGUUUAAUUACGAUUCUUUAAGUACUAAUCAGGUUUUCUUGGGAAAUAAAUUUUUUUAUUUUUUAUUAAAAUUGUAGUAGUAUUUAGCAUUAUAUAGCUUCCAACUUCCAAGCACUUCACAUUUGUCUCUACACUUAAAAAGCGAGUGAUCAUGUUUUGUAGAUCUGGAUUUGGAGCAGGAUGGAUCCAAACCCAUAUCUAUCCAUCAUAGCUUAUAGCUUCCCUAUACUGUGCAGCAUACUUAAAUAAGAGAACCAUCUCCAAUGUUAAAAGUAGCCACUCUAUAACAAUCAUUUAGAAACUAUAUUCAGAAUAGUUUUAUAAUCAUACACAAGAAAUGAAACACCUAGAUGCACUUGAUCGCCUAUUUUACUUUGAAAAAGAACAGUUAUGGUGCUUUCAUCAUCUUCUUCACUAGCAACAUUAACACUAAAUCCACCGAUGGACCCAGACAUUUCAUCAAGAAAGGUAUAUAUCUAAUAAAGUUAAAGCUUGACAAAAAAUUCAGGAAGAUUAAUGCCUCGCCACAACAAGGGCCACAACAACAUCAAAGUAGAGAUGAAGCAGUAUUCUCAAAGCUAAAACUCUCAAAUCCACCUAGGGGUGUUUAGAAUCCAAUUUGAUCCGCUCAAUCCGUCUAAUCCAUAGAAAUCCAAUUUGUAAAAAUCUGAUCCGUGGAUUGGUGGAUUAGAUUAGAUUGAAAAUUUGAUAAUCCGCAAUCGGUGGAUUAGAUACGGAUCUACUUCUGUAAAUCUAUAAAAAUCUGUGAAUCCGCAAAAAAAUAAAAAGUAUUUAUUUAAUUAAAAAAUAAAACUUGUAAAUAUGGUAUUAGUACUUACUAGUACAUAAAUAAGUUAAAAUAUAGUUAUAUUAACAGUAUGUUAUAUCUUAUCCGAUAAUAAUAAAAAAUAAAAAAAUAAUUAAAUAAACAAAUAUAGCUUUCUAAAUAGUUAAUUUCUAUGUACUGAUCUAAACGAAUGAGAUUUUUUUCGUUUUGAUGUGUUAUAUUUCGAAACUUUAAAUGAAUUUUUUAAGCUUUAUUUAAACAAUUAAUUUAUUUAAAUCUUAUUUAAUUUUAAAUUUGAAGUCCGUAAACCAAUCCGCAAAAUAUUAGAUUUGGUCAAAUCUGCAUCCGAUCCGUAGAUGUAUGGAUUGGAUUUGGAUUGAAUUUUACCAAUCCGUGGAUUGAAUUGAAUUGAAGAUUUAUAAUCCGCAAAAUCGUAGAUCGGAUAUGGAUUGAGGUCUAAUCCAUAAAAUCCGAUCCACGAACACCCUUAGUUGGAUUCUUGAGUGAGAACAAUUCCUAGGCCAAAUCCAAAUUGUCUACAAGAAAUCCAACGUCCUCAAGAGAUCAUAUAUAGUUUUCAAAUUGCGGGAAAGCUCUAAAACUUGUGAAUUGAGAAAUUGUACAUGCAUGUCAAGCUUUAACCAAUGAAUUUGCUUUAAUUUAUCAACAAUAAGAAUAUAAGAUGAGAUUUGACCUAGUUGUUACUCUUGUGAAUAAAAAAAUUGUGUGCCUGAACAUGAUUUAACUAAUGAAAUGAAUUUUCUUUAAUUUUUUUUAAUAAUAGGAUGAGACUUUCCUGAAACGAAAAGUACGGAUAUAUAAUUUGUUGGCUUUAGUUACCUUACAUAAUAAUGUAUGGUACAUAACCGUUUGAUGAAAAUCCAACAGUCGUGGAAAUAAUAAAAUUUUAUUAUCUUAUAUUUUCACAACUGUUGGAUUUUCAUCAAACGGUUGUGGAAAAUCAAAUGGUUGUGGAAGAGUCAUUUACCUUACAUUAUUAUGUAAGGUAACAAGCUCCUAAUUUAUUUAGUAUGAUUGAAAAUUAUGAAUGAAAAUAGUUUUGCCAAAAUUGACAAAAUCAAAAUCUUUAAAUUAGUGAAAAGUCUUCAAGUCCUAUGUGAUAUAAACACGUAUUUGGCCUACUUCUUAGAACUCUUAUGGCUAUAGUCAAGCUAGAUGAAAAAGAGAUUUACUAAUUCUGAGUUAGAGAUCAUGAUGGUAACAUCUACACCUUACUCAAUAAAAUUCUUUGCUUAUUUUUUUAUUACUUAUGGUUGAAUUAGAAAUUCAAUUAUUCUUUUAUAACGUGGUUUAAAAUAUUUAAUAAAAGGAAAUUCUUAAAUACUUUGGAGAUUUCAGAGCUUUUUUUUUAAUUUUUAAAAAAGAUAGAGAUGUGACAAAACUAAAAAAAAAAAAUUAAACUCAGAUGACCAACUAAAAGUUAUCUGAUCACUUUAUUUGAACGAAAACUUUAAUGCUGUUAUGAAAAUGUGUAGAUCAAGCAAUGAAAAAUUCCAAAAUAUUGGUAAUAACUUCAAAUUACAACGACGGAGGUAGGUUGACGGCGACCUUAUGUAGCGGAGGCAGCCAUAAAUUUUAAAUUUUGUUUGCGUUGAAGUCAAAAUUCAACUGUCGCCGACCCAUUUGGUUUGAACUCUAUGUCAAUCGGGUCUGCCCAAAACCAAACACAACCCAAACCAUAGCCAGCAUAGGUGCUAAGAAGAUUCUUUUACUUUGUCACUUGUCGCCUACAAUGAAAUUGACAUUAAACAAACAUUAAAACGUGUGGACUCCGAUAGCUGCCCCACAACUGUACAAUAAUAAUUGAGUAUGCACUUUUGAUUCUCGGGACCUUUCAAUGAGUUUCUGCCCCGCUGAUUCUAUCAACUAAAGUUUUGUAAAAUGAAAAAAAAAAAGUACAUAGAAUUCCACAAAAUGCAAAACGUGUGGAAUUUAAUUUUUGGCCGUGUGGACCAAAAUAUAAUUUAACGAAAAAGGGCAAAAAUGGUAAGAUAUUUAAAAUGUAUGGAAGAUGAUCCAUAUUUUACUGAAACGACUUAUCUCGAACAUUAAGAUGAUUGAUUUUUUCUUUUUGAAUAAUAUCAACUUCCAUAUCUUUCUACCGGAGAACAUGCUCACAUUAAAGUCUAUCUUACUAAUUUGAAAAAGAAAAUCAAAUCAACACCAAAGCAAUGAAAAGUAAAGCUUUUGAAUUUUAACUCCGGCUGGCAAACGUAUUCAGGAAUUCUUCCCAUUGCAUAUCUUAUUCCUCCAUCAAUGCAAUAUUAAGUAAUUUUUCUUUAUCAUAUUCUUUUCUUUGCAUUUCUUCUUCCUCUAUCAAUGCAAUAUUUGAACAAUUAAGAAAGAGUUUAAGAACAUAAAAGAUCUCCUAGAUUUAUACGGUAUAACAAAUUUAAAUUCUCAAUUAUAAUGGAUAAUAAUUAAACUAAUAAUUAUUUAUUUACUUAUUUUAAUAGUUUCACCUAAGAAUAAUAUUGUAAUUAGAAAAAAUCUAAAAAGCGGGGUGGUUUUAUACAAAAUCAAUUGCAUACACAUAUCCAGAAGCAUAUGCGGAUGCAAAUAAUAUUUUUUAUUCUUUUUUUAUAAGAAAAUUGUGUAUUGAGAUGAAUAAAAUGUUUAAUUUAAUUAAUUUCCUUACUUUCAUAUACAUUGUCUUUCUAUCUAAAGAAAGCUCAUGUUUGUUAGUAUUCAUUCUUAGAGAGGUGAAAAAAUUACAAAUCUUGAACAACAAGGAGUAGUUUAAUUGCCACUAACUUUACUUGGCCUUCUUUAGUUGGAGCUGUGUUUUCUGAUAAGCCAAAGAAUUAGUAGCUGUUAGAAAGCUGAAAUGAGAUUGUAAACUUUGUUUGGAAGCUAAGAAAAUGAAAAGAAAAUGUUCUGGAAAUUUCUUGAUUUUAUUCAAUUUUUCUCAUUACAUAACAAAUACAAUCACGAUAGUAUUUAUACUAAAUCAAGUCUCUAAAACAAAAAUAAUAGUUUGCUUAACAGCUGACGAACAGGACGUAAUGCAUGCUUAACGGAAUUGCUGAGCUGGCUUCUUUUCUUAACUAACUGCUGACGUGUCAUUGGCACACACGUGUUGAAUAUGCAGCUCCCUUUUGUACAAUGUGUGCUUCCUUAACAGCCCCCCUCAAACUCAAGGGGCAGGGAUGCACAUUGAGUUUGCUUCUAAAGUAGUUAAAGUGAAUGAAUGUGAGAGGCUUGGUCAAGAUGUCUGCAAUCUGCUCUUCACUGGGAAUGUAAUUGAUCUCCAGCUCUCUUGCCAACACUUUAUCUCUUAUGAAGUGCAUGUCUAGUUCAAUAUGUUUAGUUCUCGAGUGGUAGACAUGAUUUUUGGCUAGCUCAGUUGCACUUAUAUUAUAGCACUAUUUUGUAGGCACUGAAACACAUUCUAUCUUGAUCGUCUUGAAUAAUGACUGCAACCAUGUAAUUUCUGCACUUGCAAAAGCAAGAGCUCUGCACUCACUCUCUGCACUUGAUCUUGUGACUAUUGAUUGCUUCUUGGAUGACCAAGAUAUCAAAUUAUGCCCCAAGUAAAUGCAGUAUGCCCCUAUUGAUUUUUCUAUCAUCAACAUCAUAUGCCCAAUCUGCAUCUGCAUAUUCUAUUAGCUUUAUUUCUCCACCAGCUGUACACUUUAAUCCAUAGUCUUCUGUUUCUUUCAAAUAUCUAAGUAUCCUCUUACAAGCCAUGAUAUGUUGAAGUGUUAGUGUAGACACAUAUUGACUUAAUUUGUGCACUGCAAAAGCAAUUUCUAGCCUAGUCAGGACUAAAUACUGUAACUCUCCAAUCAAGCUUCUAUAACUAGUUGCAUCUUCAACAUACUGACCCAAAGAUCCCUUAACUUCUUUAUGAAGUUUUGUUCUUGUAACCAUUGGAGUAUCACACCCUUUGCAGUCAAGCAUAUCAACUUUUCUCAGCAAGUCUUUAAUAUAUUUUUUUUUGGGACAGAUAUAUAUCAUUCUCAGUAUAAGAGACUUCUAUACCAAGAAAAUAUGAAAGCUUUCCUAAAUCUUUUAAUGCAAACAUUUUGCUCAAACCUGAGAUAAAUUUUUCAAGUUCAUCACUAUUAGGUCAUGUUAUCAAUAUGUCAUCAACGUAAAUCAGGAUUAGUAUCAUUGAAUUCUGUUCUCCCUUGAAAAAUAGUGAAGUGUCGGCUCUGGAAUUUUGAAAACCCCAAUUUGUAACCAAACAACUCUUCAGUUUGUCAAACCAUACUCUAGGAGAUUGUUUCAACCCAUAUAAGGCCUUCUUCAACUUGCAUACAUAAUCAGGUCUUAUCUCAUCAACAAAUCCUUCAGGUUGGCACAUGUAAACAUCCUCUGUCAAGUCUCCAUUUAGGAAAGCAUUACUAACAUCUACUUGUCUGAUCAUCCACCUAUGCAUUACAGCCAAGCUCAAUAUAACUCUCACUGUAGAAGCCUUUAUAACAGGGCUAAAUCUUUCAAAAUAAUUGAUUCCUUUAGUUUGUUGGAACCCUUUUGCAACCAACCUAGCUUUAUAUUUGGCAAUACUGCCAUCACUAUUUUGUUUGACUCUAAACACCCAUUUGUUUCCAACAAUUUUGUAUUCAGCUGGAGGUGGUAUAAGAGACCAAGUCUCAUUUCUGAUCAAGGCUUCAUAUUCCUCUUUCACGGCCUUAUACCAGUGUUUAUCAUUAAGAGCUUCUCGAACUGUGUUAGGUUCUUUGUUGAUCAAGGUGGUUGUGUACAACUUAGGCUUGAAUAUUCCAGACUUCGAUCUAAUGGUCAUUUUGUGUGUGGGUUGUGAAGUCAGAAUUCUGUUUGGACUGAGUUCAGUUUGUUGUUGACUGGUUACAUGUGGUUCAAAUUGUGUUUGAGUUGGUUCAGGAAUAUGACGGAUAGUUUGUGAUGUUGAUGAUUUUGAUAUGAAUGACUAGAUGAUUCUUGUUGAUGCUGAUUAUUUGUAUGCUCAGGUAAUACAGGUGUUUGUUCAUUACUCGGUACUCUUGCUGAGUAAGUAUCUUCAAAGCUGCUGUUGAGUAAGGGUAAUGUUGAGAGAUGAUAGAUUUGUUGUUUAGAGAAAUUUGACACUGGAGUUUCUGAUUGGAUGACAUUUUCAGAAGAAGAAGUGGCAAAGAUUGUUGCAUAUGGAAAUACAGUCUCAUCAAAGACAUCAUGCCUAAGAAUAUGAACUUGACCUGAGCUUGUAAGACAUUUGCAUCCUUUAUGAGAUGAGCUAUAUCCAAUAAAGAUGCAUUUGCUAGUAUGAAAAUCAAACUCAUGUCUGUUAAAGUCUCUCAUGUAUGGAUAACAAAGACAACCAAAUCAUUUAAGGAAAUUGUAAUCAGGUUUAUGCUUGAAAAGUUUCUGAUGUGGGGAUAAGAGUCUCAAUACAGGUGUUGGCAACCUGUUUAUGUGAUAUACUGCUAUAUGAACAGUUUCCCACCAGAAUUUGAAAGGAAGAUCAGCUUGAGUUAAAAGAGUCAAGGCCAAUUCAAUUAUAUGCCUAUGUUUUCUUUCUACCAGUCCAUUCUGGUGAUGAGUGUAAGGGCAUGAGUGUUUGAAAAUGAUCCCAUUUUGGUUCAAAAAAUCAGUGAAUACUCAAUAUUCUCCCCCUAGUCAGAUUACAUCAUCUUAAUUGUUGUAUUGAACUGAUUCUAUAAUUCUGUCUUUAGAAAUGCAACUAAAUUUUUAAUCUCUUACUCUACAUAAAAUUGAAAUUCGAGUGGCUUAUCAAAUAAAAUUAAAACUAUUAAUUAACCAAAUAAAAUUAUUUAAAACCAUUGGGUAUGGUAGCAGGAGUUCUUGAAACUAUCGAUGCCAUGAAAUUUACUGGCGAAAAGGGUUUUAGAUGUCUAUUUUAUAAAUCUUUUAAUAAUUUUUUUAUUUACCAUUUUACUAUCCAUGGUAAAAGUGUCGCAUCGACAUUGAACAGUUCAACAUAUCAGUCAUUUCUCAUUCAGUCAUUAAGAAUUUACGUUUGGGGUAUUUUUGUAAUUAUGAGAAGGUAAACUAAUCGCAAAAUUCAUUUGGCUUGCACUUGCUCGCCUUUGCUGUGUGUUUGGUUAUGGCGUUAUCAUUAUCAUCUUCUCCACUCCUGCUGACACCAGACCUUAACCGUUCAGAUUCCCUUUCUCGACUGUCAUACCCUACGCCCCGUCUCCGUGUCUCCGAUAAACAGUGCUCAAUUAAGACCAUCAGAUUAUCCCGGACCCACAUUAAUCCAACGGCUCACAAUGACCGACAACCUCUCCAUCUCCAUUACAAGCUCCCUCUUCAGCUGGCUUCUUCUUCCGUCCUACUCUUUCUCGGAUUCGGAGCCCGUAUAUGCUCGGCUGGUCCCACGCAGCUCCCUCUCACUCCAGCUGUCAACCAACAAGACCAAUUGCUUGAUCAAGACACAGAACAAAAAGAGGAUGAGAAAUUGAAUCAAGAAUUUGAGAAUUGGAAAUGGAAGACGUACGCAUUGACCGUGCCUUUGAGAGUCGUUUCUCUUCAGAAUUCAGUGCCUCAAUCUUGGGUUAAGGAUUUUAUGCGAAGUCAAGGAAAGAGAUUGAAGUUUCAGAUGAAUUUGUGUGCUAGCAUUGAUGGGAUCGUUAACAAUUUAUCUACGCCCUUUAACAAAGUUAAGGCUAAGUCAGCUUCGUAUAUGGCUGCUGAUUUGGUUAGUGUUGGUGAUUCAUGGCUCAGUUUUGCGAUUAAAAAGAGAUUGAUCGAGCUAAUAGCUGAAGCUGAAGAUCAAGAUUGGUUCAAAUGCUUAAGUCACAAAUGGAAGGUAACAUCUUUAUCUUUUACCCGAUAAUUUUUAUUGUCUUACCUUGAAAUUUGGUAAUGUAAUUUGUUCUCUAUCUGUGUUACCCUUUAUAGUCAUUUUAUUUAUUUGUUUAUUGCUUUUAUUUGCACUAACGAAAUCUCAGGUAUAUCUACGCAGCAAUGAUGCAGGAGAAAUUGAUCCUCGAGGUCAAAUAUGGGCGGCACCAUACAGGUGGGGCACAAUGGCGAUAGGCUACAAGAAAAGUAAAUUUCAAAACCAUAAUUUGGCUCCGAUUGAGGUAAUAAUUGUACUUAAACUCAUUUAGUUUAAUAUCAAGCAAAAUCAAGACUGCCUUUCUCUUCAAUAUUUUCAAUGAUAAUAUCUUUAGAAGCAUCUCAUUGACGGGUAACAAUGGUAUCCCUGAAAGAGUCUAUAAACUCAAUGAUAUUAUCUUCUACAAUGGCUCAUUAAACUUUGUCGUUGCAGUCAAAUGUACACUCAGAGCAAUGAAAAGCUAUGCCACUGUAGCAUGUAGUGAUGGCACUUAAUAAGUGAAUUGCUAGGAUGUGAACUAGAAAAAUUAAAUAUUGUCUCCUUGGGUAUGCUAGCUCGUAAGUCAGGGUUACUAUUAGAGCUUAAGAUACUAUAACCAUGAGAAGCUAUUGACUGCCAAUUAAAAUAUCCAUUAAAAUGUCUAGGGAGUUAUGAAGGUGGAGGUAGCUUCCAAUAACUAACUUGAGUUUGGUAAAACAAACAGACAGUGUGUCUCAUGUCUCACAAUUCAAAUUAUCAUCUGUAAUGAUGGAGAAUUUUUCUAAUGUAUGAAGUAUGCUUUCAUACGUGGAUUAGCUUGGAGAAGAUAUCUCAAAAUAAAGAAUAUGGGGAGCGAAUGGGAAAAAAACAGUUCAGUAGUUUAUUAUUCUGUAGUCAAGUUUUGUCUUGAAAAUGGUCAAAAUUUAAAUGAAUAAGGACAGGGGAUCUUCAUUCUUUUUUCCCUUUUUUAUACCAAGAUAUCUUUCAACCUUUAUAUAAUCCCCACUGGAUAUCUGCUUCUAAUAAUUAAAAUAAAAAUUUCACCCACACAAAUAAAUACUGACCAAGCUCUAACAAUAAAAACUAACAUCUUUAGUCAAGUAACAUCUUUAGUCACGUAAUUUACAGUUCCUCAUCAUCUUAGUGUGAGCUAUCAGUACGAUCUAAAAACAUAAUAAAACUGGUUUGAUCCUGUUUAUUGAUGUUUAAAUGUUGUUUAUUGUGACAAGUAAAUUAGUAAGAUCUUGUUUGAAGUUGUUUUCCGAAAUGAACUGCCAAAUGGUAGUUUUUUUGGGGCAUCUGAUGGCUCUUUUUUCCUCAUUUUAAACAUGUGCCUGCUUGGAAUGGGAAGGAUUAGGCUGCAGAGUUGUUAUAUAUUUUGACAUGCUCUGGUAAUUACACAAUUUGUUCACACUGGAAAUUAGAAUGAGAAAUUUGUUGAUGCUGUUUUGAUAGAUCUGCAUUCUAUGCACAAUAACAUGAUUAAUGAAAAUGGAUUGUAGGACUGGAAAGAUCCGUGGUGGCCUGAGCUCGCAGGAAGAAUUUCAAUGGUUAAUUCUCCCCGAGAGGUUAUUGGUUCAGUUUUGAAGUAUAUGGGAGCAUCAUAAAAUUCAAACAAUAUUGAUUUGCAAGUUGCUGGUGGGAAGAUUGCUGUUCAGCAGAAUCUGGCAUUACUGGCAAACCAGGUACUCUUAAAGAAAUGAUAUCUGAUCAUUGCAUGUUAUUGCCUGACAACUGAUUUUGUUUGUAGAAGUCUGCUUCUUCAUACAUAUGAAUGCAUAUGCUAGUGUUUUCUUCUCCUUUUCAUACAUAUGAAUGCGUAUGUUGGUGUUGUCUUUUCCUUUUCAUACGUAUUAAUAAUACAUAUGUUGGUGUUCUCUCCUGAGAUGGAUGCAAUAAAGGCUUUUGCUCCUAAAUUUAGCUGAAGAAAUGGCAAGGGAUGUGAGAUUCUGUCUCAUUAAAUUAACAAAAACCCAAAACAAUGAAAAACCAUAAUAAUGUGGUGUGGGUAAACUGGCUCCAUUUGGUUCGUUUCCUUAAUGUGAAUACGCAAACAAUGGAGACUAACAAAAUGAAGUGACAACAACAAGUCAGUGUCCUUUGAUGGAUGCAUUUUUAAGCAGAAAUAGGUUUGUAAUUGACCAAAUUUGUCUGGCAUGCCAAUUUCGAAAAAAUUAAAUUAUGUGAUUAUUACCUGUAAUGAAGGGGGAUAGUAGGUGCAAUCAGGUGGAUCCCGGAAAGUUCAACAAAGUUCUGGUAUGGUGUAUUGAAAUUGGUUUGUGCAACUCAAGAGUCUUUCAGGUGAACGAUGAUGGGUUUUGAUUUAUGAAUGUUAUAAAUCUACUGUGCAUAGUAUUCUAGUAGAAUCAUUUAUAAGUUCUAGUUAUUGAAAUUGUCUACUUUGUCCGGUUUGAGUUAAGGGCACAUGUAAUAUGAAAAAUAGUUGUCGCAUCUUUUAGGUUACCUAACAUUUGAUCAAUCCUAUUAUGAGGGCUUCAAGAUGUCUAACAAUAUGUAGAAUGCCCAUGCUCCUCCCCAUUGUUUAUCUUAUACAAUAAUUUGUUUUAGAUGCUAAUAUCUUUGUCGAUACUGGUAACAUUAUUACAAUCUCUGCUUUUAUUGGGUUCUACAUAGGUUCGACUGUUUGACAGUACACACUAUCUGAAGGCAUUUGGAAUUGGAGAUGUAUGGGUUGCUGUUGGGUGGAGUAGUGAUGUUCUUCCUGCUGUCAAACGUAUGUCUAAUGUUGCUGUUGUUGUUCCCAAGUCUGGUGCAAGCUUAUGGGCCGAUCUUUGGGUAUUCCCAUGCCUGCCAUUCUACUUCGAUAUUCACUUUGUUAUCACCUUCAUAUUAGUGAUCAGUAAACACGAUAAUGUGACUAAUAAGUUUGUAUUCUCUUUAUAGGCGAUCCCUGCUGCCUCAAGACUUGAAACAAAACAAAUUGGAGGGCAAGUCAGAGGUCCGUCUCCAUUAAUCCAUCAAUGGAUAGAGUUCUGCUUGCAAACAGCAAGAGCAUUGCCUUUCAAGCAAGAGGUUAUCCCAGGCGCAUCUCCCUCUGCCCUUGAAAGUACUCUGGUUAAGUUGCCUGAAGAACUUCUGAAGGGUAAACCAAGUGUGGAUACUAACUUAAUUGCUGGAGUACCCCCCCGCUGAAAUUCUGGCCAGAUGUGAGUUUUUGGAGCCAUUAUCUGAAGCUACAUUGUCAGAUUAUGAGUGGCUGGUUGCUAAUCUGCAAAACCUGCUCCUGUCUUGAUGAAAAGGGUGCAGCAUUACUUGUCAUCAUUAAUCCAAAGCUUUCUAGCAAAGCUACAUUGAAAAGUUAAUGGCACUGCAUACAAUCAUGAGUUUUAAUGGAGCAAGAACUAAAUACAAUUAUCGCUAACAAAUACUGAAAACACAACCCACACAGGAAAUCACCCUUCGCGUGGGGAUGGAGAUGUUUACUGGAGCGAUAUUGAAUAUGUGCAAGGUGUUGUCCACUGCUCUUUGGGUUAUGGUGUGACUUGCGAUUUCAAGAUUGCCCAGAAACAAUGGAAAAGAUUAACAUAUCCUCCCAUGAGUGAAAACGGCUUGACUAAUUCUAAUUACCGAAUUGACUCAGGAUCAGGUAGCAAUAAUAACAGUUAACUAACAUUGCACAGUCCCGAGUACUUUUCCAGGAUCAGAUACAACGUGGUCUAAUGUUGAUAAUAAUACCUUAUUAAAGGACAAAUCAUUGUUCUUGGGUGUUGAUAGUAAUAGCUUAUUAAAGUAGAAGAUGAAGGUUGUGCAGGUGAUUUCAGAAAUAAAAUACAUUCUGAGAGAUGAUGGUCUACUAUUGCAAGCCCCCAGAUUUCAGAAUCUUUUGAUUGCGGCAUUUGGCAACGAUUCCACAAAUUCUAGAUUCCAACUGAGUUAUCAAUUGAAAAUGAAGUUGAAUUGAAAAAGAACAACAAAUACACAGUGAAGUUGAAUUGAAAAUGAAGUUGCAAGUUGCGCCCAUAGCUGCUGACUAAUAAUAAAACGAGACAAAUUAAUUAAACUCAGAUCUCUAUGUACAUGUCAACCUAACUUUACUUUUCCUUGUUUGUUAUAUUCACUUAACACUUGAUGCCUAAACCAUUAAAACCAAAUGACCAUAGAGGUAUUUGUAAUAUGUAAAAACAAACAAAAACACGUAAAAAAUUUUAAAAACAAUUAAUAAUCACACUCUAAAUUUACCACUCAACUCUAAAUAAUAACCAUACUCAAACAAUUUACAACUUUUGACGGGAGUAGCUAUGAGGAAAAUCCUUUCUCAAUGGAUUGCCAUUGCCCAAGAGUUGCAAUGAAAACGUACCACCUGCAGCUGUGCCGGAAGAUUCAACUAGGUCUGAAAAAGAUGAUAAUUUAAUUGAUAUGGACAGUAAUUGUGAUAUCGGAAAGCAUUAGUAUUCUAUAUGUGAACCAUUAUUGGCGACAUCGAUAGUUUUAUAUUAUUAAAAUGUGGAUGACUUCCAUUUACUAUUUUGUUAUAGACAAUCUUAUUCAAUUAACAUAUAGUUUUAAACUAUUAUGUAAAUCAAUCUAUUAAUUUUCAUGAUAUUUAACUGAGUUAAAACUAAGUGCAAUCAAUAAAUCUCUUUUCCUUUAAAAAACCGCUACGUUUUAAUUUUAGUGCUUAAUAUUUAUUGAACUCUGAUACAGGAAAUUUGAAAUCAAACUCGUAACUACAAAUUAUUUAAUUGCGAGUUGCUGUCCAUAGCUGCUGAUCUGUAGUAAUUAUCUAAUUGACUGAGGUGACAACAAUUUUUUUUUUUUUCGGAAAAAUGUCAAUAGCACAAAUUCAAUAAUUAAAUUCUCAUGUUUAAUUUGUUUCAAGUUAAAUUAUUAAUUACUAAAACUCUGUUUUAAGUCUUUAAUUUUAUAUCUUGGCGUAUAUGCAGAGUUGGAUUCUUGAGUGAGUUGGGCAUUAAAAUGUGUGGACUCCGGUAGCUGUCCCACAAGUGUACAACUCUACAAUAAUAAUUGAGUACACACUUUUAAUUCUGGGGACCCUUCAAUGAAUUUCUAGCCCCGUUGACUCCACUGACUAGAGUUUUGUAAAAUAAUAAAAAAAAAGUACAUAGAAUUCCACCAAAUGCAAAAGCAAAAUGUGUGGAAUUUAAUUUUUGGCCGUGUGGACCAAAAUACAAUUUAACGAAAAAAGAAAAAAAAAAUUGUAAGAUUUCUAAAAUAUGUGGAAAGUGAUUCAUGUUUUACUGAAAUGACUUGUCUCAUGAUUGAUUUUUUUUUUUUUUUGAAAAAUAUCAACGUCCAUAUCUUUCUACCCUAGAACAUGCUCACAUUCAAGUCUAUCUUUGCUAAUUUGAGAAAGAAAAUCAAAUCAAAUCAAUACCAAAGCAAUGAAAAGUUAAGCUUUUGAAUUUUAACUUCAGCUAGCAAACGUAUUCAGCGUUUUCAAAUUCUUCCCAUUGCAUAUCUUCUUCCUCCAUCAAUGCAAUAUUAAGUACUUUUUCUUCAUUAUAUUCUUUUCUUUGCAUUUCUUCUUCCUCCAUCAAUGCAAUAUUUGAACAAUUAAGAAAGAGUUUAAGAACAUAAAAAAUCUUCUAGGUUUAUACGGUACAACAAAUUUAAAUUCUCAAUUAUAAUAGAUAAUAAUUAAACUAAUAAUUAUUUAUUUACUUAUUUUGGUAAUUUCACCUAAGAAUAAUAUUGCAUUAGAAAAAAUCUAAUAAGUGGGGUGGUUUUAUACAAAAUCAACUACAUACAGUAAUAAGUGAGUACGCACCUUUGAUUCUCGGGACCCUUCAAUGAAUUUCUAGCCCCGUUGACUCCACGGGCUACGGCUAAAGAUCUGUAAAACAAGUAAAUAGAAUUUCCACAAAAUGCAAAACUUGUCGAAUUUAAUUUUUGACCAUGUGGAUCAAAAUGUAAAUUAAAGAAAAAGACAAAACAAAAAGAGGUAAAAUUUCCAAAACGUGUGAAAGAUGACUCAUGAUUUAUUAAAACGACCUGCCUCGAAUAUCAAGACGAUUAAUCUUUUUAAAUUUUUUUUUUUGAAAUAAUAUCAACUCUCAUAUUUUUCCACUCGCAGAACAAGUUCACAUUCAAGUCUAACUUGCUAAUUUGGAAAACGAAAUCAAAUCAAAUCAAUAUCAAAGCAAUGAAAAGUAAAACUUUUGGAUUCUAACUCCAGCUAGCAAACGUUGGAAUGCAAUAAUUAAAUUCUUCUGUUUAAUUUGUUUUAAGUUAAAUUACUAAUUACUUAAACUCUGUUUUAAGUAUUUAAUUUUAUGUGUUGGUGGGUAUGCAGAAUUGGAUUCUUGAGUGACUUGGACAUGACCACAAUGAAAUUGAUGGCAAACAAACAUUAAAAUGUGUGGACUCCGGUACCUGCCGCACAAUUCUACAAUAAUAAGUGAGUACGCACCUUUGAUUCUCGGGACCCCUUCAAAAAAUUUCCAGCCUUGUUGACUCCACUGGCUAAGGCUAAAAUUUUGUAAUAGAAAAAAGGUCAAUUCUUGUGGAAUUUAAUUUUUGGCCUUGUAGACCAAAAUGUAAAUUAAAGAAAAAGACAAAAAAGAAAAGGGGCAAGAUUUAUAAAACGUGUAGAAGGUGGUCCAUGAUUUAUUCGAAUAACCUGCCUCGACUCGAAUAUUGUAAUGAUUGAUUUUUUUUAUUUUUUUAAAAUAAUAUCAAUUCUCAUAUCUUCCCACUCCUUGAAAAUGCUCACAUUCAAGUCAAAUUAAAUGGACACCAAAACAAUGAAAAUUGAAAAGUAAAACUUUUGAAUUCUAACUCUAGCUGGCAAACGUAUUCAGUAUUUUUAAAUUCUUCGAAUCGCUUAUCUUCUUCCUCCAUCAAUGCAAUAUCAAGUAUUUUUUUCUUUUUCGUAAUCUUUUCUUUGCAUUUCUUUUUGCUCCAUUAAUGUAAUUUAACUUCUUUUUUUAUUUGAACGGCUCGGAAAGAGUUGAAGAACAUAAAAAAGCUCUUGGUUUUAUACGGUAAAACAAAUUUAACUUAUAAUUAUUCAACUAACAAUUAUUUAUUUACCUAUUUUAGUAAUUUCACCGAAGAAUAAUAAUCUAAUUACAAAAAAUCUAGUCAGUUGGGUGGUUUUAUACAAAGAGUAAUGAUAUAGCCACAAACUCUUGUACAAACUUAUUUUGUACAAACUGAUGUGGCGUUAAUUCAUUGGUUGAAUUAAAUAUCUCUUGGCCCACAUGAUUUGUUUAUAUUAUUUUAUAUUUCUAUUCAACCAAUGAAUUAAUGCCACAUCAGUUUGUAUAAUAUAAAUUUAUACAAGAGUUUGUGGCUGUAUCAUUACUCUUAUACAAAAUCAACUACAUACCCAUAUACAGAUGCAAAUGCAAAUAAUAUUUUUAAAUAAGAAAAUUGUAUAUUGAGAUGAAUAAGAUGUUUCUAUGAUUCUAUCUUAGGAAAGCUCGGUGGUGGUAACGACAUGAAGUUGCGAGUUGCCGCACACAGUUGCUAGUAAUAUAAUAAAACAAGACAAAUUAAUUAAACUCAGGCCUUUACGUAUAUGUUAUCUUAACUUUACUUGCCCUUGUUUGAUGAUAUUCAUUCUUGGAGCUAAGGGCGCAUGUAAUAUUUGUAAUUGUAUUAAGUAUAUAUUAAUGUGAUUUUCAAAAUCAGGUUUUAAAAUCUGUAGGAUAGGCUGAUUUUGGUAGUUUUGGGUCGGCCGUUGCAGUCAUUGGGACUGACUUAUUAUUAUUAUUAUUAUUAUUAUUAUUAUUAUUAUUAUUAUUAUUAUUAUUAUCAUCAUUAUUAUUAUUAUUAUAAUUAUAAUAUCAACUUCCAUAUCUUUCUAAACCCGGAAUAUGCUCACGUCACGUUCAAGUCUAUCUUGCUAACCUGAAAAAGAAAAUCAAAUCCAAUCAACACCAAAACAAUGAAAAUUAAAGCUUUUGAAUUUCAACUCCAGCUAGCAAACAUAUUCAGCGUUCCCAAUUUCUUCCCAUUGCAUAUCUUCUUCCUCCAUCAAUGCAAUAUUAAGUACUUUUUCUUGAUCAUAUUCUUUUCUUUGCAUUUCUUCUUCCUCCAUCAAUGCAAUAUUUGAUCGAUUAGGAAAGAGUUUAAGAACAUAAAAAAUCUCCUAGGUUUAUACGGUAUAGCAAAUUUAAAUUCUCAAUUAUAAUAGAUAAUAAUUAAACUAAUAAUUAUUUAUUUACUUAUUUUAGUAAUUUCACCUAAGGAUAAUAUUGUAAUUAGAAAAAACUAAUUAGAACAAUUUAAUUUUUGGCCGUGUAGACCAAAAUAUAAUUUAACGAAAAAGGAAAAAAAAAAGGGUAAAGAUUUUUAAAAUGUGUGGAAAGUGAUCCAUAUUUUGUUCGACUUGUCCCGAACAUCACGACGAUUGAUUUUUUUAUUUUUUUUUUAAUAACAUCAACUUCCAUAUCUUUCUACCCUCAGAACAUGCUCACAUCCAUAUUUUUUAUGUACUUAUUUUAGUAAUUUCACCUAAGAAUAAUAUUGUAAUUAGAAAAAAAUCAAAUAAGUAGGGUGGUCUUAUACAAAAUCAACUGCAUACAUAUAUGCAGAUGCAGAUAAUAAUUUUUAAUUCCUUUUUUUAAUAAGAAAAUUGUGUAUUGAGAUGAAUAAGAUGUUUAAUUUAAUUAAUUUCCUUACUUUCAUAUACAUUGUCUUUCUAUCUAGAGAAAGCUUGGUGCUCAGAACGACAUGAAGUUGCGAGUUGUCGCCCAUGGCUGCUGAUUAAUAAUAAAACGACACAAAUUAAUUGAACUCUGGCCUCCAAGUAUAUGUUAUCCUAACUUUACUUGCUCUUGUUUGUUAAUAUUCAUUCUUAGAGAGGUGAAAAAAAUUACAAGUCUUGAAUAACGAGGAGUUUAAUUGCCUCUAACUUUACUUGGCCUUCUAUAAUCUCAUUAAUAAUACAGAGAAUUAAUUAUCUUUUUAUUAUUAAACCAAAGAAUUAGUAGCAGUUAAUAUUAAUAUUGCCCACCCAAGAAAUAUGAGUGAAUUAAAGUAUUGGCAAGAGUUCGCUCAGAGGAGCAUUUAAACCACUUCCUUAUCAAUUGCGGCAGCCGUCUAUUAACUAAAACGCCAAUCUAAUACACGAAGAAAGAACAUUUACAGACUUGGCAAUUGAGUUCAUUAAGAAGUAGCAUCGCAUUCGGGUGAUGAGUUUCCUUUUGUUAAUAAUUUUAGUCUAAUUUCCAUUGUACUGAGAUCGCUUCUCGAGGUAAGUGAAAGUUACAGAUGUGGCAAAAUAAAUAAUUAAAUUAACAAAAUGCUAACUAAUUUUCCUAAAUACCUAGGGUUGUACAAUUUCAUCAACCUGGAAGAAUUGACAUUAAUGGACUGGUCUCCUCCCCAUAUAAUUAUAAUCCUUCUAGAAAGCUAAUUUUUAUUAAAUAUUUUCUUUUAAGUUAAUUUCAAUUAAAAUUUUUUUUAAGUUAUAUAUACUCUAAUGAGAUUCUGAAUUCCUUUCUUCCAAUAAUAAUGAAAACGUAUUAAAUUAGAAAUGAAAAAAUUGGUGUUGAUGAUUCAACCUGUUUGGAUAGAUUACGCGAAUAAAAUUGAAAUUUUGAUUUAAUUUUUGUUUAUUGUUAAUUCUCAGGCUAUCUUAAUUUCAAGAAUUUAGAAUGUUAAUUUGGUCAUGGAUUUCAACCCAUGAGUGUCAUAUUCUAGACUUAAUGGUACCAUUCUUUGAUUGAGGGCAAUGACUCUCACUCCUCUUGUAAAAAACUAUUUUCAACUAUUUUGAUGACUUAAAAAUUGAUAGAUUUAUUGUUGUCAUGACCAAAUUAUUCAUUUUAAUUAAACAUAAUUAAUGCAUCAAAGUUACCAGGUUUAUGUUCUAUCUUAAUGCGCUUUUUUUUUUUUUUCAGUUAUCAGCUAUGCCCCUGAGGCAUUUUGUAGAGUAUAGCUUCUGCUUACCUCUGUUUCAUUUUUUUUAAUAAAAAAAACAAGGGAAGGUUUUUCCGAGUCGUCCAUUAUUUGAUUACCGUCAAUCAAGAAAACGACCAAAUUAAUUUCUCUCCAAAAUUUCCAAAAGCUAGAAAAUUUUGUUAUUUGAAAAUAACAUCAUUAAUUAUAGAGUGGAUCAAACCGCGUUAUUGUCUUUUAUAAAAUUGAUGUCUUUUUAAGAGUCAAUGCAUUUUAUUUACACAAACCAGUCGACAUCAACUUGAACUUCCAUAUUUUUAUUAUUAUGUUAUUUAUUUUAAUCCCCGAUUAUUUGAUUAGCCACUAUAUAUAUCAAGAAAGCGACAAAAUUUAUUUCUCAUGACUUCCAAAAACUAGAAAACAACAUCAUUUAUUAUUUUUUUGCAACCCUAAUUGACAUCAACUUUAACUUUAUUAUGUUAUUAUUUCAAUCCCCCAUUAUGACCUUUCUAAUCCUCCAUUAUGCAUCUUUUAUAGUGCAAAUUUAAUUGCACAUCUAAAUAAAUUGAUUAUUGUCACUCCACCACCAAUAUUUCAAAUAGUCACUAGACCAUUUCUGCCUUUAAUUUUCCCUUAACUAUUGACUGUUUUUAGCAUCUUAAAAUAUACAUUUAUUCCUUGAUUAUGUGAUAAAAUUAUGAAAAUAUCCAUUUUAGCUUAAAUUAAUUGAAAUAACCAUAAGCGUAACUUAAAUUAAUAGAACAAAAUUAUCAAGUGUAUGUUCUAUGUUACAUUUUGAAGAAUUUAACAUAUACAAUGCUAUACUAUUAAUUCAUUUAUCAUUUAAUAUAUAUGUUCAAAUAUUUUAUAUAUUUAUUAAUUGUUAUAUAGUCAAAGGAUGAAUGAUUUUUCAGGUCUACAUGAGUUGGUGCAUCUGCAAGACUCAAUUUUGACAACAAUGAUCUAAGGGGUAAUUUACCUUGGCGUUUGACAAAUUUAACCUCUCUUCAAGAUUUACUUCCAAUCUACUUACUGUAAAUAUCUCCUCAUCUCCUCUCAUUUAUAUGAUAACCCUUGAAGAUCUCACAUUUUCAAACAAUCAUAUUAGGGUUUUUAUUAUUAGCAUCAUCGUGUCAAUAAUAUAUGUUGCAGUAAGAUUUUUUCAGACCAAUUCCCUUCUUCAAAUAAUAAUGGAAAAGUAUUAAUUUAAAAAUAAAAUGAAUAUUGUAAAAUAAAGAACAGAGUUUAUGAAUAAAACUCUUGUAUUCCUUGCAUUAACGUUGCUACAUAUAUAUAUAGAUGUACAACCCUAAAGAAUAGAAUCCCAGGUAGAAAAGCAUUACAGAUUCAUAAUAUAUAUACAAAUCUAAUUGCUUUAAAUAUGAAACCGAAUUCUAUACGACUUCUAUAUACAAAACCGAAUGCUAUACGAAUUCUAUACGUUAAUAAAUAUGCAUUGAUUAUAUCCUAAUUUUCAUCAAUUAUAGCGAGAGUUUCUCCAAAUCAACUCCCUUAUUCAAAUAAUACAGAAAAAAUAGUAAUUUAAUAGUAAAAUUAACAAGUGUUGAUUAUAUAUCCUAAGUUUCAUCGAUUAUGUGAUCAAAGUGGCAUUGUUGAUUUAUUUCUUGUUCAAUGUAAAUUUUUAGGUUAUCUAAAUUUCAAGGAUUUAAAAUCUUUGUUCAUGGAUUACACGCUUAUUAAUUUUUCUGCCAUUGACUGUCAUAUUCUAGACUUAAUGGUACCUUCCUUGAUCGAGGAUAAUUACUCUAUGUUCUCCUCUUAUAAAUUCUUCUUCCAUUAACAUCACUAGGAGUAUGUUGAUCUCUCAGACGUUAACUUCAGUGGAGAGUUUCCAAAUUGAUUGUCACAAAACAACACAAAAACUAGACACACUUGAUCUGUCUAAUAAUUCUCUUUCGGUAAAAUUAAUUAAUUUUAGGGGAAUAUUCGACCAACCUAUAUAAUUUUAGAUUGAUCAUUAAUUAAUUGGACGAAAAAAGUACUUGUGCUUUUGUGGCGACAAUUGAACCAGAGAAGUGAAGCUGUAAAGAUUUGGCAGUAGUAAAUUGUUAGAAAGACAUAAAGACAAGUUCCCAUUAUUAUAAUUUUUUCAAAAAACUUUUUUACAACACAUGCACCUGGCCAAAAAUUUUAUUUUGCUAACUAACAAUAAUUGAUUAGCUGACCGAAUUGACUCCACCUACUUGCUAAAGUAAAAAAAUAGAAAUAGAAUUUCCACAAAAUGGCAAACAUGUAAAAUCUAAUAUUUGGCCGUGUGGAACAAAAUACAAAUGAAAAAAAAAAUAGAAAAAAGGCCUAAAGACUUUUAAAAUGUGUGGAAGUCUUUCUGCCCUUUUAUAAUGGUGUGUUUUUCAAAGGAACAAAUAAUAAUAAUGACACUUCAACGGUUUGUUUUGAUAAUCACACCUAUACUCUUUAAUUUGAUAAAUGGUUACACAAAUUUUGUUUACAAAAAUAUAUUAUUCAUGUUCUGUAUUAUUUUUUAACAUCAUAUUUUUAUUUAUUAUAAUUGUUUAAAGUUAAUUGUUGGGUUGAUAUAUAAUAAAAAUGUAUAAUCGUUCUCUUACUAAACACACAUACUCAUAGUUUCUGUUCAUUUGUCAUCUCAAUCUAUCUCAUUUAUCCUUUGUUGAUAGCUCAAAACGCGUCACUGUAGAAAAUUAUAGCAAAACGACAAAUAUGGAAAAAAUGGGAAGAAAAUUAAUGCAUGAAAGAGUUGCAGAAGACAACCAAAUAAGUCAACUAUACGCUAGUUGGGUGUAUAAAUUGUUAGAUGUGUUAUAAACAAAUAGCAUAGAGCCUUGGUUGGUUACAGAGAUAGAAAAAGUGUGUGUUUUUUAGAACUUAAAGAUAUAGUUAGAAUGGGUGGUUCAAAAUCAAAAAUGGUGAUAAUGUUUGUUCUGUUAUUAAUAAUAUUAGAAGGUGGGUGGAGUGAAGGAUGUUUGGAUCACGAGAGAUUUGCUCUUUUGCGACUGCAACAUUUCUUCAAUGAUCCUUAUAAUUAUCUUCCCAACCGGGUAGAUGAUGAGGGAGCUACUGAUUGUUGUCAGUGGGAAAGGGUUGAGUGCAGCAACACCACAGGCCGACUGAUAGCGCUAGACCUUUUUGGCACGUAUUGGCGAGAGUACAGCUGGUAUCUGAAUGCUUCUUUGUUUACUCCCUUCCAACAACUUGAGUCACUUGAUUUACAUGGCAACAACAUAGCCGGUUUUGUUGAGAAUGAAGGUGCUUCGUCUAAUUCAAUUAAAUUACAUUUCGCUCUCCUAAUUUAAGUCGAAUAUCAAGACUGAGCAGCUAUAUGCAUAUUCAUUCAAUUGACAAUUUUUACAUAUUUUUUAAAAUGUUUAAUUUUGAAAUUACACCAAACAUCAUAUGUGAUCUUUGUUUUGAUUUUACUUGCAGGUCUAGAAAGAUUGAGCAACUUGAAGAGGCUUGAUUUAAGUUAUAACUUGUUCAACAAUAGCAUCUUAUCAUCUGUGGCUCGUCUUUCAUCAUUAGCAUUAUUAUAUUUAAGUGGUAAUAGGUUGGAGGGAAGUAUUGAUGUUAAAGGUACAUAAUAAAAACGUCAUCUCUUCUCCCAACUCUUUCAUUAACAUGCUAAAAUAAGAUUCAAGGCUUUGAAUUCAAUUUUUUUUAUGAGUAAAUAUUAGAAAAAUAGUUUUAAGCAAUUCAUAAAUACAAUUUUCAAUGUUUCUCAUAAUUUCAUCUUGUACUUUUGUAUGUCUUGACUUUAAGAUUAAAAAAAAAAUUACUCUAACUGUGAAGCAAAUACCCCAUGACUAAUUUACAAUUUUGUCCAGUUAAAAAUGAUAAAAUUUAUCAUUUGUUCAUAUUGAUUUAUUAACUCUAUUUUAAGUCUUAAGUCUUGGCGUCUUGGCAUGUUUGCAGAAUUUGAUUCCUUGAGCAACUUAGAGGAGUUGGACAUGAGCUACAAUGAAAUAGACAAUUUCGAGGUUCCUCAAGGUACACAAUUAAAAUAUUAUUUAAUUACAUUAAUUUAUUUCGUUUGAUUAGGGAAGGCCCAAAAUGUACAAAAACAUAAUUAAAAAAAAUAAAGAAACAGAGAAUUCAUAUUAUUUCAAAAAACAAAACGUAAUACUAUUAUUUCAAAAAAAGAAUGUAAUAAAGAUUUGAUUUCGGUUCUUUAAUCUUUACAGCAAUUGAAAAACGAUGUUGCUCUUUUCCUAAAGCAUAAAAUAUGAAAUGAGUCAUAAUUGAAUUAGUCAUUUAUUUUGUUUAGAUCUAAAUUUAGACAAUAAAUUUUGAUUUUUUUUUCAAUCAUUUCCUAAUUAUUAUUAUUAAACAGGUUACAGAGGUUUGAGGAAGCUGAAAAGCCUGCAUCUAUCGGGAGUUGGAAUUAGAGAUGGAAGCAAGUUGUUACAGUCAAUGGGAUCAUUCCCAUCCCUCAACACUCUUCACCUUUCGUUUACUAGUUUUACGAAAACAGUGACAACUACUCGAGGUAAGUAAAAGGUACGGAUGUAGCCAAAUUUAUAAAUUAAUUGUUAAUUAAUUAAUUUUUCCGUAUUAUUAAUUAAGCUAAAUUUGUUGCUCCUUCCUUCUAAAUCUAAACAGAGUUGCACAGUUUCACCAACUUGGAAUAUUUGAGAUUGGACGACUCCUCUCUCCAUAUAAGCCUUCUGCAAAGCAUUGCAUCAAUAUUCCCUUCAUUAAAAAAUCUGUCGAUGUUGGGUGGUAAAGUCAACGGUCUCCUACGCGGUCAAGGUAAAAGAAAAGCUUUGAUUGUGAACUCACUCAAUGGUGUCCUACGUGUUCAACAUUUUUAUUUAUUUAUUUUAUUGUUUAAUGUUUCUGCUAGGUUUUCCUCAUUUCAAGAGUUUGGAAUAUUUGAAUAUGGAUUUCACGCGCAUUGCACUCAACACCAACUUUCUUCAAAUCAUCAGUGAAUCGAUGCCUUCUCUUAAGUACUUAUCACUGUCAGAUUCAUAACAGUAAAAAUUUGUUGCUCAACAUGAUGUGUAUUUUUUUUCAAGGCACUUUGGAAACACAAUUGUUACUACAGAUAUUCUUCUCAACUUGGAGAUAAAUACAAAUAUUAAAAUGCAUAUGAUCACACAUAUUACUUCGAGUUUAGUAAGAUUUCAUUAAAAGAAGCAAUCAAACCACUUAUCAAUUGUCGCAGUCGUUCUAUAAACUAAAAUAGCAAUAUAAUACAAGAAAAAGAACAUAUAGAUACUUGGCAAGAGUUCAUUAAGAAGUCGCAUCACAUUCGGGUGAGGAGUUUGCUUCUGAUAUCUUGCUAGCUGGGGCUUUUUCUUGUCUUUCUACGUAUGCCGAGGGAAACCAACCAGCUUGGCCCUUGCAUUCACCUUCCGACCAUCCAAUAGGAGCAACCUUGAGAAGUUAUAACUAAAACGGUGAAUUAAACAAAAGUUGACCGUUCAAAGACCUAAGGGGAAAACUAAUUCUUUUACGUAGAAUGAGUGAACUAGUUGUGAUCACUGAAAUAACAACAUAACUAUGGAAGCAUAACUAGAUAUAAAUUCACAUGGCUAUAAGGGUAAACUGAGUGGUUUAGAACUGAGCUAGCAACCCUACUAUAUUCUGAUUUGCACUUCAAUGUAAAAGGGAAUAUAUGGUAGGAAGAAAGAAAACCAACCAUCAUUUGUUAACUCAUUGCUUUUCAAUCAAAAUUUUAAGAACAAAAUGCCAUGUGCUUUGAACAUCAAAUAAGUAUAAGCAUUAGUUCUAAAUUCCACAUAUCAUAAGUUGUUAGAAGGAUAAGUUAAUAGCAGAGUAGAAAAAUCUAUGUGUUGGUAUUUAGAGGGGAAAGUACCUGGCGAACCACAAUAUAAUCAUCAAUUGAAAGACUUAGCUUUCCAUUUGCUUGAGCAUCAAAUGGAUGUAUAACCUGCAAGAUAAUGGGAUAAAUAGAACUUUAAAAAAGCAUAACAAAAGCAGCAACAGUAGCAGCAACGUUCAUUGUAACCACUAUGAUCAUGGCCAACAAAGAUAUAUUAGAAACAAAAUUCCAUUUUUACUACGACAUUAAUAUGUACUAUACGAUAUCAUGACGAUUGGGUUACUAAGAGCUAUCAAAGUCUAAUAAGUUCUGUAUAACUUUAUGUAGUUAUUUAAAUUAUGGAUCAGAUUUUAAAUUUGAAAUUUUGACUGCUCUCCACAAAACAUGGCCUAUGCACAAGAAAGUCAUAGAUAAUGAGGAUUACAAGUGUCCGACAUCUUUUGAGUGAUGGAUUUAACAUGAGAGCUUAUGGUCAGUCAAUUUCCUCUGCCUAGCAAUAUAAGCUUUCUCGGCCAGAUUUAUCAUCAAAUACAUAGAUUGCCCCCAAGUCACAUCCAUAUAAACAUAGUUUUUCUAGGUAAACCAAGUAAGGAGUAUCAUAAUUCAGACAUAAUCAUAAAAAGGCCCAUCUAACUUAAGAGAAAAUCUCAAAAAUGGCUACAUCGUCUUGUAUCUAUAAGCAAUAUCAAGACUUUACAUCACCUGCUACAUCGUGAGUGGCUACACAACUUUCAAUGGUUUGUCUUUCUUUGGCAUGCCUAACUCAGCUUUGAUGUUGCUGAGAUAUUGAUAGUAGAGACACAUGAUACUUCUAGCUCAUGCAUUCUAUCUAACUCAUCCAACAACUAUCUCUUUUUUAAUUCAUUAGUGUUUGCUAAACCUCAUGCUUAAAAGUCCUGUUCUCCUAAACAAAGUUUCCUAAGAAUGACUUCCUUAGCACCACAUUUGGACACUUUUAGAGCAAUUUUAUUUUGGGGAAAAGAAUUUUCAAGGUGUUAACUAAUAAAUUUUAAAAAAUAAUUACAAUUUUUCCUACGAUCAUAUGACAAUUUAUCUGGGAUGAAAGGAUACAGAUAGACAUCUUCCACUUUCAAGACUAAUCACUACUUCCGUAGAUGUUGUGCAAUAAUACAAAUACUUGAUCAGAUGGUAGUGAUGGUAGAAAAAAAUUUUAUUGCUCCAAAAUUAAAAUAAGAAUGCAAUAUGUUAAGCAAAAGGCUGUGCAACAUCAAAUUAAUUGAUAAGUUUGUAAUUCAGUAAAUUAACAACUUUCAUGGUAAAAUACAACAAAUUUCUUUUGAAAAAAAUAAAUCUUAAAAGACAGCAUUCAAUUUUGUGCGCAUCUUAUUUCUUAAGAUUUUUCAGGAGGAGGGCAAUAGAGGGACUUUCACCUAUGCAAGAGAGCAGAAGCCUUACUUUCCCUAUAAAGUAGACGUCAUUCUGAUUAAUAUGCGUUUGCAAAUCAGCUCCGUUUGAAUCAGUAUUCUGAUAGACACACGAGGCAUUGACAUCCAUUUCCAAAGUCACAUGUUGCGAGGAGGACUCAUUUGAUUGCUCCUAUACGAUCAUCUAAUUCAAGUAGCAAGGGUUGGAAGAGAAUAAAAAGUCACAAUUAUUCUUUUGCAUAAGUGAGACGAAAAUGAUAAAUGCAAUAUUAUCAACAGUAAACAAGAAGAAGAUGAUAGUGGAAGUAUGCGGUGUGGCUGCCAGGUACUUGGAUUGUAUUGUCGGGUAAGGUAAUAGUAGAGAAUUAUAAGUUUGAACAGAGCAUGUUGGACUUUUGUUGACCAAAUUCAAAAGCCCAAUGGCACGGCCCGGAAGCUUUUGAAUAGAAAAACUUGCUAGAAAGCAUCAGUUUAAAUCACUACUUAAACGCUUGCUUUAACUGCACCACUUUGUACUGUUUUAUGUGUGUAGCGGUUGUGCGGUUGUAAUUCACGGCUGACGCUACGUGUUUGUUAGGUCAAAACUAUGAUACAAUAGUGGUACGGUACCAUUGUUACUUUCAAUCAUUGGAUCUAUAGUUGUACAGUUGCAUUAAUAAGAUCUAAUGGCUGAAAACAACAGUGGUACCAUACCACUGUUGCAACAUAACAGGACCCUAUUAGUUAUUUCAAAGGGAUAAAUAAGAUUGCUUACAACAAACCUACUAAUUUUAUAAAAUUCAAGUAAUAUAGAAUAAAAUAAAAAAAUAAAUACAAAAUUGACUUUUAUUUUUUAUGGUUGACUAUAUUUUGUGUUCUCUUCGGGCACUACUACAAUUCUUCCCUAUAUAUCAAUUACACCACAUACUAUCGACACAAGAAAUGAAAUCUAAUAUCACCCGUUUAGUUAAAAAAUCACUCAUGAAAAAAUUUUACCAUUUUGAUUUGAGGAUCCAUAUUUUAAACUGCAAGCUAAUGUUCAUCAAGAAUUACUGAUGGCCGUUGAGUAGAAAAAUUAUUUUUGGACAAAUUAUUUUUGUUGAUAGAAGAAUUUCUUUAGGGACUACUAAAUUAUUAAUAAAAAUGUCGAACACACCCACAUAUCAUCGACACAAUUGAUUUUGAGGAUCCAUGCUUUGAACUGCAGCCUAAUGUUCAUCAAGAAUAGAGUAUGGCUUGUGAGUAGAAAAUUUUCUUAUUUUGGCCCGAAAUAAAAAGAAAUUAAAUUGGAUGAGAAUCUGCCACUUUCUCAUGAAGAAAGGCAUACGGAGCAUACCAUGGUACCAUACAAAAUAAGGAGCCUCUAUUCUUUGGUUUUUCAAACUCUAAAGGGGCCAAUAUUGCCAAAUUCCCCCUUGAAAAUUCUGAUUACGACAUUAUUCAUCGCUUGAUGCAAUCAAAGUAGUGACAAAGUUAGGAAAAAUAUGAGUCCUAAGUAAUUGCUAGGCAGGGUUCCUGAGAGCAAAAUUGUCCUAAGCAUUAUAUGCAUACAUGGUGCGGUACAUAGAGCACGUUGAAUUCCCCACUAUAACACAAACCCAGAAAGACAAGUAAUAACUCAACUGAUAUAAAGACAAAAAGAAGAUAAAAUGAUAUAGAAAAAAGAAUUCAAAGAGACAGCAACAUACGAUAGACUGAAGCCACUUGAUCUGCUCAUUGAUUGCAGCCUUAAACUUGCAAAUAGUUACUGUACGCUAGUGCUCUAAGAAGUGAAAAUGAUGCCAGCCCUGAUUCCCUUUUGACUUCCAUUUACUGUCAAACAUUCUAGUAAUACAAAAAAUUGUUUAGAUAUCUUGCUAUAAAUAUAGCCGUUUGACUGUCAUAAUAAAGUCACAAAUAACCAUUCAUAUUGAUCUACUGUCACACAGCAUGCUUUAUGCAUACAACAGCUGUAUGUAUACCAACUCCUAACCUUAUCAAUACAUUUGGCAAAAACUUAAGAAGAAAGCUAUUUCUCCAUCUCUUUUUUGAAAUUUCACAAUAACCAGCACAAUGUGAAAGCUAUGUUCUAACCUUAUGAUAAAUGCUCCAGACUCCAAAAGGAUUUUAUAUAUGAGAGUUUGUUGCAGCAGAUAUAUUGACUUAUCAAGUAUGAAUCAUUGUCUGGAUGAACUAUCUUUAGAUAAAAGAAUAUUAGAACCACUGUAGAAUAUCUUUACGCUGCUGGUUCUAACAGGAAUCUGCAUGUGGCAACAAUUGCUAGAUCCACAAUUCCCCAACUUGAAAUACAUAGUUGCACACCAUGAGAUAGUGCUACAAUCUACUGAGAUCUAACUUAUAUGGUACUUUAAGCUACUAAUGUUUGCAUAUUUCUACAUGUUAAAUUAACACUAUCAUCUAUAAUCACUCCAAAACAACAAAUGAUAAGCAGCUUUUGGCCACUUAUUACUAGCAUCCACAAUUAUAAAUAAGAGAUCAUGGGUUUACUUGUUGCACCUACUUAAUUAUCUGCAGUUGACAUCCUGAAGCAAGGUUUAAAUAGUGACUGCUUAGAACCCUUGUAGUUGGAUCUUGACCUCUCCCAUUGUAGCCAAGAUUGGUUACUCUGGUAAUGAAUCAACACUCUCCUGCUCAGGGCCAUGAAGAUCUGAAAGCUCAGCACUAGUGGAGAACUUCAUCAAUCUCUUCUUCUCAGCACACUUGAGACAAGGCUGCAUUACGAGACCAAUCACCACAGCACCAACGCUUAAAACUGCAACUUUUAAAGAAGAAAGAGCCAACACAACACAACACAACACAACACAAAUCAAUAUGGUUGGAGGAAUACACAUGAUAAUGGCUCCAACAGUGCCAGUGGGUAUCUUGUAGGGACGAGAUGCAGCAGGAUAUUGUAUCCUUAACCAUACAAAUGCUAUGAACUCCAUAACCAUUCCAAAACAGUACAGGAAGUUCUCUGCAGCUACAAUAUCUCGAAAGCUCAGCCAUGAUAGCAAAACCACACCAGAUGCUGAGAAUAUGAUUCCAAUCAAAGGAGUCCCAUAACAAGACCUCUUAGCAAAAAACUCAGGUAGCAUUCCACACUCAGCCAUCCCCAAAAGUUGGAAAGAGUUGCUGCUCAUCUCAGCCACAAACAUGCCCAUAUUGGACAUUGCUGCAGCCCCCUGGAUGCAUUAUCUCAACCAAACUCCUCCAAGCACUUUAGCGAUAUCUGAAAAGUAACCAUCGGUCCACAAGUCGCGAUCUAAUGGAAUAGCUCCAGUUCCAACUAGAAGGGGAAAGAAAUACCCAAAAAUGACCAAGAUCAAAGCAUAAAACAAAGCCUUUGGAAGAGUCUUCUUGGGGUUAUCCACCUCUCCAGCUAGUGUACUUAUUGAGUCCCAGUAGUUGAGAUUCCAAAACAGGGUGUUCAAAUACAAAUUCCAAUCCACUUCACCUAAAUUUACUACAAGCCAUCUUGAAGGCUCUAACUUGGGAAGGGACACAAGUCCCAUAACCACAAAAGGAAGGAGUGAGAAAAUCCCUAAAAGAACAGCAGCCCAUCCCACAAUGGUUAGACCCCUAUAGUUCAUGAAAGUGAGAACAAAAGUCAAAGCUAACGCCGCAAAGGCUCUAGGUAACCCAUUGCCCAACGCAGGGAUACCAGACUUCAAGUAGUCAAGAAACAGAACUGGGUAUAAAGCAUUAUCAAUAACCCCACUUAGCCAUUUCAUCCAACCUUGCUGAAAACCCCAAUAUGGGCCUAAGGCAGAUGAAACCCAAACCACAUAACCACAAUUUUCAGAAAACACGGUACCCAUCUCGGCAGUAAUUAAAGCUUCAGGGACACUCCAUAUAAUCGGAAACACCAAGAAACCAAGAAGUGCUAAAAGAGGACCAGCUGCCUUUACACUAUCCUCAACACCAAACGGCCCCCCAGAAACCUCAUAGAAUAUAAGGAAAAUAAGUGGCAAGAUUGAUACUUUUUUAGUGCCAUGGACUCUAGGAGAAGAUGGUUGGUCAUUGAUAUUAACAUAUUCAACAGCAUCAGACUGCCCCAUUUCUACUGAAACUUGCCUAUUUACAGUGUUCCUCAAUUUCUGCAUCAAGUUUUAGCAUAACUAUCAAAAGGGUAUCCGCAUGUAAAUUAUGAAACAAAAUGAGCAUUUACUUUUUAAAAAAAAAUCAAAAAACAGAAAUGGAUUUCGCAGAGCACAUGAAUUUAAGUUCAACAUUAAACAGGCGCUUAAGAAAACAAAAGGGUCUGUUCGUAAAGCCAUCAGAUUGCAAGAUUGAACAACAUUAACGGAAUCAAUAGAAUAGAUGUAAAGAGAUCUGAAAAGAAAAUAAAAUAAAAGAUGAAGAGAGAUAAAACGAACCAUCAAAUAAGUGCAUGCAGAGCAGAGAGGCAGAUACUAGAGAAGCUCCGUCAUGUUAGAGAGAGCCUAAAUCAAUCAGAGCUCACUGAGUUUCUUUUCAACCGACCGGCAAAUUUGGAGUGGCACAAAAUAAUAUUUUUGCUUUUAAUUUUUGGAACACUUUUGAAUGGAAUUUUUUGUUUUUAAAAAAGGUAAGGGAGAUUAGGGCAUCAUAAAAAGAUUUUUUAAAUAAAAUUUUAUUAAUUAUUUAAAAAAUUAUUUUAAUAUUUAAUAUUUUAAAAAAUAUUUUAAUUAAAAUUUUUUAAAUAAAAAAUAAUUUUUUUUAAAUUUAGAGAAUUAAUUUUUUUUAUAAUUUUUUUUAUUAUUUUUUAUUGAAAAAAAAGAGAUAAAUACUUUAAUUGUUAUUAUUUUUUUUAAAUAAUUAUUUGAUUAAAAUAAUAUUAAAUUAUUUUUAUUUGAAGAGUUUUUUAAAAAAUAUCAUAUUUUUUUAUCCUUCUAUUUGCCACAUGAGUAAACAAAUAGAUAUUUAAAGAAUAAAAUUUAUAUAAUCUUUUGGAAAUGCUCUUAAUAUUUAUUUAGUCUUAUAUUUUUUAAAAUAUUUUUAAAAUAUUUUUGUCGUUAAAAUAUUGAUAUUAUUAUUAUUUUUUUAUAUUUUUUAAUUUAUUUUUAUAAUAUUAUUUUUAUAAUAAUUUUUUAUUUAGAUAUUAAUAAAAAAAUAAUUUAAUUAAUAAUUUAAUCCUAAAAUAAAUAAACACGUGUUUGGUUUUGGGCCUUUUCUUUUGUUCGUUUAAUAUCAUCUGGCUCGCUGAUUUGUGACUAAUUAUCAACGGAAUCCCGUUGGUUUCUAAAUUGAAAUAAUAGAAGGUCAUGAGACUAUUUACUCCAUUUAGCACUGCAGACUUAGAGUAUAUUGAAAAAGCUUUGUCAAAUAGUAGUAAUAGGGGCAUAAGAAAUAAAUUAUAGCUAUCACAAAUUCGUUAGGAGAAUUUCAAUUUUUUCCGUCAAUAAUGGCUAUGAAGCAAAAUUACCUUAGGUUAUAUUGCAACACUAAUACUUCAAAUCCUGAUAAGGGGUGAUAAAAUUAAGGUUGUUCAAAUCCCUUAAAAUGCUCCUUUGUUUAGUUUAAAAGUUGUUCUUAAAAUGGAAACGAUGACUUAUUUAGAAGAAAUGGUAAAUUUAUAAUUUGUAAUAUUAUUUGCACAAACAAUAAUAAUGAAGUGUUAAUUACCACUUAACAUUUUUAAUUAAUUUCUAAAUUUAAAACAAAUAUGAAAGUUGAUUGCUUCGAAGGUUGGAUCGACAAAUUGACAUUUGAAAAGAGAAGUAGGGAAUGUAUAUUCUGAUGAAAGGGACAAGAUUAAGUAAGGGGACAAUAUUCUCUAUUGGACCUACAAAUGGGGGGAAAGAUAUAUAUAUAUAUAUAUAUAUUCUUAUUUGUGGAUUGGGCAUCACGUGUAACUAAUAUAAAAGGAGAAAAUUUAGCAUGGUUUUAACAUAUAUAAGAAGAGAAAAUUAAUUGUUCAAACAAAUUAGAAGCAAAUUCUUUCAUAUCUUUCUUUAUUUUUCCGCUUACUUUCUUAGCAUCCAAACAAGUUAAAGUUAAAACGCUGUUGAGCCAACAAUAUGCAGGCAUCAAUAAGCAUAGUAGUUUUGUAUAUGUAUUCUAUACGAUAUUCUGGGGAUGUCAAUUGUAGAACAUUUUGUGGUAACUUUUUUACAUUAAUUAAUGUUUGAAGAACUUGUUAAAAAGAAAAUGGUAAUUUUAUUAUUUUGAAAGACAAAAAAAAAUAAAAAUAAAAGAGUGAAAGUGGCGUUACCUCAUGGUCAUUAGAGACUUGUUGCAAUGAUAGCUCAAAAUUAAAAAUUUGUGAAGAAUUAGUAGACAACGACGAUACUAUAUUUAUAUAGUCACCAACAUGUUGAUUUUUGUUUAAUGUUUGAUCGAUAGAAACUUUUGUCGUCGUCGUCGCCGUUGUUGAAUUCAUGCUUAGAAUACCACAAGAGAAGAAGAAGGGAUGAAAGGGAAGAGAAGAAGAGAGAAGUAGUGGAUAGCAAAUAUGAUAUGCUAGCUACACACAGGCCUUAGAGAGUUUUUUUUUUAAUAUUUAUUGUAUUUUUGUUUUUGUUAUUGGUUUGUCAUAUGCUUCCAAGGCAGCAAUGUGUUACAUCAUAAAUUGCACCUUUUAGGGGAGGUGGUAAAAAACAUGAGAGGAAUGCAUUCUAGCGCAUACAUGCAGAAAGAGUUUCCAAAUUUUCAAAAGUUUGUUAUUUCUUCCACCUUUUUUUUGCUUAAAAUAAAUUUUAAUUGUAUUUUGCAUUAACUUAGAGAAAAAAAAAAUCAAGUUCUAUGCAUAAACGCAUACAUUGAUUAGAAAAUGAGUUUUAUGGACACAAAGGGACAAUAUAAGAGAUUCUUUUUGUUUAUUAGAAGUAACAUAACUAGUUAGUGUAACAUGUAAUUAUAAGCUACCAAGAAUUUGCACUGAUGAUAAUUAACGGUAUAGAUUUUGAGCUAUGAAUGUCUUGUGGCUAGUUUAAUUGGAUUUUCGAGUUUUCAGCAGAUCUAUUUUAAUGAUUAUUAAAUUAUUUUCACUUCUUAUGCUUUAAUAAAAAAAAUUCAAUAUUUUUUGCUGUAUUCUAUAUUUUAAAACUUAAUUUUUAAUUCUUUAUAUUGCAAACCAAACUGAGUCAAAUAGAGUAUGCUCGAAUUUUUCCAAUGCCUUCAAGAAGAAUUCAUUUUAUUUUUAUAUAUUAAUUUAACACAUGUAAACCGGGCCGUUGGAUUGCACAUAAAGCAAAUGAUCAAACCGUUACAAGACCGGCCCAGGCCCACCGACUCUAUUUUCUUUCAUUUGACCAUUAAAAAGCUUUUGGCCACCCCCACCAAAUAAAUAAGCUCUUGUUCUCUUUUGUUUCCCUCUCAAAGGAAAAUAUCUGAUCACCGGAUAAUGAUUCCGGUGACACAAAAGAUCGAAACACCCCCCUAAAUUCCCUAAAUUUACAAUAAUACCCCACCAUGGAUGAUUCCGUUGAAAUGCCGCCUUACGAUGAAAGGCCUAAAAAGGGUUUUAACUUCACCUCCAUGCGCUUGAUCUUAACCCUCGUUUUCCCAAUUUUAACUUGCUUUUUGUUGGCAUUUUUUAUUGGAAUCGUAGCUGUUUUAUUCGGCGAAUCAUCAGUUUCCAGUUCCAUUUUUGUCCCUUCCUAGUGCAAAAUAGUGUCCAGCAGUAAGCUUUUUUUAACAUUUUCAAUUUUUUUUCCAUUUAUGAAGUCCAAAAAUUUUAUUAAUUUUGAUUUUUUUGAAUGAUUUUGCAGGUGUUGAUAUAAGGUCAUCAAAAGUUCGUGAACUUGGGGUGUUGAAUUAUAAGGCGAAGCGUGCGUUUUAUCCAUUUGAAGCAAUUAAAUUUCGCUGUCGGUAUGAUUACUAUUGGGCUUCUAUCUUCAAGGUAUUCAUACAUUUUCCCCUGUACUAUAAGCUUCUUAGUGGCGGUCUUGUGAGCGGAAGUGAGCGGUGUGGCUGACAGCUUCUUGAAAAUUAUGAACAGAGCAUGUUAGACUUUUGUUGACCAAAUUCAAAAGCCAAAUGGCACAACUCAGAAGCUUUUGAAUUGAAUAACUUACUAGAAAGCUCCAAUUUUUUGUUGGCUACAGUAAAAGGAUGUUGUUUUAUUCUUCUUAUACUUUACGCUUGCAUCAGCUUAAAUCACUUCUUAAACGCUUUGCUUUAACUCUACCGCUUCAUACUGUUCUAUAUAUGUAUCGGGUAUGCGGUUGUAGUUCAUUGCUGAGACUACGUGUUUGUUUGACGUGGUAGUUACGUUCCGAGUCUGUUAAACAUUCGGUGAUUAAAGUAUUAUCAGUUAUUUCAAAGGGGCAAAUAAGAUUAGCUACAACACACCCACUAGUUUUAUAAAAUUCGAAUAAGAUGGAAUAAAAUAAAAAAAUAAAUAAGUAAAUUGACUUUUAAUUUUUGUGGUUGAAUAUAUUUUGUAUUCUCUCAGGGCACUGCUGUAAUUGUUCCUUAAAUGUCAGUCACACCCACAUGUUACAGACACAAGAAAUGAAAUCUAAGAUCACCUGUUUAAUUAAAGAAUCACUCAUAAAAAAAUUUUGCCAUUUUGAUUUGAGGAUCCACAUUUUGAACAACCAACUUAUCUUCAUCAAGAACAGAUCAUGGCCUUUGAGUAGAAAAAUUAUUUUUGGACAAACUAUUUUUAUUAAUAGAAGAAUUUCUCAAGGGACUAUUAAAAUUACUAAUGAAAAUGUCAGACACACCCACGUACCAUCGACACAAUUGACUAUGAGGAUCCAUGUUUUGAACUGCCACUUAAUGUUAAUCAAGAACAGAGUAUGGCUUGUGAGAAGAAAAAUUUCUGAUUUUGGCCUGGAACAAAAAGAAAUUAAAUUGAAGGAGAAUCUGGUACUUUCUCAUUAAGAAAGGCAGACGGGGCAUACUAUGGUACCAUACAAUACGAAAAGUCUCCGUUCUCUGGCUUUUAAACUCUAAAGGGGGCAAUAUUCCCCAAUUACCCCGUGAAAAUUCUGAUUACGACAUUAUUUAUUGCUUGAUACAUAAGUAAAAGUAGUGACAAAAUUAGGAAAAAUAUGACUCAUAAGUAAUUACUAGGCAGGGCUCUUGAGAGCAACAUUGUACUAGGCUUUAUAUGCAUACAUGGUGUGGUACAUAGAGCACGUUGAAUUCCACACUAUAACAUAAACCCAGAAAGACAAGUAAUAUCUCAACAUAUAUAAAGACAAAAAGAAGAUAAAAUGAUACAGAACAAAGAAUUUCUAAGAGACAGCAACAUACAAUAGACUGAAGCCAGUUGAUCUGCUCAUUGAUUGCAGCCUUAAACUUGCAAAUGUUUACUGUAGCCUGGUGCUCAAAGAAGUGAAAAUGAUGCAAACCUUGAUUCCCUAUUUACUUCCAUUUACCAUCAAACAUUCUAUUCAUAAGAAAAAAAAUGUUUAGAUAUCUUGCCGUAAAUAUAGCCAUUUGAUUGUUUUAAUAAAGCCACACACAACCAUUCAUAUUGAUCCACAUUGCCACAUAGCCUGAUUUAAGCAUACAACAGCUGAAUGUAUACCUGACUCCUAACCUUAUCAAUACAUUGGCGACAACUUAAGAAGAAAACUAUUUCUCCAUCUCUUUUUUGAAAUUUCACAAUAAAACAGCACAAUGUAAGAGCUGCAAUGAAAAUGGACCGUCUGGAACUAUGGCGGAAGCUUCAACUAGUGUAGUGAUUUGACCUUCUUAUUAACCUGGCAAGAUCAAACACUGCCCUUGAUCUUGAACAGAUCAAUACGAUACGCACAACUUAUGAUUGAAUCCAGAAACCAUCAAAUCUUUAGCAAGAAUAAUUAAUCAGAAUCAAGAAACAAGUUUAAUGAAUAUAAACCUAUAAUUGGAACAAACACAGCCAAAGAACCCAAGAAUGACACAACGUACACCAAGGGAGAAGCUUUCCAGUGAGAUUAUAUUGAUGAUCAAAGAAGAAUCUUUUUACAAAGGUAACAAAAGUGAUUUCAGAGAAUAAGCUAUGACCCUCUCUCUUUUCAAUCUCUGUCUAGUUUGUUAACAGUGAUGACCCCAAUCUGCUUCGUUAGCCAGGUUCAUAACUGCGUCAGUGACAAACUAGCAAACCUAGAUUGAGCAGACUAACGACACGUGCAUAACGGCUUUAACGAACUUGGUUAAAGAACUGCUCACAUGUUCGUCACGCGUGUUGCUUAAAUGAUAGCCAAAACGACUUCAACCAGAUGCCGUUUUGAAGCUUAUGAAUUAUAAGUGAAAACACGUGCUUGUCUCGUGACAUUUAAAUGCAACAACAAGCCCAAAACACUGUCGUUUCACUAUGUUGAGUUUGCCAUCUCCAAGCUUCACAACUAGCAGCGAACAAGAUGAUAAUUUAAUUGACAUGGAGAGCUUUUAUAUCACUUUUACAACAUUCUAUAUAAUUGUGAUAUUGGGAAUCGUCGGUGCUGUAUAUGUGAACCCUCAUUGGCGACACUGGUGGUUUUAUCUUUGUUAAAAUAUGGAUGACUUUUCGUUACUAUUUUGUUGUACAUAACCUUAUUCCUACGAGAUUUAAUCAUUGAAAUUAUGUUAGUUUCAUUAGAAGGCUGAGUGGUUAGUGCUGCUACCCUCCAAUUUGGAGGGCAGUAGUUUGAACCCCCACAAGCGCAAUGUGGGGGUAUUUCCUUCUUUAAUUACAUUGUAUAAUUGAGUAAAGGUAAUUUUCUCUCUUACCCAAGUGUGAGUGGAGUAGACAUCCCUCGAUGGUUAAAACCUGGGCAGAGCUUCAUAAGUAUUGAUGUAAGUUGGUCCCAGUAAUAGUCUGAUUUGUAAAUAUCAGUUAUAGUCUCAUGUUUCCUUCCUUAAUUAUAUUGUAUAAUUAAGUAAAGGUACUCUUUUCCCCUACCCAAGUGUGAGUGGAGUAAAUAUCCAUCGAAUAUUAGUGAGGGUUAAAAUCUGGGCAAAGCUCCAUAAGUAUUGAUGUAAGUUGAUCCCAGUAAUAGUAUGAUUUGUAAAUAUCAGUUAUAGUCUCAUGUAAUAUGAGUUGUAAUUUGAGCAAUAGUUUCAUGUAAUUAAAAAAAAUGUUACUUUCAUUACAUUUUUCUUCGUUAAAAUUCUCAAGUAUCAAUUAUGUUUGCUUAAGAAAUAAAAUUUUGUCAUUAAAGUUGUAGUAGUAUUUCUAAGCAUCUCACAUUUUCAAUGAUUUUUCAUAAAUCAAUUAAUAUGUCGUACCAAUAUCAUGUUUAGUUUUUCAGACUAAAUAAUCAAGAAAGCAAACAAAUUCACAGUUUAGAGGGGUAAACUAGCUUUUAGAUUUUAGAACUAGGCUAGCUACCUCACCAAAUUCCAGUUUGUACAGUGAACUACAAGAUUGAGAAAAUAAUGUAUUUAUAGUUUAAUUGAAUCAUGACAAACAAUGUAGUCAUAGCUCAAUCGGACAUGAUCACGGAGAGGCAUAUUCUUUUCAAGUUAAUUUGAUCCAUUUAUAAGAAAUGAAGUGGAUCGAAGUUAAAAGUUCAAAUAAAAAAUCCUUGUUCUUGAGUUUUACGACGUCGUUACUCCUUCAAGAGGCUGAUUAUGCAAGUGAAUGGAGAAACAUAAUGCAUUUAUAAUUUUUUUAAUAAUUAUAAAAAUAAUUAACCAUAACAAAUCCCUUGCGUAAAUAAUAAUCAUUAUUUAAAAGGUCCAAAGAUGGUUAGUGCACAAUCAAAUUUUAAGCCCCUACCUCCUCGGCCCAAGAUUCAAACUUAGAUGAUAAGCCAAAUAAAAUUAUUUGAAAAUCAUUCAAUCAAGUUCCGGGGCAAAAAUACAAGAUCCUUAUUUACAUGAUAUAUAUGAAUUAAUGUAAUUUAUUUGAAUUGUCCAAAUUCAUUAGAGAUAAAACUAUAAAAUAUACCAAAAAAGUUAGAAGGAAGGCUGUGUUGGGAUAUUUUACAAACUAUAGGGAUCUGGUGAGAUUUUGAGCCAAACUGUAGGGAGUUGAAGGCAUUUGCCCAAUAUGUUUAGACGUACACUAACCGUUAUUUGAUCUUGUUGUUGGUCCCGGAUGAGCUGUAGUCUUAUUUUAAUUUUAUUUAAACUCACCAUAAGAUUCGCGGAGCUCCUAACUAACUUAAAUGACUCUGCAGAGCAUGUCAACACAUACCAUGUUUAACCGUUUUAUUUGUAGAAGAAUUUAUGAUUUCCCAUUAGCAUUAUUAUUGAAGUGGGGCAGGUCAAAUCUCAAUUGCUUGAAAAUUUUAUUUAUUAUUAUUAGUCUUGAAGUGGGGUGGGUAACGGUUCGCUCAAUUCGAGGGGAAUCAAAUAUAUCAUCCAAGGUAGAAUUGUGGAAAAUUAAAGCAAAAUAAGAAAUAUGGAAAGACAAGAAGAAAGUUAAGGCAUGAAAGACAUAUACAGUUGAAAUUGAUAAUCAUGUUUCUAUUUUGUUAACUAAUCAAAUGGAAAGCUGAACUGUAAACAAACAUUAAAACGUGUGGACCAAGCUCGCUGUCCUACAAGUCUACAAUAAUAAUUGAGUACUUUGAUUCAUCCUUCUAUGAAUUUCUACCCAUAUUGACUCCACCGAAAUUUCCACAAAAUAAAAUUAAAAAAAAAAACUGAAUUUCCACAAAAUACAAAACCCGUUGAACUUAAUUUUUGGUCAUGUGAACUAAGAUGUAAAUUAUAAAAAAAAGUAUAAAAUUAAAAAAGAUGAGAUUUCUAAAAUGUGUGGAAAGUGAUUCAUGAUUCACUGAAAUUACUUACCCCAGAUAUAAAGGUAAACCUAUCUAAUUUCAUUAAAAAUAGUUGAAAAACAUUAACUAAUAGAAAGCUACGGAAAUUAACCCCCCACAAAAAUGACUUUUUAUAGAAGAAUUUAUGUUUUUUAAAAUAUGUUAUCAAAGUGUAUUUGAUCAAAUCUGAAUUGCUUAGUAUGGUUAGGAUUUUGUGAACAUCACUAAAAAGUGAAAACUAUGAAUGAUAGGGGUGAUGCUUGCAAUAUGAAUAAAUAAUGGACUGAUUCAAUUUCUGAUUACAUUUAUAUAUUAUUGAUUAUUUAUGAAUUUUCAGACUUGUUAUGAUGUAUAACUAUGUGAUUUUGAAACUUGAAACCGUGGCAAACAUUGAAAGGAAUUAUAACUUGAAAGCAUGACUCACGGGGUAUGUCAUGAUUCACGUGCACAAAAAAGGUAGAAUUGUGGAAAUUUACAACCCAACGACAAGUACGGAAAGAAAGGAAGAAAAUUAAAAGACUUUGGGCCUAGCUGCGUGUAUAAAUUAUUAGAUUACUUUUUUUUUUAUAAGGGUAAUCAUCAAUUUACUCCAUAAAAAUCUUUAAUUCAAUUAAAAUUUAUGGUAUUUUAUAUAUUAAAAAUUCUAAAAUAAUUAUGUAUUCACUUGAAUAUAGUUUUAGUUAUAAAUGUUAAAAUAUUGUGGUAUUUAAUAUAUUAUUUAUUUGACAUUCAAAUUUAAUAAGGAUACAAAUGUAAAAGUAUAUAUUUUUCAGCUUUUUAAGUUGAAAAAAACAAACAACUUAAUACUUAUUUUUUGAGAUUCAGACAAAAAAAUAAACAUAUUAUUCAGAUUCAGACAUUCAGAUCUAUUCAGAAUUCUCACUAAUUCAGAUCUAUUCAGAUUUCAGAUAAAAAAAAAAAAAACAAAACGCCACCUAAGUAUAGUUAGGAUUGUGUGAACAUCACUGAAAACUAUGAUUGAUAGAAGUGAUCUUGGCAAUAUGAAUAAAUAAUUAACUGAAUCAAUUGAUUUAUAUAUUAAUGAUUGUUUAUGAAUUUGCGGACUUGUUGCGAUAUAAUAAUAGCAUAUGAUUUUGAAACUUGAAACAGUGGUAAAUAUUGAAAGGAAUUAAUUUGAAAGCAUGAUCCGUGGGGAAUGUGAUGAAUCGUGUUUACAAAAAAGGUAGAAUUGUGGAAAUUUAUAAUAGAACGAUAAAUAUGGUAAAAAGGAAGAAAAUUGAAAGACUUGGGGCUUGGCCUGGGUGUAUUUUCUAACAGUCCAAUGGACAAAAUUAUAUUUGUAUACUUUCUUUUCAGGAAAAAGUUAUUCUCAUCCCUAGGUUUCAUGCAAUAGCUCAUUCCAUCCUUAUUUUUUAAAUAAUAGACCAAAACAUUCUUCCGUUAACUCACUGUUAGUUGAAUGUCGUUUGUUAGUUAUUCAUUAAGAGUAAAAAAUGAUUUUCUAUCAAAGAGAAAAUUAGAAAAAUAAAUAAAAGUUGACAUAUAACUAAAAAUGAUUUUAUCUAAUCCCACUAAAUAAGAAAUACCAAAAAAGAUGAAAAUUUUAUAUUUCAAGCAGUUCUUUUUUCACUUAUUUCUAUUUUGGCGGUAUGAAAGCCCUAUAAACCCUAGAUCUAAGUACCAAAAAUAUUGCAAUUUUCUUAUUCAUAUAAGUAUACUCUCUAAUUGCACUAUAAAAUGACUUGAAUUGAAUUGAAGAUAAAGAAUAUAUUCAGCACAUACAAAGCACAUAAAAAUUGGUGGCAUUUUUGAGUUUUUCUUCCAAUGAUUUAAAUAUAUUAUUUUAAUUACAGUUUGUUCCUUAUGACAAUUAUUAAAUGGCUAUAUCAAACUAUAUCAUCGUUGAUUUCAUUUAAAAAAAAAAGUUAAUGAAUUUUGCAUACUUUGUAGUGUUAUUUAAUUGUGUAAAAAAAUUAUUUUAAUAUAGUUUGUAUCACUUUAAUGAAAAAUUCUAUUUUGCCCUCAAUGAAUUACUAGUUAACAGUUUUACACUAACGGUGAAUUAACAUAAGGAUAUUUUAGGCUAUUGUUUGAAAAGGAGGGAUAAAAUGGGCUAUUACAUUAAACUCUAAGGAUGAAAAAUGCUUUUUCCCCUUUCUUAUCAAUCAACUAACUGAUAAAAGUCAAAACUCAUAUUUUUUUUUCCUUGUUUCAAUCCCCUCUCAAUCAAAAAAGUUUCAUUGUCUAAGCAAUGAGGAAUAUGGCUAGAAAGAUUGUUAUUAGAAAGAUUUAUCAAUAGUAAUUGGUUCACAAUUGAACCGUUUUAGAUUAUUGUGAGUCAAUAUAGGUCCUGUUUGGAAUUGAAGUGUUGCAGCUCUUAAGUUAUAGAUGCUUUGGAAAAAAAACUAAAAUUAUGAAAUAAGAGUUAAUAAUAUAUAAUAAAUAUAAAUUUUAAAUAAUAAUUGUGACAAAAUUAUUAAAAAUAUAAUAGAUUUUUGAUAAUACAAGUAAAAAAAUCAUAACAACAUAGCUUGCAAGCUACAACAGUUAGUGUUUAACAAAUACUUUAAUACUGUGGCUUUUAAGUUACAGCUGUUCAAUACCUCAAUUCCAAACGCACCUAUAAAAUGGCUUGCUUCAAAAGUCUAUCAACCCAACUUGGAAUGCUCUCAUUCAAGUGGCUAUAACUAAGAUAAAACUUCGCUAAGGAAGAGUAAUUAAAAAAUGUAACUUUAACAUGUCCAUAUAGCAUUUUUGUUUACAAGUGAAUUUGUGUGAUAGAGAGAGGAUGUAAGCAAGAUAGUAAAGUCCUAAAUAUAUUAUUGUGUAUAAUGUCUAAAAUUUAAAGAGAAUCAAGCUGAUAAAACUCCAUUGAAAUUAGACCUUCAAGAAUACGGUUCUUGGGCAUUAUAAAAUGUUGUAAUGUUGAGAGAUUACCCAACCAUUAUGGAAUCCUACCAAGAUGAUUGUUACCACUAAGAUACAAUCCUUCUAGUGAACAACAAUCAGAUAAAUUUUUUGGGGAUCUCUCUUACAAAGUGAUUACCAUCCAAUCGCAAUUUUGAAUGAAAAUAAAUUUUUUUUAUUGGGAGUUUAACCUUAACAUUAAAUUUAGACAAUGAAUUUUAACUUUCUACAGUUAUUAAGCAGAUUACGGACAUUUGAGGAAUUUGAAAACAUUUCAUCCAUCGAAAGUUAAAAUUAGAGAUGGAAGAUAGGUGCUACAGCUAAUGGGAACAUUACUUCCUGUCCCUCAUCACACUUUAUUUUGGGUCUAAUAAUUUUACGGUAGCAUUGACCACUGCUCAAGGUAAGUAAAACUUACAAAUGUGUGGCAAAAUAAAUAAUUAAGUACAUAAACUGUUAACCAAUUUUCUUGAUAUAUACAGCUAAAGUAGUUGUAUAUUAGUGUCCUGAAACAUGUUUAUUAUGAUAGACACCUCCACCGUACCUCAAACAAAUCUGUCAUUAUUAGUGUCCUGAAACAUGUUUCGGCCGUCAAAGUCAUGAGAGGGUUGAUGACGCUACUACGUAUGAUGACACACCAGCCGACAGUGUAGUAACAGCUCAAAAACAAAAUCUACCAAAAUCAACGGAAGUUAAUAAAAAAAUAUUUUAUUAAUAAAAAAACUUAUUAUUUGUGGAGAUAUGUGUAUUUGAGUCUGUGGACUGAAAUGGAAAAUAUGAAGAAGUUCAGAGUCGUUGUGCAGAUUGACUUCAGUUGAGCGGGUCUAAUAGAUAUUUUAUGCUGACGUGGCACGAAUUAGUUAUAAUCUGUUAUAACGAUUCCAGAAAUAUCGGUAUAAAUAGAAGUUGAUGAGCAGUGCCUGUUGUACGAUCCUUUUCUUCUUCAGCAGUUCGUCAAUUUGCAUAGAAUCUGUUUCACUUAUGUUUGAUUAGUUGUUGAUCGAUAACGAGAGUAAAUUUUUCCUUCAAAUCUUGCUGGUUCGUGCCCCUGUUUCAGUUUUGGGUUUUUUUUUUUUUUUAGUUCUGGUUUCUUAAUUCAAUUGAAUUUCUUGGUGCUUAAUUCAUCAAGAUUCAGUGGAAUUGACUUGAAAAGGACUCAAUAGACUCAACAUUAUUUAACGACACUCGGACCGUGGGGUACCGUAAUCAUAAUAUUAAAAGAUUUAAAAUUUUAUGCAUUUAUUAAUUGUUAUAAUCUAAAAAAAAAUUAAUUAAUUCAGGUCAAUCUGAGUUGGUGCAUCUGCAGAGCCUUUUUUUUUUUUCCCCUUAUUGACCAUAACUUUCGACUUAUUAAUAGUUAUAUCAAAGGGUGUGGGUGUUUUACCUCAUCAUGUCUUCAAGCGGAAGAUGAAGACUAUGCAAGUGAAUACAGUGCAUUUCAACAUAGCAUAUUUAACCGUUUUAACAGUUAUUUGGACCGUCUUCAGAGCUAACAUCAACAUACUCAUUCAUAUGCUUAAUAAUGAACGAAUAGUCAUGGAUCGAUGUUUUGCAGCAAGAGCAACUCGACACAAUCUGGAUUCAACCUCCUCCUUUCUAACAGGGUGAUACGCCGCGGAGGUCGUCAAGGAUUCCAAAGCCUAGCAACAAGUAUGCUGGGUACAUUUGAAUUAUGCAUGGAUGCUUGGAAGUCGAACGGUCACAUGGCUCAAGACUUAUGCAUACGUUACAUGCAACAUGCAGCACGUUGGAAGAAUGGUCAUUGGAGCAGUCUACAUGGAUCAUGGGGGGGAUUCGGUCAACAUGGGAUCACUUGCUGAUUUAAUGGAGAUUUAUCAUUUGGUUUAAUUCAUUUUCGGUUGUUUAGUUAAGCUAAAAGAAUAAGUUAAGUUGUUAGCUUAGGACCUGCCUACAAUCUCGAGUGAUAGUUAGAUUGUUUGGCUAAGUUGUUUUAAGUAUAAAUAAGCUCCAACGGACUUGAAUAAAGGGCAUUGACUAUUAUCCAAAAAUCAAAUAUCUUGUGGUCUUAUUUCUCACCCUAAGUAGAAAUAUAUUCAACCACUUACGCUUUGACUGGGACCCCUAUCAGUGGUAUCAGAGCGAGGUUACUAUGUCAACCAACAAGGAACGCAUAGAGCGUGUGGAAGCCGAGAUCGGAAGCUUGCAAGAUGGAAUGAAGCGUAUGGAACUAGGGCUUACUGACAGAUUGCACCGCCUAGAAGAAACAAUGAGCAAACUGGUAGAUUCACUUCCAACUUCAAAAGGGAUGCCAAGUCACAACAAUUCUGAUCACGUUGGAUCCUCACAGCCUAGCCGUGGAGAUAGUGAAGGGAGCCGCCAUCAGCUAGCAUCAAGACUUACCAAACUGGAGUGUCCACGAUAUUCCGGCGACGACCCAACGGAGUGGUAUAAUAGGAUCAUGCAAUUUUUCGAGUACCAGAAAGCAACCAAUGAACAGAAAGUCUCCUUAGCUUCUUUUCACCUCGAAGGAGAGGCCAACCAAUGGUGGCAGUAGAUGCGACGAACUUAUCAAGAAGACGAAAAAAUAGUAACGUGGGAAAUUUUUGUGGAGGAGCUUUGGGCACGGUUUGGCCCUACUGAGUGCGAAGAUUAUGAUGAGGCGUUGUCCAGGGUUAAGCAGACAGGGUCACUACGUGAUUAUCAGAGGGAAUUCGAAAGGCUUGGGAACUGGGUACGAGGCUGGACGCAAAAGGCCUUGGUCGGGACCUUUAUGGGAGGAUUGAAGCCGGCAAUCUCAGAGGAAAUUCGGAUGUUUCGGCCCAAAACUUUAAAAGAAGCUAUAAGCCUCGCACGUAUGAAGGAUGAUCAAUUAACGCGACAAAGGAAGUUGCUACGACCACAGUACCUCAACCGUACACCACCAACACCAACAAACAAUACCCGUGCCCAACCAACGAGACCCAUCAAACGGCUGACUUGGGACGAAAUGCAGCGGCAUCGAGUAAUGGGACUUUGCUUCAAUUGCAACGAUCGGUUUACAGCAGGUCAUAAGUGCACCCAACCUCAGCUAUUGCUCCUUGAAAGUGAGACAAUGAAUGAUGAAACUACAUAUGAGGGAAUUCCUGAAGUCUUAUGAACAAAACCUGACACUAAAGAGCCUACCGAUCCAAAAAUCACUUUCUAUGCCCUCACUGGAUGGGCAGCCCCAAGAACCAUGCGGGUCACGGCAACGGUAGGACCAUAUGAGAUUAUGGUUCUGAUCGAUAGCGGUUCAACUCACAAUUUCAUCAGCUCCCGAAUGGCCAACAUGUUACGGCUGCCAAUCAUUCCCACAGCAGGAUUUUUGGUGCGAGUGGCAAACGGAGAAACGCUAUCGUGCAAGGGAAAAUUCGAACGGGUUCAGGUAUUAUUACAAGAAGUUCCAUUCACUUUGACUCUUUAUUCACUUCCAAUUACAGGGUUGGAUAUGGUGCUUGGAGUCUAGUGGCUUGAGAUGCUAGGCUCAGUGGUUUGCAAUUGGAAACAACUUACCAUGGAUUUCACUUGGGAGAACAAAAGUUGCCGGUUACAAGUCAUCGGGCCUCAAUCAAUCCAAACAGCAUCCUUGACCGAAAUUACCAAAGAGCUGAGACAAGGGCAGUCCGGUUUUGCUAUUUGUUUCCAUGUGAAUGUAGAAGACUCUCUCAACACAACAACUCCAGAUAUGCAAGACUUGUUAAAGGAAUACAACACUUUAUUUCAAAAGCCAACAAAACUGCCACCUAGACGAGAAAUCGACCAUAACAUCACAUUGAAAGAGGGAACUGAGCCAGUCAACGUACGGCCAUACCGUUAUGCCUAUUUCCAGAAAGCCGAAAUUAAAAAACAAGUCCAGGAGAUGCUGAAUUCGGGACUCAUUCGGCCUAGUACCAGCCCUUUUUCAUCACCAGUACUACUUGUCAAAAAAAAAGAUGGAAGUUGGCGAUUUUGCACCGACUAUCGGUCUCUCAAUAACGCCACUGUUAAAGACCGAUUUCCAAUCCCUACAGUCGAUGACAUGCUGGACGAGUUACAUGGAGCAGCAUACUUCACUAAAUUGGACCUAAGGGCCGGAUACCAUCAGGUACGUGUAAACCCAGCCGAUAUCCACAAAACGGCUUUUCGUACAUACAAUGGACAUUACGAAUACUUAGUAAUGCCGUUUGGCUUAUGCAAUGCACCAUCGACAUUCCAGGCCAUCAUGAACUCUAUCUUCCGUCCCUAUCUCAGGAAAUUUAUCCUUGUUUUCUUUGACGAUAUAUUGAUAUACAGUCCCUCUUGGUGUAGCCACCUUACUCAUGUUAAGCAGGCAAUGGAGGUUCUUAAACAACAUCAAUUUUUUCUUAAAGCAAGCAAGUGCACUUUUGGCCAACAAGAACUCGAGUACCUUGGCCACAUAAUUACCAGCCAAGGGGUAAAAGUAGAUGAGACAAAAAUUGCGGCCAUGGUCUCCUGGCCUCAACCGAAGAACAUCUCAGAGUUACGGGGAUUCCUUGGCCUUACAGGUUACUAUAGAAAGUUCGUCCAAGGAUAUGGAGUUUUAGCUCGGCCACUCACGAAUCUUCUAAAAAAAGGACAGUUUGAAUGGAAUGCAGAAGCGGACAAAGCUUUUAUCAAUUUAAAAAAGGCAAUGACAAGUACACCCACAUUAGCCAUGCCUAAUUUUAAUGAAACUUUUAUUAUUGUGACAGAUGCAUCCGGUGACGGCAUCGGCGCAAUACUCCAGCAACAAGGGCAUCCCAUCGCAUUUAUGAGUCGUGCCUUGGGAGUCACAAAAAAAUCUUAGUCCACAUACGCAAAAGAGAUGUUGGCGAUUAUAGAAGCUAUCCGUGUGUGGCGACCUUAUCUGGUGGGACGAAAGUUUAUCAUCCAAACCGAUCAACGCAGCCUUAAGUACCUUUUGGAACAAAAAAUAACGACACCCGAAUAGCAACAGUGGCUGGCCAAAUUGAUGGGGAUUGAAUAUGAAAUCCAAUAUAGGCCCGGCCGUGAGAAUGUUGCCGCCGACGCCCUUUCACGACGACCUGACAGUUCUGCUCUUAACAGUUUAUUUGUGGCGCAGGUAUCUAUUUGGAAUGAAAUAAAAACGGCUGCCCAAGAUGAUGAUUACAUGCAGCAAAUUACACAUCAGGCUCUGACUCAACCUACUGGCCCUUAUUUCAUGCGUAACGGGCUAAUUUUCUUCAAGGGCCGAGUUGUAGUUCCUCUUCGACUCCGUCAAUCUUUAAUUUUUUAAGCCCAUGACACUAAGAUGGGAGGUCAUUCAUGAGUUCUACGUACUUACAAACGUUUGAAACAACAAUUCUAUUGGCCUUCAAUGUUUCAAACGGUUCAUGACUAUGUAGGUAAAUGCGAGAUUUGUCAAAAAACGAAAGCAUCAACCCUUAAGCCUGCGGGUCUCCUCCAGCCCUUGCCAAUUCCUUGCCAAGUGUGGGAUGAUAUCACGCUCGACUUCAUUGAAGGGCUGCCAAACUCACACGGUAAAAAUUCUAUUCUAGUGGUGGUGGAUCGGCUCAGCAAGAGUGCACACUUUAUGGCCUUGACUCACCCAUUCACAGCAAAAACAGUGGCUGAGAAGUUUAUUGAUGGAGUGGUAAAAUUACAUGGCAUGCCGAAAUCAAUAAUCAGUGACCGAGACCCUAUUUUUAUUAGCAAGUUUUGGCAGGAGUUUUUUCAUAUGUCCGGUACACAACUCAAUAUGAGUUCUGCGUACCAUCCGCAAACCGACGGUCAAACGGAAGUUAUUAAUAGAUGUCUUGAACAAUACCUGCGAAGCUUUGUUCACCAAUGGCAGAAGCAAUGGAACUCUUACCUACCUUGGGCAGAAUACUGGUACAACACAACGUACCAUGAGUCCACAAGCAUGACUCCUUUUUUGGCUUUGUAUGGGCGACAUCCACUGGUAGUACCAAUGUAUCAUGUGGAAUCUUCUCCAGUGCACAAGGUAGAUCAAGCUUUGUUGUCUAGGGAUGAGCUGCUGCGACAAUUAAAACAGAAUUUGAAAAUGGCAACCAAUCGCAUGAAACAAUUUGCGGAUACAAAAACGCGCGACGUGGAGUUUAAGGAGGGUGACAUGGUAUUCCUAAGACUUCCACCGUAUAGGCAGACUACUGUAUUCCGUCGUGCUCAUCAGAAGUUGACCAGCAAAUACUCUGGGCCAUAUCCAAUUCUGCGAAGAGUGGGACAAGUGGCUUAUGAGCUUAAACUACCGACGGGAUCUCGAGUGCAUCCGGUAUUUCAUGUGUCCUUACUCAAAAAAUACGUUGGUGAGAUGCCUCAAUUCAGUGCAGAUCUUCCAUAUGUCAAUGACGACGGAGUACUCGUUUUAGAACCGGACAAAAUUAUUGAUGUUCGUUGGCUUAAAAGAGGUGGCAAGUUGGUGGAACAAAGUCUUGUCCGUUGGAAACGCCUUCCACAUGAGGACGCAACAUGGGAAGAUUCAGAGUUCCUGGCAAAGCAAUUCCCUCACCUGACCCUUGAGGACAAGGGUCCUCUUCGUGGAGGCGGUAUUGAUACACCGCGGAGGUCGUCAAGGAUUCCAAAGCCUAGCAACAAGUAUGCUGGGUACAUUUGAAUUAUGCAUGGAUGCUUGGAAGUCGAACGGUCACAUGGCUCAAGACUUAUACGUUACAUGCAACAUGCAGCACCUUGGAAGAAUGGUCGUUGGAGCAGUCUACAUGGAUCAUGGGGGGGAUUCGGUCAACAUGGGAUCACUUGCUGAUUUAAUGGAGAUUUAUCAUUUGGUUUAAUUCAUUUUCGGUUGUUUAGUUAAGCUAAAAGAAUAAGUCAAGUUGUUAGCUUAGGACCUGCCUACAAUCUCGAGUGAUAGUUAGAUUGUUUGGCUAAGUUGUUUUAAGUAUAAAUAAGCUCCAACGGACUUGAAUAAAGGGUAUUGACUAUUAUCCAAAAAUCAAAUAUCUUGUGGUCUUAUUUCUCACCCUAAGUAGAAAUAUAUUCAAUCACUUACGCUUUGACUGGGACCCCUAUCACAGGGGAUUUCGAUUUGAGUUACUUUGUGCUCAAGCAAAUUCACAUCAUAGUUUUGAUUCUUUAGAUAUGAAUUCAUCACAUUACAUAUAUCAGAUUAAGUGUAACAAAAUUUUUAAUUUACUGCGAAAAGAAUAUGCACUAAACAAUGAUUUCAAGACGAUUUGACUACCAAAAGCAGCUGUCAGAGUGCACUAAAAAUUUCUGUAGGAUAUUUUGUAGCUGUUUAAUAUGUUAUGAUGGGCAUAUAAUUCUCAAAUUUUGAUGCCUCUCAGCGAAAAAUAUAUCAAAGUUUAGAUUAUGUGUUCGAGCUUUAAUAAAUGGUCGGAAAAAAAGCUGCUGUCAGAGUGCACUGAGUGAAUAAUAAUAACGACAAUAAUAAUAAACUAAAAAACAGAAUUAAUUACUAUUGAAUGGUCGGAAAAAAAUUUGAAAACGUGUGAACUCCAAUAAUCACCCCACAAAUUCAGUGGCGAAUUUUGGAGAGGGCAAGGCCGGGCUUCUCAGAAAAAAAUUUAUUUAGUUACAAAAUUAUCUUUAUUGAAACCUAUAUAAAUUUUUUUUUAUAUUAAUUAGUUAUGUUACCUCUUCAAUUAUCAUCAAAUUUUUGUCUGUUCAUCAUUUGGUGAAUAAAUGUGUGUCUAAAUAAUUUCAAAUAACAUUUAGAACAAAUAUUUUGAGAGGUAAAGUUUAUUUUGUCUCCCAUUAUUAGGUGCAUCUAUAAUUUCUUAUUUACAAAAUUAUAUUGUACGAUAAAAAUUUAUUGAAUUAGGGGGAAAAAAAAAGUUCAGCUCACUCAAAAACAAAAAAUGGUAUUAACUUCGCCACCGCACAAAUCUAGAAUAAUAAUUAUUCCUUAUCAUGCUGGGGAUCCUUUACUUUCUAGCCGUAUUGACAGCACCAGGUAAAGCUUUGUAAAAUAAUAAGUUACUCAUUAGUGGUUUUUAAUCUUUUUAAUUCUUUUUACCGCACACCUGAUCAAGAAUUUUAUUUUGUUAACUAAUCAAUUGCAAAGCAUAUAUAAGUGUUGAACGGUACGCAAGAUUGGAAAAAAAAAUCUUAAAAAACGUGUGGAUUCGGGUGGCCACACCAGAAAUCUAUUACAAUAAUUAGCUUUGAUGCUGGGAAUCUUUUAAUUUCUGGCCGUAUUGAAAUUUUUAAAAUAACAAGUUCCCCUUCUCGUUUUUUUUUUUAUAAAUAUAUAAGCUUAUAACAAUUUUAGAAUAAUGACUCAUUUGUAGAAGAAUUUAUGAUUUCCCAUUAAUAUUAAUAUUGAAGUGGGGUGGGUCAAAUCUCAAUUGCUUGAAGAAUUUAUUUAUUAUUAUUAAUAUUAUUAGUAUUGAAGUGGGGUAGGGAACGGACCAGCAGUUCACUCAAUUCGUGGCGAAUUAAAUAUUACCAUCCAAGGUAGGAUUGUGGAAAAUUAAAGCAAAAUGACAAGUAUGGAAAGGAAGGCUGAAAGUAAGGCAUGACGAAAGGCUUUGAGAAGGCUGAAGACUUACCAAAGAAGUCAACUGAAAACUAGCUGGGGCCUGAGUGUAUAAAUUGUUAGAUGCGUUUGUUAUAAAUAACAUAGAGCCCUUUUGUUAUUUAUAGUUAUAGAGAAAGAGAGAAUGUGUGUCUUUUAAGAGUUAGAGAUAUAGCUAGAAUGGGCGGCUCAAAAUCCAAAAUGGUGACAAUGUUAGUUCUCGUAUUGGUAAUAUUUUGGGUGGGGGGGGGGGGGGGGGGGGGGGGGGGUUGUGAGGGAAGGAAGGUCCACAGGCCGAGUGGUACAACUACACCUUGGCCUUACUAGGAAUAUCGAUCUGGGAGAGUGGUAUCUGAAUGCUUCUCUAUUUACUUCCUUUCAACAACUUGGUAACAAAAUAGCCGGCUGCAUGCGUUGAGAAUGAAGGUCCUUCAUUUAAUUUAAUUUACUUAAUUUCUCCCUCCCAAUUAAUGUCUAAUGGAGCUCAUUCUUUGGUUUUACUUGCAGGUCUAGAAGCAGGUGUCAUCUAACAGCUGCUUUGAUAAUUUCCCACCCCUUCAUCUUUGAUGGAAAGAUGAAAUAAAAACAAAAUGGUGAAAAUGGUAUUGGUACCUGAGGCUAUGUAAUCUAAUUCAACAACUGCACCAUCAAAACGAUUACAUAAGUCCCAGAAGAAUCAAACAUUAGUUUGCAAAAUAUCAAUUGCUGGAGGUUAGAUUCUAACUUCCGCUCUUGAUUUUUAUGGGCAUGUUGUAUUGUACUUGCAUACGAAAAUCAUAUUUUAGUUUACUUACACUCAAUGCUUGGAUUAAAGUUUCAGGUGGGGAAAAUUGAAGGAGACUAAAAUGACUCAAAAAAAUAGUUGAAUGAGUGAGGGUUUUGUCUUCAUUUGAGGAGCUCUUUAUAAAUUUUAGGAUUUUUUUUCCCGAGAAAAUUUAUGCCAACUUAUUCUUUGCUUCUUUUCUGAAGGGACAAAUGCAACUGAAAGUGUAUUCUUGAAUUCUCCAGGAUAAGAGACAUAUGUUUAAUUAGAUUCUCGAGCCUUCAAAACAAUAUAAAAUUUUAUAUAUCUGAGCAUGAUGGUGUUUGACAUGACUUAAAAUUGUUUAAUUUACUCUCACGUACAAGAAUGCCUAGUUAUAUUGUCGCUCAGAGUCCGAGGUUAAUCCAUAAAGAAAUGAUUUAAUUUGUUUAUUUAAGAUUAUCCCAAAAAAUAAAAAUAAAAUUUAAAUAUAUGUAAUUUAAUUUGAAAAAAGUUAUGAAAUUAAAUUAUUUAGAGUCAUGGAUCCACUCUUAGUAAUAAAUACAAUUUAAUAAAUUCUUUUUAUUUUUAUUUUAUUGCCCAAAAGAUUAAUUAUAUAAAUUAUAAUUAUUUUUCCAUUAAUUUUAUUAUGGAUUAAGUACUUAAUGUGCCAAAACUUAACUUGUCUACAAUAUGUCAAAAUACCAUUUUACCAUACUUUAUGCUAAGAUAUUAAGAAUUCAUGUGCCAAACUCCCAUGUUUGUCUACAAUAAAUCCAAAUUUCAAAACAUAAAAUAUGGAUCAAAUUAAAUAAAAAAUAAUUUAAUUUAUAUAAUUAAAAAUAGAAUUUGAUUAAAUCAUAUUUUUCUACUUAGAGUUUUACCUCACCCUAACUAUUAGUAUUUAGCUAAACAUAUUUGAAAUAAAUGAAAUUAUUAAAAUUGAAAAAUACAUAAUUAAAAAAAUGGUAUUUGAAAAUUAGAAAUAAAACUAAUUUUAUUUAUUGAAAAUGUAUUACAAAGAGAGAUGAGAAGAAGAAUUUGAGGGAAAAGAAGAGAAGAAAAUGUGUGGAGAGGUGUGUGAAAUUAUAUUGUAAAGAUGUUACACAAACAAAUGAAUAAAAAAAAACUAAAUGAAAAUUACACAAAUUAAAAAGAAAAUGAAAAUUAAAUAAAAAAGAUAAAUGUGUAAGAAAAAAAUGCGCAAUAAAAAUAAAUAAACUGAAAAGUAAUUAACUAAAAUUAAAAUAACUAAAUAGGCGGUAAACAAAGUAAAUGCCAAAAAUAAAAUAAGUGCGAAAAUUAAAUUACAGAAAUUAAAAGAAGAAAGAAAGAAAAAAAUAAUUAUCUCAAAGUGUAAACUCUUUUUCUUUUUCUUUUCAAAUUUUAAAUAUUACCAGCCAAUUAAGUGAUUAAUUCAAAUUAUUAGGCUUUAAUAGUAAUUUUUAAAAUCAAUAUUCAGUUUAUUGAGUCCAAAUAAGGUCCAAAGAAGUUCAAGUUGUUGGUCUAAAAUUGAGAAUUUUGGGAAAUAUUGGCAACGGACCUAUUCAAAAAGCUCUAUAAUUUUGUGGUCAAACUGCAAUUAUGAGAAGAAUGAUCCAAAAAUUAGAAUUUUUGGGGUGAGUGAGAUUUAGAAAGAUUUUGUGGAUAUAACAUAAUUUAAGAAAGAAAAAGGAGGUAAAUGAAAAUUUACACAAAAAGUAUAAAAAGAAAGAAAAAAGAAAACAAAAUAAAUACCUCUCCCAGCAAUGGCGGUAAAAACUUAACACGACUUAAAAGCAUUUAAUUUACUCUAAAGUAUAAGAGUACCUAGUUAUAUUAUAUCGCGAGAAGUCCGAGAUCGAUCUACAGAAAAAUGAUUUAAUUUAUUUAUUUAAGUUUAUCUAAAAAAUAAAAAUAAAAUUAAAUACAUGCAAUUUAAUUUGAGAAAAACUAUGAAAUUGAAGUAGUUAGGAUUAUGGAUCUACUCCUAGUAAUAAAUGUAAUUUAAUAAAUUCUUUUUAUUUUUAUUUUAUUGACCAAAAGAUUACUUGUAUAAAUUACAAUUAUUUUCCCAUUAAUUUUAUUAUGGAUUAAGUACUUAAUGUGCCAAAGCUUAACUUGUCUACAAUAAGUCAAAAUACUAUUUUACCAUACUUUAUACUAAGAUAUUAACAAUUCAUUGUGCCAAACUCCCAUGUUUGUCUACAAUAAAUCAAAAUUUCAAAAUAUAAAAUAUAGAUAAAAUUAAAUAAAAAAUAAUUUAAUUUAUAUAAUUAAAAAUAGAAUUUGAUUAAAUCAUAUUUUUCUACUCAGAGUUUUACCUCACCCUAACUAUUAGUAUUUAGCUAAACCUAUUUGAAGUAAAUGAAAUUAUUAAAAUUGAAAAAUACAUAAUUAAAAAAAUAGUAUUUGAAAAUUAGAAAUAAAACUAAUUUUAUUUAUUGAAAAUAUACUACAAAAAGAGAUGAGAAGAAAAAGUUGAGGGGAAUGAAGAGAAAAUAAGGUGUGGAGAGGUGUGUUCCUCCCCCCACUUCUCUAUUUAUACUAAUACAUGAUUAAUCUAUACCACACAAAUAAAUAAAACUAAUUACAUCUUAGGCAUACAUUUGUCCCACUAACAAAAUAUAAACCUAAGUUAAUCCACUUAAGCACAUCCAACACAUUUCACUAACAAUUACCACACCUAACAUGAUAAAAACUUAUAAUUUCACAAUUACCACAUUUACUUUUACAACAAAAACCACGAAUCUUCUCGACAAUAACCUAAUUUCUCGGACUUUCGGAAUCUAAAAAUUUAAAUAAUAUUAAAUUUAUCUAAUAUAAUUAAAUGUAUUAAAUAAAAUAAUGUUUCAUUUUAUAUUUACCCUCCUUUUAUUAAAUUUACUAUAAUUAUAUUUAAUAAAAUAAAUAAUAUUAUAUAUUUAAAUAAUAUUAGUUAUAUUUAACUAAAUUAAAGCAAAAUGACAAGUAUGGAAAGGAAGGCUGAAAGGAAGGCAUGACAAAAGGCUUUGAGAAGGCUGAAGACUACCAAAGAAGUCAACUGAAAGCUAGCGGGGGCGUGAGUGUAUAAAUUGUUAGAUGUGUUUGUUAUAAAUAACAUAGAGCCCUUUUGUUAUUUAUAAUUAUAGAGAAAGAGAAUGUGUGUUUUUUAAUAGUUAGAGAUAUAGCUAGAAUGGGUGGCACAAAAUCCAAAAUGGUGACAAUGUUAGUUCUCGUAUUGAUAGGGGGGGGGGGAGAGGUCGAGUGAGGGAUGUUUGGAGCAUGAGAAAUUUGAUCUUUUGCGGCUGGAUGUUUGGAGCAUGAGAAAUUUGAUCUUUUGCGGCUUAAACAUUUCUUCAAUUCCCCUUAUACACUUCAAAACUGGGUAGGUGAACAAAGGGAAAGGGUUGAGUGCAGCAACUCCACAGGCCAAGUGGUACAACUACACCAUGGCCUUACUAGGAAUAUUGAUCUGGGAGAGUGGUAUCUGAAUGCUUCUCUAUUUACUUCCUUUCAACAAUUUGGUAACAAAAUAGCCGGCUGCAUGCGUUGAGAAUGAAGGUCCUUCAUUUAAUUUAAUUUACUUAAUUUCUCCCUCCCAAUUAAUGUCUAAUGGAGCUCAUUCUUUUGUUUUAUUUGCAGGUCUAGAAGCAGGUGUCAUCUAACAGUUGAUUUGAUAAUUUCCCACCCCUUCAUCUUUGAUGAAAAGAUGAAAUAAAAACAAAAUGGUGAAAAUGGUAUUGGUACCUGAGGCUAUGUAAUCUAAUUCAAAAACUGCACCAUCAAAACGAUUACAUAAGUCCCAGAAGAAUCAAACAUUAGUUUGCAAAAUAUCAAUUGCUGGAGGUUUGAUUCUAACUUCUGCUCUUCAUUUUUAUGGGCAUAUUGUGUUGUACUUGCAUCCGAAAAUCAUAUUUUAGUUUACUUACACUCAACGCUUGGAUUAAAGUUUUAGGGGGGGCAUUGAAGAAGACUAAAAUGACACAAAAAAAGAGUUGAGCGAGUGCGGGUUUUGUCUUCAUUUAAGGAGCUCUUUGUAAAUUUUAGGAUUUUUUUCCUAAGAAAAUUUAUGCCAACUCAUUCUUUGCUUCUUUUCUGAACGGACAGAUGCAACCGAAAGUAUAUUCUUGAAUUCUUUAGGAUGAGAGACAUACGUUUAGAUUCAUCGAGCCUUUAAAACAAUAUCAAAUUUUAGAUUGCUGAAAUUUUAUAUAUCUGAGUAUGAUGGUGUUCCAAUUAUAAGCUCCAGGGUGCAACUUCACUAAGGUUUAGAAUACCUUCCUAUAGAAUUGAGAAAUCUCCAUUGGCAUAAAUAUCCUUUGAAAAUAUUGCCAUCAGAUGUUGAAUUGGAGAACCUGAUUGAACUCAGCUUGCCUUGUAGUAAGGUUAAGCAAAUUUGGAAAAGAGAAAAGGUAUAAUGUAUUACUAUUACCAAAGUAUCUAUUUUUCUUUCUUUAAGUAUUUAUAAUGAAUAACUUUGAAAUUGAAUGAUGCUCAUUUAGUAUAGUUGUGUAUCUUUGGUUAUAGGAAGCUGUCAAGUUAAAAUCUAUAGAUCUUCACCACCCUCUGUAUCUCAAUAGGAUCCCAAAAAUACUAAAUCUUAAAAAAAUAAAUCUUUCAAAAUGUGAAAGCAUGCUUACGUUACCCGCGUAUAUCCACAAUUUCAACUAGCUCAGUAUGUUGUGUUUCAUGGGAUGCAAAAUUCAUUUUGUUUCUCAUGAAAGGAUUGACUUGUUCGGAUGUAUUAGGGUUAAUAAACCAACUAAUCCCAUAAUUUGUUGAUGUCGGGUCCUAACAAAUUACUGCAGUAUAUUGUAGAUCAAUACACUAUUUGAAAACGUAUUUGAUCCACACAGUGAAUGUUUGAGGGUGCAUUUCUCGCGAACCAGCCAUACCCUAAACGAGGAGCCGGUCUCCUUGUAAUUGAGCAGGCAGGUGAAGUCUGGUAGCAAAUAUCCAAGAGCAGGAAUUCUAUGCUCAAUCACAAGGACAUCCUCUUUUGGACUAUAAUUCGAACAAGGUUCCUGCUAGGAGCCGAGAGCCUUUCCUGCUGGAGAGCGGGGUCGGCAGGCCUAGUCUAUAACGGUUAGCGAGACGUGCACUCCUAUUCGAGAAUCUAGGCACGAAACCAACUCAGCUGCAACUACGACAUUCAGGCAUCCACUUCCGUAAGCUGAGGGAGGUGAUGGACGUGGAUCGUAGGGCGUCGGAUUUGUAAGACGGCUAUAAAACGGUAAUCAACGAAGGUAAAGGGGUUAGACACUUUUACACUAGAACUUAAGAAAUAAGACCAUUUACUAAAAAAGGAGAGAAACACUCAUAGGUGUUCCACUGCCUAAGAGAUCAUGAGAGAGCCACGAGAUCAGUGGCCGAGUUUCCCAAAAAGUAAACCUAAAUUUCUGACUUGAGCGUAGGAGGAUUUUUCCGGCGUGCUCUGACAAGUUUUUGUGUGCGCAUGAGUCUGCUAAGUCAUACAAGGCAUAGCUUUGCUCGGUUAGAAGAGUUACGUGAAGUAUCCUAGGUUGGUCGUGAGUUCGGGAGUUAAGGAGAGAUCCUGGUUGCAGACGAGCAGACACCAGAAUCUCGCAUCAACAGUGAAGAUGAUUCAAUAUUAAGCAUGUCAUAUAAUCUAGAAGUGGAUAUUGGACCAAUUUGAUGAUAAUGAAUUUCUUUCAAUCUCAAUCUUUUUCUUUUUAGCAACAUGACUAGUAAUUGUGCAAAUUUAAACUCUGAGAAUGAUUUCUCAAUCGGUUUCUAAAAUGAUGACCAUGCAUGUAUACGUGUGUGUGUGUAGAGAGAGAGAGAGAGAGAUCACACGUGUGUGAUUUCCUUUUGCCAAUAGGAUAUGCAGAGAGCUUGAUCUUACCCAAUAGCGAAACAAACUUCCUAAUAAGUGAAGGUAUAGUAUAAAUACUUAUACUUUCAUGUUAUUUUGUUCAUCGGUAGCUUGAUUAUUUUAUAUGCGUCUUCGAUUUUAAUUUUCUUUCCCUAUAAUCGCUAUUAUCUUUGAACUGGUCAUGAUUUGCCUAUUAGAUUUCUCAUGUUGUUUUGAGGUGCAAUGGAUUUUGAAUUUAGUGACGAGCAGUGGAAGCCAGAAGGCAAAUUAUGAAAAUGGAUAAAGAUCUAUAAUUAGCUGUUAUGGGAUGUCACAUAUCAUAUUGAUGGUAACAUUAUAUAUAUGUACAUAUAAUUAAUGGGGUUGGCUCACGAGCCCAUUAAUAAUCGUAUAUUAGCUUAUAUACUUCAAACAAUGUACUAUGAAGUAAUUUCACAAAUACUUGUUAGCUUAUGUGGAGCUUUAUUGAAUCAGUAGUUCACAGUUCAAUAAAAUGCAGGUUUGCUAUUUGAAGUACAUGGUCAUGGUGCGUACAUUCUUCAUAAGGCUAACUACUAAUUUAUCAUUGAAACUUGAAAAAUGUGAUAGAGAGAUGUAGAUAACAGCCGCAAAACACUGAGAUUGAAAAUCAGGGCUACUAAAUUCUAUUAAAAGCCCUUAAAAUAGACAGCGAUCAUCCUAAAAUAUUAAUUGCAAAGUUAUGCACUAAUAGAACUAUUGACUACUUAUCUUUAGCAGAAGGUAUAUUUUUAACUACAGCUUUCUGCUUUGUUCUAAGAACUAGGCAAAAGUGGUAUAUCUUCAAUCCAAUCAACAUAUAUACCACUUAUUUUCCCCUUCACUUCUGUCCAUUUUGAUUUGCACUUCAUAUCCUGCACUUGCUGCUUAGAAAUAGUCUUAGUCUGGACAUUGAAAGUAGAAAAAGUACUUGAAACAAUCAUUGGCACAGCCCGAGAUUCCAUUGAAUCGUGGACUCCAAGCUUUCAUAGUUCUAUAAAGAAAAUGACAAAACAUCAUACAACUGGCAUUCGGCUUUUAACAUUUGCACAACCUGAGCGCGUUAGCAAGCCCCUUAUUGCGUUCCCAUUGAAUAGACCUACUUCUGUUAUCCACAGAAGAUCCACCUCUCAAAAUGUUUAUCACCAGGCUAUUCUUAAACUGAGCCUAAACUGAGUAGAAACUUCCGCACAUCUCUCAGCAUUUACAUGAAGAAAGCGACAACUAUCCUCAUCUCUCAGCACAUCUCUCAGCAUUCUACAAAGUUGCAUUUCACUAAGCAAUCUAUCCUCUCCAUUCCUAGCAAAGUGACAUUGAUUCCCGUAUUUGUAAUCGCCUAACUUGGGUUUUGGGCAUAGCGUGGUCUUAAAAUUACCACCCAAUACUUUGUUCAGUGCCACUGGCAUCCACAAGCUCUAGCCUUGUUAGCUGAAUCAUAUUCAAUAGGACAGUGAGACAGCAUUUCACUGACAUAUUCAAUUUGACUACUUAUAUUGACGCAAAUAUUAGAAUUUGAAAUCACUUCUUUUAUUGGAAUAUUAUAUUAAAAUGACCCCAAAUGAAAGUUCUUGAAUGGAAAUGAUUUUUAUUUAAUUUUCCAACAGAUUCAAGAAAACCCAGAGAACAUUAAUUUACACAGUAAUAUGAUUAAGAGCUGAGAACGUACAUGUAGUAAAUGUCUAUCAAAAAACACCCAAGGGUUUCUUUAAAAUUAGAAACUAGUAAACAAAAAGAAAGAAUCAUUUUACAUUUUUAUCAACUUUGGGGUGAGUGAGGAGUGAGAAAUUGAAACCCUAAAGUAAUGACAACAGUAAGAUUCAGUAUGAAGUGAAACCCCAAUUUGAAAUGUAGGCAUGAGUUGCUGAGUCAGUAGAUGAAGCUGUAAAUAGGCAUUCGGUUUCCUUCUUUUCGGUUUGGAGGGCCAUGGAAUAGUGUAUUGGAGUGGGCUCCAAGUAAUAGCCUCUAUCACUGGAAUGACACAUCUAUAAAAUGUGAUACAUGGGGAAGGAUUGGACAUUAUAUUCUUAGAUUAGCGCCUUAUUUAGGGUGUAUAUUAAGCAGAUUAUAUAUUACAUGGAGAUGGAGUUUAUGAAAUAGAUUAAAAAGAAAAGGAAAUUUUGGUGCCUAAAGUUUGCCACUUGGAAUAUUUCGGUGUCUAAAAAUUCACUCACCACUUAUUUCAUGUUUGAUUAUAUGUUGAAAAGAUAUUAAAAUAGUAUAAUGCUAUUAAGGCUUAACGUAUAUUUUUUAUUAGUAGAGUGUAGAAUUUUUAAGAAAUAAAUUAUUAAAUUAUUAUAACUAACAUAUUAUUUUAAAGUUGUGUUAUGAAAAAAAUGAAAUAAAAAUGUACAGUAAAUAAGAAUAUUUUAAAACUUUUAUCUUUUUAAAAUUAUUUUUUAACAUAAGGUGAACUAUUUUUUUUUUAAAUCACAUAUUCUAGUUAAAAUCAAAUAUGUAUUUAUAUGAAGCUUGUAAAUUUUUUUUUUAGUACUGAUAUUUGGAUAUUACCAAUAAAAAAAAAGGUAAUGUGCAUGCUGAAUUAUUUUUGUAGCACACAAAAGGACAACACCGUUUAUGUUAUCAUACUAUCACUUCUGUUAUGAUAAUAUUUUUUUGUGGCCAAAUAUCUUCUUUUUUUUUUUAAGUAAAAGUGUGGACAAAAUGCAAAUCAGUUUUUAAUCCUCAAUCUCUCCCAAAAUAUAAAUUCGUAGGUACAUGGGUUGUUAAAACUAUAGCUGACAAAAAGUUACUAACAAAAACAGAAUGUCCAUUUUAUAACUUUCUUAAAAAACUUUCCUUAACUUUUUUAAAAAGUUACCAAUAAAAAGUUAUUUCUAAUUUUUAUUUUGUUAUAAUUUUUAUAACAAAAUUCGUAGUUCGUAGUUAACUAAACUCUUCUUAUUCCCUUUCUCAACUGCCAUACCCUAACCUUGUUCCCCACACUAAACCACGCUCAAUUAAGGCCAUCAGAUUCUCCCGGGCCCACAUUAAUCCAACUGCUCACAGAGACCGACAGCCUCUCUAUCUCCAUUUCAAGCUCCCUCUUCAACUGGCUUCUGCUACCGUCCUACUCUUUCUCGGCUUCGGAGUCCGUAUUUGCUCGGCCUGUCCCACGAAGCUCCCUCUCACUCCAAUUGUCGCCCCACAAGACCAAUUGCUUAAUCAAGACACCGAACAAGAAAAGGAUGAGAAGUUGAAACAAGAAUUUGAGAAUUGGAAAUAAAAAACGUACGCAUUGACCGUGCCUUUGAGAGUCGUUUCUCUUCAGAACUCAGUGCCUCAAUCUUGGGUUAAGGAUUUUAUGCGAAGUCAGGGAAAGAGAUUGAAGUUUCAGAUGAAUUUGUGUGCUAGCAUUGAUGGGAUCUUUAACAAUUUAUCUGUGCCCUUUAACAAAGUUAAGGCUAAGUCAGCUUCUUAUAUGGCUGCUGAUUUGGUUAGUGUUGGUGAUUCAUGGCUUAGUUUUGCCAUUAAAAAGAGAUUGAUUGAGCCAAUGGCUGGAGCUGAAGACCAAGAUUGGUUCAAAUGCUUAAGUCACAAAUGGAAGGUAACAUCUUUGUCUUUGAUCCUCGAGGUAAAAUAUGGGCGGCACCGUACAGGUGGGGCACAACGGUGAUAGCCUACAAGAAAAGUAAAUUUCGAAAGCAUAAUUUGGCUCCGAUUGAGGUAAUAAUUUUCUUUAAACUCAUUUAGUUUUAUAUCAAACAAAAUCAAGACUGCCUUUCUUUUCAAUAUUUUUUAUGAUAAUAUCUUUAGAAGCAUCUCAUUGACGGGUAACAAUGGCAUCCCUGAAAGAGUCUAUAAACUCAAUGAUAUUAUCUUCUACAAAUGGUUCAUUAAACUUUGUCGUUGUACUCAAAUGUACACUCAGAUCAAUGAGAAGCUAUGCUACGUUAGCAUGUAGUGAUGGCACUUAAUAAGUGAGUUGCUAGGAUGUGAACUAGAAAAAUUAAAUAUUGUCUCCUUGGGUAUGCUAGCUGGUAAGUCAGGGUUAAUAUCAGAGCUUAAGAUAGUAUAACCGUGAGAACCUAUUGACUGCCAAUUAAAAUAUCCAUUGAAAUGUCUAGGGAGUUAUGAAGGUGGAGGUAACUUCCAAUUUCUAAGGCCACAGAGUAGACAUCAUCCAGGAUCCUAAAAUAUCCAGUUAACCUCCUGCUCGAUGCGAUUAAUAAAUUUGGUCAAUGCCACUGAAACCUGCUAACUGACGUCACAAUGCGACAUGAGCACUUCAAAAUGGGACAGAUGGUCAGUAGCACUAAAUUUUUCUUGCCUAAGAUUGAGCAAUUGGUCUAACUACUAAUCCCUAUUGUAGGUUGAUCAUUAUUUUUUCAAUUAUGUUCAGUUUGACCCAAAAAGUUGCAGAAUCUUGAGCUGAAUAUUGUCACUGAACACUGUCAAUGUUGUUUAGCAUAGCCAACUAACUUGAUGUUAAAACAAACACACAGUGUGUCUCAUGUCUCACAAUUCAAAUUAUCAUCUGUAAUGAUGGAGAAUUUUUCCAAUGUAUGAAGUAUGCUUUGAUACGUGGGUUACCUUGGAGAAGAUAUCUCAAAAUAAAGAAUAUGGGGAGAAAACAGUUCAGUAGUUUAUUAUUCUGUAGUCAAGUUUUGUCUCGAAAAUGGUCAAAAUUUAAAUGAAUAAGGACAGGGAAUCUUCAUUCUUUUUUCCCUUUUUUAUACCAAGAUAUCUCUCAACCUUUAUAUAAUCCCCACUGGAUAUCUGCUUCUAAUAAUUAAAAUAAAAAUUUCACCGCUCUAACAAUAAAAAGUAACAUCUUUAAUCAAAUAAUUUACAGUUCCUCAUCACCUUAGUGUGAGACUAUCAGUACAUUCCAAAAACUUAAUAAAACUGGUUUGAUCCUGUUUAUUGAUGUUUAAAUGUUGUUCAUUGUGACAUGUAGAAAUGAUGAGGCGAAGUUUAUUUGGACAUCAAUUAGUAAGAUCUUGUUUGAAGUUGUUUUCUGAAAUGAACUGCCCAAUGGUAGUUUUUUGGGGGCAUUUGAUGGCUCUUUUUUUCCUCAUUUUCAACAUGUGCCUGCUUGGAACAGGAAGGAUUAGGCUGCAGAGUUGUUAUAUAUUUUUAGAUGCUCUGGUCAUUGCACAAUUUGUUCACACUGGAAAUUAGAAUGAGAAAUUUGUUGAUGCUGUUUUGAGAGAUCUGCAUUCUAUGCACAAUAACGUGAUUAAUGAAAAUGCAUUGUAGGACUGGAAAGAUCUGUGGCAGCCUGAGCUCGCAGGAAGAAUUUCAAUGGUUAAUUCUCCCCGAGAGGUUAUUGGUUCAGCUUUGAAGAAUAGGGGAGCAUCAUACAAUUCAAACGAUAUUGAUUUGCAAGUUGCUGGUGGGAAGAUUGCUGUUCAGCAGAAUCUGGCAUUACUGGCAAACCAAGUACUCUUACAGAAAUGAUAUCUGGUCAUUGCAUGUUAUUGCCUGACAACUGAUUUUGUUUGUACAAGUCUGCUUCUUCAUACAUAUGAAUGCAUAUGUUAGUGUUUUCUUCUCCUUUUCAUACAUAUAAAUGCAUAUGUUAGUGUUGUCUUUUCCUUUUCAUACAUAUUAAUACAUAUGUUGGUGUUCUCUCAUGAGAUGGAUGCAAUAGAGGCUUUUGCUCCUAAAUUUAGCUGAAGAAAUGGGAAGGGAUGUGAGAUUCUGUCUCAUUAAAUUAACAAAAACCCAAAACAAUGAAAAUCCAUAAUAAUGUGGUGUGGGUAAAUUGGCUCCAUUUGGUUCGUUUCCUUAAUGUGACUGCGCGAGCAAUAGAGACUAACAAAAUGAAGUGACAACAAGAAGUCAGUGUCCUUUGAUGGAUGCAUUUUUAGGCAGAAAUAGGUUUGUAAUUGACCAAAUUUGCCUGGCAUGCCAAUUUCAAAAAAAUUAAAUUAUGUGGUUAUUGGCUGUAAUGAAGGGGGAUAGUCGGUGCAAUCAGGUGGAUCCUGGAAAGUUCAACAAAGUUUGGUAUGGCGUAGUGAAAUUGGUUUGUGCAACUCAGGAGUCUUUCAGGUGAACGAUGAUAGGUUUUGAUUUAUGAAUAUUAUAAAUCUACUGUGCAUAUUAUUCUAGCAGAAUCAUCUAUAAGUUCUAGUUAUUGAAAUUGUAUACUUUGCCCGGUUUGAGUUAAGGGCACAUGUAAUAUGAAAGAUAGUUGUCGCAUCUUUUAGGUUACCUAACAUUUGAUCAAUCCUAUUAUGGGGGCUUCAAGAUGUCUAACAAUAUGUAGAAUGCCCAUGCUCCUCCCCAUUGUUUAUCUUAUACAAUAAUUUGUUUUAGAUGCUAAUAUCUUUGUCGAUACUGGUAACAAUAUUACAAUAUCUGCCUUUAUUGGGUUUUACAUAGGUUCGACUGUUUGACAGUACACACUAUCUGAAGGCAUUUGCAAUUGGAGAUGUAUGGGUUGCUGUUGGGUGGAGUAGUGAUGUUCUUCCUGCUGUCAAACGUAUGUCUAAGGUUUUAUGAGAAACGAAAGAUGAGUGUUUGUUUGAACAAAGUUGUUGCCAAUCUUGCAGAGUUCGAAAAGAAAGAUCACGGAGCGAAUGCCACCGAUUUCUUCAUCAUUUUAGCCUCCAUAGUUGAAGUUUCCUCAUUUGAAGCUGUUUAUGCAUACGCUUUUUCCCUGCUCUAGUACAGGAAAUUGAAGAAUUAACCAGAUGUGAUAUGCUGAAAGAGGGAAGUUUUCUUCCUUGAAUGUGGCCUUUGUGAUUUGUCUUGAAGGAAUAGGAUGAUCACUGGCAAAAACCCUAUCAAGGUAGAUUUUAUGAUGUUAACAUAUUAUUAAGCAUUUUGUUACAUCAGCAAUGAUGCUUUCAUAGCAUGAAAGUGUCUAAAUUUAACUGAAUGAUCUUGAUUAAUCAAUUAUGAGUUUUAAUCGAGUAAAAACUAAAUACAAUAAUCGUUGACAAAUACUGAAAUUGGGUAAAUAUGAUCUUGAUAUUGAGAAUCUGAAAACACAACCCACACAGGGAAUCACCCUUCGCGUGGGGAUGGAGAUGUUUACUGCAGCGAUAUUGCAUAUGUCCACUGCUCUUUGGGUUAUGGUGCGACUUGCGAUUUCAAGGUUUCCCUGAAACAAUGAAAAGAUUGACGUACCCUGCAAUGAAUGAAAGCGGCUGGACUAAUUCUGAUUACCUAAUUGACUCAGGAUCGGCUGGCAAUAAUGACAGUUUAUUAACAAUGCACAGUCCCGAGUACUUUCCAGGAUCAGAUAUUACGUGGUCUAAUGUUGAUAAUAAUAGAUUAUCAAAUGACAAAUCGUUGUUCUUGGGUGUUGAUUUCAGAAAUAAAAUACGUUCUGAGAGAUGCUGGUCUACUAUUGCAAGCCCCCAGAUUUAAGAAUCUUUUGAUGAUAAUUUACCACCUGUAACUGUGCCGGAAGAUUCACCUAGCACUGAAAAAGAUGAUAAUUUAAUUGAUAUGGACAGUUUCCAUAUCACUUUUAAAUCAUCUUAUGUAAUUGUGAUGUUAGGAAGCAUUAGUGAUCUACAUGUGAACUAUUAUUGGCGCCAUUUGUGGUUUUAUUUUAUUAAAAUAUGGAUGACUUCCCGUUACUAUUUCGUUGUAGACAAUCUUAUCAAUUAACAUAUAGUUUAAAAUCAUUAUGAUCUAUUAAUUUUCAUGAUAUUUAACUGAGUUAAAACUAAGUGCAUUCAAUAAAUCUUUCUUCCUUUAAAAAACUGUUGCGCUUUAAUUUUAGUGCUUAAUAUUUACAGAACUCUGGUACAGGGAAUUCGAAAUCAAACUAGUAACUACAGAUUAUCUAAUUGCAAGUUUUUGUCCAUAGUUGCAGAUUUGUAGUGAUUAUCUAAUUGACUGAGGUGACAACAAUUUUUUUUUUAAUUUUCAAUAGCAUAAUGUGGAAUUCAAUAAUUAAAUUCUCCUUUUUAAUUUGUUUCCAGUUAAAUUAUUAAUUACUUAAACUUUGUUUUAAGUCUUUAAUUUUAUGUCUUGGCCUAUAUGCAGGGUUGGAUUCUUGAGCGUGUUGGACACGACCAACAAUGAAAUUGACAGUAAACAAACAUUACAACACGUUGAGUGUCGACUCCAGUAGCUGCCCUACAAGUCUACAACUUUACAAACAAUAAUUGAGUACACACAUUUGAUUCUCGGGACCCUCCAAUGAAUUUCUAGCCCCGUUGACUCCGCCGACAAAAGUUUUGGAAAAUAAAAAAAAUUCAUAGAAUUCCACCAAAUACAAAACGCGUGGAAUUUAAUUUUCGGCCAUGUGGACCAAAACACAAUUUAAUGAAAAAAAAGAUAAGAUUUCUAAAAUGUGUAGAAAGUGAUCCAUAUUUUACUGAAACAACUUGUUAAAUUUUUCAAGGAUUUAGAAUAUUUGAUCAUAAAUUACGCCCAUGUUAAUUUUUCCGCUAUUGACUAUCAUUUUCUAGACUCACUGUCACCUUUCUUGAUGAACGGUACUUAGUCUCUCUUCUCCUCUUAUAAAAAUUAUAUUAAUUGAUUUCUUAUUAUAAUAAAUAGUCUUUAAGAACGUAUAGAUUUAUUGUUUUCGUGACCAAAUUAUGCCUGCUUAAGGUUGAGACUAUUAAUAAAAUUAAUAUUUAAUGUUUAUGUUAAAAGAUAUAAGAUUUUAUGCAUUCAUUAAUUGUUAUUAGCUAAAGGAUUAAUUAUUUUUUCAACCCAAUCAGUUGAUGCAUCUGCAAGAGUUUUUUCUUUUAUUUACCAUAAUUAUAUUCCGGGUACAAUAAAUUAUCUUUGGUGCUUGGAAAAUAUGACUUCUUACUUCAAGUUUGAUGUGUCUCUCUCCGUAAGCUUACUGGAAAUAUAUCCUCAUUUACUGUCAUUUAUCUAAUAUCAAAUGAAAGAUCUCACUUUUUCAAACUAUCACUUCCAAGUCUCAUUGUCACUUAGCCAUUCUUGGACCAUUCAAAACCAAUCUGUUGAAAUAAUCAAAUAUAUGCAAAAUUAGAGUCACGAUUGUUGGUCCCCCAAAUUCUAAUUAUAUAACUUCUAUAUAUCUCAUUGUCAGGUCACGAACUUGUUGGCACAUUUCCAAAUUCCUCUUCCAUCAGCUCUCACACGUUAAUUUUUAGGUUAUCUAAAUUUCAAGGAUUUAAAAUCUUUGAUCAUGGAUUACAUGUUUAAUUUUUCUGCCAUUGACUGUCAUAUUCUAGAUUUAAUGGUACCUUUCUUGAUCAAGCGUAAUUACUCUCUCGUCUCCUCUUAUAAAUUCCUCUUCCAUUAGCUGUUAGCCUAUAUGGCUAUAGAUAUUGAUUUUGAUGAUAACAAACCACAUGUGUUGAUUAAACAAAGAUUUAUGAAUUGUGCAUUUAUAAUAAGAAAAUGAUGUUAUGGAAUUAAAGUGUUUUUGGACUAAAGUGAAAGUAUUUUAAAACCUUUGAUAUUAUUUUAAAAUUUCAGAUUUGGACCUAUUUGAAAAUAUUUAAAUAUUUUGGGUCAUUCUAUAUUUUUACAUGGUUUGGGUGAAAUCAUAAUUUCAAUUUGAGUGUGUGAGACACUUGAGUGAAGAGGUUGGGAGAUAAUCUCUUUGUUGUAAGGGUUCAUUGACACAUUGAAGUCAAUUGUAAACGUUUGAAGCCUUAAAAAAACUUGGAUAGUGAAAUCCUCAAGUUUGAAUCGCUUGGAGGCGUGGACGUAAGCGGGGAUUGCCGAACUACGUAAAAAUUCGUGUGUUUGUUUCUCUUCUCUCUUGCUCAAUUGUUAUUGUGCUUUUAUUGAACUUAUUACUUUUGAAUUUAUUAAUGCAUUAAAUUGGAUUGUUAUGUGGCUUUGUUAGGAUAUUUUUUAAAAUACCAAUUCACCCCCCUCUUAGGUUGCACACUUGUAUUUCAUUAGCAUUACUAGGAAUUUGUUGAUCUCUAAGAUGCUAACUUGAGUGAAGAGUUUCCAAAUUGAUUGUUACAAAACAACAAAAAAACUAGACACACUUGAUCUGUCUAAUAAUUCUCUUUCGGUAAAAUUAAUUAAUUUUAGGGGAAUUUUCGGCCAACCUCUGUAAUUUCAAAGUGAUCAUUAAUUAAUUAAACGAUACAAAUAUCUAAAGUGAUUAGAUGUUUGCUGACAAUACAAGUUCAUGGCUUGAAAUUUGAUCUCUAUCGAUUGGUUUACAAAUGGACGCACUUGUGCCUUUGUGGCGAUAAUUAAACAGAGAUGUGAAGUUGUAAAGAUUUGACAAGUUCCCAUGAUUAGUAUUUUUUUUCAAAAACUUUUUUACAACAAAUUCAUCUCGCCCAAAAAUUAUAUUUUGCUAUCUAACAAUAAUUGAGCACUUGGCCGCAUUGACUCCACGUCUCCACCUACUUUCUAAGUAAAAACAUGGAAAUGUAAUCUCCACAAAAUGUCAAACGUGUGGAAUUUAAUUUUUGGCCUUGUGAACCAAAAUGCAAAUGAAAGAAAAAGAGAGAAAAAAACAAGGCCCAAAGACUACGAAAAGAUAUAAAAGUCUUUGGGCCUUUUUAUAACGGUGGAUUUUUUAAAAGGAAAAAAUAACAACACUUCUAUGGUUUGUUUUGAUAAUCACAUUUACAUAUACUCUCUAAUUUUUAAAAUGGACACAUAAAUCUUUUUUUUUUUUUUCUACAAACGUAUAUUAUUCGUAUUUUUUAUUAUUUUUAAUAUCAUAUUGUUAUUUUUUUUAGAAGAUAUUGUUAUUUAUUAUAAAUGUUUAAAGUAAAUUUUUAGGUUGAAAUAUAAUAAAAAGGUAUAAUCGUUCUCUUAUUAAACACCCAUACUUUUAAUUUCUAUCCAUUUGUCAUCUCAAUCUCUCUCAAUUAUUCUUUAUUGCUAGCUCAAAACGCGUUGCUGUUGCAAAUUAUAGCAAAAAGACAAAUAUGGAAAAGAAAAAAGGGAAGAAAAUUAAUGCAUGAAAGAUUUGGAGAAAACAACGAAGUAAGUCAACUAUAAUCUAGUUGGGUGUGUAAAUUGUUUGAUGCUUUAUAAGCAAAUAACAUAUAGAGACAGACAAUGUGUGUUCGUUUUUUCAUAGUUAAAGAUAUAGUUAGAAUGGGUGGUUCAAAAUCAAAAAUGGUGAUAAUGUUUGUUAUGUUAUUAAUAAUAUUUAAAAGUGGGUGGAGUGAGGGAUGUUUGGAUCACGAGAGAUUUGCUCUUUUGCGACUUAAACAUUUCUUCGAUGAUACUAGUAGUUAUCUUUACGAUUGGGGAGAUGGUGAGGGAGCUACUGAUUGUUGUCAGUGGAAAAGGGUUGAGUGCAGCAACACCACAGGUCGAGUGAUAGUGCUAGACCUUUCUAGCAUGUAUUGGGGAGAGUACAGCUGGUAUCUGAAUGCUUCUUUGUUUACUCCCUUCCAACAACUUGAGUCACUUGAUUUAACUGACAACAAAAUAGCCGGUUGUGUUGAGAAUGAAGGUGCUUCGUUUAAUUUAAUUAAUUUACUUUCUCCACCCUAAUUUAAGUUGAAUAUCAAGACCGAGCAAUUAUACACAUAUUCAUUUAGUCGACAAUUUUGACUUUUUUUUAAAUGAUUAAUUUUGAAAUUACACCAAUAUCUAUGAUCCUUUUUUUUUAUUUUACUUGCAGGUAUAGAGAGGCUAUCAAGAUUGAACAACUUGAAGAUGCUUAAUUUAAGUGAUAACUCGUUCAACAAUAGCAUUUUAUCAUCUCUAACUCAUCUUUCAUCAUUAAGAUCAUUAAAUUUAUUUUGGAAUAGAUUGGAAGGAAGUAUUGACGUUAAAGGUACAUAAUUAAAACUUCAUCCCUUCUCCAAGCUCUUUCAUUAACUUGCUAAAAUAAGAUUCAAGGCUUUGAAUUCAAAUUUUUUUAUGAUUAGUAUUAAAAAAAAACAGUUUUAAGCAAUUUAUAAAUACAAGUUUUAAUGUUUCUCAUAAUUUCAUCUUGUACUUUCAUAUGUCUUGAAUUUAAGAUUAAAAAAAAAAAACUCUAAUAGCGAACCAAACACCUCCACAACUAAUUAUUAUUAUUAUUAUCAUUUUUUUUUUAUUUGUGGUGAGGUUUGAAACAUUCAACUCAAUUUGUACUUAUUACAGAAUUUGAUUCUUUGAGAGAUUUAGAGGAGCUAGACAUUGGCGAGAACAAGAUUGACAAAUUUGUGGUCUCAAAAGGUACUAGAACGACUGCAAAAAAUGUAAACUUCUACAAAUUAGCUAGAUUCUUUGCCAUUUGGUUUAUUAUUUUGCAGGUUUGAGGAAGUUGAGGUAUCUCAGUUUAAGUGGUAUCAAACUCAAUCAUAGCAUAUUAUCUUCUCUGACUGUCUUUUCUUCGUUAAGAGAAUUAUAUCUAGAUGAUACGGGAUUCAAAGGAACAUUAGAUAUUCGAGGUAAGUCUAAGCCCUGCUUUCUCAUUUUAUAUAUGCCAGCUAGACUUGUGUAUCAUCGACAUAAUUUAAUAUUUAAUUUGAUUAGUCUGAAGGAAUUACAUGCUAAUUUAAACAUACUUUUAUUUACUCUGUCAAUCAAUUAAUUAAUUAAUUACUAUUUGGCUUGGUUUGGAUGAAUUCUCAUGAUGUUUUAAUUUCUUUAAAUUAAUUAAUUAAUUAACUCUGUUUUUAAGUCUUAAGUCUGGGCAUGUUUGCAGAAUUUGAUUCCUUCAACAACUUAGAAGUGUUGGACAUGAGUUACAACAAAAUCGACAAUCUUGUGGUUCCUCAAGGUAAACAAUUAAAAUAUUAUUCAAUUACAUUAAUAUAAUUCAUUUGGUUAGGGAAGGCCCAAAAGGUACAAAAAAAAUUAAAUAAAGAAACAGAGAAUUUGUAUUAUUUAAAAAACAGAAUGUAAUAAAGAUUUGAUUCUAGUUCUUUAAUCUUUAAAGCGAUUGAAAAAUAAUGUUGCUCUUUUCCCAAAGCAUAAAAUACGAAUUGAAUGCCAAUUAACUUAAUCAUUCAUUUCGUUUAGCUCUAAAUUUAGACAAUGAAUUUUUAUAUUAUUUCAAAAACAGGACGUAAUAGAAUUUAAAAAAAAAACAGAUUGUAAUAAAGAUUUGAUUCUAAUUUUUUAAUCUUUACUGCGAUUGAAAAAUGAUACAGCUCUUUUCCCAAAGCAUAAAAUACGAAUUGACUCCCAAUUAAAUUAAUCAUUUAUUCCAUUCAUCUCUUAAUUUAAAUAAUGAAUUUUGUUUUCUUAAAUCGUAUUCUAAUUACUAUUAAAAAACAGGUUACAGAGGUUUGAGGAAGUUGAAAAGCCUUUAUCUAUUGAGAGUUAGAAUUAGAGAUGGAAGCAAGUUGUUACAGUCAAUUGGAUCAUUCCCAUCCCUCAACACUCUUUACCUUUCGUCUAAUAAUUUGACGGAAACAGUGACAACUACUACUCAAGGUAAUUAAAAGGUACAAAUGUCGCCAAAUUUAUAAAUAAAUUGUUAAUUAAUUAAUUUUUCCGUAUUAUUAAUAAAGCUAAAUUCGUUGCUCCUUCCUUCUAAAUCUAAACAGAGUUGCACAAUUUCACCAACUUGGAAUAUUUGACAUUGGACGAUUCCUCUCUCCAUAUAAGCCUUCUGCAAAGCAUUGCAUCAAUAUUCCCUUCGUUAAAAAAUUUGUCGAUGAUUGGUUGUGAAGUCAAUGGCGUCCUACGUGGUCAAGGUAAAAGAAAAGUGUUAAUUGUGAACUCGCACAAUGGUGUCCUACGUGUUCAACAUUUUUAUUUAUUUAUUUUAUUGUUUAAUGUUUCUGCUAGGUUUUCCUCAUUUCAAGAGUUUGGAAUAUUUGAAUAUGGAUUUCACGCGCAUUGCACUCAACACCAACUUUCUUCAAAUCAUCAGUGAAUCGAUGCCUUCUCUUAAGUACUUAUCACUGUCAGAUUCUACUCUUGGCACUAACAGCAGCAGGAUUCUUGAUCGAGGUUAAUCAGAUGCUCCCACCCUCCCUUCUUAAUCUAUAAUAUUAAUUUUCAAUUCAAUAUUUAAUUACACAAACGAAUCACUUAUUAUAAAAGAAUAAUACGCAUUCAUUAAUUUUUAUGCUGUAUUAAUUGAUGAAUUUAAUAAAUUUUCAGGCCUCUGUUCGUUGGUGCAUCUGCAAGAGUUGCGCAUGGCUGAUAAUGAUUUAAGAGGUAGCUUGCCUUGGUGCUUGGCAAAUAUGACAUCCCUCCGAAUAUUAGAUGUUUCUUUCAAUCAACUUACUGGAAGCAUCUCCUCAUCUCCCCUCGUUCAUUUGACAUCCAUUGAAGAGCUGAGGCUUUCAGACAAUCAUUUUCGGAUCCCAAUUUCACUUGAACCACUUUUCAAUCACUCAAGACUCAAGAUUUUCCAUGCUAAAAAUAACCAAAUGAAUGCAGAAAUAACUGAGUCACAUUCUUUGACCGCCCCAAACUUCCAAUUACAAUCUCUCUCAUUGUCUUCCAGUUAUGGAGAUGGUGUCACAUUCCCCAAAUUCCUUUACCAUCAACAUGACCUGGAGUAUGUUCGUCUCUCACAUAUAAAGAUGAAUGGAGAAUUUCCAAAUUGGUUGUUGGAAAACAACACAAAAUUAGCAACUCUUUUUUUGGUUAAUGAUUCUCUUGCAGGACCUUUUUGGUUGCCAAUUCAUUCACACAAGCGGUUAGGAAUAUUGGAUAUAUCCAACAACAACAUCCGAGGCCACAUUCCAGUAGAAAUUGGAGAUGUUUUACCAAGUUUAUACGUUUUCAACAUUUCCAUGAAUGCUUUAGAUGGUAGCAUUCCCUCUUCAUUUGGUAAUAUGAAAUUCCUCCAAUUGCUGGACUUAUCCAACAAUCAAUUGACUGGUGAAAUCCCCGAGCACUUGGCCGUCGGUUGCGUCAACUUGCAGUUUCUCAUGUUAUCAAACAACAGCCUAAAAGGUCACAUGUUCUCUUGAAAUUUUAACCUGGCCAAUUUGAUGUGGUUACAAUUGGAGGGCAAUCACUUCGUAGGAGAGAUCCCACAAAGUUUGUCUAAAUGCUCCUCCUUAGAAGGAUUGUAUCUUACCAAUAAUAGUCUCUCGGGUAACAUUCCAGGAUGGUUGGGUAAUCUCACAUGGUUAAUACAUAUUAUAAUGCCCGAGAAUCAUCUUGAAGGUCCUAUUCCAGUGGAGUUUUGUCAACUUUAUUCGCUUCAGAUUUUGGACAUUUCAGACAACAACAUAUCUGGAAGUUUGCCAUCCUGUUUCCAUCCUCUCUCUAUCGAACAAGUUCAUCUUUCAAAAAAUAUGUUACAUAGACAGCUAAAAAGAGGUACAUUCUUUAAUUGCUCUUCCCUUGUGACAUUAGAUCUUAGUUAUAACCUCUUGAAUGGCAGCAUUCCGGAUUGGAUUGGUGAGCUUUCUCAGUUAAGCCACCUUAUCUUAGGUCACAAUAAUCUUGAAGGUGAAGUGCCAGUUCAAUUGUGCGAAUUGAACCAACUACAAUUGUUAGAUCUUUCUAAUAAUAGUCUUCACGGUUCUAUUCCUCCAUGCUUUGAUAACACAACACUUUAUGAAAGUUACAACAACAGUUCUAGUCUUGAUGAGAAAUUUGAAAUAUCUUUUUUCAUCGAAGGCCCUCAGGGAGAUGUAGAAAAGUGAAUCCGUGAAAAAUUUGAGUUCACAACAAAGAAUAUUGCGUACAUUUACCAAGGAAAAGUGCUUAGCCUCCUAUCAGGACUUUAUCUUUCUUGCAAUAAGCUAAUCGGUCAUAUUCCUCCUCAAAUUGGAAAUUUGACAAGGAUUCAAACAUUGAAUCUAUCAUAUAACAACUUGACAGGAUUGAUCCCAUCAACAUUUUCAAACUUGAAGCAUAUCGAAAGUUUGGAUCUUUCCUACAAUAAAUUAAAUGGGAAAAUCCCUCAUCAACUUGUGGAGUUAAAGACAUUGGAGGUUUUUAGUGUGGCAUACAAUAACUUAUCGGGCGAAAUUCUAGAAUGGACUGCACAAUUUGCAACAUUUAACAAGAGUAGCUAUGAGGGAAAUACUUUUCUUUGUGGAUUGCCAUUGCCCAUUUGCAGAUCACCAGCAACUAUGUCGGAGGCUUCAAUUGGCAAUGAACGAGAUGAUAAUUUAAUUGACAUGGAUAGUUUCUUUAUCACAUUUACAACAUCGUACGUAAUUGUGAUAUUCGCAAUUGUUAUUAUUUUAUAUGUAAAUUCUUAUUGGCGACGUAGAUGGUUUUACUUUGUUGAAAUGUGGAUAACU
rnacentral:lncRNA from 1 species